UUAAUCCAAUCUCUUCUCCCUCUUCAUUAAUACUCUACCAUGUAAUCGUUUUUGCUGACGUGUUCACAUGGAUGAAACCCCUAAUUAAAAUCUUUACCAUACUUACAAGUAUCAAAUCAUUCUCCCCAGGCAUUUGAAUCAUUAGAACAAAUGCACCAGGAUUAGACCGCAUAGCUACAGAAUUAAAUAAAGAGAUUUGAAAAGAAAUAAAGUUCCCACGUUCUCCAAUUCAGAGGACCAGGAGUUCCUCAAGAACUAGCAGCAAAACGGCGACCUGCCUGUAAGAGGACAGAAUAGUUCAGUAGUGCCGUAGAAUCUCAGAAAAUAGAUAAGCGAGGUUGUUAUGUAAUGAUACAAAUAUAUACAGCACGAGAAACCCUCUACGAUGGUUACACACUGGUAAAUAAAAUAAUUUUUAUACUGGUUGCAUGUAAGGCUACAUGCAUUUUGCACAAUCAGCAAUGCAGCUCUGGUGGCUCUCUGUAUCACUGGAUCCACCCCUAGUACUACAUGUCGUUUCUUGACCACUCUUUGCCUUAGUGCUACAGGGUUCUGCAACUAAUGUGGAUAUCACACACUACUAAAACUCCCCGGCCGGGUUCCCUACCGUUUUUUUGGUUCCCUAGAAAAAAUAGAAGCACACUAGGGAGGUUUUCUUUUCCCUACAGCGAGUCACUAAAAUCGUAGGGAAACCGAUCAUUCCCUGAAACUAGGAUGUGAAUUGCAUGCAUGGUUCCUCAGGGUGAAUUCUCAUGAUAGAUUGCAAAUGGCAAAAUAGGCGUUUUGGUCCCCCAAUUUUACUCCGAGAGUCAAGUUCGUCCGUCAACUACUAAAUCGACCAAUCUAAUCCCUUAAGUUUCAUUUUUGGGUUAAACUUCUCCUUAUACUGAUAUGACACUUUAUACUGGCAUGAGACUAAUGCGAAAAGUCCUUUUUGCCCUUGCACUUUUUUCCCCUCAAUUUCCAUUGUCUCUGUCAUUUGCACUAGACAUAGUCAUGACACCACUAUUUUAUCGAGCGGACUUAGCUAGCUGUGCUACUAGAUGUGGCUCCUGCACCUUUAAACUCACGGACAAAUGGUUGCCAUAAAGCACCGUACGAUUGAUCAUGCAUUAUAUUCAUGCUAACUAAACAAUCAACCUUUUCCCCUCUCUUUUUUUGCUGGCGACCCAUCAUCUUCCACAACAGUAUACUUGUGGCCAAUACAAGCGAAUCAGUGUAGCGGCAUGUAUGCAUUUGGGAGCAGUACAUCACAUGUGUAUAAAUUGAGGAAUGAACUUGACCCUUACGGUAAAGUUGAGGGACCAAGACGCCUAUUUUGCCAUUGCAAAUUUAGUCAACAUCAUGUCAUACUCAAAACUUAAGUUUCCUAUCUUGCUACUAGCAGAAACCUGGCUGUGGUUUCAUACAUAGUGAAUAAUUCUUGAAAAUCCAUCACAAAAAAAGUACCAGACAUUUAGAUCAGCAUGGCUCACUAGUGCAUGCAGACCUGAAAACAGUAAGGCAUUUCAGAAUGAGAUUGUAUUAGCAGCAUUUUCUUGCAUUGGUGAUGAACAACUGAACUGAUCAGCAUGUAACUAGCUAGUUUCUACUGAAGAAAUUGACAUCAUGAAUGGAGGAACAAGUAGCAGGUAGGAAAUGGAUCAUUCCUUAUGUAGCAAUAUGAACUGAUAGUCCAUUGGCUUCAUAGUGUGGUGCAGGAAAUAUCCUCACUAAUUCAUAGUGGUGCUAUGAUGCCUGUUACCAAAUCAUUAGCAGUCUGAACUCACAGCCUAUUGUCUUAUUUACUAGUAUAGCAUAGCACUUUAUAUAGCAGAAUCAGUUUUUCUCUAAAUCAUCCACUUGUUCAAUUGCAUAGUUCCAUACAGUUGCCUCGGUCGUUCGAGAGGAAACCCGGGAUGAAACAAUCAGUAGGACCGCUAAUGGAGUAUUUCGCAGCCAUGCAAAUGCAACUACAAGUGGUGGUGGAAACUACUCUCCUCCUCCAGAAGUAUUUCCAUUCUUUUGAGCUAUAACUUAACCUCCAGAAGUAGUGGUGUUCACAGCCAUGCAGGGGCUAUGCUGGUUGUAACUUAUUAUCAACAAUUAUGGAGUUGUUCUUUUGGUGGUGGUCCUUUUGUUGGCUCUUACUUUAGGUAGGAUCUGAUCUUUUGUUGGAUAUAAGUUUGAGUAGGAUCUGAUCUUUUCUUGUGUGACAAUGAAUAUUUGUGGCAUUUCUAGACCAUUUAUAUGGAUCAAUUGAUGCCUAUCGGAUGGAAUCAAUGAUUAUGUGUACUGUUCAUGUUUUGCAUUUGAAUUACAAUAUAAAUUUUAUAUUUGUCAAAUACAUAUUCAAAAUUUGAAUUCAAAUAUAAAUUUCGUAUUUGAAUGUUUCAUACAAGUUAAUAGGAUUAUAGUCUACCAUGUUCACAACUUUCCCUACAGAUUUAAUUUCUAGGGAAACACCUUUCCAUGUAGGAUGCGUACUGCCAUGUCAAAAACUUUGCCUACGAAUCAAUAUCAUUGGGAAAGAUUAUUUCCCUACGGUUUCCAGCGUCAUGGUAGGUCACUUUCUUAUUUCCCAUCAAAUUCCUCCCUAGGUAUAUAUGUUCGUUACGAAAGUUUCUAGGGAACGUCUUUCCCUACUGUUUUACAUGAUCUUUCCCUAGGAUUUCGAACAGUAGGGAAGCCGGGGAGUUCUAGCUCGUCUGCAUGCCAACUAAAAAUGGGCGACGGUGACGAGAAAGCCUGCAAAGGCUGGGAGAAUGGAUGGAUAGAGAAAGGGAUUGGAGGGCGUUCCAAAUGCCCUAGUUGCUUCACCUGCAUGGAUCGAUUUUUUUUUUAUUUUUAACCUUUUUUUAUAUUUAUUUUUAAAAAUAACCUCAGCGGAACUUUAUUUGCGCCGUGUAACCCUUUUGGUCGCGCCAGACCGCCUGGCGCGGCAGGAAGCCGCUGCCGCGCCGCAUGCACUGGCGCGGCGGGCCCCUACCAUGCUGGCGCGGCGAGUCGCGGCGCCAGGUGGGCGCUGACGUGGGCGGGCUCUCGCCGCGCCAGACCGCCUGGCGCGGCAAGGCCUACACUACAGCCACGCGCCGGCUCCCUUCCUCCUUCCUCCCUCCUUUCUUCUUCCUCCAGACACACCAGCGCCCCUUAGCUUGUUGCGCCGCCCCCCGCCGCCCCACCCCCAAAUCCACCCAAAAUCCGGCGAUUUCGGUGGGGGAAAAUAGUGGAAAUCGAUCCCUGCUUCGUAUGGAAGGUAUCCCCAUACUUUUUCUCGUGUUUUACCGUUGCAUUUGGUAGAUCGGAGGAUGUUUAGGUGACUUAGGGUUAGGUUGGUGAUUUCAAUUUUGAAUGAAAGCACACACCCCCCCUCAAAUUUUCAGUAGGUUUGGGGGGUGUGUGCUAGAGUUUCACUGAUGAAACUUAAAUAGCUUUAUUUGUUCUGAUUUUUUUUAAACUAGUUUGAACCACAAAUACGCGAUAGCCUACCUACCAGUGCGAACAUUUACGAAAAAAAACACGAAACACAAGUAUAUCAUGGAGCAAUCAUAUAACAUUGUACGGACAGAACUAAACCUAACAUCCAACUUAGUCUUUUACACACGUGACAGAAAUAAACCUAACAACCAACUUAGUCUUUUACACACGUGACGGUUCCAAAAGUCUUGCACGCACAUAUAAUAUAAAUUGCACACCUAGUGCAUCACACUUGAGACAUGCAACGUUCAGUAUCGUGACCGCUGCUCAUCCGGAGGGCUAAAAGGAUCUCUUGGGCGACGCUCCCUCCUUGGAUGCGUGGGCAGCACAUUGGCGCUGCCAACGUCAAUGUGGUCUCGGGAACGACGCCGCCGGCGUGGCAUCCGGGUACAAGGUGCAAGCUCCUAUGGAAUAAUUGAGCACAAAGCAUAAAAUUUUUAUGACACUUCGGGAGUGAACAUUAAAAUCUAGAAUUGAAUUUGGGGAAACUUGUGAAUGUACCUGGAUGGACUCUCCCUGCGUCUGAGUCACACGUGGAGCAUCGAUCAUGCCGGAAAUCUCCAGUUCCUCACCAGGGUCGUCAUCCUCAGACUGCUCACCUUCAGAGUCCUCGCUUGCCUGAGGGGAUGCGGGUUCCUUGCCUCGUGAUCUCCUGCUAGGACCUGCAGCAGUGGACGGUGUUGCAGGCCUGGGGGUAGUCGCCAAUGGAGUCCGACGUGAUCCCGAAGAAGUACCCUGGCCAUUGUCCCCGUGGUGCACAUCUGAGAACGACAUGCAGUUCAUCCUCAUGGCCAUUCGCCUGCAGCUUUUCCGAACCCUCUGCCACAUGUAAGCAGCAUAUAUUCACGACUAUGAUAUUGAUGGUUACAAAGGUAGUACGAGUAUAAGUGGAAAUUAGUUUGGGCUUCUACCUCUGCAAACUAACGAAGCAGACCAUCACCUUCUCCGACGACGUGCUCCAUAAUCACGCCCGCCUCGUUUGAGAGCCUUGCAAGAUGUUGUCCCUGUACGCAUAGUUUUCAUUCCAUGAGUGAUCAAUGUUAUGAUACUAUGAUUACAAACCGAAAUCUUACCAUGUAGUCAUGGAGAGGUGCACGCUCAGGCUGUGUCCCAUAGCGUGUCACCGUGUCGUACACGUCAGCUAUGUCGGCGUCUGAUUCAGACGGUGCAUCCUCAAUGGGCACAUUACUCCAAGAUGGUUUCACUUUAGUUCUCGUCGAAGUACAGUACCAUCGUAUGUACUCAUUGUUUGGUCCUGGUCGCCAGUACGGUCCACCUUCAGGAUCGCAUCCUUGCUUAUUCUGCCACAUGACGAGGUACUGACCAUGCUUCACCCUCCAAUCAUUCUCCUUAUACCUCUUUCUGCGGUCGAUCCUGCAUCAGAAAUUAGUGAAGUAUUAGUAUAACAUGUUAAGUACGUUAAUUGAAUAGCCUCCAAUAGUUAUUUAUUCCUGCGUACCUGUGCAGUUGCUGCGAAGUCGAUAAUUCCAAACGAGGGCACGGUUGCAUCCUCCCAAACUGCCGCAUCACCCUAUGCGGCAUAUGAAACUCUACGAUGUAGUACAAUAUCAUUAGCGUCGUGCACCUCCACAGCUCUCUGUCUCUGUAGCACGUCGGUGAAAAUACGAUCUGGCUUAGCUGCUCACGAUCGUACGGUUUCCAUUUGACCUUCAAAAAUUUUCACGCAAUACUUAUUUCAUCUAUCAUUAUACGGAAGUGACCUUAAAAAAUAUGGUGAGCAAAUUACCUGGUGCUGCGUGAGAACAUCAAACUCGUUUGUGUAGGCCCUGUAGCGCCUAUCAGGAUUGCCAUGAACGGGCCGCACAUGCUUCCACACAUGAUAGAAUGUGGGACGAGCAUCGUCUCGAUGCCAUGGCUGAAAUUGCAAGGAAGUCCAAUUGGUCAAAUGAUACAAUAGUUUUCCGAACAUUAAAGUAGAAAAAGGAAUUAGCCGUUGUGACUUACAUCGACACGGAGACGGGAAGGUCGACCCACGGGCAUUCGCUCCCAAAUCCAAAUCUGCAGCAUAUAAGUGCACCCUCCAACAUUGGAAUCCCUCGCUGUGCGCCUGCAAGCCUCACAUAGCUGUCUGUGCAGCCAGGCAAGAGCCACUGAGCCCCAACUGUAAAGGGCUAUGUUGUCCCAGUGCUGACCCAAAAUGGGGAGAACCAUCCAAGAUACUGUGUUCCUAGCUGCAUCUGGAAGGAGGAAUGUGCUGACAAAGUGCCAUAGCCAAACUCGAGCAUAGCGCUGCACAACCUCGUCAUUUGCUCCCGGAGGACAGACGUUGAAGUGCUCCCUCAACCAUGCCGAGCUGACACUGGAGGUCUUCUUCGAGUUGUCUCCGUCCUCUGGCUCUGGCGGCCUAAUCCCAAUAUGCAUUUCAACCAUAUCACACCAAUUCUCAUUCUGUAUAAUUCCCGUAACUGGCUGCCCAUCCAGUGGAAGGCCGAGUAUCAUAGCCACAUCUUGCAUUGUGAUGGUCAUCUCUCCGAACGGGAGGUGGAACGUGUGAGUCUCCGGACGCCACCUGUCGACCAUAGCGGUCAACAGCAGUCCGUCCAUUAGAGGGAGACCCCCGACAACCUGAACAGCGAGAUCCAAAAAACCUGCUCUCUGCAGGUACUCUGCGUACCGCUCAUCCCACCUAAGUGGUGAGUGCACCCUAGCCCUGAGUGGUGUCAAAUUCUGCAAAACAUUAUAAGAUUAUUAAAAAAUGAGAUGUCAAUCCAUUUGAGAAUAACGGGCUACUAAAGUGGUAAGUAACACAAAUAUGAUACAAAUGACAUUUCCAGUAUGAAAUUGUUUACACUGUACACAAGCAAAUAGUAACGAUAGGCACAUCCUCAAUUUAUAAGAACAUUUCAUACAAAAAUCUUGCAAUUCUCAUCCUAAGGUAUGCAUUCAUCAGCAAAAAUUAGCAACCAUUGUUAGUAACUGAUGCAGUACCUCAUUUAGGUCCGUGAGGUGGUGGGCACGGUGCUGCAAGUCGUAAGCAGACUCAAGAAGAGGGUACACCGGGGCUGCCAUUCUAAAGAAACAACAAACAAGAUCGUUAGUAAAAAGCUUCAUUAUAUGAUAAGUACGGUAACUAUGAUAAUUUACUACUAUAAAAAAAGAUAAAAUGAUAACCAUGCAAAAUACAAGCAACGCACAUACGCUAUUGUUCGAAGAACGCGACCUAUUACUGCUCGCCCUAGAUUUAGUGCCUUUAGAUUUUCUAUUGCGGCACGUCCAAUUCCUAAUGAUCUUGUGGCACUUGGAGCAACAAUUUUCCGACUUGUCCACAUCAAAAUCACUAGUGUCAUAAUCUACAGAAAGCCUCCCUUCCGACAUGUCCAUGUCGCCUGUGAAACGCUUCUUCUGCCUCCUUCCUACUUUAUUUCUCAUCAAAUUGGGGUUAGGCACGUACCCUACACCUUCAUAUGCCGGCCAUUGUGACGGAUCAAGGUAAGGUUGAAAGUUUGAUUCCCAUAUUUUGAUGGUGUGCUCCCUAGAGUACAACGGUGACAUGUACAAGGGGCUUUCAUAGUUAAGACCUCUUGCCUUGCAAGCUGUAAUGAAGUGUGAACAUGGAAGGUGCAAUAAUUGAGGAACAUUGCAGGUGCACGAAACUUUGUUCAGAUCCACUCUGUAGUGUCGGCCUACAUGACUCUCACCCCCAAUGUUAGUCAUACCGUAACUUCUUAUAGAAUACACCAUCCUUUCUGGUCUGUACGGUUCUGCUAAGUGGUGCACGGAUCUAAGCUCAGCCUCUGAUAAAUAAUUAUCUGCAACUUUCCCAAUUCUAUAGCCUUCAUCCAACAUUUCACGUGCCUUUUGCCAUCGGUUCACAAAGUUCACGUGCCUUUCAGCGACGGGCCUAUUUCGGAUGCCUUUGAAAACUGCGUUGAGUGAUUCCGAGUAGUUCGUGGUCAUAAUACCCCAACGCAUCCCUUCCUCAUCAAAAGCCUGCGCCCGUUUAUCCUUGUCCUCCAUUUCACCCUUCAACCAUUCUUUUGCAUCAUCGUUCAAGUCCUUCACUAGAUCUUCUAACUUCUCACUAAAUUCUUUCUCUGUAUGAACCUUGCAUAAUAACUUCAGUUUUCCAAUCACACGAUUGCUCUUCUACUGACGCGACAUGUUGGCAGCAAAGUGCCUCGUGCACCACCUAUGCACAAGCAGUGAAAAACCAUCCAUGUGGUCCUGCGCACAAUUUAGGAGCCCAUGAUGCCUAUCUGAUAUCAUACACACUAUCCGUGAAGGUCCAAGAACAUGUAGCCGAACAAGUUUCAUAAACCAUGACCAACUCUCAUUAUUCUCACUCUCGGCCAAGGCAAAAGCAAGAGGCACAAGCUGUUAUUCUGGAUCUACACCAACUGCCAUCAUUAAUGUACCCUUAUACUUUCCAGUCAAGAAUGUACCGUCCACAAGUAUCACAGGACGGCAAUGUUGAAAUGCCUCACUACAUUCAGGGAAGCACCAAAAUACCCUUUGCAGUAUAUGCUUCAAAACUCCAUUGUCAGGAUGCAUCAUGCCACAUGAGUCGAUGCACCAUUUAACCCCGGGAUUGUAGUAGGUUAUAGCUGAGAGUACCCUAGGAACCAUGCCAUACGACUCCUUCCAGUCGCCCCAAAGUAGGGCAACGGCGUGUUGCUUCGCUCGCCAAGCCUUCGAAUACUUCACACGGUACCCACUAAAGGCGAAGAUGGACUCCACGAGUGAUGGCACCGAUGUCUCGCUGUCUUUACGGAUAAUGCCUAGGAUACACUGCCCAAGGUACUUUGCUGUGCACUGUACAUGCUCUCGCUUCGGCUAUGACGACCGACAAGUAUGCGGUUGCACAACAUUUGAAAUUCUCCAUUGUCCGGUGCUUGAUAUUAGCCGAGACCAUACACGCCAAUGGCAUCCUUGCUUGCACAUCACAUUGUAUCUUAAGUUCUUGUCAGAGUGAACUACGCUAAAAGGUCUAUGUAACCUCACUGCGUAGUCAGCCAAGAAAAACUUCAGCUCCUCAAGACUAUUGAACUUCAUCCCCUUCUUAAUCACUGGAGUCUCACCAACGGACGUCCCUUCGGCAUUCACCAUACUAGAUUCACAUAUUGCUUUGUGAACCAUAUUGAUGUCCUUAUCAUUGGGAACGGAUGGCAGUUCAACAUCACAUUCUUUUAACAACCGCAACUCGUACUGGGUGUAAGAAAAACAAUCGUCCAUACGACGAAUGCCUUCUACAUCAUGCACGGUUGCAGUGUCAAAUUGCGGUCCAUCCUCUUCAUUUUCUACCCCGUCGUCCUCAUAUUCAUGCCCACCACUGUCAAAUAGUGAUUCCUCCUCUACCUCCAUACAUACUACCCCAUCUUCCUCCAAUUCACAAUCUUCGGAACCCAUAGAGACAUUAUCAACAUCUAUAUUUGCUUCAUCCCUCUCAAAAAUGUUAUUGGGAAAAUCAUCAUUGGCAAUAGCCAAGUCAAAAUCACGUUCUGUUUCACCUAACACGUGAUGCAACAUUUCUGACUCCUGGGUACCAUUAUGGUUCACUACCGCCACUUCCUCCCUCAUGACAACAUUUGGGCCAGGCAUACGAACAAUUUCGACUAUAACCUCCAAACAUGCAACAUUAGCUUCGUGCACUACAUCCUUAUAGUGCUUCCAAUUCACAUCGGAUGCUAACUUCAUGAGAACAUAAUGAGCUCUAGCUUUCCCACAAUCAAAAUGACCUCUCAAACUGAUCUCAUCCACUCUACAUCCAUGCUUCCUCAUUACACGGUCAACUAAAUCACUAAAACUUGGAGGACCCUCGAAGAAUUCAAUUGACUCAUUCAUAUUCUCUAACUCCCUAUUUUGUUUCACAACACCACCAUCAAAAAAUCGAACUAACGAUCCAUCUACAAAAUACAAACAUUUCACCAUGUCAUAUACACUACACAUUGCACAUAUUCGACAUAUCAACUAGACACAUUACAUAUAUUGGACAAAUUGCAAACAAAAAAUAUACAUGUCAUAUCAACUAUACAAUUCAAUGAAUAUAUACCUAUAUCGAAGCAUUCAACAAGUUCUACACGUCAAUAUCGCGGGUAGAGACUCAAUUGCGUAUGAACUACGUAUCAUCUAACACAAAACACCAUUGCAUUUCAUUCAAAAUUGAAAUCACCAACCUAACCCUAAGUCACCUAAACAUCCUCCGAUCUACCAAAUGCAACGGUAAAACACGAGAAAAAGUAGGGGAAUACCUUCCACACGAAGCAGGGAUCGAUUUCCACUACUUUCCCCCCACCAAAAAUGCCGGAUUUUGGGUGGAUUUGGGGGUGGGGUGGCGGGGGGCAGCGAAGCAGCUUCGGGCUCGGGCGAGUCUGGAGGAAGAAGAAAGGAGGGAGGAAGGAGGAAGGGAGCUGGCGCGUGGCUGUAGUGUAGGCCGUGCCGCGCCAGGCGGUCUGGCGCGGCGAGAGCCCGCCCACGUCAGCGCCCACCAGGCGCCGCGACUCGCCGCGCCAGCGUGGCAGGGGCCCGCUGCGCCAGUGCAUGCGGCGCGGCAGCAGCUUCCUGCCGUGCCAGACGGUCUGGCGCGGUCAAAAGGGUUACACGGCGCAAAUUAAAUCCCGGUGAGGUUAUUUUUAAAAAUAAAUUAAAAAAAAGGUUAAAAAUAAAAAAAAGGCGCAUGGAUCUGGCUACACACGCUCCUGGCAGGGUUCGUCCAUUUUGUUGCCCACAUGAUCUUCCAGUUGAUCCCUGCAGGCCGCUCGUGGAACCAUUUUAGAGACAAUAAUUCACUGCCGUGAUUACAAAUCAGGAUCCAGUCAUUUUAUCUGACUGCGAUAUCAACAAGCCCAGGCUGCAAGCACCGAGCACAGGUGAGAGGCUGAGAUGUGAUAAUGCAAAGUCUAAUCUUCUAUAAAGGGGAGAGAAAGUAAAGGAGGCACCAUCACAAUGUAAAUCUACGAUCUGUUUCGUGUUUCCUCACGGAUUAUUCGAGUAGGAGCCGGCCAGUAGCCAAUUACGACAAUAUUAGACUCUGAACCCUCUGUCACUCGGGCGCGUAUUGCUCCCAAUUAUGACAAGCUGUUGCUAUAGACUUGGUGAGCUUUCAUCAACAAUUUAUCGUGUUUUAUACGAAGAGGUACAUACAUGUACAUAGUUGUGCCCUGAAAUUAACAUCUCACGUUCCAAAUGUAGUGAAUUAAUGUGAAUUAUUAUUGAGUACAUCUCAUGUCAUCUUGGUGGUACAUGUGUAUGCUGGUGGUUUAUAGCAGUAAUAAUUAUGAGGCAGGCAAGAAAAAUUUAUUACGAACUAUGAUAUCAGUGGUCAUAGUAGGUUUGCAUUGUACACAAAUUUGAUAACACACCACAAUUUUUCUUUUGCUUCUCUCUGUUGCAACCAGAACCUGUGUUAUGAGCAUGAGCCUCAGAUCACACUACCACUAUUUGCAAAUAUAUGACAUUUUAAAUAAACUAACUUAUCCUAAAUGACAUGUGUUUAAAAUCAGAGCGGACAAAAUUACCAUAUUUGAUUUGAGUCGAUAGUUCGGCUUGAACUCCACUUUAUGUCGCGGAAAGGGAACUGCUUUCUCUACAUAUACGCAGAGGCCACUGCUACGUGCAUUGUUGCAGACAGCCACAUGAUCGUAUUCAAAACCUGUAUACAGACUAGAUGGGCAAUAGAUGGCUCUUAUUCCGUGAGACUGAGACUGACACACUGAUUUUUCAUGGAAACUUGAUCUCCAACAUAUGAUUUCUCAUUUCCUGGUACCACUCAAUCACAAGCAGUGUAACGCUUGCGAAAUUGACAUCACUACUUAGGCGUUGUCAUUUCAGGGUCUAUGUUCAUAUAAGGGACAAGAACUGGAAUAAUGGGGACAUCUGGUACCACUCAAAGUUUGUCAUUUGCAAGCAGGGGCCGAGACUGUAAUAAGUUAUGGUUUCAUUUUCUAGGGAAAAUUGAUGCUCCAUUAUUGAGUCACUCCAAAAGCUGAAGUUUUCAAUUUGUAUUCGGAGUGUCAAUGAUCUCACCUAAUUUAAUUUGUAUUACUUGUUUUUAGGAUAUGGAACAUAUAAAAGUUGCGAUAUGAAACAAAUUUCCAACACUACUGGAAAACGCAAGUUUCCCUACAACUCCACAUCCUAGGGAAAGAUUGAAAAACCGUGGGGGAACGUUUUCCCUAGGAAUUUUUGUAGGAAUUUUCGUAGGGGAAACGUUUUCCCAAGGAAUUUUGAAAUAUCACUCUCGGGUAAUCAGCUUUCCUUAGAACACAUUAGCCUUUCCUAUGGAAAGUAAAUAACCCUAGGGACUUUCGGAUUCUAGUAGUGCAACAUAAAUCUAGCUUGUCAUAUUAUUUUCCAAAGUUCACCUGAAAUAUGAAAAAUAUAUUAGAAAUCAAAGCUUAAGUGUGUCGAACAUGCAUCUUUUCCACUAAUUAUUUUGCAUCACAUGUAGUAUGUUUCACGUGACCCAAUAACUCUCGGGCAACAAACUUGCUAGUAAGAGUUAGGUCCAAAAACUGGGAAAACGUUUGGCAUGCAUAUCUUGCUAGUAAUACCAGAGAUAGACAAAGUCCACGGAGGGGUUCGUCCAUUUUGUUACCUACAUGAUUUUCCACUUGACCAUUGUGGGGGUGAAUCAUUCGCUCCUGUAAUUUUCCAUCAUAUUAUCUGACUGCGAUGAAUAACCCCUCCACUCGAUUUCCCAGUUUUCCCAGCGUCUUACAUUCUGAAUCAAGACAAAGCUAAAUAUUCUCUUUUUGAAAUAGGCUCCUUUCUAAAUAUUUCCAUUGGUUUACCGGUCUGCGGUACUGAGCUUGAAAUGAGAGCCUGAGGGUGCAAAUUCUAAUAUCUGCUGUAAAUUGGAGCGGUUGCAAGUAGUUGAGGGAGGAGCACUUGUUCCCUCUCCACUGACAUGACUAAUUCUGUCAGGUCGUAGUUUGAACCCACCGCAUUAAUGCACAAUGAUUAGUUUUCUCUUGACUACCCAUGAACUGUAACACAAUCCCAAUUUAUUUUUUUUAUUAUGGCUAGUUCAUAUGCAAAUGAUCUCACAUAUGCAUGGCAUUGGUCUUAUUUUUUCGUAAUUACUUUGUAGGUUUGACAUCAAACUUUGACUUAGACCUCGUUUCCAUGUUUGGUGUGAGGUCGUAUAUGUGUAGCACGCCUAACAUGCUGCAUUUAGACCAUAAAAUGGUCAGAACCUAACUAAGCUUCCAAGAGGUACUAAUAACAACACACUAGAACACUCUUGGGCAAAAUGAUUACAGACAAUAACAUAAAUGGAUAAGUAUAUUCAAAUCUUGAUGAAAUUUUCUCCAUUUUUCCCCUUUAGUGGUUAAUCGUUAUUGAUGUGACUGUAACACCACCUGUUGUUUGCAUAUACCAUAAGUAGAUUCGAGGGAAGUCACUGUGCAUUUGAACGCACCACAAGUAUCCCGCCUAACACCAAGCUUAAUGUGCCUCAAGCCUUCCAGUCAGAGCCAGUCCAAAUAGAAGUCAGUGGCCCUGUUUGCUGAAGGCACUGGUUGGAUCAUGGAAAUGAUGGCGGCACACUUGCAUGCCCUUUCUUUCUUGGUGGUGUUUUUUUAAAUCCUUCCUCACGGUCCAAGUGUAGGUAUGGUGUAGCUAUGGUGGUGCACUGGUAGAAACACUAGAAGGUAGGAUCUUGAUAAACCCUCUAUGACAGCUACACAAUUCCAGAUAAAGUACUACGGGGAAAUGCCUAAAAGUAACAAAGCAAAUAAUAUACCAUACCACAUGGUUUUAAUCAUCUGGUACGAUGCUAUAUCCUGAUGCCUCCCAAUCCUCAUUGUCUUCAUUCUACUUAUUUUCCUUGCUUGAUGCCAAUCAAAUAUAGGCUAUAUGGGCAGAAGAAAAGCUGCAUAGGCUGAGAUUAGCGAUGGGAGAUGAGGAUGAGGAUGGGGUGUGUGCGUGUGUUGGGGGGGGGGGGGGGGGGGGGGGGGUAUUUCGUGUGUUUGUGGCAUGUAUACAGAACAUGUAAUUGGCGUGGUGCAUUUUUUUACAGGGCCUUGGAUAUAUUGAAAAUUCUAAUAACUAAUGAAGCUGAAAUGGUUUCCACCGAUGCCCUGUCCAGUCAUUAUGGAUGAGUCUAUUUUUUUUUUACAUUAUAACCUGUGGCAGCCUCAGACAUCUAAAAUUUCAGCUUGUUGCAUGUUGCAGAACUACUACGGACACUGUACCUUGUUUUGAUUUUAGGCAUUAAUUCCGUAGAGAAUUCUGAAGCCUAGAUUAUGUUUAUUAAAAUAAUAAGAUGUAUUGGACACGAAAUUUCCUAAUACUAAGCGUAACAUCUGACAUCGUAAUGUGUUCGUCAUACCAAUUCUUCUUAAAAUAUGAUUGCGAUCAAAAGAUACAAUAUCGAAGAGAACAAUAAAGAGCUGUUUGCCAUUGGCAUUUGCUCAGCUGAUACUAAUAGCUAUCACAACUGGGGUGCAGUUCAAAUCCAUCAUGACUUCUGAACUUGUGGCCACGUUAUCAUUCACUCUACUUGCUUGGAAAAUUACGUAGUGCCUUGUCUACACUCUUCAGCUCUUGCUUUACUAAACACAUUAAUUUGUGCCCUUUUAUAUUUUUUAUUACGUCAAGUAGCUUUUAGUUAAAGUUUACAAACUUUUCAAGAUUAGUCGAAAUAACAUCGUGACAUCUUCAUUGGAUAACGUUACAGCAUGCAUAUCUACCUAUAUACCCAAGCAGAGCAGUAUUUCUUUUCCUUUGUGUUAGUGAAAAUACUGAGUAGUGUGUUCCACGAGAAGGCAGCGUGCACUCAAAUUGCUAAAAUAGAUCCUUUGUCUAGUCCACAAAGUCGAAAAUUUAAAAUAAUUCAGUUAAACUUACACUACGGGAUACAGUAGGGCACUCGGCAAAGCCCCCAAAACACUCGGCAAACGUUUUGUCGAGUGUAGCACUCGGCAUAAAUGUUAACGGCAAAUGCUCUUUGCCGAGUGUUUUUUGUCGGGCACUCGGCAAAAACUUUGCCAAUUGCCCCAAAAACACUUGGAAAAUAGUUUUCAAGAAAAAUAGAAAAAAUAUGUCACCGGCACCACCACACCGUCGCCACGAUGCCCACCGGCACCACCACGCCGCCGCCACACCACCACGCCGUUGCCACCACGCCUGCUGCCGCCACGCCACCACCACACCGCCACCACGCCACAAAGCCGCCCGCCGCCGCCGCCACCACCACCACGUCGUGCCGCCACCACGCUGCCGCUGCAACCAACAUGCCCGCCACAACCACCACACCCGUCGCCGUCGGAUCCGGGAGGGCUUGGAGGGGGGCGGCGCCAACGGAUCCGGGAGAGAGAGGACCGUGAGGGGGGCAGUGGCACCGGGGAAGAAGGGGAGGGGGGGCAGCCCUGGAAGCAAGGGAGGUGGCGGCGCCGGGGAAGAAGGGGAAGAGGGGGCCACCAGGGAAGGAGGGGAGGUGGCGGCGCCGAGGAAGAAGGGGGCACCGGGGAAGAAGGGGAGGGGCGGCACCGGGGAAGCCGGGAGGGGGCGGCGCCGGGGAAGCAGGGAAGGGGACGGUGGCCGGGGAAGAAGGGGAGGGAGGCGGCCGAGGGAAGGAGGCACUGUUUUAUGUGUAAAAAGGUUUGCCGAGUUUGCCGAUAUGGCACUCAGCAAAGAUGAGGCUUUGCUGAGUGCUAGAUCGGGGGCACUCGGCAAAUUUUUUUUUCAUUUUUUCCCUUUUCCUCCUUUUCUUUCUUUUUCAUAACGUGUUCUUCUAUAUUUGUUCCGAUGCACUUUAAAAAUACCUUGUCAAAUUCACUCAACAAUAUAUAUUUGAUUGUUCUACUCAUAUUAUUCCAUUAUUUUAUGCAGUUAUAGCUCAAAUUCUAUAAUUGCACUUAAUAAAUUAAAAUUAUCAAAUGGUUCUAAAAAAUUACUAAAAUUUUACAUGAAACAAUCUAUAUUCUCUAUUGCUUAUACAAAAAGUUUUGUAGUUAAACCACAAUUCGACCAUCACUUUGACUCCAAAUCUUACCAAAUCCUUCUCAACGCUACGAUUCUUCUUUUAAGAUGCUUUGGUUUGUAAACAUCGUAUGUUACAAAAUGUGGGAAACAUUCUCAAUUGUUUACCACGGCCUUCACGUAUGAUAUCAUUACAUCAUGACAAAUCUCAUGAUUAUCACACUUCAUUUUCUUUUUUUAGAAUUUAAAAACCAUUCGGCCACACGUUCAUGGUCAUGUUUUUUGAACAAGAUGUUCAAAAUUUCUUUUCAUUUUCUUGGGUAAGGCCUCACACUGGACUCAAUAACAUGAAUAUCAUUUUUCUACACAUUUUAUUCUAUUAUUUCAAUCACAUGCAGUUCAAAUUUGACUUAUACCAGAAAAAUUCUUGAAAUGCAAUAAAUUAAUUAAAUUUAGCAAACAGAUCGAGAAAUAUACCAAAGUUUAACAUGGAGUACCACAUGUUGUAUGUGGAGAGUAGAAAAAGUUUCAAGGGAAGAAGAGGGAAAAAAUUAUUUUUUUGCCAAGUGUAAAAAAAACACUCGGCAAACCCCCUUGUUUGCCGAGUGCAAUUAUUUUGCCGAGUGUUUUUAGCUCAGCACUUGGCAAAGAGCUUAUUUGCCGAGUGCCCAAGGGAAUGCACUUGGCAAAUAUAAAAAUACUCGGCAAAUUUGAUGUGUCCGGUAGUGUUAGUGGCUCACCAAAGAUAUUGAUCAAACCAAUUUCCAACAGUUACACUGAAACUUAUUUGGGCCACUCAUCCAACAGUAGCUUUCUAUCUUCCUCAUCUCUCUGUCUUCUGUUCCCGAAGCAAUAAUAGCUUGGCUAUAGUGUCGAAGUUUCACACAAAAAAAUCUAUUUAUGUAUAAAAAAGGAUUUUUCUUGUGUCAAUGUGUGAUCGUUGACCGUAAUUAGUAUAUUCAUAUCACGUACAAAGGAGGAGUUCUUGUAUACGCCAUAUAGGCUCCCUUUGGUUGGGCUUUCCAACCUGCUUUUGCUUUUGCAAAAGCCAAAAGCCAACCAAAGGGCCUAAAAGCUCUACGUGCUUUUGCCCAAAAGCUACUUUUGCUCUAGUACAAAAUCAAAAGCACCUUCCCCCUGCUUUCAAGUGCUUUUGGGGUAAAAAAUUACCCACCUGCCACUGGUUAUGAUGUACCCUUUCAUCUAAUUUUUCUCUCCCGCACGCAUAGACCUCUCCUCUCCUCCGUUCACCUGCACAGCGCAUCUCGCCUCCCCUGGCCGCUGGCCUUCCUCCCCUUGCCGCCGGCCGGCCGUCCGCCUCCCCUGGCCGCCGGCGGGCCGUCCGCCGCCCCUGGCCACCGGGCCUCGUGCCGCCGCCCCCAUCGCCCCCGACGGCCGCCGCCUCCCCUGGAGCCCCCAACGGCCGCCGCCCGCUUGACCGCCCGCCGCCGCCGGCCCCAGCGCCCCCCGCCGUCCGCCACCCCCUUGACCGCCCGCCGCCGGCCGUCCUGCCCCUGCUCCUGGUGCCGGGCCCGCGUCGCCCGCCGCCGCCCCUUGACCACCCGCCGCCGCCGCCCCUUGACCGCCCGCCGCCGCCGCCCCUUGACCGCCCGCCGCCGCCGCCCCUUGGGGCCUCCUCAAGGAAAGUACGAGAUGUUGAAUUUUUUGCAUUCAUCUCUUCGUAAUGUCAUUGAAAGGUCUUUUGGAGUCUUAAAGCAGAAGUGGCGUAUUUUGAAGGACAUGCCAAGUUUCUCACCUCGUACUCAGAAACAUAUCAUUAUGGCUUGUCUUGCAUUGCAUAAUUUUAUUCGUGAUAGCAAUUUGUGUGAUAAGGAGUUCAAGAGAUGUGAUGAUGAUGAGGAUUACUUGGUACAACAUACAUGUGGUAUGAGACAAACACAAGGAGAUGAUAGUGAUGAUGUGGACAAUGAGGAUACCAUGAAUACCAUUCGCACUAGGAUAGCUGAUGCUUUGGUUAGUGCGAGAGGAGGAGAGUAAUGUUGAGGGUUGGCAUCCUUGUAUAGAACUUUUUGAUCGAUAUAGUUCUAUUUAUGUGGACCAAUUACUUUAAUGGAUGAAAAACAUAUAAAAUUUAUUUUUUGUUUCUUCCUAAAAUAGUGGUUUACAUUUGAACAAGUGAACGCAUUAUUUUGUUACGAGCAAUUUGCAUAUAAACACACUCACAAACCUUUAGGGGCAUUACAGGUAUUUCUUACACAGCCUACAGUUUCACAGCUCCUCUAACCAAACGGUCUUCUGCUUUUCCCACAGCUGCUUUCUCACAGCUGCUUUUCCACAGCCCACAGCUCACAGCAGCUUUUCCAAAAGCCACAGCCCAACCAAACACACCCAUAGUUUAAUUACUUGAUGUUUGACAAGAACUCAGUCGGUAGUCAUGAUAACAAAACUUCAGGUCCAGAGAAUUCUGAUCGACUAGCUGCAUGAACCAUCUAUCAGAGAAUAAAGGACGGAUCAGAUCAUUCUACCACAGCCAAAGCUUAAGUCUUCCCUGGCUUGCUCGAUUCCCCAUCCACAGGGUCGAAGACCGAGCUAGGCUCCACAGCGGGUUGGAGCACUUUGCUGGGACAAGAGCUUCCAGUUGAAUUCUGGCGUGCAGAAAUUGUGGGGCAACAAAUUCACGACCAUAAUUUUCCAUCUGAAUCCACCGGACUACGCAGCUAUGGUGAUGCCACUCCAUUAUUUGGCACUCUUUUCCAACGUCUCACAUUUUCAAUCAAGAGCAAGCUGAAAAUUGCUUUCCAAAACAAAAAAUAGUCCUUCCUCUCUCUCAGGCUCAUGUCUUACCCAGUAUGAAGGAACUGAGCUGGAAGCAGACUAGAGAGGGCGAGAGGGCAAUGACAUGUCUGUGUUGAACAGGAGAGGAAGGAGAUAGGGGAGGGAUUGGAUAUGUUGCCUCUAUUAUCAUUACGAGACGUGUUACGGUCUUACGGUGCUUCAGAGGUACCCAUGGUACCCUUCCCUCGAAAAUAUAGACAAACCCUUGAUCGUAAAAGGCAAUUUAGAAAAGGAAAUUAUUUUCUUUCAUAUGGGUAAAUUAGGAAAUGUCCAUAUGUGGUGAAUGCAGUGCGAAUCAUCUGGCCUGGCAGUGGGCUCUGCGAUAGAGCAACAUGGACUUUGCUGGUAAGAUGUCGGGCAACACAUCGACGUGGGAUUGAUUUUCCGCUAGGGAGAGUCACCAUUGCCGCGGUCCACGGAGGCACUCCCGGCAAACACCCGCUUAAGAACGCAGGCCAUUCGUGGGCUUGCGGGGUGGUGUAGAUCAGCGGGUUACCUGCAUAGUCUGCUCCACCUGCACCGCUACUACAAUCCAGAGCAGGCAUACCCAAGGUCGUCUGAAGGGUUUUCCCAAUGCCAUCCAUCCCUAUGGAAAGAUUGUAAAUUACACUAAGUAGAGAAUUGACCUUUAGUCCCGGUUGGUAGGGUGCAUAUCUCCCGAAAAUCCAUCCGAGAUAAACCAACUGGGAUAAAAGGGGGGGUCUUUAGUCCCGGGUCUUUUAACCGGGAGUAAAGGUCACCCUUUAGUCCCGGUUGGUGACAUAGUCCCGGUUGGGUUUCCCAACCGGGAGUAAAUGGUUACCCUUUAGUCCCAGUUGGAUUUCCCAACCGGGACUAAAUGGCGCCCUGCAUGACGCCUGAAAUUUUCAUGCAUCAGGUACGUAGUACCGCGGUCCUUUUGUUAACCUUUAGUAGUUGAGAUUUUUUUUAUAAUGAAAUCAACUAGUAUUUAAACGAAUGAAAUUUGUAAUUAUACAAUUACUAUAUAUAUACACAAUUCAACUAGUACAAAUCGAUCUUAAUUAGCGUGUAUUAUAUAUACAAAUAAAUAAAACUAUAUAUCUACAAUCUUCACGUCGAGGUGUUGCUCGGAGCGUCUAAUUGUCGUCCAUUAUAAUAAAAUUCUCCUUUUGAAUUUACCACCUCGUCCAUUAGGAAUCCAAUGAGACCUUCACAUAUUGCCGCUACUCUUUCUUCCUUCAAGACUCCUUGUUGAAUAUUGAACAUCUAUAAUUUGGAAAUUUGUGAAUAUAACACGAACAAUUAAAUAUAAGGAGCUAGAAAAUAAUUAACUAGUAAUAGUUUUAUUUUAUGUACUUUAAAGUUGUGCGGUGUCAUCUUUAGUCCCUUGGGUCCCAUAAAAUUGUGCAUGUGCUCACAGAUGUAGUAGCCACAUAGAUUAUUCUCGGGUUCCUGUCUUAAGCACUUCAGUGAGGAAAAAAAUAAGUUACGAAAUAUUCAUGUUAUACAAUGUAAUAAAUGUGCAGACUUCAUACAUACCAGGAAGUCUAUGUUCCAUGUCAGUUUUUCUUUGAAUGGACCUUUGUGUGUCCUUAUGAAUUGUUUCCAUGCGCUGCGGAUCAGAAUAAUGAAUGAUAUAGUGUAACAGGGAUAUUACAAGCCUAGCAAAAGGUCCAGAAUUAUUACAAGCCUAGCAUGUCUUGCAUGUCUUGGUACUCCCCCGGAUCUUUCCUCAACGAAUCGAAGACAGUGACGUGGCUUCUUUCAGGCUCAAUUAUAAUAAGGAUCCAGUGGAAGCUGCAUACGUAAAAUGUUCAUGCAUAUUAGAGCUAACUAACAUUAAUCAGGUAAGGAAAAAGACAACGAAAGUAGACGGUAUACACUCACUUACUUGAAGUUGUAUGGAAGUAGUAUGAAAUCCUUGAAUGUUUGUUUGUCUAGGAAAUUGUAUACUUCCACCAUGGUUUUUUCCGGCGAUAAUUGUAUCUAUUUUUGGUUAACUACAGAUGGAUCCAUGAAGCCUAUAUGUAGGUACGCCUCUCGUCGGCACGUCUGAAUUAGCAUCCUACAUAAAAUGGAAGACGAAGUUAGUACGAUGACGCACGCCAAAAUUUACAUGUAGAGAUAAACGGACACUUACAGAACCCAAGCGCUAAUCAGAGAGAUGUCCAGGGCAUCAUGAUGGUACACUUCAUAUAUAUCCUUGAAGUCUAGCCACAACACUUUCUCGCCUUCGCCGUAAAAAUCUAUCGAUUUUACCUUAAGGUCGAACAUCUCCCUUGAGUCAGCGGACGUCAUCAUGUACCAUUGAUGGAAUUCGUACAUCUUUGUUGAUAGCUUCCGUACCAACGAAGGCCUCACAAGAGGUUUGCCUAACUCAUAAGGCCAUCUCGGCUCAGGGGGUGAUGCAGUUGGCGUCUCAACAUGCCCUAAAGAUUCAUCAAGUCCCAGACAUGUUUCUUGCAUGAAUUUCAAUACUUCUGCUUGUUGAUCCAAGGGCAUUGCUACUAUCCUUUGAGUGUCUUAUUUUGAUAAAUGCCUGAGGUCGGGGACAGCACCACUAGAAGAUGACUUUCCUUUCCUUUUGUCCUUUUCAUUAGCCUUUACUAAAGCCCGUUCAUAGUUUGAUAAGAGUGGUAUCCUUUUCUUAGCUCCUUCUUCCAUCAUGAUAAAAAAGUUUAAAUCUCUUCGAUUUACUGGCGGUGGCUCCAUCUCCCUUGUUUUUUUUCUUCGGCUUGUUUCUUGAACCACUCACUAGCCUCUCGUUGGAUUUCUGCUCACUGUUCCACAUGAGUCAUUGCCUCCCAGCGUUCCUUAUGAGUCACUUCAGGCUCCUUUGUUUUCUUCUUUCUCUGUCUUUGCUUUGGAGGCUGUGCUCGUGACUUCUUUAGUGGUGUUGUAGGUUCCUUCAUGGGGGCUGCUCUUGGUCCCGGCGACUGUGAUCGGGGAGGGGUGUUGUUAUUAUCGUCGUCGCUCCCACCACCAGGAUGUGGUGGAGAUGGAGACCUUGAUAUAGCAGGAAGUGAUGGUCCUGGAGCAGGUUGUGCAGGAGAUGACGGUCUCGAGCUAUGAGGAGAAGGUCGCUGCUGGGGAUCUACGGGAAGCGGUCUUGAGCUCUGAGGAGAUGGCUCCGUGCCGGGAAUGAUGAUGUAGCAUUUUCGCCAUAGAAUGAUCCCAUGAAGAGCAUCUGCCAGUGUCCCUUCCCCGUCGCCUCCCGGGAGGUCAAGCUCUAGGCCUUCAUAUUAGCUAUCAACAAUUUGCUUUACGCGGACGCUGGUGUAGCCAGGUGGAAUCUCCAUGCCAUGACUGCUCUGCCCCGCUAGGGUUGCUAACGCACUCCUGUACGCUACCUGUACAUAUAGCAGAAGUAAACAAGUUAUUAAACUCCGAUCACGAGGCGUGGAUCAAUUGACAAGAUUGCAUAAAUAUUAUAUGUAAGUAUACCUUAAUAGUGAGGUUGCCGACCGGUGCAGCUCACAUGUGGUGCGUUGCGUGAUGGCAUCCACAGGGAACCGUUGCUCCUCCACGGGUAACCUGGGCGUCUGCGAAUCGGGGACCCCUGUACAAGCACAACUUCUCAAGAGGCGUUGAGAAGGGCUGGCGUAGUUUGGAUUCGGCAAUGCUCCAGAUUGGGCCAACUCCGCAACUACGUGGGCCACUCGACGAUUUAUUUCCUCCAACAUUCUUUCUUCUUGUGCCUGCACUUUGGAUUCUAGUAUCUGCUGCCAGCUCUCCUCGAUCUGUUCCUUUCUUUGCUUGCGGAUUCUGUACGAUGCGUUGUCGCCUCGGAAAGCAAACUUCCACGGAAUGACCCCGAACCCUCAGCAACGUCCUGGGUGCUCGGGAUUACCGAGGGCCAAUGUGAGCUCAUCAUUCUCUCGGUCCACCUUCAACCUCCCAGCCUUAGAAUCUUCAGUGUUCUUCAUAAGACGUUCGGCCUUCUCACGUAUUGUGUCAUUGAAAAUCAACGUCCCAUCCUCUUGGCUCAGGGAACCUCCAUGAGCGUAAUACCAAUUUUUUGAUUGUUUGGGCCAUUCAAUAGUUGCAGGUAGGAUUCCCCGUUCGAUCAGAUCUUGUUCCAUCUUCCUCCAUUUGGGAAUUGCUGUGCCAUAACCACCUCGCCCUAGAUGAUGAUGGUAGCCCUUCUGCCCAGCAUUUGUAGUGUUGGUCUGGAUCUUUUUCACACCGUCUUCACUCCUCUUAUAUUCAACAAAUGCCUCCCAGUGGUCCCUCAACUUUGGCCACACAUUGAAGUCUGGAGUUCGGCCCUUCUUAAUGUAGUUGGCAUCCAGCAUCUUCUUGAAUUUCUAGAAUUGUGUAGCCAUCUUCUUCAGCGUCCACGCUUUCACAUCCUUUUCAAUAUAUCCUUUGGGGAAUGUGAAAUGUCUCUUGACAUCUUCCCACAGCAUAUUCUUUUCUAUCUCUGGGAGGGUGUACGGAUUAGUUCUUCUGCCCUUCCAUUUUAUGAUGCUGAUAGGCACGUUGUCCCAGACGAUUGCUCCGAUCUCACUCACGUACUUCUUUGCUACUUUCUUCGGAGCAACCGGCCUGCCCUCUUCUGUCACUUCCAUGAUGACAAGCCUCCCUUCCAUCACCUUUGUACGACCUCGGGUCUUCUGCCCUUGCGUCGAUCCAGAGGGCUAACAGUUCAAGAUUCGUUAAUUAGUACGUAGUAGUAACGGUGGCGUGAAACAAUACAAUUUAUAUAUACCUCUCCGGAACCUUCCGCCAUGGCAAGGUGUUGCUGGGGCUCAUGCUCUUCAUUCCCAUCGGCGGACAUGUUGAGGAACAUGUCCGCCUGGGUGCCCUCUUCAUCGGUGUAUGAUAUUGGAAGGUUGUCGCCACUACCAUCACCAGCGAUUAUCUGCUCCAUGAGAUACCUUGCGGUCUCAUCGUCUGCCAUUUCAACUAUUGAUUGAAACAUACAUGGAAUCAUACAUGACAGUCAUAGAAAUCGCCUUAGCUACAUAAGGGUAUAUACAUGAAAUCAUAAAAUAACAUGAAUCCCACAAAGUCCGGAAUGUUUAUACAAAUUUCAACAAAUUAGUAGUACUUUGUACGAAUUUCUACCAAAUUUCUACUAAUUUAUACAUAUUUAUUGGAAUUUCUAGCAAAUUCCUAAUAAUUCCUACAAAUUUUACAAUAACAUGAAUCCCACAAAGUCCGGAGUGUUUAUACAAAUUUCAACAAAUUAGUAGUACUUUGUACGAAUUUCUACAAAAUUUCUACUAAUUUAUACAUAUUUAUUGGAAUUUCUUGCAAGUUACUACUAAUUACUACUAUUUAUUACUAAUUUGAUUUUCUAACUAAUAUACAAAUAUCUAUUGAUUUUCUAACUGAUUCGUUCCUAGCGCCACUACCGGCGGACCUCGCGCAGUCGACGGUGCCUAGGUUGGGCGACGAGGUGGCCAGGGCGGUGGGACGGCAGCGGCCGUGGCGGCGGGAUGGCGGAGGCGGGGACGGAGCGAGGUGGCCGCGGCAAUGACUAAUUUCUAACCUAGGCGGAGCCCUUCGUAACCCGGGACUAACUAAUUACUACUAAUUUCCACUAAUUUGAUUUUCUAACUAAUAUACAAAUAUCUAUUGAUUUUCUAACUAAUUACUACUAAUUUCUAUUUAUUUUCUAACUAAAAACUAAAAAAGGCCCUUGCUGACGCAAGCCGGUGGGCUUGCGUCAGCAAGAGGGGUACGUUCCCGGCGCCAGUGCCGGCGGACCUCGCGUGGUCGACGGUGGCCAGGGUGACGAGGUGGCUGGGGCGGUGGGACGGCGGCGGCCAGGGUGGCGGGACGGCGGAGGCGAGGACGGAGCGAAGCAAACGUCGAACGGAGGCGGCCGGCGACGAGGGGCGACGAGUCGGCGCGCGCGACAGAGGCAGUGACGAGGAGGCCCCGCGACGGACGAGGGCGCGGCGGCGACAGAGGAGGUGGUGUUGACGGAAGGCGGUGACGAGGAUGGAGGCGGCGACGAGGCCCCGCGAUGGAGGUGGCCAGCGGCGAUGAGCUCGAGGGGGCGCGAUGGAGGAGGAUUGAGGCGGGCCGGGGCGAUAGAGAAGGAGGCGGUCAGGUGGCGGGACGACGAUGGCCGGGGCAAUGGGGGACGACGACGACGGCGGCCAGCGAGGGAGGCGGACGGGCGGCGACGGAGCAGGAGCGCGGGAUCUUGGCGAAAUUUUGGCUAAGUGUAAAUGGUGUGGGGGGUAGAAGAGGCUACAGUGCCUUUUAUCCCCCCCCCUUUUAUCCCGGGACUAAAGGCACUUUUGUCCCAGGUCCCAUUACCAACCGGGACAAAAGGGUACAACCACUUGGCGGGACUGGAAACCUACCCUUUUAUCCCGGGUGCCAACACCAACCGGGACAAAAGGGCCCUCCUUUUAUCCCGGUUGCUAACUGUAACCGGAAUAAAAGGGUACGUCCCCGACGGGAAUCGAAAAAUACCCUUUUAUCCUGGUUGCAGUUGUCAACCGGGACAAAAGGGGGGCCUUUUGUCCCGGUUUCAAUUGGCACCCGGGAUAAAAUAUCCUUUUCCCAUACUUUCAUCUCCCGCCUAUUUUUUUGAAAAAAAAGAUUUUAUUUAUAUUUUCACUGCAUUUGAGGAUGCAAAAACAAAAAACUUCACAUAUUUUGUACAUGCAAAAAUAUAUUUAAUUAGCGAGUAUAUAGACAAUAAGUGUGAUUUAGUCAUUAAUUCUAUACCAGUUCGUUUAGCCUCUAAAAUAUUUAUUUUACUGCAUCACAGUGAUCAAGAAAUUAUUCAAUUAAAUAAUUUCAACGCAAAAAAAAUCCAUGUAUGUAUGUGGUUAACAUUGUUCAUGUUUAUCUAAUAAAUCCUCACCUAACAAAUUUAAGAACACAUGAAAUCAUACAUAGGGUAAAUUAAAAAUUGUAUCAAGUACUACACAAAGGACAUGUAAAUUUAGCGCAUUACAAUUGUAAAAUUUCUUCUUCACGAAAGUGCCUUGAUCAUGAUCGCGGCGUAAGUACGGAGGCUCUUCUUUGGAUAGCAGGAUGCUUGGAUCAACUUCAACUGCGAAUGGAGGCAUGCCAUCAAACUGAUCAUAAUCAUCUGAUUGGUCUGUUUUAUCCUCGACUCCCACGAUCUUUCUUUUACCUGGAAGAACUAUGUGGCACUUUGGCUCCCAUAUCUCUUCUGGAUUUCUCUUGGGUUUGCUACACAUGUCCUUCACAUAGAACACCUGAUGCACAUCAUUGGCAAGUACGAAUGGGUCAUCACUGUAUCCAGUCUUGCUGAGAUCUACUAUUGUCAUUCCGUACUGAUCUUUGGUUACGGCAAUUAGCUUCACCCAAUUGCAAAGAAAUAGAGGGAUGUACAGCGGUCCGUAUUCGAGUUCCCAUAUCUCCUGUAUGAAACCAUAAUACGACUCUUUGCUAUUAUUUCUAUCUAUAGCAUCUAUGCGGACACCACUAUUCUCGUUCAUGCUUUUUUGGUCCUGGGCUCUCGUGUAAAGUGUAUAACCAUUUAUCUCAUAGCCUUGGAAUUUCACGAUUGUGCUAGCAGGUCCCCUGGCUAACCAAGCAAGCUGUGGGUGAAUCUCAGAGUAACCCAUAAGUUGUUGGCGCAACCAGGAGGAAAAAGUUUCCAUGUGAUGAUGGGUAAGCCAAGCAUCGGAUUUGGUCGGGUUUUUGAAAACUACCAUCUACCUGUGCUCCUCGAUAUACGGAGACACAAAGGAUGACUGUUGUAGAAUAAUGUAGUGUGCCUUGUCGAACAAAUCAGUAUCAUUGCUGAAACUUGAUUUCCUUCCAAGGGUGCCCAUUCCCCGGAGCCUCCCCUCGUGGCGUGAAGUUGGAACCCCAAUCGAGUCAAUUGAAUCAAUAAAAUCAACACAAAACUCAAUCACCUCCUCUGUUCCAUAUCCCUUGGCGAUGCUUCCUUCUGGACGGGCGCGAUUAAGAACAUAGUUUUUUAGGACUGCCAUGGACCUCUCGAAAGGCCACAUAUUGUGCAGGUAUACAGGUCCGAGAAUAUACCAAUCUCUUUUACUAGGUGAACCAGUAAGUGCAUCAUAAUAUUGAAGACGGAUGGUGGAAAUAACAACUCAAAACUGACAAGACAUUGCACCACAUCGUUUUGUAGCUUUGAUAGCUUGGAUGGAUCGAUUGCCUUCUGUGAAAUCGCAUUGAGUAACGCGCAUAGCUUUACGAGCGGCAACUGGACAUUUUCUGGUAGAACACCCCUCAGUGCAACCGGAAGCAACUGGGUCAUCAACAUGUGGCAGUCAUGGGCCUUGAGAUUUGUAAACUUCUUUUUUUUCAUAUUUAUUAUUCCCUUUAUAUUCGAGGAGUACCUAGACGGGACCUUCAUACUAUUCAAGCAUUCAAACAUGCUAUCCUUCUCUUUCUUGCUGAGAGUGUAACUGGCAGGACGUAAGUAGUGCUGUCCAUUAUCUCUCUUUUCCGAAUGUAGGUCGUCUCGUUGCCUCAUGGCUUUCAGGUCCUGUCGUGCUUCCAAUGUAUCUUUCGAGGUCCCAUAAACACCCAUGAAGCCUAGCACGUUCACGCAAAGAUUCUUCGUCAGGUGCAUCACGUCUAUUGCGUUGCGAACCUCUAGGAUUUCCCAAUAAGGUAGCUCCCAAAAUAUUAACUUUUUCUUCCACAUGGGUGCAUGUCCCUUAUCGUCGUUCGGAACAGGUUGGCUACCAUGACCCUUUCCAAAGACUACAUUUACAUCCUUCAUCAUCUCGAAGACACGCUUUUCAUUAUGGUGUGCAUGUUUUUUACGAUGGUGUGGCGCCCCUUUGAAAUGCAUCCCGCUCUUUCUCAGCUGGUGGUGAGCAGAGAGAAAUCGAUGAUGACCCAUAUAGACGACCUUCUUACAGUGCUUCAAAUACAUGUUGUCUAUGUCGUCUAUAUAGUGGGUGCAUGCCCGAUAUCUCUUAUUUGUCUGUCCCGAAAGGUUACUCAGUGCAGGCCAAUCAUUGAUGGUUACGAACAACAGUGCUCAUAGAUUAAAGAUCUCUUGUCUAUCCUCAUCCCACACACGUACACCUUCUUCCUUCCAGAGCUAUAAAAGGUCAUCAACCAACAGUCUUAGGUACACGUCAAUGUCAUUGCCGGGUUGUUUUGGGCCUUAUUGAAUUGGAUAAGUUCAACAAGUAGCAGAAACCAUCCAUGUACAAAAAUUCUUUCCUUAGCACUGCGGAAGUUGUUGAACUUGAAGACCGUGAUCAUCUCGCAAGCAUGUUCUCAACUGGGCGGCACCGCACUUCAUCAUGAACGAGGUUCGAUGCUACGGAAAAGGGGACACGGUCAUGAUGUCUGUAUCCACUCUUUCUCGUAGAAUCGAACCUCCUUCUUGACAUACGUUGCUACUCAGCGGAGAACAUCCUCGCCGAGAUGAACACGGUUUGCAAGUUCAACAAGUAUGGAUUUGAAAAACGUUAUUGAAUUUGAUAAGAUAAACCGUCUAGACAAGGUAGCAUCAUUCUUAAACCACUGCAAGAAUACAUACUAUAUAUGACACAUCAAUCUCCCUCACAUUCUAGCUCAAAAUACCUCUCCAUUUUCUACUUCAUCACAUUCUAGCAAUUAAUCUUUCCAUCUCCAAAGCAUAAAUCAAAGCAUAACACGAGGAUGAAGUAGCAAACCUUCACAACACUUGUGUUGGCUGAGUGAAAUUCCCACGAAAAUGAGGGAAAAAACUUCGGGCAGCACCUCCCUUGCUUCGGCACCACCGGAGAGUAGGUGAAGCUCUGCUCUCUGUCUAUGUGCUGGACUGGCUCGGGCUGGAGAAGGAAGAAAGACCUCUGUCUUGGUAUAUAAUGGCGAUGAGUUUUUAUCCCGGUUCACGCCAUGAGGGAAGACUCCGAGGAAUGGGCACCCUUGGAAGGAAAUCAAGUUUGAGCAAUGAUACUGAUUUGUUCGACAAGGCACACUACACUGUUCUACAACAGUCAUCCUUUGUGUCUCCGUAUAUCGAGCAGCACAGGCAGAUGGUAGUUUCCAAAAACCCGACCAAAUCCGAUGCUUGGCUUACCCGUCAUCACAUGGAAACUUUUCCCUCCUGGUUGCGCCAACAACUUAUGGGUAACUCUGAGAUUUACCCACAACUUGCCUGGUUAGCCAGGGGACCUGCUAGCACAAUUGUGAAAUUCCAAGGCUAUGAGAUAAAUGGUUAUACAUUUUACACGAGAGCCCAGGACCAGAAGAGCACGAACCAGAAUAGUGGUGUCCGCAUAGAUACCAUGGACAGAAAUAAUAGCAAGUAGUCGUAUUAUGGUUUCAUACAGGAGAUAUGAGAACUCGAAUACGGACCGCUGUACAUCCCUCUAUUUCUUUGCAAUUGGGUGAAGCUAACUGCCGUAACCAAAGAUCAGUACGGAAUGACAAUAGUAGAUCUGAGCAAGACUGGAUACAGUGAUGACCCAUUCGUACUACCAACAAUGUGCAACAGGUGUUCUAUGUGAAGGACAUGUGUAGCAAACCCAAGAGAAAUCCAGAAGAGACAUGGGAGCCAAAGUGCCACAUAGUUUUUCCAGGUAAAAGAAAAAUCAUGGGAGUCGAGGAUAAAACAGACCAAUCAGAUUAUUAUGAUCAGUUUGAUGGCAUGCCUCCAUUCGCCGUUGAAGUUGAUUCCAGUAUCCUGCUAUCCAAAGAAGAGGCUCCGUACUUACGCCGCGAUCAUGAUCAAGGAACUUUUGUGAAGAAGAAAUUUUACAAUGUUGUAUUGUAAUGCGCUAAAUUUACAUGACCUUUGUGUAGUAAUUGAUACAAUUUUUAAUUUACCCUAUGUAUGAUUUGAUGUGUUCUUAAAUUUGUUAGGUGAAGAUUUAUUAGAUAAACAUGAACAAUGUUAACCACAUACAUACAUGGAUUUUUCUGCGCAUUGAAAUUAUUUAAUGGAAUAAUUUCUUGAUCACAGCGAUGUAGUAAAAUAAAUAUUUUAGAGGCUAAAUGAACUGGUAUAGAAUUAAUGACUAACUCACACUUAUUGUCAAUUUACUCGCUAAUUAAAUAUAUUUUUGCAUGUACAAAAUAUGUGAAGGUUUUUGUUUUUCAUCCUGAAUUGCAGUGAAAAGAUAAAUAAAAUCCAUUUCCAAAAAACAGGCGGGAGAAGAAAACUGGGAAAAGGAUCUUUUGUCCCGGGUGCCAACAGCAACCGGGACAAAAGGCCCCCCUUUUAUCCCGGUUGCAAACUGCAACCGGGAUAAAAGGGUACUUUUCGACACCCGCCGGGAUGUACCCUUUUAUCCCGGUUGGUGAGGGGACCCGGGACAAAAGGCCCUUUAGUCCCGGGUGCCAUUACGAACCGGGAUAAAAGGGGGGGUUAAAAGGCACUGUAGCCCCUUCUACCCCCCACGCCAGUUAUACUUAGCAAAUUUUUCACCAAGAUCCCGCGCGCACUCUGCUCCGUCGCCACCCGUCCGCCUCCCUCGCCGGCCGCCGCCGUCGUCGUCCCCCAUUGCCCCGGCCGUCGUCGUCCCGCCGGCCGACCGCGCCCAGACAGCCUCCUCCUCCAUCACCCCGGCCCGCCUCGAUCCUCCUGCAUCGCGCCCGGCCCCUACCUCAUCGCCGCCGGCCACCUCCAUCGCGGGGCCUCGUCGCCGCCUCCAUCCUCGUCGCCCCGGGUCGCCGCCUCGUCGCCCCUCGUCACCCCUCGUCGCCGCCUCAUCACCGUCCUGCCUCCGCCGUCUCACCGUCCCGUGCGCCUUCGCUCCGUCGUCGCCUCCGCCGUCCCGCCGCCCCGGCCGCCGCCGUCCCGCCGCCCUGGCCACCUCGUCGCCCCGGCCACCGUCGACCGUGCGCGAGGUCCGCCGCGCCGGCACUGACGCCGGGAGUACCGCCUUGCUGACGCAAGCCCACCGGCUUGCGUCAGGAAAGGCCUUUUUUUUGAAGUUAGCAAAUAAAUAGAAAGGAGUAGUAAUUAGGUAGAAAUUCAAUAGAUUUUUGUAUAUGUGUUAGAAAAUCAAAUUAGUGUAAAUUAGUAGUAAUUAGUAGUAAUUAGGUUCGUCGCUCCGCCUAGGUUAGAAAUGAAUCGUGUUUCGUCGUGGUUCCAUCCCCGCCUCCGCCGUCCCGCCGCCCUAACCUAGGCACCGUCUGUGGUUCCGUCCCCGCCUCCGCCGUUCCACCUCCGUCGCAAAUUCAUGUUAUUGCUAGAAAUUCCAAUAAAUAUGGACAAAUUAGUAGAAAUUUGGUAGAAAUUAAUCGUUGCUGCGGCCACCUCGCUCGGUCCCCGCCUCCACCGUUCCGCCGCCCCGGCCUCCACAAAUUCAUGUUAUUGCUAGAAAUUCGUAAAAAUUCAUGUUAUUGCUAGAAAUUUGUACAAAAUUCAUGUUAUUGCUAGAAAUUCGUACAAAUUCAUGUUAUUGCUAGAAAUUCAUCACAAAGUACUACUAAUUUCAGAAAUUUGUAAAAAUAUUCCGGACUUUGUGGGAUUCAUGUUAUUUUAUGAUUUCAUGUAUAUACCCUUAUGUACAUAUAACUAAGGCGAUUUCUAUGACUGUCAUGUAUGUUUCAAUCAAUAGUUGAAAUGGCAGACGAUGAGACCGCAAGGUAUCUCAUGGAGCAGAUAAUCGCUGGUGAUGGUAGUGGCGACAACCUUCCACUAUCGUACACCGAUGAAGAGGGCACCCAGGCGGACAUGUUCCUCAACAUGUCGUAACACCUUGCCGUGGCGGAAGGUUCCGGCGAGGUAUAUAUAACGAUUCUUGUAUUGUUUCACGCCACCGUUACUACUACGUACCAAUUAACGAAUAUUGAACUGUUAGCCCUCUGGAUCGACGCAAGGGCAGAAGACUCGAGGUCGUACAAAGGUGAUGGAAGGGAGGCUUGUCAUCACGGAAGUGACAGAAGAGGGCAGGCCGUUUGCUCCUGAGAAAGUAGCAAAGAAGUACGUGAGUCAGAUCAGGGCAAUCGUCCGGGACAACGUGCCUAUCAGCAUCAGAGAAUGGAAGGGCAGAAGCACUAAUCCGUACACCCUCCCGGAGACAGAAAAGAAUAUGCUGUGGGAAGACGUCAAGAGACAUUUCACAUUCCCCGAAGGAUAUAUUGAGAAGGAUGUGAAAGCGUGGACGCUUAAGAAGAUGGCUACACAAUUCCAGACAUUCAAGAAGAUGCUGGAUACCUACUACAUUAAGAAGGGCUGAACUCCAGACUUCAACGUGUGGUCAAAGUUGAGGGACCACUAGGAUGCAUUUGUUGAAUAUAAGAGGAGUGAAGACGGUGUGAAAAAGAUCAUGACCAACACAACAAAUGCUAGUCAGAAGGGCUACCAUCAUCAUCUUGGGCGAGGUGGUUAUGGCUCAGCAAUUCCCAAGUCGAGGAAGAUGGAACAAGAUCUGAUCGAACGGGGAAUCGUACCGGCAACUAUUGAAUGGCCCGAACGAUCAAAAAAUUGGUACUACGCUCAUGGAGGCUCCCUGACCCAAGAGGAUGGGACGUUGAUUUUCAAUAACACAAUACGUGAGAAGGCCGAACAUCUUGUGAAGAACAUUGAAGAUUCUAAGGCUGGGAGGUUGAAGGUGGACCGAGAAAAUGAUGAGCUCACAUUGGCCCUCGGUAAUCCGGAGCACCCAGGACGUUGCUGAGGGUUCGGGGUCGUUCCGUGGAAGUUUGCUUUCCGAGGCGACAACGCCUCGUACAGAAGCCGGAAGCGAAGAAAGGAACAGAUCGAGGAGAGCUGGUGGCAGAUGCUAGAAUCCAAAGUGCAGGCACAAGAACAAAGAAUGAUGGAGGAAAUCAAUCGUCGAGUGGCCCACGCAGUUGUGAAGUUGGCCCAAUCUGGAGCAUUGCUGAAUCCUAACAACGCCAGCCCUUCUCAACGCCUCUUGAGCAGUUAUGCUUCUACAGGGGUCCCCGAUGCGCAGACGCCCAGGUUACCCGUGGAGGAGCAACGGUUCCCCGUGGAUGCCAUCAUGCAACACACCACAUGUGAGCUGCAUGCACCGAUCAGCAACAUCACUAUUAAGGUAUACUUAUACAUAAUAUUUAUGCAAUCUUGUCAAUUGAUCCACGCCUCGAGAUCAGAAUUUAACUUGUUUACUUCUACUAUAUGUACAGGUAGCGUACGGGAGUGCGUUAGCAACCCUGGCGGGGCAGAGCAGUCAUGGCAUGGAGAUUCCACCUGGCUACGCUAGCGUCCGCGUAGAGCAAAUAGUUGAUAGCCAAUAUGAAGGUCUAGAGCUCGACCUCCCGGUAGGCGACGGGAAAAGGACACUGGCAGAUGCGCUUCAUGGGAUCAUUCUAUGGUGAAAACGCUACAUCAUUAUUCCUGGCACGGAGCCAUCUCCUCAGAGCUCAAGACCGCUCCCCGUAGAUCCCCAGCAGCGACCUUCUCCUCAUAGCUCGAGACCGUCAUCUCCUGCACAACCUGCUCCAGGACCGUCCCUUCCAUCUAUAUCAAGGUCUCCAUCUCCACCACAUCCUGGUGGUGGGAGUGAUGACGACAAUAACAACACCCCUCCCCGAUCACCAUCGCCGGCACCAAGAGCGGCCCCCAUGAAGGAACCUGCACCACCACUAAAGAAGUCACGAGCACCGCCUCCCAAGCAAAGACAGAGAAAGAAAAAAACAAAGGAGCCUGAAGUGACUCGUAAGGAAUGCUGGGAGGCAAUGUCUCAUGCGGAACAGUGGGCGGAAAUCCAACAAGAGGCCAGUGAGUGGUUCAAGAAACAAGCCGAAGAAAAAAAAGCAAGGGAGAUGGAGCCACCACCAGUAAAUCAAAGAGAUUUAAACUUUUUUAUCAGGAUGGAAGAAGGAGCCAAGAAAAGGAUACCACUCUUAUCAAACUAUGAACGGGCUUUAGUAAAGGCUGAUGAAAAGGAUAAAAGGAAAGGAAAGUCAUCUUCCAGCGGUGUUGUCCCCGACCUUAGCCAUUUAUCAAAAAAAGAUGCUCAACGGGUAAAAGCAAUGCCCUUGGAUCAACAAGCAGAAGUAUUGAAGUUCAUGCAAGAAACAGGUCUAGGACUUGAUGAAUGCCUAGGGCAAGUUGAGACGCCAACUGCACCGCCUCCUGAGCCGAGAUGGCCUUAUGAGCUAGGCAAACCUCUAGUAAAGCCUUCAUUGGUACGGAAGCUAUCAACAAAGAUGUACGCAUUCCAUCAAUGGUACAUGAUGGCAUCCACCGACUUGAGGGAAAUGCUCGGCCUGAAGGUAAAACCGAAAGAUUUUCAUGGCGAAGGCGAGAAAAUGCUGUGGCUAGACUUCAAGGAUAUAUACGAAGUGUACCAUCAUGAUGCCCUAGACGUCUCUCUAAUCCGCGCUUGGGUUCUAUAAGUGUCCGUUUAUCUCUACAUGUAAAUUUUGGCGUGCGUCACCGUACUAACUUCGUCUUCCAUUUCAUGUAGGAUGCUAAUUCAGACAUGCCGCCGAGAGGCGUACCUACAUAUAGGCUUCAUGGAUCCAUCUGUAGUUAACCAACAACAGAUACAAUUAGCGUCGGAAAAAACCUUGGUGGAAGUAUACAAUUUCCUAGACAAACAAACAUUCAAGGAUUUCAUACUACUUCCAUACAACUUCAAGUAAGUGAGUGUAUACCGUCUACUUUCGUUGUCUUUUUCCUUACCUGAUUAAUGUUAGUUAGCUCUAAUAUGCAUGAACAUUUUACGUACGCAGCUUCCACUAGAUCCUUAUUAUAAUUGAGCUUGAAAGAAGCCACGUCACUGUCUUCGAUUCGUUGAGGAAAUAUCCGGGGGAGUACCAAGACAUGCAAGACAUGCUAGGCUUGUAAUAAUUCUGGACCUUUUGCUAGGCUUGUAAUAUCCCUGUUACACUAUAUCAUUCAUUAUUCUGAUCCGCAGCGCAUGGAAACAAUUCAUAAGGACACACAAAGGUCCAUUCAAUGAAAAACUUACAUGGAACACAGACUUCCCGGUACCUAUGAAGUCUGCACAUUUAUUACAUUGUAUAACACGAAUAUUUCAUAACUUAUUUUCUUCCGCAUUGAAGUGCUUAAGACAGGAACUCGGGAAUAAUCUAUGUGGCUACUACAUUUGUGAGCACAUGCACAAUUUUAUGGGACCCAAGGGACUAAAGAUGAUGCCGCACAACUUUAAAGUACGUAAAAUAAAACUAUUACUGGUUAAUUAUUUUCUUGCUCCUUAUAUGUAUUUGUUCGUGUAACAUUCACAAAUUUCCAAAUUAUAGAUGUUAAAUAUUCAACAAGGACUCUUGAAGGAAGAAAGAGUAGCGGCAAUAUGUGAAGGUCUCAUUGGAUUCCUAAUGGAUGAGGUGGUAGAUCCAAAAGGAGAAUUUUAUUACGAUGGACGACAAUUAGACACUCCGAUCAGCAACACCUCGACGGGAAGAUUGUAGAUAGAUACUUUGAUUUAUUUGUAUAUAUAAUACGCGCUAAUUAUGAUCGAUUUGUACUAGUUGAAUUGUGUAUAUGAAUUGUGUAUAAGAAUUGUGUAUAUAUAUAGUAACUGUAUAAUUACAAAUCCCAUUCGUUUAAAUACUAGUUAAUUUCAUUCUAAAAAAAUCUCAACUACUACAGGUUAACAAAAGGGCUGCGGUACUACGUACGUGAUGCAUGCAUGAAAAAUUCAGGCGCCAGGCAGGUGCCAUGCAGGGCGCACUUUAGUCCCGGUUGGAAUCCCCGAUGGAUUUUCGGGAGAUAUGCACCCUACCAACCGGGACUAAAGGCCAAUUCUCUACUAGUGGAAGGUCCUUUCUCUAUCGUGAAUAUUGCCAGAAAGAAUUGAAAGAGACCGCUUGCUAAAAAUAUGUCAUAGAUGCAGACCAAGCUACCAAGGAGGUAGACCAAACAUGAUACACCCCAUGCGUACCUUGCUGUGCAGACUAUGCAUGGACAAGAUACCCGACCACAUGUUGGCCUCGGUCACAUCAAAAGAAUCAUGUAGGCCAUUAAUAAACUACUUGAAGCGUCAUUCCGUAUCUUAUAUCCAUCAUCUGCAUUACAUUACAUUAAAUAUUAUUAACUAUUUGAAUAAAAUGAACCAAUUUAAAAAUAAUGAGUUUUACAUUACUACAGAAAGCCCUAUCACUGCCAGUUCCAAAAACAUCAUUGUUGACGGCCGUUAAGUACCAAAUAUGACGGUCAAUAUCCUAAAGAAUAAAGGACAAUUGGCAUUUCUUACACACAUAUUUGGUUUCAAAUAAUGUAGUUCUACAUGUCCUUGGAGAUUAUUUGGGUGUGGGUGAAAUAAUACAAAAAGAAGGAGAAAACACACUCCCAUGGCAAAGAAACAUAACUCUGACCAAUGAGAGAUAGCCACAGGGGCAGCACAUGGAUCCAUGGGCCCACAAACUGCAUCAAACCAUCUUACAAGGUGGGUAGCACCCACAACUGUCAUUAGGACCCACCUGGAAGUCUAGCAAAGAAGAAGGUUGUGAGUGGGGCCACGAGGGGUUCGGUUGAAUCAUCUCUAGCUCCCUUCAUCCCCAGCUGGCGCGUGGUGGUGGUUCAUGGUGUCCCUGCAUCGAUUAGAGGAGAUUCCCCCAAAUAUUCCUCCUGUAAACCACCUCUAUGGACGUAUAAAUAGAGGGGUGUGCUCUCCAUUCCAACACACACCACAAGUUAAAGCACUCUCUCCCUCUUUAGUUUCCAAGUUUAUGGAGAUAGGCUGGAGUAGCUCUGCUCAAGGUUCCAAGUCCACUUGGAGUUAAGCGUAUGUCUCUUGUAUCAUUAUUUCCUAGAGAGACUUUAUGCUAUUCAAGUUAUUUAUCUUCUUCAUAUAGUGUUAUGCUUAGUUCUUAUAUGCAUGAGUUAGUCUAAUACCCUUGCUCUAUUGAUAUGCUCAACUUAUAUGCUCGUAUGCUAGUCAUGUACCCUUGCUGUCGGAGUAUAGGCUUAUAUGCUGUCAUGUGUGCCUAUAGACCUUGCUACAGUAUAUACUUGUUGUGUAUACAUACCAUUUGUAUAUACAUUAUUACAAGUUAAGGUAGUUGUAAAUAUCCUUGUGUUGACAACCAAAGCUUGAUCUUUUGUUUCCAUUGCCAGCGGAUUCAUUGGCUCAGAGUAGGAUCAAGACAUCAAGUUGAUGGAGUUCUUUAUAUUUCAAGAGGAGUCAUGGAAUUCUUUAUAUUUCAAGAGGAGUCGAUGGUGCUUUGAAUAUUGCAACCAGACGUCAUUGGCUCUAAAGAUACCGAAUCAUCGGACUUCUAUGAUCAGUUUCAGAACAUGAAGCCUUCAUACUCCGAAACUGGGGGGCCUGUGUUGACACCGAAUCAUCGGACUUCUAUAAUUAGUUUUGGAACAUGAAGCCUUCAUACUUCGAAACUGGGGGGCCUGUGUUUACACCAAAAUUUAGAAAUGUGCUCUAAAAGGAAGGUAUCGGCCGAUGAUGCAAAAAAAUAAUGAAAUCUCCUAAAUAAGGAUGAAGAAAGAAAAGCAAGAAAAGGAAAUCAACGCACGCCGCAAGAAUUGAAUAAAAUAUUCUGGAGAUAGAGUUGGUUAGGAUAAGCUUGAUUAGAGAUAGAGUUGGAUUAGUUAGAGAUAGAGUUUUGAUUAGAAAAGAUUAUGUACAUGGCUUGCCUUAUACGUGGUGCGUCAAAGGCCAUCCGUCCUAUAAAUAUAAAGGGUCCUGGCCAUUGUAAUUUUUAUCACACGAUCAAUAUACAACACAUUUAUCUUUACUUUUACCUUUUCGGCAUCAUACCAUUGCAUUAGGAGUAGGAGUAUUGUAGCUUCUCGACGAGUUCCUUCUAGCAAGCUGGGCUGCAUCGACCUCGAUCUUCGGUGAGCUGCAAGUUCCGUCACCAGGUGUUCUAGGCUUUAACCACUGGACGCAUCGCUAUGGUUUCGUCUAGUUUCUUCUACCAGUUAUCGAGUAUCCUGGAACUUUGACUUACGGCCCAUCGCUUCUGUCUCGAUCUACGGUAUUCACCAGUUAUCCCGCCUUGAUUAAGCUUGCAUCGGCUGAUAUGUAUCUGUUCUUUUGUCUUGCCGUUCAAUUUGCGUUAGUUAGCUUUAGAUCGGUUCAUCAUAGACAAUAGAUCAUUUAAUAGCAUGUUUGAAGCGUCCCCACAUAAGUAGAGACUAAAUGUGCUACAAAUAUCAAUCCCAGGAGGCUGAUAUCACAUUUAUUCGACAGAUAAUUCAGUUACCGUACAACUCCCGAGGGAGUGGGCGUGAAAGCCACGCAGCGAUAAGAAGUAAAUAAAGAACAGCGGCUAACCAAGCGACUGCCAAAAGACAACACUCGGGACUACACGGCAGCAGCAGCAUCUUGGAAAGGCCAGCACCACAGGCAGCGUUGGGUGCGGACACAAGCUCUACUCAAGGUCCUCAGCGAUGAAGUCCGGGUCCUCCUCUGUAGCAACGAAGCAAGGGUGAGUACGAACGUACUCAACAAGUCCAACCCCAUCCACGGAGGGGAAUACAAACAAAUAUAUGUACAGGAUACAACAAGGAUAGGCUAGAGUUUAAUUGCAAUAAAGCUAAAUUUUAACACAUGCAUAGGCUCGUUUUCAAAUAAAUUUUUGUAAAACUUUGUUUUAGUAACUGAGCAAGGAGUGGGGUUGAUCCUACACAAAGGAUCCAAGUUUUUAUCGCUAUCGGACUCCCCGUCCGCCAUAGCGCACGGCACCACUGCCGGACUCUUCCAAAAUCCAACACACACACACCCACACGUGACAUCCAUGCCCAAGUACUAGUUAUGUGACCAAGCCGUAACUCGUCCAAUGCCGUGGACACGGCUACCCGGAUAGGUUUUAACUCUGCAGAGGUUGUACACUUUUCCCACAAGUAGGGUACCGCUGCACGAUCACCUUAGUGCCGGUGCGGAUCCUAACAAAGCCAUUACCCACCUUAGCUAAGCCUGGCUAGCCCUCGCGGAAGCACCCAAGGGGUUCACAGCUCGUCCACGAGACCGUAACCGGGACCUAAGUCACCAAGUUCUCACUCCUUUUCCAUGGGCUCCCGUUGCUCACCAGCACCCCUGAGGACUAACAAUUCAGCUAGUGGGAUUUAUGCUAAGCCGUUGCCCAUACAACGGUCGAGUGGUUGCACGAUGGUGGAAUUAGGCAAGAUGACACAUCAACUCGGUCCUUAAUCACGACAAGAUGGAUAUCUCCCGACAUUGCUCAACCACCAAGGUACGAGCACAACAUUCUGGCAUCCCACACAAGGAAUACCCAUCCAUCCUGUCUACACAUCCUUUUCCCUUGAACCCAAAAAGCCAUUUUUCUCUCUUGAACACACACACACAUUUAUUUUCCGAAUACACCAUUGUAAGAAUGGUUGCAGUUAAGUAGUAAUUCUCUAAGCAUUCUAGCGGUGGUUAUCGACCAAAUAGAGUGAAUCAUAUUUAGGGACAACCAUAGGAUAACAAGGAAUGUUCAUAACAAUCAAGGGGUGGCUAUCCAACCAUGUCUGGCGAUGAAAUAAUAUGCAUUUUGUAAAACAGGCCAAUGGGUUGUGUUUGAAAAACUAGGUAUUAAAUAUGCAUCAAAGGGUGGGAUUGGACUUGCCGUCUUCAAAGCCUUCCGGGAGUUCCGGCUCGCGCUGCUAGUCCUUAGGCUCGGGCUCGCGGUCAAACUCCUCCUCGGGGUCCUCCUCGGGCAAUCCGCGAUCUACAGCACACACAAACGGACACACAAAUAAAUAAAAGAAAGAUUGGUUUUUAACCGUGAGCUCCGAACAGAAAACGUGAACGAAAAAUAGGUAGAAAGAUUAUUUUUGGGAAAUUUGGAUAUGGAUCGGCAAAAGCAUUCCGGAGGAUGACGUGGUGAAAUUUGGGAUAAAUUGGAGGAAGUUUGGCGCAUGAAAUGACGGGUUAAACAUGAAUUAGGGGCUUAAACGGAGGUUUAGGGCUGAUUUGUAAUAAACCAGGGACUUAUUUGCGAAUACUUUUGGGGGUGGAGGGGGCGAUCUGCGAAAUAGCCUUUGAGAGAGGUGGAAGGACCUAUGUGUAAAUUGGGGAAACUUGGGGGUCGGAUCGGAAUUGGAGAGCUUUUAUCUCCUCUUCUUCCAAGAAGGGAGAAAGAGAGUGGGGAGUUGGGGGUCCGGCGGCGGCCGGUCGGCGGGGCUUCGCCAGCGGCGAGCCAUGGGCCGGGGCGGCAGUGGAAGAGAGCUCCAUUUGGCCCCUCACCUUGGAGUUUCGGAGCGGGAAAUGGGGCGGCCGGCGGUGGUCGGGUGGAGGCAGCGUCCGGGCGGAGGGGCUCGGGUGGUGGCGGCGCUAUGUGGCGGCGGCGGGGCUCGGUGCGGGCAACCGGGUGGUGGUGGCGGUGUGUGGAGGAGAUGGCCGAGGCGCCCCUCCUUUUAUAGGCCGGCGGUGGCGUGCUAACCGGCGGGAAGGGUGGGGGACCGGGUCCGGCGGCGUACGGUGGAGGUAGGGGCCGGGCAGGCUGAGCCGGUGGCGUGGUCGCUAGGAGGUGGCGUCGCGGCGGUGGCACGGCAAAGGACGGGGGCCGGGUCCGGCGGCGUGCAGGGCGGAGUGGCCGGCGGGGCCGGACCGGGCGGAGUGGCUGGCGGCCCAAGUGGCCGGGGCCGGUUGGCGGGCGCUCGGCCCGAGGGGAGGCGCCAGGUGGCGCGAGUCCCGGGAGGGCCAGGCGGGAUGGCGCCAGUGGAGGUGGGGUGCGGUGGAGUGAAGGCGUUGGGGCUGGACGUGCGGCACUAGGAGGAAGAAGGAGAAGGAGAGAGAGAAGGAGGAAGAAGAAAGAAGAAGGAGGAAGAAGAAGAAGGAAAAGAAAAAAAAAGAAAAAGGGGAGGGAAAAAGUGAAGGAAAAGAGAGGGACCGGUGGCGAUUGCGGCACGCGGUCAGGGCACGCGCGCGGCGGUCUGACGACGGCACGCGGCGAGAUUUACGGGCACAGAUAAAAAGGUAGGGGUCGGCAUGGGUGCCGGGACGGCGAAAUCGCCGGAAAGAUUUUGGAAUUCCGGGAGCUCAGUGGUAAAAAGGUUUUAAAGACGGUUUUUUUUAACGGGUGAUUUUAGGGUGGUGAUUUCGCGGAUGUUACAAACCUACCCCACUUACAUUGAAUCUCGUCCUCGAGAUUCGACUGAGUCCUGAAGAGAUGGGGGAAUUCCUUCUUUAACACGUCCUCGCGUUCCCAUGUGACCUCUUCUUCGCCAUGUCUAGUCCAUUGUACUCUGCAGAUCCGGACUGCUGUAUUUCUUGUCGUUCUGAUGACGGUGUCCAAAAUCUUGAAGGGCACUUCUUGAUACAAAAGGUCCUUUUGUAGGUCUAUUGUCUCCACCGGUACUUGUUCCUCUGGUACUCUCAAACAUGUUGUCAGUUGGGAUAUAUGAAAUACCGGGUGUAUAUCUGACAUUUCUUCGGGUAGUUGGAUACGGUAAGCCACGACUCCAACUCUUUUUAUCACCUGAUAAGGUCCAAUAUACCGAGGGGCUAGUUUUCCUUGCACUUGAAACCUUCGAGUACCCCGAAUCGGGGAUACUUUGAGGUAGACAAAAUCUCCCUCACUGAAGCAUAAUUCCCGUCUCCUUUUGUCCGAGUAGCUCUUUUGUCUGGACUGUGCUGCUUUCAGCUUCUCUCGGAUUUCUGCCACACGGUCUUCUGCUUCCUUGAUGAAAGCUGGUCCGACUAGGGAGCGUUCUCCGACUUCUGACCACAUCAAAGGGGUUCGACAGUUUCUACCAUAAAGGGCCUCAAAUGGUGACAUGCUUAAGCUGGCUUGGUAACUAUUGUUGUAUGAGAACUCUGUAUAGGGUAAACUUUGUUCCCAAUCCUUUCCAUAGGUGAGGACACACGCUCUCAACAUAUCUUCCAUGAUUUGAUUUACCCGCUCUGUUUGGCCAUCGGUCUGGGGGUGAUAGGCUGAACUAAAAUCCAGUUUGGUGCCCAUGGCUUUAUGCAAACUCCCCCAAAACCUAGAGGUGAACUGAGUUCCUCUAUCCAAGACGAUCCUGCUAGGCACCCCAUGCAGCUUUACUAUGUUGUCGACGUAGAGUCGGGCUAGUCUUUCUCCACCAUAGGUGGUCCGUACGGGUAGGUAGUGAGCGACUUUAGUGAGUCGGUCCACUAUUACCCAUAUGGAGUCAUUUCCCUUUUGAGUUCUGGGCAAGCCUACUACAAAAUCCAUGCCGAUCUCGUCCCACUUCCAAACCGGGAUAGGCAAUGGUUGCAGCAAGCCAGCUGGUUUUUGGUGCUCGGCCUUGACCCUUUGGCAAGUAUCAUAAUGGGCGACAAACUGAGCUAUGUCUGCCUUCAUUCCAUUCCACCAGUAUUUCUGCUUUAAGUCCAUAUACAUCUUGGUGGAUCCGGGGUGAAUGGAGUAUGCCGAGUUAUGGGCUUCAUCCAUGAUGGUCUGUCGGAAUUCUCCGUCCUUGGGGACACAAAUUCUGUCCUUGUACCACAAGGUUCCCUUGUCAUCUACUCUGAAAUCCGGGGCUUUAUUUUCUCCGGUUUGCUUGCGGAUUUUUACUAAGUCUUGGUCUGAACCCUGGGCUUCUCGGAUUUUAUCCUCCAAGGUGGGCUGGACACUUAGCCUGCGGCUAGUAUUCUGGGGAAUGAUAUGCACAUUCAACCGGGCCACUUCCUCUUGUAGAUGGGCAUUCUCGGGUCCGGGCUGUCCAUAGGACUUUCUGCUUAAGGCAUCAGCUACAACAUUAGCUUUGCCGGGGUGGUAAUGGAUUUCUAGGUUGUAGUCCUUUACCAGUUCUAACCACCGCCUUUGCCUUAAAUUCAGAUCGGGCUGGGUGAAAAUGUACUUUAGGAUUUUAUGGUCGGUGUAGAUUUCACACUUAUUCCCAAUCAGAUAAUGUCUCCAGAUCUUGAGGGCAUGCACUACGGCUGCAAACUCUAAGUCAUGGGUUGGGUAGUUCUGCUCAUGGGGCUUGAGUUGUCGGGAAGCAUAUGCCACAACCUUCCCGUCCUGCAUGAGGACACAUCCUAAUCCUUGUUGGGAUGCAUCACAGUAGAUGACGAAGUCUUGCUGGAUAUCUGGUAAGGUUAAUACUGGGGCUGUCGUCAACCUCUUCUUCAACUCUUGGAAACUCCGUUCACAUGACUCGGUCUAGGUGAACUUCUUCUCCUUCCUGAGCAACUCUGUCAUGGGCUGGGCUAUCUUGGAGAACCCCUCAAUAAACCUCCGGUAAUACCCAGCUAAACCCAGGAAACUCCUGAUUUCACUAACAUUGGUGGGUUGCUGCCAGUUGGAGACGGCUUCAACCUUCUCAGGAUCAACUGCUACUCCUUCCACGGUCUAGAUAUGACCAAGGAAUGCCACUUUCUCAAGCCAAAAUUCGCACUUGCUGAAUUUACCACAGAGUCGGUAGGCUCUCAAUUUUUCUAAUACCACCCGUAUAUGUUGUUCAUGCUCCUGAACACUCUUGGAGUAAAUAAGUAUGUCGUCAAUAAAGACUACGACAAACUUAUCUAACUCGUCCAUAAACACCUUGUUCAUUAGAUUCAUGAAAUAAGCAGGUGCAUUGGUCAAUCCAAAGGACAUCACUGUAAACUCAAAUUGACCAUAACGGGUGACAAAGGCUGUCUUCGGGAUGUCGCUCUCCUUGAUCUUGAGCUGAUGGUACCCUGAUCUCAGAUCUAUCUUGGAGAAAUACUUGGCUCCUUUCAGCUGGUCGAAUAGGUCAUCUAUCCUGGGAAGAGGGUACUUGUUCUUAAUGGUGACUUCAUUUAGUGCGCGAUAAUCUACGCACAUCCUCAUACUCCCAUCUUUGUUCUUGACAAAAAGUACGGGGGCUCCCCACGGGGAUGAGCUAGGCCUGAUAAAACCACUCUGCUGCAAUUCCCCCAACUGUUUCUUCAGUUCGGCUAACUCUGAGGCUACCAUCCUAUAGGGUCUCUUGGCUAUAGGGGAGGUUCCGGGGAUGAGGUCAAUUACGAACUCUAUAUCCCUAUCAGGGGGCAUUCCAGGUAGUUCCUCGGGAAAGACGUCCGGAUAUUCACUCACUACCGGGACUUCUUCUAUAGUCUUUGUCUCCAUGGUAACACCAUGGGGUCUGGGCCACUUCCUCGAGUGUGACCGGCCACUUGCACACCAUCCCGAUUGGUCAGGUGCACUACCUUAUCAGCACAACCUAUAUGACUAUCAUGCAGGCUCAACCAGUCCAUUCCAAGAAUCACAUCUAUCCCCUUAGACUUAAGUACUACUAGAUCCGCUAGAAAUUCUACCCCACUUAAAUUGAUCCUUACCCGAGAACAACCUAGUCGACACUGAAUGUCAGCCCCAGGUGUCCGGGUUAAUAGGGGUAACUUUAGUAGUACUGUAGGUAUAUGGUGUUCUUCCACAAAACUUGAGGAUAUGAAAGAAUGUGAUGCCCCAGAAUCAAAAAGUACUGUUGCCAAGACUGAGCUGACUAGAAACUCACCGAGUACCAAGCCCUGAGCUUCGCGAGCCUCCUGUGCGCCGAUGUGGUUGACGCGGGCUCGUCCGAAUGAUUGCUGGGGCGGCCUCACCUGCUGACUGUUGUUGUUGCUGGAGUGGUUGUUGCUGCGGACUGGCACACGGUUGGCUCCUGACAAUGCGGCCCUGGGCCCAGCUACUGAGUUGGAGAAGGCUGAUGCUGCUGGCUUGUUGCCAUAGGGGCAAUUGGCGAUGAAAUGCCCUCGUUCCCUGCAGUUGAAGAAUGCCCUACCGUUGCCAGUGACUUGGCUGGCGCUGCUCUGUGGGGCCUUGGUAGGGUUCUGGCUCCUGAACGGGGCAGCGGCCUGGUGCGAACCGGGUGCUUGGGACUGGGUCCGAUAAUGCAUGGGAGCUUGGGAUCUGGGCAAGGGGUGACCGAAGCUUCUUGGCUUCUGGAAUCGGUCCUGCUGGUGCGCCUUGCUCUCCAGGAACCGGCACUUAUUGUCCCUCCGCUCUUCUGCCUUGGCCCUCUCAAUCAAGAUGGCCAUGUUCAUCAAGGUGUUGAAGUCGGGGUAGAUCUGGGGAGUGAGCAGGGUCCUUAGUUCCGCGUUCAAGCCUUUCUUGAACAUGUCCUGCUUCUUCUCAUCCUUGUCCACCUCCUCUGGAGCAUAACGGGCCAGCUCCAUGAACUGGAAGGUGUACUCUUCCACAGAUCUGUUUCCUUGGCGGAGUUCGUGGAACUCAUCCACCUUGCGCUUCAUGAUGGCUGCGGGGAUAUGGUAGCGACGGAAUUCCGUCACGAACUCAUCCCAGGUGAUAGUGGAGGCAUCCUGGGCGGCAGAGCAGUAGUUCUCCCACCAAGCUAGGGCAGUCCUAGUGAGCUGGUGGGCAGCCAAGACAACCAUGUCCCUGCCCUCACAGCCAAAUGGUUCCAGCUUCCUCUGGAUGAUGCGCAGCCAGUCAUCUGCAUCCAGAGGGUUGACGGACCCGCCAAAAGUGGGUGGCUUGGUCCGGAGGAAGUCCAUCAACUUCUCAUUCAUGUUCUGCCCGCGGGGCCUCUGGCGAGUAAUGGCGUUGGCUAGAGCUUCCAUCAGAAGGGUCUGGUUGGUCAUCACUUGAACCAGAUCAAUGACUGGUGGGGGUGGUGGCUGCUGUGUCCCCACUUGGCUUUCUCCCCUUCCUUCUGGCUGGCUCACUUCUUGCUCCUCAGGUUGUGCUACCGGGGGUGGUUCUUGCCUUUCUGGCUGCCUCUCAGCACUGGGGGUGGCAUGGGCCUGACUUGGGGAAGUUCUGGUGGUACGCUUGGGCGGCAUCUGCAGAUUGAGUGAGACUUUAUGAGAGUGUGAUUUGGAUUUUAGUGAUCUUUAAAGUGGUUAAUUCGUACUUUCGAAGAGACAGAAUCCACCUCCUGUCGACAAACACACAGACUAACAAGCAACAAACACAAGCGAUUUUAUUUAUUUUGCCACGGGGGGGGGGGUACAACACUGCUGGGGUAAGGCCAAAACACGUACUACACGACCGGUUACAGCAACACAACUGGAGGGGUACAACUCUAAACUGCGGACCAUGUCGGCUUCUUUCCUUGGGCAACUCUGGCUGGGUAUACUACUCGUGGGGUGAGUCUUCUCCCUGGACUGAGUGGUCUUCUAAUGGAAGGAGAAGGGCCAGCACCUCAUCCUUCAGAGUCCUACCCACUGGAGGGGUCUCGGGCACUACUCCAUCCGACACCUCGGAGUUCCUUUCCGAAGGCGGUGGUGCCGGGGUGGCAUCCGGGCUCUUCCGCUUACUGGGCCCUGGGGCAAUGGGGAUUCCUUCAAGGAUCGGGGCCUCUUCGUCCUCGAUGGCCACCAUCCUCCUUCUAGCACGGAUGGUGAGGUGGGCAUCCUUCAGUUCCUUAGAGUGCCGAUCCUCAGCUUCCUUGAGAGCCUCAACGGCAAUGGCCUCGUUGCUUUGGGCGGCUGCGCCUCGAGCUUCGGCGGCGGCUAACUUCACUUGAAGCCUCCUCACCAUAACCUCUGUGUUCUCGGCCCUAUGAGUCUGCUACUUCAACUUAGCAGCCUGCUCGUCGUAGAGCUCGUCCAAGGUGAGAAGGUAGGCAGCCAUGUGCAGCACGGUGGGGUCAUCCUCACGCUGUCCAUGUCCUUCCAAAGUCCUUAUCCUGACCAGCCAAACCGGGCGGUUCUUCUUGACAGGCGGGUAGAAGCUCAUCGAAGUGUGGCCGAUGUGCCUCUCAUAGAUCUGGCAUAGGAAACGGAGGGCUUUCCGGGCUGCCACUUGAUAAGUGUCCUUGUGCCGGAAACCGGUGGCAGUCACAUUCCAUGGCUGGAUGUCGGGGUAGCGGCUACUCCGCCCGAUGUAGAUAAUCAUCUCACACCGAGGGGUCCCGCGGUCCUCGUACUCCCUACUGGUGUACUCCGGACGCUCGUAAAUUCCAAGGCGGUCCAUGCAGGUGAACAGCAACCGGGGAAAACCGGGCUCCUCCAGGCAGUGGCUGUUAACCCAUCCUUCCUCGGCCAUCUGGAAAAGAUCCGGGGCACAAAUUAGUUUUGCAAUAGAGCAGGGGUAGGCAGAAAUUUUGUAAGUCCUUUAUUUUGGUCAAAAAGGGCUAAUCCGGUCCUAAGGUCGCGUCCUACAGCCAACCACGGCUCUGAUACCACCUGAAGCGUCCCCACAUAAGUAAAGACUAAAUGUGCUACAAAUAUCAGUCCCAGGAGGCUGAUAUCACAUUUAUUCGAUAGAUAAUUCAGUUACCGUACAACUCCAGAGGGAGUGGGCAUGAAAACCACGCAGCGAUAAGAAGUAAAUAAAGAACAACGGCUAACCAAGCGACUGCCAAAAGACAACACUCGGGACUACACGGCAGCAGCAGCAUCUUGGAAAGGCCAACACCACAGGCAGCGUUGGGUGCGGACACAACCUCUACUCAAGGUCCUCGGCGAUGAAGUCCGGGUCCUCCUCUGUAGCAAUGAAGCAAGGGUGAGUACGAACAUACUCAACAAGUCCAACCCCAUCCACGGAGGGGAAUACAAACAAAUAUAUGUACAGGAUACAACAAGGAUAGGCUAGAGUUUAAUUGCAAUAAAGCUAAAUUUUAACACAUGCAUAGGCUCGUUUUCAAAUAAAUUUUUGUAAAACUUUGUUUUAGUAACCAAGCAAGGAGUGGGGUUAAUCCUACACAAAGGAUCCAAGUUUUUAUCGCUAUCGGACUCCCCGUCCGCCAUAGCGCACGGCACCACUGCCGGACUCUUCCAAAAUCCAACACACACACACACCCACACGUGACAUCCAUGCCCAAGUACUAGUUAUGUGACCAAGCCGUAACUCAUCCAAUGCCGUGGACACGGCUACCCGGAUAGGUUUUAACUCUGCAGAGGUUGUACACUUUUCCCACAAGUAGGGUACCGCUGCACGAUCACCUUAGUGCCGGUGCGGAUCCUAACAAAGCCAUUACCCACCUUAGCUAAGACUGGCUAGCCCUCGCGGAAGCACCCAAGGGGUUCACGGCUCGUCCACGAGACCGUAACCGGGACCUAAGUCACCAAGUUCUCACUCCUUUUCCAUGGGCUCCCGUUGCUCACCAGCACCCCUGAGGACUAACAAUUCAGCUAGUGGGAUUUAUGCUAAGCCGUUGAACAUACAACGGUCGAGUGGUUGCACGAUGGUGGAAUUAGGCAAGAUGACACAUCAACUCGGUCCUUAAUCACGACAAGAUGGAUAUCUCCCGACAUUGCUCAACCACCAAGGUACGAGCACAACAUUCUGGCAUCCCACACAAGGAAUACCCAUCCAUCCUGUCUACACAUCCUUUUCCCUUGAACCCAAAAAGCCAUUUUUCUCUCUUGAACACACACACACAUUUAUUUUCCGAAUACACCAUUGUAAUAAUGAUUGCAGCUAAGUAGUAAUUCCCUAAGCAUUCUAGCGGUGGUUAUCGACCAAAUAGAGCGAAUCAUAUUUAGGGACAACCAUAGGAUAACAAGGAAUGUUCAUAACAAUCAAGGGGUGGCUAUCCAACCAUGUCUGGCGAUGAAAUAAUAUGCAUUUUGUAAAACAGGCCAAUGGGUUGUGUUUGAAAAACUAGGUAUUAAAUAUGCAUCAAAGGGUGGGAUUGGACUUGCCGUCUUCAAAGCCUUCCGGGAGUUCCGGCUCGCGCUGCUAGUCCUUAGGCUCGGGCUCGCGGUCAAACUCCUCCUCGGGGUCCUCCUCGGGCAAUCCGCGAUCUACGGCACACGCAAACGGACACACAAAUAAAUAAAAGAAAGAUUGGUUUUUAACCGUGAGCUCCGAACAGAAAACGUGAACGAAAAAUAGGUAGAAAGAUUAUUUUUGGGAAAUUUGGAUAUGGAUCGGCAAAAGCAUUCCGGAGGAUGACGUGGUGAAAUUUGGGAUAAAUUGGAGGAAGUUUGGCACAUGAAAUGACAGGUUAAACAUGAAUUAGGGCCUUAAACGGAGGUUUAGGGCUGAUUUGUAAUAAACCAGGGACUUAUUUGCGAAUACUUUUGGGGGUGGAGGGGGCGAUCUGCGAAAUAGCCUUUGAGAGAGGUGGAAGGACCUAUGUGUAAAUUGGGGAAACUUGGGGGUCGGAUCAGAAUUGGAGAGCUUUUAUCUCCUCUUCUUCCAGGGAGAAAGAGAGUGGGGAGUUGGGGGUCCGGCGGCGGCCGGCCGGCGGGGCUUCGCCGGUGGCGAGCCAUGGGCCGGGGCGGCGGUGGAAGGGAGCUCCAUUUGGCCCCUUACCUUGGAGUUUCGGAGCGGGAAAUGGGGUGGCCGGCGGUGGUCGGGUGGAGGCGGCGUCCAGGCGGAGGGGCUCGGGUGGUGGCGGCGCUAUGUGGCGGCGGCGGGGCUCGGUGCGGGUAACCGGGUGGUGGUGGCGGUGUGUGGAGGAGAUGGCCGAGGCGCCCCUCCUUUUAUAGGCCGGCGGUGGCGUGCUAACCGGCGGGAAGGGUGGGGGACUGGGUCCGGCGGCGUACGGCGGAGGUAGGGGCCGGGCGGGCCGAGCCGGUGGUGUGGUCGCUGGGAGGUGGCGUCGCAGCGGCGGCACGGCAAGGGACGGGGGCCAGGUCCGGCGGCGUCCGGGGCGGAGUGGCUGGCGGGGCCGGACCGGGCGGAGGGGCCGGCGGGGCCGGGAGGGGGCGGCCCAGGGGGCCGGGGCCGGUUGGCUGGCGCUCGGCCCGAGGGGAGACGCCGGGCGGCGCGAGUCCCGGGAGGGCCAGGCGGGAUGGCGCCAGUGGAGGUGGGGUGCGGUGGAGUUAAGGCGUUGGGGCCGGACGUGCGGCACUAGGAGGAAGAAGGAGAAGGAGAGAGAGAAGGAGGAAGAAGAAAGAAGAAGGAGGAAGAAGAAGGAGGAAGAAGAAGAAGGAAAAGAAAAAAAAAGGAAAAGGGGAGGGAAAAAGUGAAGGAAAAGAGAGGAACCGGCGGCGAUUGCGGCACGCGGUCGGGGCACGCGCGCGGCGGUCUGACGACGGCACGCGGCGAGAUUUACGGGCACAGAUAAAAAGGUACGGGUCGGCAUGGGUGCCGGGACGGCGAAAUCGCCGGAAAGAUUUUGGAAUUCCGGGAGCAUAGCGGUAAAAAGGUUUUAAAGACGGUUUUUUUUAACGGGUGAUUUUAGGGUGGUGAUUUCACGGAUGUUACAAUGUUGCAUCUUGAUCUUGGCUAUCCUUCGAGUGUUGUUGGGAGUAAGUUCCGUUGUGAUUGGAUCCAUCGGCUAGCCGGGUUUAGAUUAACGUCCUGCAAAAUAUUUCUAAACUGCAACUACCGGGCACAUUGUUGUUGUUUCACCUAGAGAUAUUGGUGGUGAUGUUAGUUUAGAUCUCAUCGGCUUGUGGCUCUAGCUAUGGCGGGGCAACAACUCAACAGCAUCAUAUUUUCAAUCGACCGUCUAAUUGAUAGUUAUUGUAAAUUAUAUUAAAUCGGCUGGAUGGCCGAUGAAUCACUCACAUUCAUCAAGGUACUGGAAUCGGCUUCACAGCCGAUAUAUUUGUCAUGAUUUAUUUUGUUGCACCAUUAUCGCUACUGUGCUAGGAUUAUAUCGGCCUAAUCGGUUGGUUGCCUCGGACAUCACAACGACUAUCAUCUCCUUGUCAGUUGAAUGGUCAAACUGACUGGCACGCCCGCGCACACCACGCGUGCCGAUUUGGAUUCUGCACUGGAGUUAAGCAGAUCUCCCAGGUUCUCAUGUGCUGAUGCAGGGUCCUCCACCGUUAGGAUUUUGUGUCAACACCUUGUAAUCUUCCUUUGAUUUCCUCAAUGAUUCGAAGACAAUAACCUUGCUUCUAUCAAUGAUAAUUAUAAGGAGAACCCAGUGGAAACUGUGUAUUCAUAUUAGAACUACCUAAGGUUAAUUAGGUUAGGAAAGGAAAUCGAAAAUAGACCGUACCCACACUUACUUAAAGUUGUCGGGCAGUAGUAUGUAAUGCUUGUAAUUCUGUUACUCCAAGAAUUUGUAUAUGUGGUCCAAUGUAGACUUUGGUUGAUCCCAUAUCUGCUGUUGGUUAAAUAAGUGUUUCUAGCUAUUUCUAGCCGUUAGAACUGGAACUAAAGGGGGCUCUUUAGUAUGGGUUGAUAUUACUAACCGGGACUAAAGAGCCCCCAUUAUAGUUGGUUUUUGGACGCGGAACUAACAACUCCUUUAGUCCCGAGUCCAAAAACGACUAAGAUAGAAGGUCCUUUCUCUACCGUGAAUAUUGCCAGAAAGAAUUGAAAGAGACUGCUUGCUAAAAAUAUGUCAUAGAUGUAGACCAAGCUACCAAGGAGGUAGACCAAACAUGAUACACACCAUGCGUACCUUGCUGGGCAGACUAUGCAUGGACAAGCUACCCGACCACAUGUUGGCCUCGGUCACAUCAAAAGAAUCAUGUAGGCCACCAAUAAACUACUUGAAGCGUCAUUCCAUAUCGUAUAUGCAUUGCCGGUUCAUCUGCAUUACAUUACAUAAAGUAGUAUUAACUAUUUGAAUAAAAUGAACCAAUUUAAAAGUAAUGUGUUAACUCUACUAUAGAAAGCCCUAUCACUGCCGGAUCCAGAAACAUCAUUGUUGAUGGUCGUUAAGUACCAAAUAUGACGGUCAAUAUUCUCAAGAAUAAUGGAGAAUUGGCAUUUCUUACACACAUAUUUGGUUUUGAACAAUGUAGUUCCACAUGUCCUUGGAGAUUAUUUGGGUGUGGGUGAAAUAAUACAAAAAGAAGGAGAAAACACACUCCCAUGGCGAAGAAACAUAACUCCGACCAAUGAGAGAUAGCCACAAGGGCAGCACACGGAUCCAUGGGCCCACAAACCGCAUCAAACUGUCUUACCAAGGUGGGUAGCACCCACAACCAUGAUUAGGACCCACCUGGAUGUCUACCAAGAAGAAGGUUGUGAGUGGGGCCAGGAGGGGUUCGGCUGAAUCAUCUCUAGCUCCCCUCAUCCCUAGCUGGUGCGUGGCGGUGGUUGAUGGUGUCCCUACAUCGGUUAGAGGAGAUUCCCCCAAAUAUUCCUCCUGUAAACCACCUCUAUGGACCUAUACAUAGAGGGGUGUGCUCUCCAGUCCAACACACACCACAAGUUUAAUCACUCUCUCCCUCUUUAGUUUCCAUGUUUAUGGAGUUAGGCUAGAGUAGCUCUGCUCAAGGUUCCAAGUCCACUUGGAGUUAAGCAUAUGUCUCUUGUAUCGUUAUUUCCCAUAUUGACUUUAUGCUUAGUUCUUAUAUGCAUGAGUUAGUCUAAUAGCCUUGCUCUAUUGAUAUGCUCGGCUUAUAUGCUCGUAUGCUAGUCAUAUACCCUUGCUGCCGUAGUAUAGGCUUAUAUGCUCUCAUGUGUGCCUUUAGACCUUGCUACAGUAUAUACUUGUUGUGUAUACAUACCAUGUAUAGGCUAGUCGAUCUAUACCAUGGCAUUGGUUCAAUAGCCAUGUUUUUGGUGGCUCCAACCCUAGUCACAAUAGCUCGGGACAGCUGGAGUGUUGUUAAAAAUGCAAGAGUGAUGGUUGGGUUGUUUAGCAUCGUUGGAUAUGGGUUUUCCCCACGGGUUUCUAAGAGUAGGCAGCAGCUAGUGACAGCCCUGUCCGUCCUUCGUAAUCCCCCCACAUUCAAGUACGCCAUAGAAGUUCGUAAAUUAGCAGUAACUACACCGGUAGACCGAUAGGGUAUUGUCUCGCUAUAGUACCUUGGUGCAUAGAACUAGGUCAUAUACACUGUGUGUCUAUGUUUACGCUGAUAUGAUCUGUGUAGUAUAUAGGAUGUAUAUAUGAACCUAGAGCUAACUCCUAGUCCAUUCUCCGUAGCUUAGUUAUCUUGAGAUGAUUCUUCUGUGUGUGUAACACUACCCAUCUUAUCAUUAUCCUUAAUCCUGUCUUGUGUAAUAUAUCUACUCAUCCUAUGAUAUACUCAUAUGCAUAGUAAACUAUUUUGACCUACCCGCCUUCUUUUGGGAAAUACGAUACCCUGGAAUAAUCCUAGGUGAAAUGCUACAACGGUAUAUCCAUGUGCUUGCGGAAUUAUUCAUGACCAUUAAAUAUACCAACAAUCAUCACUGUCGGUUUUGGGCAUCGUUAGUGAAGGGUCGGCAGUGAUGGGCAUCCCCUUCACCAAUGGAGCUUGAACCAGCAGUGAUGGCCAUUAAAAAAAUGGGACCCCACCCAGCGUACCCCGCGACCCGGCCGGCCGCGCCUCCCAUCAUCCCCGCCGGCCGCCCUUCCUCUUUGCUGGCCGAGCAUGGUUCCGGCCCUCGUCCCUACCGCCUCGCCUCCAUCGCGACCCCCUGCCGAUGCCCUCAUGCCUGGCCCCCCUCGUCUGGCCGGCCACCCUCCCGAUGCAUCCACCGGGGCCCUCGCACCACCAACCACCCUAGCCUAGAGAGAGAGAGGAGGAGGGAGGUGAGGCCACGCACCUCGUCCUACAACGCCGCUGUUGCUCCUCGGCCCACCGCGCCUCACCCCACACCACAGCCGCACCUCGCCAUCUUACCGGCCGCGACGCCCCAUGUCACCGGCCACCGUUCCUCACCCCCACAUCGGUCAUCGCUGCUCCUUGCCCUACUGCUGCUCUUUGCAGCCGCGAAUGAGGGGCGAGUGGAGGGGGAGGGGCGGGGCAGGAGGAGGGCAAGAUCCGGGAGGAAGGGAGAGAUUUUGGGAGGUGGAGAUGGAAGGAUAUGGCGGAAGGUAGAGAUCUAGAGGGAGAGAGCGGGGGGGGAGAGGGGGGCAUGUGGGGAGAGAGCGCAUGUGGGGUGGGGCCGGGCUGGUGGGAUGGAAGGUAGAGGGGCCGGAGGGCGCAGUGCAUUCAACUGGAUUAAGUAAAUAUUUCGGAUUCGAGACCCCAGCUUUAUUAUCACCGCUGGUCCGUAGUACCAUUCGGUGCCGGCUCAUAAUUUAAUUUGAACCGGUGGUGAUGUUUUAUUAUCACUGCUGGUUUCAAUUUUCACCAUCGGAUCAUAUAAAAAUCCGGCGGUUAAAAAUCCGCUGGUUUCGAUGAAAACCGACAGUGAUAGGACGACUGUGAUAGUCUCUUCUCUAGUAGUAGUAUAUUAGUACCGGCUGCCGGAUGGUGUUGCCGACGAGUACUUCUCCAGGGGCGAUUCAGUACUGAUGUUAGCAAAGCUUGUUCUCUAUGAAUUUGGGGAUGGAAAGCUAGUUCUCUAGUUGUGAUUUGUUACAUAUAUCUCUAUGAUAGUCUAGAAAUUGCAUGUCCUUCGUUGACAUAGUUGAAGCUGCUUCAAGAAUUUACUUCGUGCAGUCGUGCAGCAUAUUGGAUUAUCACCUAGACAGGAUACAUAGGUGAAGCAUUGCAUGUGAUUGUGGCUGAUAAUUAUGCAGGACGCUGUUGCAAUCAACCAUCAAGAAGACUGGAGCGAUGGGGUUGCCUCAUCAACAAUUUUUAUAUAUGGCUGCAGUAUUAUUAAGCCCACGUCAAUAAUUUUUUCUCCGCAGCAUAUAUAUGGUUACUCAGUUCGCUGGAGUAUCGCUGUGGAAAAACAUACGUACUGCGCCUCGGAACUAACUGGCAUUCAGGCCAUCAACGACCAGAUAUUUGGGACAACCAACAAAUAGUAGGUGGUUCCUAAGUUGUAGUCGUAUGUACUAAUGCGCCUCGAUGGGGUUUUCUUCAGAUAUUUUAUUGCCGUUCAAUGAACAAGCAGAUACAUAACCUGUGCAGAAAAUUCCAUCUCCACGCAUGCCACUGCACCAACAAGAUCCUCAGUCGACGAUGAUGGCUCAGCCUGUUCCUUCUGCCACCAAAUCCUCAAUCUUCCCUCCAGCAACGGAGAAUGCACCUUUAGUACCUUCAGUAUCAGAUGUUGCAAUCGGUACCGUGAAACCGAGACUAAAAUCCUUACUUUGCAGGGGGCAAAACAAUCUUGCAAAUAUAUAUUUUGAAUUCCAACAAAAUUUAAGAAAUGUUAAAGAUGACUAGCUGAGAGUCAACAGACAAGAUAUGAUAUUAGGAAUGUGGGAGGAUGAAUGCAUUUGUACAGGGGUCAUACUAUUUCCAGACUCUUCUAUAUUUCCAUAUGACUACCUACUUCAAUGUCACGCGAGCCAUUCAAAAAGAUACAUGGUACACUUGUAUGUCUAAUCCAUUAUUGAUUAUUUCCUCUUGUCAUCUCUUACAAGUAUUUCUCCAUACUAUAGAAACGUGCAACACAUUUUUAGGAUAUGGACACGCAUGAUUAAUAUGCUUGGACUAGUAUACAGGUCAUCUUUGGAUGAGUACAUAUGAAUGCCAGGGAGGGACUGAUGGAUAUAAGGAAAAGGGACCAUGCAUAAAUAAUGACAUAUGUAACAUGGCAAUCUUCAUUGCCAUGCAACUCCUAUCAACAAUCAUGGAAUACAUACUACUGCUCCAGAAGGGUGGUGUGCAAAUUUAUUUUACCUCGCGGUGAAAAUCUCCAGAGCAGGCCUGAAGUUAAAAUAAGAGGCAGUCACUAUCGAUCAUGACAGUCUCGAAACUGUACAGCACUAUGCUAGUCCUAGUCCUCAUGUCGUUCGUGCUGUCGUGUAGCAUGAUGGAUUAUUAACUGGGCAGGACACGGAGAUGGCUAGCGAUGACAGAGGAUGACGUACAUGAUAUUCACCUCUGAAAUGAAGCGUAGGCUAAUGAAGCACAAUUGCAUGUGAGUGUGGCAGAUAUUUAUACAGGACAGUGAUUGCAAUAAUCGACCAUCGAGAUCGAAGACAGGGGCGAUGGGGUUGCCUCAUCAAUAAUUCGCGCAACCAGACAAGCUGCAGACUCAAUAUGGUACGAAGCUAUUUGGUCAGCCCACAUGCUCUGAUAUAACAUUGGCAUCUGCUGAUCUACAGUAUAUAUGACCAGAAAUAUUGUGCCACCUCAAUAAUUUUCCGAAGUAUCGUUGGGGAAGCACCUACAUACUAUGCCUCGGAACUAACUGACAUGUUGGCCUAGGCGGUCCAGGCCGAUUGGACAGGCUCUUCCUUAUGGCUCCUCACGUCCCCUUCGUUUCCGAGUAAUCUCAGGUGUUCUGAAGUUUUCUUUUCACUUGCAUGUGGACCUUAUAUAUCAAUAGCUUCGGGAUAAGAAUGCCUCUUGAUAACCUUCCAAAUCGUCGCUUGAUUCACUUUGAUUCCAAAAUCAUCUUGCCAUAUCUUUUGAGACUUAGGCCCUAAGGCAUCAUGGAGGAUUGCUCGCCAAGAAUGAGCACCAUUGGGCUCCUGAGGACCCUAGGCCGAUCAGCCUGGGCUCUAUAGGUUGAUUGGCCCAGGCCCUCUCUGGGCCCAUUGGCCUUCAUCUUUCUCUGAGUCGACGCUUAUUGAGGGCUUUGUCCAAUUAUAGUCCAUUAUAGUCUAAUUUCCAAAAAAAAUAGAAUAUCCUCCAAAAUACAAUACAUUUGUGAAAACAGCCCAAUUAUUAGGUAUGAUCAAUAGUCUAGGUAUUAAAUUAAUGUUAUUAUUUAAGAUAAAUAGGGAUAAAGGGUGUCAUUAAUAACGAGCACCAACCAGCGUACCAGCUGUUAACACUAACCGAUGCUAAUAUGUACCCUUUAGUACCGGCUAUUUCACCCGGUACUAAACGAGACAAGAGCACCCUAACAGAGGUUAAUAUCAUCCAUUUCAUGAGUAAAAUACUAUGAUUCAAAAAUAAUUCAAAUCCCUUAAGACAAUACCUAUCAAAUGAGUAGAUUGUAAAUAGAGUAAAACAAUGUCCUAAUGAAACGGAACACUUCUGGUUCGUGUAGAGCACAAUAUAGAAAACAGUAGGGUAGCUGUACGAUUGACACGUGGUCCAUUAAUUAUUGAGCCAUCACUAUGGACAUGUCUUCAUGAGUAGUGUACUAGUCAUGACACAUGGUAUGUAGUAGGUCGAGGUAUUGAGUUAGCCAUGCCAUGAGCACUUAGUUACAACAAACACUUUGCCAUUAUCGAGCAUCCCAAAUCACUACAAAAUCCAUAGUUUACCAUAUACUACAAAAUCUGAGUUAAAAUAAGAGCAUACACGGAAGAGUCCGAAUGCACCGGUUUAGGACCAGGCACAUUGAAUUACUAGAAAAAGUUAUCGGACAAGGUUUUGGGUAACCGCAUGAAAAAUGUUGGAUUUUACUGAACACUUAGUUACAAUUACCAUGCCGUGAGCACUUAGUCACCACAAACAUUUAACCACUUUAGAUCAUCCUGAAUCCCUAUAAAUUCUGUACCUUACACCGUACCAUGAAAACGACAAGAACAGAGACAGAUGCAGUGAAAAUCUCCAGAGCAGGCCUGAAAUUAAAAUAAGAGGAGGCAGUCUCUAUCGAUCAGGACACGGAGAUUGCUAGCCAUGACAGAGGAAGACAUGAUAUGAUAUUCACCUCUGAAAUGCAGCGUAGACUAAUGAAGCACAAUUGCAUGUGAGUGUGGCAGAUAAUGGACCAUCGAGACCAUCGAAUGGUAUGAAGCAUGAUUAUCACCUAGACAUGAUAUCCUAGACAGGACGGUGAAUUGUAAAAAGAGUAAUCUUGAUCAAAGAAUGUCCUAAUGAAACGGAACAUUUUUGGUACGUGUAGAGCACAAUAUAGAAAACAGUAGAGUAGUUGUACGAUUGAAACUGCAUCCAUCCACGUGGUCCAUGAAUUGUUGAGCCAACACUGUGGACAUGUCUUCAUGAACACCAUCUAGUGAGGACAGGAUGCAGAAAAAUAUAAAAACAUGUCAUAGGGAGGCAGACCAAUCUUGCAAGGAGGUAGACGAAACGUGAUACACGAUCUGCCUACCUUGUCGUGGAUACCCCAAGAGAAGAUGUCAUAGAGGUGCAGACCAAGCUAGCAAGGAGGUAGAUGAAACGUGAUACACGGCCUGCCUACCUUGCCGUGGAUAUUAGCCCUGAUAUCAUUCUAUUGUUCAAGGAAUAACACUCAAUGCUGCUGCUGCUGCUGACCUGGCUCCAUAAAGUUGUAUUCCUCUAGCCGCUUGCACUAACUUUAUCUGAAGUAUUAUUCUCUCUGCCCUGAUAUCUGAAGUAUUAUUCUCUCUGCUGACUUUGCUGAAGAACCUACAUAAUAUGUCUUGGAACUAACUGACAUUGAUUCACAGACAAACUCUACAAGGUGCUGUUGUUGCCAUAUUUUAGAGCAUCCCAAAGGACUAUAAAUAAUAUAGUUUACCAUAUACCGUAUACCAUUAUAUGUUAGCUAAAAUAAGAGCAUAACAUGUCGCAGGAGUCCAAAAGCACCGGUUGAGGACCAGGUACAUUGAAUUACUAGAAAAAGACAGGGGGCAAUGUUUAGGUAGCCACAUGAAAAACAUUUGAAUUUACUGUUCCAUGAACACUUAGUUACCAUGCCGGGAGCACCUAGUUAACACUAACAUUUAGCCACUUUAGAUCAUCCCGAAACACCAAUGACCCUCAAUAGCGACAAAUUUUGAUUUAAAUGCCGUCACCAAUGAUCCUCAAUAGCGACGUGUUUAGGUUUAAAUCCCGUCACUAAUAACCCUUGGUAGUGACGUGUUUUGGUUUAAAUCUCAUCCCACUUAUCCUCAAUAGUGACGUGUUUUUAGCAACACACGUUAUGAAUGACUUGUCAUUGGUGACAUGUUAAAUGCGUUAUCUCAAUGGCAAAUCAUUGGUGACGUGUUUUAAAAAAACAUGUCACUGUGAGAGUUAUUGGUGAAGGGUAAUUAAAAUGCAUCACUAAUUUUGUAGCAUUAGUUAUGAUAUAAUUUAGUAACGCAAAAAUCUACCAUCAGUAAUGAGGUUUAGAGCCGUCGCUAAUGUGGGUUUCUUACGAGUGAUGCAAGCUCUACAAGGUGCUGUUGUUGCCAUUUUAAAGCAUCCCAAGUGACUACAAGUUAAUAGCAUAGUUUACCAUAUACCAUAAAAAUAUUAGUUACAAUAAGCACAUCCGCAUGUGGAAGAGUCCGAAUGCACCAGUUGAGGACUAAACACAUUGAAUUACUAGACCCAAAUGUAAGACAAAGAAAGGGGUCAAGGUUUGGGUAACCGCAUUAAAAACAUUGCAUUUUACUGUACCAUGAACACUUAGUUACCAUUACCAUACCUUGAGCAUCUAGUUACCACAAACAAUAAUUUAGCCACUUUAGAGGUUCCAGAAUCACUAUAAAUAAUAUACCAACACCGUACCAUGAAAACAUCAAGAAGAGAGACGGGUACAUGGACCACCAUCAAGUGAGUAGUGACAGCACGCACAAGAAUACCCGGAACCUGUUAGCUUGUCUGUAGUGAUCUGUUUUCUUCCCCAUAAAAUCCAUGAGUAUUGCCACAAAUAAUGAAAGAGGCUGACCAAGCUAACAAGGAGGUAGAGAAAACGUGAUACACAUAGGUUUCAUUCAAGACAUCCAUGUAAGAUUCAUUCAAAACAUUCAUGGAAAUUUCUUGUAAGUUUUCAUGUAAAUUUCAUUCAAGAAGUUUGUUAGAGGUGUUGUAUAUAUAUACCUUAACGUACAUAUAUCUAUGAUUUCAUGGUUGUUAGUGAUGGCAAAUGAGGAGCAUGCAAGGUAUUUAAUGGAGCAGAUUAUUGCUAGUGGUAGUGGCUACAACCUGCCCGUAACGUACAGCGACGAAGAGGGCAGCCAGGCGGACAUGUUCCUCAACAUGUCCGGUGAUGGCAAUGAAGAGCCCGAGCCUAAGCCCGAGCAAAACCUUGCCAUGACGGAAGGUUCUGGUGAGGUAUAUAUCAUUUCCAUUAUUUUACCCUAUCUAUAAUUUCAUAUUCAUUAUUACUAUGUACUAAUUAACGAAUCUUGAACCGUUAGCCCUCUAGAUCAAUGAACCAAAAUAAGCCCUGAGUUCUUACAAAGAUAAUGCAGGGAAGGCUUCACAUCACGGAACUCACAAAAGAGGGCAUGCCGGUUGCUCCCGAACAUGUGGCAAGAAAAUACGUGAGUCAAACCGAGACAAUCAUGAGGGACAACGUGCCCAUCAGCAUUAGGGAAUGUAAGGGCAAAAGAAAUGAUCUAUACGUGCCCCCGGAUAUACAAAAGGAUAUGAUGUGGGCAAAUAUCAAGAAACACUUCACAUUUCCCAAAGGAUAUGUUGAAAAAGAUGUGAAAGCGUGGAUGCUGAAGAAGAUGGUCACCGAAUUCCAGACAUUCAAGAAGAUGUUGGAUGCCAACUUCAUCGAGAAGGGUCGAACUCCGGGUUUCGAUAAGUGGCCAAAGUUAAGGGACCACUGGGAGUCAUUUGUUGAAUACAAGAUGAGCGAAGGUGGUGCGAGUAAGGUUCGCAUCAAUGUUGCCAAUGCUAGCAAGGAGUACCAUCAUCAUCUAGGGCGAGGUGGUUACAGCACUGCAAUUCCCAGAUGGCGCAACAUGGAACAAGACCUGAUCGAUCGGGGUAUCGUACCAGCAACUCUUGACUGGCCUGAUCGGUUGAAAAAUUGGUAUUACGCUCAUGAAGGCAAUCUGAGCCAAGAGGAUGCGACAUUGGUCUUCAAUAAAACUAUACGUCAGAAGGCCGGAAGGCUUAUCAGGAACAUUGAAGAUGCUAAAGUUGGGAGGUUCAAGGUGGAUAGAGAGAAUGAUGAGCUCACAUUGGCCCUCGGGACUAUCAUCUCUAGCACUUCCAGCUCCAGGACUAUCGUCACCACCGAGACCGUCGCUUCCUGCUCGAUCACAGUCUCCAUCUCCAGCACAUCCUGGUGGUACGAGCGACGACGACAACAACACCCCUCCCUGCCCACCAUCGCCGGGACUAAGACCCGCAUUGAGUAAGGAACCUGCAGCACUACUGAAGAAGUCGCAACCACCGCCUUCCAAGCCAAGUCAGCAAACUAAGAAAGCAGAGAAGCCUAAACCCACUGAGAAGCCGGCGACCGAUAUGACUGAUGCGGAAAGAUGGAAGGCAGUCAAACAAGAAUGCAGGGGGUGAUUUAGAAAAAGGACCGAAGAAAGAAAAAGAAAGGAGAUGGAGCCACCGCCAGUAGAUCCAAGAAAAUUAUAAUUUUUUAUUAAGAUGUCAAAAGAAGCCAAGAAGAUGAUGCCACAAUUAUCAAACUACGACCGGGCGUUAGUCAAGGCUGAUGAGAGGAAAAAAAGGAAAGGAAAGUCAUCUUCAAGUGGUACUGUCCCCCACCUCGAGGAUCUACCAGAAAAUGAUGCUAAAAAUAUAGUAGCAAUGCUCUUGGAUCAACAAACACAUAUAUCAUGAGAUUCAUGCAAGAAACAAGUAUGUCCCUUGCUGAAUGUCUAGGGCAAGUUGAUAUGUUAGCUCCAGAGCCAGUUGUACCGAAAUGGACCUUUGAGCUAGGCAAGCCUCUAGUAACACCUGAGUUGGUACAGAAGCUAUCCACAUAGAUGUACAAAUUCCAUGAAUGGUACAUGAAGCAGUCUGCCAAUGAGAGGGAAAUGUUCGGUCUUGGGGAAAAACUGAUAAUUUUUUUCGGCGAAGGUGAGAAAGUCGUGUAGAUGUAAUUCAAGGAUAUAUAUGAAGUGUACCAUCAGGAUGCCCUUGAUGUCUCUCUCAUUAGCACCUAGGUUCUGUAAGUGUAUGUUUAUCUAUACGUAAAUUUUAGCUCGUAUCAUUAUUUUUUUCCGUGUGUCGCCCUACUAACUUUGUCUUCCAUUUUAUGUAGGAUGCUAAUUCCAUGUUGGUUUCAUGGAUCCAUCCCUAGUUAACCAAAAGCAGAUAUGGAAGCAGCUAGAGAAAACAUUGGAGGUGGUAUACAACUUCCUGGACAAACAAAACUACAGGAGUUACAUACUACUGCUAUACAACUUUGAGUAAGUGUGGGUACCAUCUAUUUUCAUUUUAUUUUUCGUUACCUGAUUAAUGUUAGUUAGCUCUAAUAUGAACAUUUACGUACGCAGUUUCCACUAGAUCCUCCUAAUAAUUGAGACUGAUAGAAGCCACGUCCAUGUGUUCGAUUCGUUGAGGAAACCACCAACGGAUUACCAAGACAUUCAAGAUAUCCUAAACUUGUAAUAAUUCUGGACCAUUAUCUCUAUGCAAAAGUUUGUUUCCUAAAUUUUCACCUAACACUGUAUCAUUCAUUAUUUUAAUUUGCAGCGCAUGGAAACAAUUCCUCAAGAAACACAAAGGUCCAUCCAAAGAAAAACAAACAUUCAAAACAGACUUCCCAGUACAUAUACACUUUGCACAGUUUGUACAUUCUAUAACAUGAAUAUUUCAUAACUUGAUUUUUUCCCCACUGAAAUGCUUAAGACAGGAACCAGAGAAUAAUAUAUGUGGAUACUACGUUUGUGAGCACUUGUACAGUUUUGAGGGAUCCAAGGGCGUGACGACGCCGCAUAAGAUGAAAGUACGUAAAAUAAAAUUAUUAAUAGUUAAUUGUUUUCUAGCUCCUUAUAUUUAUCUAUUCGUGUAACAUUCACAUAUUUCCAAAUUACAGAUGUGGAGUAUUCAACAUAGCAUCUUAGAGAAGGACAGAAUAGGAGCAAUAUGUGAAGGUCUUGUACGAUUCCUGGUGGACGAGGUGAUAAAUUCAUAAGGAGAAUAUCAUUACAACGGACGAGCAUUAGACACACUGAGCAACACCUAGACGGGAGGAUCCUAGGAAUGACCUGGACAAAUUUUAGUAUAUAUAGUAAUUGUGUAAAUACUAGUUUGAUUUGUAUAAAUACUAGAUUGAUUUUAUUAAAAAAAGUUUUAAGUCGUACGUGCAUGCGCCUACAAAGGCGCGUCUGCCCUUUAGUCCCGGUUGGAAAAAUAAACCUGUACUAAAGGGGCCCGUGCCGCACCUGGCAUGACCACCCCUUUAGUCCUGGUUGAACGACCCAGGACUAAAGAUCUCCCCCGUCUCAAAAAUUUUAUCCCGGAUGCCUUUUAGAGAGAUUUUAGGCCUAUCAACCAAGACUAAUACCGAGUUUUCUACUAGUGGAACUAACUAACAUUCACAUGCAACAUCCACAAGUUGUUGUUAUGCUUUUGACAUUCCCCUGCCAUUUGGUGUAUACAAGGGCACCCUAACAUAUGGUUAAUAUUAUUCAUGAAAGAAAAUCCUUUGAUUCAAAAAUACUUGAAACCCAAUAAUACAAUACUUCUCACAUCUGAAAAAUAUGAGACGGCCUGAUAGUAUUCUAACCGGCGCAAUAAUAUUUUGAGGGCAGCACUACUACAGCGACCCUCAUUCGUGCCAGUGCUGGGACCCCUAUCAUGACCCUGAUACAAAUGAGGGUACAUUAUUGGUGCCAGUGCUAGAACAGCUAGGAAUAACUUGCUAAACGUGCUGUUACACUCACUACUAGAAAAAUAACCUCUUGUCCUGAGGCUUACUAAUGUUAGCAUUAGUACCGGGUCCAAAUUUAGGAUCCCCCGAAGACCCUUUAGUACCGGGUGGAGCCUCCACCCGAUACUAAAGGCUUCGUUACUGGGUGAAGGAUUCUCCCGGUACUAAAGGGGGAUUUUUAGUAUCGGGUGGGAACCCCACCCGAAACUAAAAUCUCCCGUGCGGACCCCUCCCCCCCCACGUGUUGCCUCUCUCCUCCCUCCUCCUCCUCUGAGUCAUUAUCCCUUCCUCAUUCCUCCUCCUCCUCCCACACGUGGGGCGAGCUGAGGUGGCGGCAGCAACAACGGGUGGUGUGGUAGGUCGUGGUGGGGCGGAUGCGGAGCGGCGACGGUGGGCAGCGGGAUGGGGUGGGGAAUAGCGGCGUGGCAGGGUGGAGCGGCGGGAUGGGGUGGAGGUGGAGGGCGGAGGUGGAGUGGCAGGAUGGAUGUGGAGGCGGAGCGGCGGGGCGGCGGGCGGGCGGACGGCAGUGACGGUGGGGCAGGCGGAGGCAGAGUGGCGGGUGGAGGGGCGGCGGGGUCCACCGGCAGGGGGGGAGAGGGAGGUGUGGGGGGUGCGGUCGGUGAUUUCAAUUUUCUUUUAAUUUUUUAACACCUUUCAGUACUAGUUAUUUUAACCGGUUCUAAAGGACCCCCUCUUGUACCGAAUUGCUAGUCUCGAAUGUACAACCAGUAUUAGAGGGAGGUUCCUAACCGGUACUUGAGCCACUUUCCUAGUAGUGACUUUUUCACCGGUUAGAAUAUGUUAUUAUUCUAAUCAGCUUUUGUUGAUCUCCUGUAUGAUUUAGUACCUAAUUCUACUGGCGAUUGUUAACGCCGACGCGUAUUGGGUAUAGUCCUAACAGUGUCUAACUAGGGCACUACAUUUGUUAACCUAUAACUACUUGUAUCGAUUAGCCCUGGUUAGAAUAAUGUCAAGGCAGCCAGAAAAAAUUGUUUGCCAAUUCUGCUAUCCAUCAGAUCCAUGACUAGUACCGCAUUGUAAUAAACGAAUUACACAAAUAACUGAUGCACACAAAGGAAUAUGCACUUGCACCUGCUAGACGUUCGUAACAACAACAAAAUACUCUCAUCAUCAAUUAAACAUAAUAGAUUAAACAUUAACUGAACAUAGUUCAACACAUACAUCAACACGACAAAGCAGUUUAAACAUCAACUGAACAGAACCGAACACAUACAUCAUUUGAUGAUAAACUUCGACAUGACAGAACACAUAAACAUCAACAUCAAUAGAACUUAAUAGAGCAUAUUAAACAACAACAUCGACAAAACAUAUAAACCCAGCUCAGUAGCUCAGGCAUCAACUAAAACUGCUGAAUUAAAAUAACACAACAUAGUGUAGUUCAUCAUGAUGAUAACUAACAGAACCGAAAAGCCUAACUUGGUAAAAGAGCAAUUCGUUCAUAAUGCUUCGGCACUUACAUCACCGGAGUAUGCAACUGGCGGCGUCGCUUACGUCACCAUCACCGCGCUGGCUGUACCUCUGACACCCCUACCACGGCACACGGAGGUGAUGGCGGAAGGGGAGGCAACGACAGCAGCUGGUGAGCUCCCGCUCCAAAGCCUGGCGAGUAAAGGAGGAGGAGGUGGCAUGGGAAUCGAAGAGGAGGCUGCUGCCGGCGGGUUUAGACUACGUGGAGGUGUGGGUAGGGUUAAGGUGGCGGUGUGGACGAGUAUAUAUAAGAGGUCUAGGCUUGUUAGAAUAAGAUAAUAUUCUAACCGUCUAAAUUCGGAUCCGGUUAGAAUAAAUUGAUAUUCUAACCGGCCCUAAUUCGAGGCGGUAAGAAUAAGUUAACAUUCUAAUCGGCUCUAUUUGGAGCUCGAUUGAAUCUUCUUGUUAUUCAAAAAAAGAUCAAGUUCAUCAAUUUUUUCUAGGAAAACAUCAAGAUAAUUUAAACAUGAUAUAUAACAAGAUUAAUACAUUUAAAAAUUGUUUUAUCCACAAAUUAACGAUAUUUAACAAAUUUAAAAAAAAUCCAAAUUAACAGAACACAAUAACCAAUUGUUCGAAAAAAUCAAAAUAAUCCACACAUUAAUAUAUUACAAAUUCAGAAAAAUAUCAAAAUAAUCCCCGAUCCACUCGAUACCAUCGUAGGACUUUUAAAUACUGAGCUUCUUGAUUCAUCUGAGGUCCACGUACUCGUCUCAGUAACACUAGUGGUGGCCAUACAUCUUGUAGAUGUCUUCUAACGAAUCAAGCUUGACAUACAAGGUCGUGCCUUCCGCUCCUUGAGCAUAAACAUCUUUGGUGAUCUUGAAAUGGCAGACGGUGGAUGUGCCAAAGGUAUGUAACGAUCCUUCUAAAUAAAUGCCACCACAACUUCCGUCUGAUCGCCAUGGGUGACACCAAGAAGAGCUACCAUGCGGCAAGGGACGAACAAUUUAUCAAUUAGUGCCGCCGUCCAUUCGCCAUCAUCUAAUCCAGCCAUAUCUUGAUGUAUAUUUAAGUAUAGAAAUUAAGAUUUAAAACUAAACAGAAUAAAUUGAGAUCGAUUAUGUAUGUAUAUCAGAACAUUAGCUUUUGGAAAAAGGGCUUCGAUGGAAGAGAGGCACGGGGCAUAGAGACAACAACGAGUGACAUGAUGAUCACAAUUAUUGGCUACAGGACGGGCACACACAGCCGAUAAUACAGUAGUCAAUACCCCUGGUAAUUAACCACACCAUCAAGUAAAUAGUGACAAUAUGCACUAUACACGACAUAGCCUUGGUUGCCGUGGAAGCGCCAAGAAGGGAGACAAAUUACAGGGACCACACCAUCAAGUAAAUAGUGACAAUAUGCAGAAGAAUACCCGCGCCUGCUAGCAUGUGUGAACCGACCACACCACGAAACGUGAUACACGGCAUGCGUACCAAGGCCUUGCUGUGCAGACUAUGCAUGGACAACACAUGGUACCUGACCGCUUUUGGCCUCAGACACAUCCAAAAACUACAUCGUUCCGCGUUGUACAUCCAUUGCUAGUUCAUCUACAUUACAGAAUAUAUUAUUAGCUAUUUGAAUAGAAUGAACCAAUUAAAAAAUUGUGUUGUAUAUUAGUACCUGCUGCCGGAUGGUGUUACCAACCAGUACUAAUUGGCAUGUAGGAGCGAUGGUUAUUAGACUUGGAACUGUUGUUAGCAUCAUUAACGGUCCUAAUUGUGCGCGGUAUGAAUUUGGGGAUGCAAAGCUAGUUCUCUAGUAGUCAUUAGCUAUAUAUAUAUGACAGUUAAGAAAUCGAACACUAUGCUGCUACGAGUCACCAUCAUUUCCUUCAUUGACAAUUUGACUUAGGUGAAGCUGCUUCAAGAAUUUCCUUCGCGCACUCGUGGAGCUUAUUGGAUAAUCACCAGGACGGGACACGGAAAUGGCCAGCAAUGAAGCUGAUUGCCGCCUGAGGAAGACUACAUACUUACCUAUGAAAUGAAGCGAUUGCAUAUUUGCAUGUGAGAAGACUGGGGCGAUGGGGUUGCCUCAUCAAUAAUCACGUGGAUGCAUGCAUGUAUGUUCCCGCAACCGGACAAGCUGCAGACUCAAUGGCUCAGCCGACAGGGUCUGAUAUAUGGCUUAUAGUAUUACUGAGCCCACAUCAAUAAUUUCCACUGGUGUAUUGGGGGUGUUCGGGAGGAGGGGGUUAAAUUUUAGCCCCCGUCACCUCGAAUGUUUGGAUACUAAUUAGGAGUAUUAAACUUAGACUAAUUACAAAACUAAUUACACAACCCCUAGGCUAAAUCGCGAGACGAAUCUAUUAAGCCAAAUUAGUCCAUGAUUUGAUAAUAUGGUGCUACAGUAACCAUUCACUAAUGAUGGAUUAAUUAGGCUUAAUAGAUUCGUCUCACGAUUUAGCCUAGGGGUUCUGCAAUUAGUUUUGCAAUUAACUUAUAGUUAGUCCUCCUAAUUAGUAUCGAACAUCCGAUGUGACAGGGCUAAAGUUUAGCCCCCUCCUCCCAAACACCCUACACCUCGAGUUCUUGGAACUAACUGACGUUCACAUGCAACCUCCACAAGGUGCUGUAUGCUUUUGACAUUCACCUGCCAGUUCGUGUAGACAAGGGCACCCUAACGUAUGGUUAAUAUUAUCCAUUUCAUGAGUAAAAUACUGUGAUUCAAAAAUACUUCAAAUCCCUUAAGACAAUACUUCUCACUUGACUAACCACUAACCAACCCUGAAACCCUAACUCAACCACGAACCCUAACCCUUAACGGCCUAACCACUCCGUUUUGUCGGCGAGAUGGAGGAACUGGCUGGGUGGGAGAGAGGGCAGCGGUCCAAGGUUGAAAACGACGGGCGAGCGCAGUAACAUGUGGAGGAGGAAGUGCCGCGUAUUGGUUCACCGCUAUUGGGCAGCAACACGCGACACGCCCAAUAAAAUUUUCGCACGGUAGAAGGACGUCAUGUAUUCAAUAAUGUUAUUGGUCCCCCAUGUGCAGAAGGGCACGCAUGAAAUGUCUGGCCCACGGUAAACAAGUACGGACGCUUCUACUCUGCUCGUCCAGUCCCUAGCCUAUAAAUAGAUGCCAUGCUAGCUCUUGUUGUGCUCACAAUUAAUCCGACUACACACGAGCUUCUCUCCCUGGCCAAGACACAAUCAUAGUAUGAUGAAGAACAUGGCACUAGCCGGCAAUGGUAUGAAGAAGUUAAUCCUCGCUGUUCUCUUACUCUGUCUAGUUAUAGGGCAGAUACAAGUGGAAGCUAAGAGCUGCUGCCCAUCCACCACUGCAAGAAAUAUCUACAAUACCUGCCGUUUCGGGGGUGCAUCCCGUUCAAUGUGUGCAAAACUGUCAGGCUGCAAAAUUAUCAGUGGGAACAAAUGCAAGCCCCCUAACGACCACCUCACCCUUGACCCGGACACUGGUAAAUAAUAAAUUUAUCUCACUUGAUUUCUUCGUGAUUUGAGUCGUUAAUGUAUUUUCCAUCUGAUGAAACGUAUUGGUUUUGCAUUGAAGAGGAAGUUAAUGUGCUUAACUUCUGCAAGUUGGGGUGUGCGUCGUCUGUGUGCAACAACAUCAACGCUGGUAAGCACCUUUUGCUCAGACGGAGAAAACAAUAAUCAUUAAUUAGCGGCAGCUAGAAUCCUAUAAUCUAAUAUAUUUAUAUAUAUAUAUAAUUUUAUCAGCUCUGGGAAAUGAAGAGGCGAACGAUGCCGUUGAGAGUUGCGACCAAGCCUGCUCUAGCUUCUGCAGCGUGCAUGUUGGCAGCGCCACCGUGGUUGCUUAAGCAAAUGCAUGCAACUAGAUCGUCCUUGUGCUGAAUAAUUGGAUAUCGUAUCCACUUAAAGCUGCCUUGUGUAGUACGUCUUUGUUUGUGUCUCUCUUUAUAUUCCACUAAGGUCGGUGAUCUUGAUGCCACACACACUCAGAUGUGUGUUCAUCUCCAGAUACUACUCCAUGCUACCUGCCCUUUUUGUUUUGUUCAAUAACUGGGUAUCAUAUCCCGGCCAGUGUGCCAUCUAUUUUGUGUUUGUUUCCUUCUAGUUCCAAAGGGGUCAUCAUGAUGUUACCUUCUUUCGAUAUGGUGCUUUGCAUGACAACUGUUGUAUGGUACCAUCUUGUUGGCCAAUAAAUACAUCUUAUCCUAUGACCCUUUGCUAUGACCCUUUGCAAAUAAGUACAAGAUUGUUAUAAGCGUCAAUACUCAGUAUAAUUGAUCGCUGCUGUGAGUUCCCUUUCAGCUUAUCGUAGGCACACAUUAUUGCUAGCACGGUAAAGACAACCAACACGAAUGAUGAAGUAAACGUAGCGGUACUUUUGUAUACCAACACCCUUACUUAAAUGUACUGGUGUCAUUCCCUACUGGCACAUAUAUUCUUAUAUGCUAGCCAGAUUGGAAAAUUAACCAAUUAAAAUAAUUAUUUCAAGAUAGAAAUAACUUAUCGGCUUCUCGAAGCAUGUGUAAUUUUAAUUCAAGGACUCAAUGGAAGUUGAAUCACUUCAUCUAGAUUGCCUUCUGGAUUUUGGUUAACUAAAUUUAACAUUUGUGUCGGGGGGAAAUAUUAACGAUUUUCUUACGCUCUCUAAUUAACGGAUACAAGGGCUAGGGCCCACCCCUAAUACCCAUAAUCUCCGCUAACAACACAUCCCAGAGGCACUCCGCUCCGCCUCGCCCGACUUCAGGGUCGCAGGGUCGGACGUGCCCGACCCCCCAAGGCCUCGCCUCGUCUCAGCCGAUGGAGUUCCGCCUCGCCCGACCCUGAGCCCAACGGAUCGGACGCGCCCGACCCCUCGAAGCAGGACUCCGCCUCGCCCGACCCUGAGCGCAAGCGGUCGGACGUGUCCGGUCCCACCUGACAGAGCUCCGCCUACCCGAAGGUACGAGCAGGUCAUCAGACGGAAGCGCGGGCUCUGUGAGUCCCCCUGGGCUCACCCAACCGAUGGGACCGCGCAAGCUUCCAGAUACAGUUCUGACACAUGGAGAGGCGCCCGCGUUCCUCGACAUGACCUGUCAAAAUGUUGGUCUGCGCACUGCUGCCACGACUGCACAGGGCUACACCUGCACCGUCCUACCCCACUGUGACAUCUGUCAUAGGGCACUCAUCGCUCAUACCAUCUAAUGGAGGAGGGAAAACCGCCUAGUUUUCCACGUGGGCUAGCAAGAAGAGCACGUCAGCCACGCCGCCCCGUCAGGGUGCAUGGCUACAGUGGUUGACCAUCACCCGCGACGUGCACAGUCACAGUGGCCAGUCGUCACCACCAACUUGCACAGCUACAGUGGUCGGCCGCCAUGCACGACUCGCGUGUCCGGCUACAGUGACCGACCGCCGAGUCACCGAUGGGACCCAACGGCAACCCCUAUCCCUUGGUAGCAGUACCGACAAGACGCAGAGACAAGAAGGGAAGACGACGUCUCUAGUAGCCCCACUUGCUUCCCUUUUUACCUUUCUACCUGUUUACCUUCCUUACUCCCGGCUCAUUUGUAACCUCUGUAUCCUCCUUGCACUAUAAAAGGAGACCAGGGGGUCUGAGGGCAAGGGACCCUCGGAGNNNNNNNNNNNNNNNNNNNNNNNNNNNNNNNNNNNNNNNNNNNNNNNNNNNNNNNNNNNNNNNNNNNNNNNNNNNNNNNNNNNNNNNNNNNNNNNNNNNNNNNNNNNNNNNNNNNNNNNNNNNNNNNNNNNNNNNNNNNNNNNNNNNNNNNNNNNNNNNNNNNNNNNNNNNNNNNNNNNNNNNNNNNNNNNNNNNNNNNNNNNNNNNNNNNNNNNNNNNNNNNNNNNNNNNNNNNNNNNNNNNNNNNNNNNNNNNNNNNNNNNNNNNNNNNNNNNNNNNNNNNNNNNNNNNNNNNNNNNNNNNNNNNNNNNNNNNNNNNNNNNNNNNNNNNNNNNNNNNNNNNNNNNNNNNNNNNNNNNNNNNNNNNNNNNNNNNNNNNNNNNNNNNNNNNNNNNNNNNNNNNNNNNNNNNNNNNNNNNNNNNNNNNNNNNNNNNNNNNNNNNNNNNNNNNNNNNNNNNNNNNNNNNNNNNNNNNNNNNNNNNNNNNNNNNNNNNNNNNNNNNNNNNNNNNNNNNNNNNNNNNNNNNNNNNNNNNNNNNNNNNNNNNNNNNNNNNNNNNNNNNNNNNNNNNNNNNNNNNNNNNNNNNNNNNNNNNNNNNNNNNNNNNNNNNNNNNNNNNNNNNNNNNNNNNNNNNNNNNNNNNNNNNNNNNNNNNNNNNNNNNNNNNNNNNNNNNNNNNNNNNNNNNNNNNNNNNNNNNNNNNNNNNNNNNNNNNNNNNNNNNNNNNNNNNNNNNNNNNNNNNNNNNNNNNNNNNNNNNNNNNNNNNNNNNNNNNNNNNNNNNNNNNNNNNNNNNNNNNNNNNNNNNNNNNNNNNNNNNNNNNNNNNNNNNNNNNNNNNNNNNNNNNNNNNNNNNNNNNNNNNNNNNNNNNNNNNNNNNNNNNNNNNNNNNNNNNNNNNNNNNNNNNNNNNNNNNNNNNNNNNNNNNNNNNNNNNNNNNNNNNNNNNNNNNNNNNNNNNNNNNNNNNNNNNNNNNNNNNNNNNNNNNNNNNNNNNNNNNNNNNNNNNNNNNNNNNNNNNNNNNNNNNNNNNNNNNNNNNNNNNNNNNNNNNNNNNNNNNNNNNNNNNNNNNNNNNNNNNNNNNNNNNNNNNNNNNNNNNNNNNNNNNNNNNNNNNNNNNNNNNNNNNNNNNNNNNNNNNNNNNNNNNNNNNNNNNNNNNNNNNNNNNNNNNNNNNNNNNNNNNNNNNNNNNNNNNNNNNNNNNNNNNNNNNNNNNNNNNNNNNNNNNNNNNNNNNNNNNNNNNNNNNNNNNNNNNNNNNNNNNNNNNNNNNNNNNNNNNNNNNNNNNNNNNNNNNNNNNNNNNNNNNNNNNNNNNNNNNNNNNNNNNNNNNNNNNNNNNNNNNNNNNNNNNNNNNNNNNNNNNNNNNNNNNNNNNNNNNNNNNNNNNNNNNNNNNNNNNNNNNNNNNNNNNNNNNNNNNNNNNNNNNNNNNNNNNNNNNNNNNNNNNNNNNNNNNNNNNNNNNNNNNNNNNNNNNNNNNNNNNNNNNNNNNNNNNNNNNNNNNNNNNNNNNNNNNNNNNNNNNNNNNNNNNNNNNNNNNNNNNNNNNNNNNNNNNNNNNNNNNNNNNNNNNNNNNNNNNNNNNNNNNNNNNNNNNNNNNNNNNNNNNNNNNNNNNNNNNNNNNNNNNNNNNNNNNNNNNNNNNNNNNNNNNNNNNNNNNNNNNNNNNNNNNNNNNNNNNNNNNNNNNNNNNNNNNNNNNNNNNNNNNNNNNNNNNNNNNNNNNNNNNNNNNNNNNNNNNNNNNNNNNNNNNNNNNNNNNNNNNNNNNNNNNNNNNNNNNNNNNNNNNNNNNNNNNNNNNNNNNNNNNNNNNNNNNNNNNNNNNNNNNNNNNNNNNNNNNNNNNNNNNNNNNNNNNNNNNNNNNNNNNNNNNNNNNNNNNNNNNNNNNNNNNNNNNNNNNNNNNNNNNNNNNNNNNNNNNNNNNNNNNNNNNNNNNNNNNNNNNNNNNNNNNNNNNNNNNNNNNNNNNNNNNNNNNNNNNNNNNNNNNNNNNNNNNNNNNNNNNNNNNNNNNNNNNNNNNNNNNNNNNNNNNNNNNNNNNNNNNNNNNNNNNNNNNNNNNNNNNNNNNNNNNNNNNNNNNNNNNNNNNNNNNNNNNNNNNNNNNNNNNNNNNNNNNNNNNNNNNNNNNNNNNNNNNNNNNNNNNNNNNNNNNNNNNNNNNNNNNNNNNNNNNNNNNNNNNNNNNNNNNNNNNNNNNNNNNNNNNNNNNNNNNNNNNNNNNNNNNNNNNNNNNNNNNNNNNNNNNNNNNNNNNNNNNNNNNNNNNNNNNNNNNNNNNNNNNNNNNNNNNNNNNNNNNNNNNNNNNNNNNNNNNNNNNNNNNNNNNNNNNNNNNNNNNNNNNNNNNNNNNNNNNNNNNNNNNNNNNNNNNNNNNNNNNNNNNNNNNNNNNNNNNNNNNNNNNNNNNNNNNNNNNNNNNNNNNNNNNNNNNNNNNNNNNNNNNNNNNNNNNNNNNNNNNNNNNNNNNNNNNNNNNNNNNNNNNNNNNNNNNNNNNNNNNNNNNNNNNNNNNNNNNNNNNNNNNNNNNNNNNNNNNNNNNNNNNNNNNNNNNNNNNNNNNNNNNNNNNNNNNNNNNNNNNNNNNNNNNNNNNNNNNNNNNNNNNNNNNNNNNNNNNNNNNNNNNNNNNNNNNNNNNNNNNNNNNNNNNNNNNNNNNNNNNNNNNNNNNNNNNNNNNNNNNNNNNNNNNNNNNNNNNNNNNNNNNNNNNNNNNNNNNNNNNNNNNNNNNNNNNNNNNNNNNNNNNNNNNNNNNNNNNNNNNNNNNNNNNNNNNNNNNNNNNNNNNNNNNNNNNNNNNNNNNNNNNNNNNNNNNNNNNNNNNNNNNNNNNNNNNNNNNNNNNNNNNNNNNNNNNNNNNNNNNNNNNNNNNNNNNNNNNNNNNNNNNNNNNNNNNNNNNNNNNNNNNNNNNNNNNNNNNNNNNNNNNNNNNNNNNNNNNNNNNNNNNNNNNNNNNNNNNNNNNNNNNNNNNNNNNNNNNNNNNNNNNNNNNNNNNNNNNNNNNNNNNNNNNNNNNNNNNNNNNNNNNNNNNNNNNNNNNNNNNNNNNNNNNNNNNNNNNNNNNNNNNNNNNNNNNNNNNNNNNNNNNNNNNNNNNNNNNNNNNNNNNNNNNNNNNNNNNNNNNNNNNNNNNNNNNNNNNNNNNNNNNNNNNNNNNNNNNNNNNNNNNNNNNNNNNNNNNNNNNNNNNNNNNNNNNNNNNNNNNNNNNNNNNNNNNNNNNNNNNNNNNNNNNNNNNNNNNNNNNNNNNNNNNNNNNNNNNNNNNNNNNNNNNNNNNNNNNNNNNNNNNNNNNNNNNNNNNNNNNNNNNNNNNNNNNNNNNNNNNNNNNNNNNNNNNNNNNNNNNNNNNNNNNNNNNNNNNNNNNNNNNNNNNNNNNNNNNNNNNNNNNNNNNNNNNNNNNNNNNNNNNNNNNNNNNNNNNNNNNNNNNNNNNNNNNNNNNNNNNNNNNNNNNNNNNNNNNNNNNNNNNNNNNNNNNNNNNNNNNNNNNNNNNNNNNNNNNNNNNNNNNNNNNNNNNNNNNNNNNNNNNNNNNNNNNNNNNNNNNNNNNNNNNNNNNNNNNNNNNNNNNNNNNNNNNNNNNNNNNNNNNNNNNNNNNNNNNNNNNNNNNNNNNNNNNNNNNNNNNNNNNNNNNNNNNNNNNNNNNNNNNNNNNNNNNNNNNNNNNNNNNNNNNNNNNNNNNNNNNNNNNNNNNNNNNNNNNNNNNNNNNNNNNNNNNNNNNNNNNNNNNNNNNNNNNNNNNNNNNNNNNNNNNNNNNNNNNNNNNNNNNNNNNNNNNNNNNNNNNNNNNNNNNNNNNNNNNNNNNNNNNNNNNNNNNNNNNNNNNNNNNNNNNNNNNNNNNNNNNNNNNNNNNNNNNNNNNNNNNNNNNNNNNNNNNNNNNNNNNNNNNNNNNNNNNNNNNNNNNNNNNNNNNNNNNNNNNNNNNNNNNNNNNNNNNNNNNNNNNNNNNNNNNNNNNNNNNNNNNNNNNNNNNNNNNNNNNNNNNNNNNNNNNNNNNNNNNNNNNNNNNNNNNNNNNNNNNNNNNNNNNNNNNNNNNNNNNNNNNNNNNNNNNNNNNNNNNNNNNNNNNNNNNNNNNNNNNNNNNNNNNNNNNNNNNNNNNNNNNNNNNNNNNNNNNNNNNNNNNNNNNNNNNNNNNNNNNNNNNNNNNNNNNNNNNNNNNNNNNNNNNNNNNNNNNNNNNNNNNNNNNNNNNNNNNNNNNNNNNNNNNNNNNNNNNNNNNNNNNNNNNNNNNNNNNNNNNNNNNNNNNNNNNNNNNNNNNNNNNNNNNNNNNNNNNNNNNNNNNNNNNNNNNNNNNNNNNNNNNNNNNNNNNNNNNNNNNNNNNNNNNNNNNNNNNNNNNNNNNNNNNNNNNNNNNNNNNNNNNNNNNNNNNNNNNNNNNNNNNNNNNNNNNNNNNNNNNNNNNNNNNNNNNNNNNNNNNNNNNNNNNNNNNNNNNNNNNNNNNNNNNNNNNNNNNNNNNNNNNNNNNNNNNNNNNNNNNNNNNNNNNNNNNNNNNNNNNNNNNNNNNNNNNNNNNNNNNNNNNNNNNNNNNNNNNNNNNNNNNNNNNNNNNNNNNNNNNNNNNNNNNNNNNNNNNNNNNNNNNNNNNNNNNNNNNNNNNNNNNNNNNNNNNNNNNNNNNNNNNNNNNNNNNNNNNNNNNNNNNNNNNNNNNNNNNNNNNNNNNNNNNNNNNNNNNNNNNNNNNNNNNNNNNNNNNNNNNNNNNNNNNNNNNNNNNNNNNNNNNNNNNNNNNNNNNNNNNNNNNNNNNNNNNNNNNNNNNNNNNNNNNNNNNNNNNNNNNNNNNNNNNNNNNNNNNNNNNNNNNNNNNNNNNNNNNNNNNNNNNNNNNNNNNNNNNNNNNNNNNNNNNNNNNNNNNNNNNNNNNNNNNNNNNNNNNNNNNNNNNNNNNNNNNNNNNNNNNNNNNNNNNNNNNNNNNNNNNNNNNNNNNNNNNNNNNNNNNNNNNNNNNNNNNNNNNNNNNNNNNNNNNNNNNNNNNNNNNNNNNNNNNNNNNNNNNNNNNNNNNNNNNNNNNNNNNNNNNNNNNNNNNNNNNNNNNNNNNNNNNNNNNNNNNNNNNNNNNNNNNNNNNNNNNNNNNNNNNNNNNNNNNNNNNNNNNNNNNNNNNNNNNNNNNNNNNNNNNNNNNNNNNNNNNNNNNNNNNNNNNNNNNNNNNNNNNNNNNNNNNNNNNNNNNNNNNNNNNNNNNNNNNNNNNNNNNNNNNNNNNNNNNNNNNNNNNNNNNNNNNNNNNNNNNNNNNNNNNNNNNNNNNNNNNNNNNNNNNNNNNNNNNNNNNNNNNNNNNNNNNNNNNNNNNNNNNNNNNNNNNNNNNNNNNNNNNNNNNNNNNNNNNNNNNNNNNNNNNNNNNNNNNNNNNNNNNNNNNNNNNNNNNNNNNNNNNNNNNNNNNNNNNNNNNNNNNNNNNNNNNNNNNNNNNNNNNNNNNNNNNNNNNNNNNNNNNNNNNNNNNNNNNNNNNNNNNNNNNNNNNNNNNNNNNNNNNNNNNNNNNNNNNNNNNNNNNNNNNNNNNNNNNNNNNNNNNNNNNNNNNNNNNNNNNNNNNNNNNNNNNNNNNNNNNNNNNNNNNNNNNNNNNNNNNNNNNNNNNNNNNNNNNNNNNNNNNNNNNNNNNNNNNNNNNNNNNNNNNNNNNNNNNNNNNNNNNNNNNNNNNNNNNNNNNNNNNNNNNNNNNNNNNNNNNNNNNNNNNNNNNNNNNNNNNNNNNNNNNNNNNNNNNNNNNNNNNNNNNNNNNNNNNNNNNNNNNNNNNNNNNNNNNNNNNNNNNNNNNNNNNNNNNNNNNNNNNNNNNNNNNNNNNNNNNNNNNNNNNNNNNNNNNNNNNNNNNNNNNNNNNNNNNNNNNNNNNNNNNNNNNNNNNNNNNNNNNNNNNNNNNNNNNNNNNNNNNNNNNNNNNNNNNNNNNNNNNNNNNNNNNNNNNNNNNNNNNNNNNNNNNNNNNNNNNNNNNNNNNNNNNNNNNNNNNNNNNNNNNNNNNNNNNNNNNNNNNNNNNNNNNNNNNNNNNNNNNNNNNNNNNNNNNNNNNNNNNNNNNNNNNNNNNNNNNNNNNNNNNNNNNNNNNNNNNNNNNNNNNNNNNNNNNNNNNNNNNNNNNNNNNNNNNNNNNNNNNNNNNNNNNNNNNNNNNNNNNNNNNNNNNNNNNNNNNNNNNNNNNNNNNNNNNNNNNNNNNNNNNNNNNNNNNNNNNNNNNNNNNNNNNNNNNNNNNNNNNNNNNNNNNNNNNNNNNNNNNNNNNNNNNNNNNNNNNNNNNNNNNNNNNNNNNNNNNNNNNNNNNNNNNNNNNNNNNNNNNNNNNNNNNNNNNNNNNNNNNNNNNNNNNNNNNNNNNNNNNNNNNNNNNNNNNNNNNNNNNNNNNNNNNNNNNNNNNNNNNNNNNNNNNNNNNNNNNNNNNNNNNNNNNNNNNNNNNNNNNNNNNNNNNNNNNNNNNNNNNNNNNNNNNNNNNNNNNNNNNNNNNNNNNNNNNNNNNNNNNNNNNNNNNNNNNNNNNNNNNNNNNNNNNNNNNNNNNNNNNNNNNNNNNNNNNNNNNNNNNNNNNNNNNNNNNNNNNNNNNNNNNNNNNNNNNNNNNNNNNNNNNNNNNNNNNNNNNNNNNNNNNNNNNNNNNNNNNNNNNNNNNNNNNNNNNNNNNNNNNNNNNNNNNNNNNNNNNNNNNNNNNNNNNNNNNNNNNNNNNNNNNNNNNNNNNNNNNNNNNNNNNNNNNNNNNNNNNNNNNNNNNNNNNNNNNNNNNNNNNNNNNNNNNNNNNNNNNNNNNNNNNNNNNNNNNNNNNNNNNNNNNNNNNNNNNNNNNNNNNNNNNNNNNNNNNNNNNNNNNNNNNNNNNNNNNNNNNNNNNNNNNNNNNNNNNNNNNNNNNNNNNNNNNNNNNNNNNNNNNNNNNNNNNNNNNNNNNNNNNNNNNNNNNNNNNNNNNNNNNNNNNNNNNNNNNNNNNNNNNNNNNNNNNNNNNNNNNNNNNNNNNNNNNNNNNNNNNNNNNNNNNNNNNNNNNNNNNNNNNNNNNNNNNNNNNNNNNNNNNNNNNNNNNNNNNNNNNNNNNNNNNNNNNNNNNNNNNNNNNNNNNNNNNNNNNNNNNNNNNNNNNNNNNNNNNNNNNNNNNNNNNNNNNNNNNNNNNNNNNNNNNNNNNNNNNNNNNNNNNNNNNNNNNNNNNNNNNNNNNNNNNNNNNNNNNNNNNNNNNNNNNNNNNNNNNNNNNNNNNNNNNNNNNNNNNNNNNNNNNNNNNNNNNNNNNNNNNNNNNNNNNNNNNNNNNNNNNNNNNNNNNNNNNNNNNNNNNNNNNNNNNNNNNNNNNNNNNNNNNNNNNNNNNNNNNNNNNNNNNNNNNNNNNNNNNNNNNNNNNNNNNNNNNNNNNNNNNNNNNNNNNNNNNNNNNNNNNNNNNNNNNNNNNNNNNNNNNNNNNNNNNNNNNNNNNNNNNNNNNNNNNNNNNNNNNNNNNNNNNNNNNNNNNNNNNNNNNNNNNNNNNNNNNNNNNNNNNNNNNNNNNNNNNNNNNNNNNNNNNNNNNNNNNNNNNNNNNNNNNNNNNNNNNNNNNNNNNNNNNNNNNNNNNNNNNNNNNNNNNNNNNNNNNNNNNNNNNNNNNNNNNNNNNNNNNNNNNNNNNNNNNNNNNNNNNNNNNNNNNNNNNNNNNNNNNNNNNNNNNNNNNNNNNNNNNNNNNNNNNNNNNNNNNNNNNNNNNNNNNNNNNNNNNNNNNNNNNNNNNNNNNNNNNNNNNNNNNNNNNNNNNNNNNNNNNNNNNNNNNNNNNNNNNNNNNNNNNNNNNNNNNNNNNNNNNNNNNNNNNNNNNNNNNNNNNNNNNNNNNNNNNNNNNNNNNNNNNNNNNNNNNNNNNNNNNNNNNNNNNNNNNNNNNNNNNNNNNNNNNNNNNNNNNNNNNNNNNNNNNNNNNNNNNNNNNNNNNNNNNNNNNNNNNNNNNNNNNNNNNNNNNNNNNNNNNNNNNNNNNNNNNNNNNNNNNNNNNNNNNNNNNNNNNNNNNNNNNNNNNNNNNNNNNNNNNNNNNNNNNNNNNNNNNNNNNNNNNNNNNNNNNNNNNNNNNNNNNNNNNNNNNNNNNNNNNNNNNNNNNNNNNNNNNNNNNNNNNNNNNNNNNNNNNNNNNNNNNNNNNNNNNNNNNNNNNNNNNNNNNNNNNNNNNNNNNNNNNNNNNNNNNNNNNNNNNNNNNNNNNNNNNNNNNNNNNNNNNNNNNNNNNNNNNNNNNNNNNNNNNNNNNNNNNNNNNNNNNNNNNNNNNNNNNNNNNNNNNNNNNNNNNNNNNNNNNNNNNNNNNNNNNNNNNNNNNNNNNNNNNNNNNNNNNNNNNNNNNNNNNNNNNNNNNNNNNNNNNNNNNNNNNNNNNNNNNNNNNNNNNNNNNNNNNNNNNNNNNNNNNNNNNNNNNNNNNNNNNNNNNNNNNNNNNNNNNNNNNNNNNNNNNNNNNNNNNNNNNNNNNNNNNNNNNNNNNNNNNNNNNNNNNNNNNNNNNNNNNNNNNNNNNNNNNNNNNNNNNNNNNNNNNNNNNNNNNNNNNNNNNNNNNNNNNNNNNNNNNNNNNNNNNNNNNNNNNNNNNNNNNNNNNNNNNNNNNNNNNNNNNNNNNNNNNNNNNNNNNNNNNNNNNNNNNNNNNNNNNNNNNNNNNNNNNNNNNNNNNNNNNNNNNNNNNNNNNNNNNNNNNNNNNNNNNNNNNNNNNNNNNNNNNNNNNNNNNNNNNNNNNNNNNNNNNNNNNNNNNNNNNNNNNNNNNNNNNNNNNNNNNNNNNNNNNNNNNNNNNNNNNNNNNNNNNNNNNNNNNNNNNNNNNNNNNNNNNNNNNNNNNNNNNNNNNNNNNNNNNNNNNNNNNNNNNNNNNNNNNNNNNNNNNNNNNNNNNNNNNNNNNNNNNNNNNNNNNNNNNNNNNNNNNNNNNNNNNNNNNNNNNNNNNNNNNNNNNNNNNNNNNNNNNNNNNNNNNNNNNNNNNNNNNNNNNNNNNNNNNNNNNNNNNNNNNNNNNNNNNNNNNNNNNNNNNNNNNNNNNNNNNNNNNNNNNNNNNNNNNNNNNNNNNNNNNNNNNNNNNNNNNNNNNNNNNNNNNNNNNNNNNNNNNNNNNNNNNNNNNNNNNNNNNNNNNNNNNNNNNNNNNNNNNNNNNNNNNNNNNNNNNNNNNNNNNNNNNNNNNNNNNNNNNNNNNNNNNNNNNNNNNNNNNNNNNNNNNNNNNNNNNNNNNNNNNNNNNNNNNNNNNNNNNNNNNNNNNNNNNNNNNNNNNNNNNNNNNNNNNNNNNNNNNNNNNNNNNNNNNNNNNNNNNNNNNNNNNNNNNNNNNNNNNNNNNNNNNNNNNNNNNNNNNNNNNNNNNNNNNNNNNNNNNNNNNNNNNNNNNNNNNNNNNNNNNNNNNNNNNNNNNNNNNNNNNNNNNNNNNNNNNNNNNNNNNNNNNNNNNNNNNNNNNNNNNNNNNNNNNNNNNNNNNNNNNNNNNNNNNNNNNNNNNNNNNNNNNNNNNNNNNNNNNNNNNNNNNNNNNNNNNNNNNNNNNNNNNNNNNNNNNNNNNNNNNNNNNNNNNNNNNNNNNNNNNNNNNNNNNNNNNNNNNNNNNNNNNNNNNNNNNNNNNNNNNNNNNNNNNNNNNNNNNNNNNNNNNNNNNNNNNNNNNNNNNNNNNNNNNNNNNNNNNNNNNNNNNNNNNNNNNNNNNNNNNNNNNNNNNNNNNNNNNNNNNNNNNNNNNNNNNNNNNNNNNNNNNNNNNNNNNNNNNNNNNNNNNNNNNNNNNNNNNNNNNNNNNNNNNNNNNNNNNNNNNNNNNNNNNNNNNNNNNNNNNNNNNNNNNNNNNNNNNNNNNNNNNNNNNNNNNNNNNNNNNNNNNNNNNNNNNNNNNNNNNNNNNNNNNNNNNNNNNNNNNNNNNNNNNNNNNNNNNNNNNNNNNNNNNNNNNNNNNNNNNNNNNNNNNNNNNNNNNNNNNNNNNNNNNNNNNNNNNNNNNNNNNNNNNNNNNNNNNNNNNNNNNNNNNNNNNNNNNNNNNNNNNNNNNNNNNNNNNNNNNNNNNNNNNNNNNNNNNNNNNNNNNNNNNNNNNNNNNNNNNNNNNNNNNNNNNNNNNNNNNNNNNNAGGCUUGUUAGAAUAAGAUAAUAUUCUAACCGUCUAAAUUCGGAUCCGGUUAGAAUAAAUUGAUAUUCUAACCGGCCCUAAUUCGAGGCGGUAAGAAUAAGUUAACAUUCUAAUCGGCUCUAUUUGGAGCUCGAUUGAAUCUUCUUGUUAUUCAAAAAAAGAUCAAGUUCAUCAAUUUUUUCUAGGAAAACAUCAAGAUAAUUUAAACAUGAUAUAUAACAAGAUUAAUACAUUUAAAAAUUGUUUUAUCCACAAAUUAACGAUAUUUAACAAAUUUAAAAAAAAUCCAAAUUAACAGAACACAAUAACCAAUUGUUCGAAAAAAUCAAAAUAAUCCACACAUUAAUAUAUUACAAAUUCAGAAAAAUAUCAAAAUAAUCCCCGAUCCACUCGAUACCAUCGUAGGACUUUUAAAUACUGAGCUUCUUGAUUCAUCUGAGGUCCACGUACUCGUCUCAGUAACACUAGUGGUGGCCAUACAUCUUGUAGAUGUCUUCUAACGAAUCAAGCUUGACAUACAAGGUCGUGCCUUCCGCUCCUUGAGCAUAAACAUCUUUGGUGAUCUUGAAAUGGCAGACGGUGGAUGUGCCAAAGGUAUGUAACGAUCCUUCUAAAUAAAUGCCACCACAACUUCCGUCUGAUCGCCAUGGGUGACACCAAGAAGAGCUACCAUGCGGCAAGGGACGAACAAUUUAUCAAUUAGUGCCGCCGUCCAUUCGCCAUCAUCUAAUCCAGCCAUAUCUUGAUGUAUAUUUAAGUAUAGAAAUUAAGAUUUAAAACUAAACAGAAUAAAUUGAGAUCGAUUAUGUAUGUAUAUCAGAACAUUAGCUUUUGGAAAAAGGGCUUCGAUGGAAGAGAGGCACGGGGCAUAGAGACAACAACGAGUGACAUGAUGAUCACAAUUAUUGGCUACAGGACGGGCACACACAGCCGAUAAUACAGUAGUCAAUACCCCUGGUAAUUAACCACACCAUCAAGUAAAUAGUGACAAUAUGCACUAUACACGACAUAGCCUUGGUUGCCGUGGAAGCGCCAAGAAGGGAGACAAAUUACAGGGACCACACCAUCAAGUAAAUAGUGACAAUAUGCAGAAGAAUACCCGCGCCUGCUAGCAUGUGUGAACCGACCACACCACGAAACGUGAUACACGGCAUGCGUACCAAGGCCUUGCUGUGCAGACUAUGCAUGGACAACACAUGGUACCUGACCGCUUUUGGCCUCAGACACAUCCAAAAACUACAUCGUUCCGCGUUGUACAUCCAUUGCUAGUUCAUCUACAUUACAGAAUAUAUUAUUAGCUAUUUGAAUAGAAUGAACCAAUUAAAAAAUUGUGUUGUAUAUUAGUACCUGCUGCCGGAUGGUGUUACCAACCAGUACUAAUUGGCAUGUAGGAGCGAUGGUUAUUAGACUUGGAACUGUUGUUAGCAUCAUUAACGGUCCUAAUUGUGCGCGGUAUGAAUUUGGGGAUGCAAAGCUAGUUCUCUAGUAGUCAUUAGCUAUAUAUAUAUGACAGUUAAGAAAUCGAACACUAUGCUGCUACGAGUCACCAUCAUUUCCUUCAUUGACAAUUUGACUUAGGUGAAGCUGCUUCAAGAAUUUCCUUCGCGCACUCGUGGAGCUUAUUGGAUAAUCACCAGGACGGGACACGGAAAUGGCCAGCAAUGAAGCUGAUUGCCGCCUGAGGAAGACUACAUACUUACCUAUGAAAUGAAGCGAUUGCAUAUUUGCAUGUGAGAAGACUGGGGCGAUGGGGUUGCCUCAUCAAUAAUCACGUGGAUGCAUGCAUGUAUGUUCCCGCAACCGGACAAGCUGCAGACUCAAUGGCUCAGCCGACAGGGUCUGAUAUAUGGCUUAUAGUAUUACUGAGCCCACAUCAAUAAUUUCCACUGGUGUAUUGGGGGUGUUCGGGAGGAGGGGGUUAAAUUUUAGCCCCCGUCACCUCGAAUGUUUGGAUACUAAUUAGGAGUAUUAAACUUAGACUAAUUACAAAACUAAUUACACAACCCCUAGGCUAAAUCGCGAGACGAAUCUAUUAAGCCAAAUUAGUCCAUGAUUUGAUAAUAUGGUGCUACAGUAACCAUUCACUAAUGAUGGAUUAAUUAGGCUUAAUAGAUUCGUCUCACGAUUUAGCCUAGGGGUUCUGCAAUUAGUUUUGCAAUUAACUUAUAGUUAGUCCUCCUAAUUAGUAUCGAACAUCCGAUGUGACAGGGCUAAAGUUUAGCCCCCUCCUCCCAAACACCCUACACCUCGAGUUCUUGGAACUAACUGACGUUCACAUGCAACCUCCACAAGGUGCUGUAUGCUUUUGACAUUCACCUGCCAGUUCGUGUAGACAAGGGCACCCUAACGUAUGGUUAAUAUUAUCCAUUUCAUGAGUAAAAUACUGUGAUUCAAAAAUACUUCAAAUCCCUUAAGACAAUACUUCUCACUUGACUAACCACUAACCAACCCUGAAACCCUAACUCAACCACGAACCCUAACCCUUAACGGCCUAACCACUCCGUUUUGUCGGCGAGAUGGAGGAACUGGCUGGGUGGGAGAGAGGGCAGCGGUCCAAGGUUGAAAACGACGGGCGAGCGCAGUAACAUGUGGAGGAGGAAGUGCCGCGUAUUGGUUCACCGCUAUUGGGCAGCAACACGCGACACGCCCAAUAAAAUUUUCGCACGGUAGAAGGACGUCAUGUAUUCAAUAAUGUUAUUGGUCCCCCAUGUGCAGAAGGGCACGCAUGAAAUGUCUGGCCCACGGUAAACAAGUACGGACGCUUCUACUCUGCUCGUCCAGUCCCUAGCCUAUAAAUAGAUGCCAUGCUAGCUCUUGUUGUGCUCACAAUUAAUCCGACUACACACGAGCUUCUCUCCCUGGCCAAGACACAAUCAUAGUAUGAUGAAGAACAUGGCACUAGCCGGCAAUGGUAUGAAGAAGUUAAUCCUCGCUGUUCUCUUACUCUGUCUAGUUAUAGGGCAGAUACAAGUGGAAGCUAAGAGCUGCUGCCCAUCCACCACUGCAAGAAAUAUCUACAAUACCUGCCGUUUCGGGGGUGCAUCCCGUUCAAUGUGUGCAAAACUGUCAGGCUGCAAAAUUAUCAGUGGGAACAAAUGCAAGCCCCCUAACGACCACCUCACCCUUGACCCGGACACUGGUAAAUAAUAAAUUUAUCUCACUUGAUUUCUUCGUGAUUUGAGUCGUUAAUGUAUUUUCCAUCUGAUGAAACGUAUUGGUUUUGCAUUGAAGAGGAAGUUAAUGUGCUUAACUUCUGCAAGUUGGGGUGUGCGUCGUCUGUGUGCAACAACAUCAACGCUGGUAAGCACCUUUUGCUCAGACGGAGAAAACAAUAAUCAUUAAUUAGCGGCAGCUAGAAUCCUAUAAUCUAAUAUAUUUAUAUAUAUAUAUAAUUUUAUCAGCUCUGGGAAAUGAAGAGGCGAACGAUGCCGUUGAGAGUUGCGACCAAGCCUGCUCUAGCUUCUGCAGCGUGCAUGUUGGCAGCGCCACCGUGGUUGCUUAAGCAAAUGCAUGCAACUAGAUCGUCCUUGUGCUGAAUAAUUGGAUAUCGUAUCCACUUAAAGCUGCCUUGUGUAGUACGUCUUUGUUUGUGUCUCUCUUUAUAUUCCACUAAGGUCGGUGAUCUUGAUGCCACACACACUCAGAUGUGUGUUCAUCUCCAGAUACUACUCCAUGCUACCUGCCCUUUUUGUUUUGUUCAAUAACUGGGUAUCAUAUCCCGGCCAGUGUGCCAUCUAUUUUGUGUUUGUUUCCUUCUAGUUCCAAAGGGGUCAUCAUGAUGUUACCUUCUUUCGAUAUGGUGCUUUGCAUGACAACUGUUGUAUGGUACCAUCUUGUUGGCCAAUAAAUACAUCUUAUCCUAUGACCCUUUGCUAUGACCCUUUGCAAAUAAGUACAAGAUUGUUAUAAGCGUCAAUACUCAGUAUAAUUGAUCGCUGCUGUGAGUUCCCUUUCAGCUUAUCGUAGGCACACAUUAUUGCUAGCACGGUAAAGACAACCAACACGAAUGAUGAAGUAAACGUAGCGGUACUUUUGUAUACCAACACCCUUACUUAAAUGUACUGGUGUCAUUCCCUACUGGCACAUAUAUUCUUAUAUGCUAGCCAGAUUGGAAAAUUAACCAAUUAAAAUAAUUAUUUCAAGAUAGAAAUAACUUAUCGGCUUCUCGAAGCAUGUGUAAUUUUAAUUCAAGGACUCAAUGGAAGUUGAAUCACUUCAUCUAGAUUGCCUUCUGGAUUUUGGUUAACUAAAUUUAACAUUUGUGUCGGGGGGAAAUAUUAACGAUUUUCUUACGCUCUCUAAUUAACGGAUACAAGGGCUAGGGCCCACCCCUAAUACCCAUAAUCUCCGCUAACAACACAUCCCAGAGGCACUCCGCUCCGCCUCGCCCGACUUCAGGGUCGCAGGGUCGGACGUGCCCGACCCCCCAAGGCCUCGCCUCGUCUCAGCCGAUGGAGUUCCGCCUCGCCCGACCCUGAGCCCAACGGAUCGGACGCGCCCGACCCCUCGAAGCAGGACUCCGCCUCGCCCGACCCUGAGCGCAAGCGGUCGGACGUGUCCGGUCCCACCUGACAGAGCUCCGCCUACCCGAAGGUACGAGCAGGUCAUCAGACGGAAGCGCGGGCUCUGUGAGUCCCCCUGGGCUCACCCAACCGAUGGGACCGCGCAAGCUUCCAGAUACAGUUCUGACACAUGGAGAGGCGCCCGCGUUCCUCGACAUGACCUGUCAAAAUGUUGGUCUGCGCACUGCUGCCACGACUGCACAGGGCUACACCUGCACCGUCCUACCCCACUGUGACAUCUGUCAUAGGGCACUCAUCGCUCAUACCAUCUAAUGGAGGAGGGAAAACCGCCUAGUUUUCCACGUGGGCUAGCAAGAAGAGCACGUCAGCCACGCCGCCCCGUCAGGGUGCAUGGCUACAGUGGUUGACCAUCACCCGCGACGUGCACAGUCACAGUGGCCAGUCGUCACCACCAACUUGCACAGCUACAGUGGUCGGCCGCCAUGCACGACUCGCGUGUCCGGCUACAGUGACCGACCGCCGAGUCACCGAUGGGACCCAACGGCAACCCCUAUCCCUUAGUAGCAGUACCGACAAGACGCAGAGACAAGAAGGGAAGACGACGUCUCUAGUAGCCCCACUUGCUUCCCUUUUUACCUUUCUACCUGUUUACCUUCCUUACUCCCGGCUCAUUUGUAACCUCUGUAUCCUCCUUGCACUAUAAAAGGAGACCAGGGGGUCUGAGGGCAAGGGACCCUCGGAGACCGAACCCCGAAUUCACCCAAGUACAAACCAACCGAACCACCAGACGAGAAAGACUCACAGAGAUCUGGGAACCAGCUUCCCUCUCUCACCUAUUUGUAGCCUCUACUCCAGACUUGGUACGAGUAACACGAGCAGCCACCCGCACUGGACUCCUCCGCCAGAAACUGGUCCAACCAGUCGGGUCCCUCCCCCUGCUCUUCGUCCUCAUCAUCCUCAUCAUCGUCGUCCUCAUCCGUUGCCGUGUCUGGCCCCUCCGCAGCCUUCAGAACUCCGCUGCAGCUUUCUUUUUCUUCCUCACCGUCUCCUUGUCCUUCCUCUUCUUCUGUGCUUCGUCGAGGAGGCGGUUCCGCUGCCUCUGCACCACGUCCUCUGGCACCGGUGGACGGGAGGCUGUGACAUGGUUUAAGUUACCCUGCAGAUUCGAAGACUCCGCGUCAGAAUAGCAAACCAGGAAAUGCAGGAAAGAAGAACGAGAGUGCAAAUUUCUAACCAGCAGGACAUAGGCCUCGUCCGGGCGCAUCGGAGGGUGCCCCGGCACCGGGAACACGACAUCCCUGUCACCCAAUGCAUCCCGGACACGCUGCUCGAUCUCGGCGUCGGCAAUUGCACCCGUCGCAAGGACGGUGCUGUGGUACGCCCCAACAACUCCGGCCCCGGUCAGGCCCUCCUCCUUCAGAAGGUUGAUGGCUUCGAGGAGACCCCGGAUAUUCUUCUUCUCCUUCUCAACAGGGCCAUAUGUCCACGUUCCCGGUGCCUCCACGAUGACGCGGCCAGUGAACUCCGUCAAGAGGACAUCGGGGCGGUUCUUCACAUAGAGCCACUGCUGAUGCCACCCUUUGUGGGAUGACGGGGUCUUCAUCGAUGUAUACUCCUUGGGCCGAUGGCCACAGAGGUGGAUGCCGGCACACCCCAUCAGCAUCGGAAUCGUCCGCGUCUGGUUUCCUCUCUUCUCGGUCCUCUGAUGAAGAGUGACAGCGAAGAAGUACUUCCACAGGGCGAAGUUGGGCUCGAUCCCCAGGUAUCCCUCCCAAAGCACGACGAACGCCGCGAUGUGCUGGAUUCCGUUGGGGUUGAGGUGCUCCAGCUCAAUGCUAUAGUAGUGCAGCAGCCCCCGGAAGAAGCGACUUGGGGGAACCGCGAACCCCCUCUCGUGGAAGUGCGCGAAGGAGACGAUGUACCCGUCCUCCGGCUGUAGCACGGCCUUGUUCCCGGGAUACCGCCACUCGUUCUCGGCGAUCCUAUCGCGAAGAAGGCCCUUCUUCACGAGACCGAUCACGCGCGCGGUGUUGAAGAUUGACCAAGACCUUGAAUCCAUCGCCGAGGAAGGGGAAGGCUCGACGGCGGUGGUGGAAAGGUGAAUGCUCUGGCUCGAAAGAGGAUGAAAAGUGAACAAGGAGGCGAGAAAGGCUGAAGACGAGUGCGGAGCGGAGCAAGCAAGGUAAGCUCUCUCGUUUUACAGGGGGCGUGCGAGAAACGAAAGGCGAACCGAACGCAUUUAUUGCGACGUCAGGUAUGCCCCAUCGCCUCCGCCUUUCUUCGGAAACCGUACGCAUGAUUUCUUUUUAACCGCAGGGAACGCUACGCCCCCUCGCCCCACGAGCCCGGUGUUUUUUGCCGCUUCGUCUCCUGGAGGUCAUGCGCACAACUUCCUCCACAAGCGGCCCAGGGCCCGCUUCAGGUAAAAAAGGGAUACAGAGCUGAAAACACUCUAACGGCCCAUUACGGUCCAGGGGUUCGAAGGCUGGCCCUCUAGAGGGUUCGACAUCCACCCCAGGACAUUUCUUGAGCAAGGGGUGAGAAGGGACGGGUCCGCUAGCGACCACUACCCUGGUGAACAAAAGCCAAGGGCGUCCCGACCUCACAUUUGAGUCUCGAUUGGCGUUUAAGUUCAUGGUUUUUCCCCGAAGAAAGGCAAAGUGCCCCCGGAUCCGGUUGAACAGACCUGGGAACUAUAUGAACUGGCCGUCCGAAAUCUGGAGUACGCCACCAGCUUGGCCCAAGCCGGACCCGCCCGAACAGGGACCGGGACUCCACUCGAACUGACCCGUUAGCAGCUCACCGAGCACCAUGGUUCGUCCGAUGAGGAUAACAUGGCACGGCUCACCCCCUCCGUCCCAACGAACGGACGCUGAGGGGUAACGACUAAAAGACGAUCCGACCUCUCGAUCGGUCCCCUGCAAUGCGCGGGGGCUCGAGGGCUGGAAUCACAACGAAACGACCAUGCGCAUGGUUACGACUCGGAAUUUUGAGGCAGGAAUGGUCAUUGAAACAAUAGGGAAUCUUCCCAAACCGUACCAUCCUCAGAACACUCUGGCUACCCAAAACUCCCCGGCCAGGCCAAACAAGCAAAACUUUUCUCCUGAUCAAAUCAAGGUACAUGUUAAACAAGACCCCUGACAAACACUCUGCCGAGAGCCAAUCACAGCCUCUGGAGGAGCACCUUGCUCCACCAAAGGCUCGGGGCCUACUGUCAGGGGGAAAUAUUAACAAUUUUCUUACGCUCCCUAAUUAAUGGACACAAGGGCCAAGGCCCACCCCUGACACCCGUAAUCUCCACCAACAACACAUCCCAGAGGCACUCCGCUCCGCCUCGCCCGACUACAGGGUCACAGGGUCGGACACGCCCGACCCCCCGAGGUCUCGCCUCAUCUCAGCUGAUGGAGUUCCGCCUCACCCGACCCCAGGCGUAAGGGGUUGGACGCGCCCAACCCCUCAAAGCAGGACUCCGCCUCGCCCGACCCCGAGCGCAAGGGGUUGGACACAUCGGAUCCCACUAGACAGAGCUCCGCCUCGCCCGAAGGUAUGAGUAGGUCAUCAGACGGAAGCGCGGGCUUUAUGAGUCCCCCCAGGCUCACCUAACCGAUGGGACGCGCACAAUUCUAGAUACAGUUCUGACACGUGGAGAGGUGCCCGCGUUCCUCGACAUGACCUGUCGGAAUGUUGGUCUGCACACUACUGCCACGACUGCACAGGGCUACAACUGCACCGUCCUACCCCACUGUGACAUCUAUCAUAGGGCACUUAUCGCCCAUGCCGUCUAACGGAGGAGGGCAAACCGCUUGGUUUUCCGCGCAGCCUAGCAACUACAGCACGUCAGCCACGCUGCCCCGUCAGGAUGCAUGGCUACAGUGGUUGACCGUCGUCCGCGACGUGCACAGCUACAAUGGCCAGUCGUCACCACCAACUUGCACAGCUACAGUGGUCGGCCGCCAUGCACGACCCGCGUGUCCGGCUACAGUGGCCGACUGCCGAGUCACCAAUGGGAUCCAACGGCAACCCCCAUCCCUCAGUAGCAGUACCGACAAGACGCAAAGACAAUAAGGGAAGACGGUGUCUCCAGUAGCCCUACUUGCUUCGCUUUUUACCUUUCUACCUUUUUACCUUCCUUACUCCUGGCUCAUUUGUAACCCCUGUGUCCUCCUUGCACUAUAAAAGGAGACCAGGGGGCCCGAGGGCAGGGGACCCCCGGAGACCGAACCCCGAAUUCACCCAAGUACGAACCAACCGGACCACCAGACGAGAAACACUCACAAAGAUCUGGGAACCAGCUUCCCUCUCUUGCCUGUUUGUAGCCCCUACUAUAGACUUGGUACGAGUAACACGAGCAGCCACCCGCACUGGACGUAGGGCUAUUCCUGCCCGAACCAGUAUAAACCUCGCGCCCUCUCGUACAACCAUCCAAGCCUUACGCGUAGAGAAACAAAUUUACUAAGCCGGUAGUCUUGACCCGUGAUUCGUGAGACCGACAAUUUGCACAUACAAAUGUUAAAGUACAAAUGUUAAAUCUAGUUACCAAGCAGAAUACGAAAUAGCGGGCUAUAGUGAGGCUAUAGCGGCGCUAACUGCUGCAACAACAGUGUUGUACUAAUUAGCAGGCUAUAGCGGAGCUAUAGCGGUUGAGCACAGCUCUACGCUAAAUAUCAUAGCCCUCAAUUUUGUACAUUGUAUAUACUAUAUAAAUCUAGUUAACAUUUAGUCUAAAUGUUAAAUCGAGUUACCUAAAAUCCUGAAAGCAAAAUGUAUAAAUAUAUAUCUUUUAGGGUAGUAUAAGCUUCGAUUCCUUUUGCUGCUCUGUUAAAUCUCAUCUUUCGUUGUAGCCCAACACUCUAGUAUUGAUUUUGCACCAAGCUUCUUUGAGCCGCUCUGCCCUCUGAUUUUGCUGCGUAGGGGAAUCUUUAUCAGGUUGGGCUACUUCCAGUCGUGCGAUGUAUACCUUUGUAUCUUCUAGAAGGUAGACAGAAAACCCGCGUUCUCUUAAGGCAACAACCAGAAGAUUCUGCAGCGCACGGGGCAUAUCAUUGUUGUAGAAACGACCUUUAGUAUCGAUCUCCAACCCCUUAUAGUACUGGUUUUGCAACCAGUACCGUUAUGUCGGACCUUUAGUACCAGAUCAAAUAACCGGUUCUAAAGGGACUCCUUUAGUACCGGUUGGUAACCAGUAUCAACUUGUUUUGCGGCCAAAAAAAUAAAGAAAAAAAUAGCCAGAAGGCUAGCACACACACACAUCCCACGAAAUAUGCGCGUGCGCGGUCCAUGGGAUUCGAACCCAUGAAAUCAAGCUGCGCGCAACCCUUCGUUACCAUCUCACCUUCAGUACCGGGUCAUAACACCACCCGGUACUAGUAUCGGAUGCUGUAAUGACUCGAUACUAAAAGGCCUCUAGGGACCCUCAAAUUUGGACCCGAUACUAAUGCUAACAUUAGUACCGGGUCAAAGUGCAGCCAGUACUAAAGCAUGGGACGAAAGGUCAUAUUUCUAGUAGUGUAUAGUUGUUGUGUAGGACUGACUUGGCUGUCCUCUCUCUUCUCCAUCCCAUUGGUCUUACGCCGCCGCUCGCACGCGAGCCGGCACCCAACCAGAGGAGUGAGAGCUAGGGGCGGGUUGGGAGGUGGGGGUAGCGACUGGUGGCUAGGGUGAUGGUUGAUGUUGGCGGGGUUAGGGUUUCAUGGUUUUCAAGCUACCUACGGCCGGCGAACCUAGAGGAGGAGGUCGACAUCAGCUGCAACCCGCGGUGGUGGUGGUUUGGCCGGCGCCCCAGGCGAGGCAGCGUGGGAGUGCUGCUGGCGGGUUGGUGUUGGCGCUCAUUAUUGACACAUUUUUAGUACUAUUUUGUUCAUGGAAUAACACUCAAACGUGCUGGUGCUGCUGCCGCCAUCGCCGCCCUAGCCAUAAUAUAAAGGCAAAAUUUGCUAGAGGACAUGCAAAAUGAUGCUAGUUUGCUGGAGGGCACCGUUGACCAUGUAAUAUGCUACAAGACACUCUAGUUGUUCUAGAGUGUAUCAAUUUGCUGAAAGACAUUGCUACGACUAAAAUAAUGUUUCUGGACUGAGUUGGAGAGAGAGAUGGAGUGAAAUGUCUGUUUUGCCCAUGACCCCACUGAUCAGAUCCUUCUUCUUCCACCCUCCUUUCUUCUUUCUUCAACCAUUACCCAGCUCUAGUGUGUUGCAGAUCUACGAGGGUGGCGGCCCGGGGCGAGGGGCAUCGCUUGCCCUCAGACGAGCGCCGCGAGCGACGGCGCGGGGGCAGCAACGGCGCGUCGGAACCUGACCGUUCGUUAGCUCCUCUCGCUGCUGGGGAAGGAGGGGGAGGGGCCAUGGACGGGGUUCCCUCGAAAACCUUAGCCUCGAGCUCAGGCGGCUACGCGCAGGCAGCACUAGGCUCUUCGCGGGGAGGGGGCGCGGCCAAUCAUUGGCACCCCACUGGUCCAAUGCUGAUGAAGAUGGUGCCAGCGUCGUGAAGAUGGUGCCAGCGUCGUGUGAGGACCUCUCAUCUCCUCGAGUUCCAUGGCCAGCACAGGUGAGCGUCCGCUACCACAAAACAGAGGUGUCGUGAGAGUCAAAAAAACUCAUGAAAAUAGCUAAAACCAUCAUGAAAAUAAUCCAUGACACGACACUCUAACGAAAAUCCUCUCACAAAUAUGGUGCCAUCAAAAUACCAUUUUCAUGAGAGUGAACUGUCAUGAUUUUAUUUCGUGAGAGUAUUUCCUAUCAAUGACCUCCACGAAAUACUUUGUGCCACCAGGUCUUCAAGAUCAUUUUCAUGAGAGCCGAACGUCACGAAAGGUCCGCCACAAAUGUUUUUCCUGGGAGCCUCUAACUCUCAUCAAAAGCAUGUGGGCCGCCGCGAAAAACAGCCUGACCAAAUGACAAUUUUCAUUUUCAUGUGCUCUUACCGCCAUGAAAAUGGUCAUUUUCAUGAGAGUUGAUGAAACAAAAAAAUAGUGCCAUUUUCAUGAGAGUUCAAGCAACCAGGAAAAGGCACUAAUAAACAUCCAGAUCCCAUCCAGCACACAUCCAUGCACAUAUAUAACCCACAUAUUGCUCCAGCAACAUCCAUGCAUAUACAAGAUCCAAAUGUCUUGGUAUGAACCUACAUGCAUGUGAUGAACCAGUAACCUGCAAAAAGAGCUCAUAGGAUCUUGUCCUCAUAUUGUAGCUGUGAAAUUCUUGCAAGUAGUGUUGCAAUCAGUUCACUUUGAACCAAAAGAGCUCAAAGGAUCAUGUCCUCAAAGUUCCUCUUAAAGCUUAUGGGUUUGCUGGUGGAACUGGAAGGGCUUGAUGCAGCAUGCCAUUCUGCAAUAGAGAAAAAUUUAGAAAGCUGUACUAGUUAAAAUUGGAUGCAGCAGAGACACAUGAAACUAGUAUUUAUACAAUUCUAUAUAUAUAAUAAUUUGUCCCCUAAAUUUUUAGGAUCCUCUCGACGGUGGUGAGUCUUCCAGUAAGGCAAUUGAAUGUCCAUCGUGAUAAAAUUCUCCUUUGGAUUUAUCAUCUUCUCAACCAGAAAUCCUAGGAGUUCAUCCUUAAGCCUUACCAGUUGUAAUUUGGAAAUAUGUGAAAGUUAAACGAACAAUUAAAAUCUAAGGAUCCUUAUCAUCAUUUCCAUACGUUUGCGAAUUAAAAUAAUGAAGGAUACAAUGUUAGGUGAAAAUUCAAGAAACAAAAUUUUGUAUAGAGAUAAUGGUCCGACAUUAUUACAAGUUAAAGUUGUUUUAAAUAUCCUUGUAAUCUUCCUUUGGUUUCCUCGACGAUUCCAAGACAGUAACCUUGCUUCUAUCAAUGAUAAUUAUAAGGAGAACCCAAUGAAAACUGUGUAUUCAUAUUAGAACUAACUAAGGUUAAUUCGGAUAGGAAAGGAAAUCAAAAAUAGAUGGUACCCACACUUACUUAAAGUUGUAGGGUAGUAGUAUGUAAUGCUUGUAAUUCUGUUGCUCCAAGAAUUUGUAUAUGUGGUUCAAUGUAGACUUUGGUUGAUCCUGUAUCUGCUGUUGGUUGAAUAAGUGUUUCUAACCAUUUCUAGCCGUUAGAACUGGGACUAAAGGGAGCUCUUAGUGCUGGUUGAUAUUACUAGUCGGGACUAAAGAGCCCCCGUUAGAGUUGGUUUUCGGACGUGGAACUAACCACUCCUUUAGUCUCAAGUCCAAAAAUGAUUGAGACAUUUGUUGCUGGAUGGAACACUAGUAGAGAAUUGGCUUUCGAUGCGCCCCCUUUUGUCCCGGUUUAAAGUUGGACUGGGACAAAAGAGGGUGCGCCACGGUAGGUAAAAAUGGAGGGGGGAGUUAGUCCCGGUUGGUAAUUGCAACCGGGACUAGAGGCCCCCCUUUAGUCCCGGUUGCAAUGGCUAGCUGGGGGGCGUCGGUGGCGGCACCUUUUUGUCCCGGUUGGAGUCUCCAACCGGGAUAAAAGGUCCACCCUUUUAUCCCGGUUGGAGGCUCCAACCGGGACAAAAAGUUUAGUCCCGGUUGGAGCUUCCAACCGGGAUAAAAGGGUGUCCCUUUUGUCCUAGUUGGAGCCUCCAACCGGGACUAAACUUUCAACCGGGACAAAAGGUGUGGUUGGAGUUUUUAACUGGGAUAAAAACUCAUCCCCCAUUAUAUACCAAGACAGAGGACUUUCUUCCUCCUCCAGCCCGAGCCAGUCCAGCACAUUCACAGAGAGUUGACCUUCACCUACUCUCCGGUGGUGCCGAAGCAAGGAGGUGCUGCCCGAAGUUUUUUCCCUCAUUUUCGUGGGAAUUUCACUCAGCUAACACAAGUGUUGUGAAGGUUUGCUACUUCAUCCUCGUUUAUGCUUUGAUUUAUGCUUUGGAGAUGGAAAGAUUAUUUGUUAGAAUGUGAUGAAGUAGAAAAUGGAGAGAAUAUUUUGAGCUAGAAUGUGAGGGAGAUUGAUGUGUCAUAUAUAGUAUGCAUUCUUGCAGUGGUUUAAGAAUGAUGCUACCUUGUCCAGACAAUUUAUCUUAUCAAAUUCAAUAUAGUUUUUCAAAUCCAUACUUGUUGAACUUGCAUACCGUGUUCAUCUCUACGAGGAUAUUCUCUGCCGAGCAGCAACGUAUGUCAAGAAGGAGGUUCGAUUCUACGAGGAAGAGUGGAUACGGACAUCGUGACCGUGUCCCCUUUUCCGUAGCAUCUAACCUCUUUCAUGAUGAAGUGCGGUGCCGCCCAGUUGAGAACAUGCUCGCGAGAUGAACACAGUAUGCAAGUUCAACAACUUCUGCAGUAGUAAGGAAAGAAUUUUUGUACAUAGAUGACUUCUGCUACUUGUUGAACUUAUCAAAUUCAAGAAGGUUUUUCAAAUCCAUACUUGUUGAACUUGCAUACCGUGGUCAUCUCGCAGAGGAUGUUCUCCGCCGAGCAGCAACGUAUGUCAAGAAGGAGGUUCGAUUCUACGAGGAAGAGUGGAUACAGACAUCGUGACCGUGUCCCCUUUUCCGUAGAAUCGAACCUCUUUCAUGACGAAGUGCGGUGCCGCCCAGUUGAGGACAUGCUCGCGAGAUGAUCACGGUCUUUAAGUUUAACAACUUAUGCAGUGUUAAGGUAAUAAUUUUUGUACAUAGAUGGCUUCUGCUACUGGAGAAAGUGGCGAUGGUGGGGGUGAUCGUGGUUCCUCUUUCGGCAAGGGGAAAAUCAUAGUUGGCCCUCAGCAUAAGCCAAAGAAAAAGAGCGCACUGGAAAAAGCAAUGCUUCGUUAUUUGCAGCAACGUCAUGAAGAAGUUGUUGCCGCGGGUCAGGAACCUCCUUUUGGUCGUCGUUAUGCUCCACCCUUAGUCCCGGGUGUUUCACAUCCACUUAGUACUACCGUUUCAGGCGGCACAAAUAAACCUAAGGAUGAGGCUAGGUCAGCGGAACUUUCGUCUUCACUGUCCAAGGAUGCUUAAAGUCCUCCUAGAUAAUAACCAGUGGAUGGCUUGUUGUAUUGUAUCAUGUUGUUUGGAUCUUUAAUUUAAAUAUGUGUAUUUGGAUCUUCAUGUUGUUGUAUUGUACCAUGUUGUUUGGAUCUUUAAUCAAUUUUCACACGUAAUCCAUUGUCAAGUGUAAUCCAUUUUCAUGCAUAAUAAGAUGCAGAUGGACCGGCAAUGGAUGUAUAAUGCAGACAGGCAGAGCAAGGUGUUUAUUGAUGGCUUGCAUUAUUGUCUCGAAGUGGCCAAAGCGAACAAGCCAGAGAAUGGGUUCGUAUGUUGUCCAUGCUUCCAAUGCAAUAACAAGAAGGAGUAUUCAUAGGAUUCCUGGGGGACUAUUCACAGCCACUUGUUUAAAUACGGUUUCAUACUUAACUAUUUGGUUUGGACCAAGCACGGUGAACGAGGGGUCGUAAUGGAAGAUGGCGAGAAGGAGGAGGAAGAUGACACCAUUCCAGACUGGGUUGUAGGCCAAGCUUUUGCAGGUACUACAAUGGGCGAGGCUCAUGAAGAUGAGUUUGCAGAAAAUGGCCCUAUUGAUGACUUUGGUCAGGUGAUACGAGAUGCAUACAGAGAUUGCGAAAUUGAGAAGGAAGCAGCAAAGUUGCAGCGCAUGAUAGAUGAUCACCAAAAAUUAUUGUACCCAGGUUGCCAGCUGGGCCAUAAAAAACUAGGUACGACACUAGAAUUUGUGCAAUGGAAGGCAAAAAAUGGUGUGUCCGAUAAGGCAUUUCAGGGGAUGUUGACCAUUGUCAAGAAGAUUCUUCCCGAGAAUAAUGAAUUACCGUCCACAACAUAUGAAGCUAAACAGAUUAUUUGCCCUCUCGGAUUGGAUGUUCAGAAGAUACACGCAUGCCCUAAUGACUGUAUCCUCUAUCGUGGUGAUGACUACGAGAAAUUGGAUGCUUGUCCCGUGUGCGAAGCCCUGCGGUAUAAGAUUAGGUGAGAUGAUCCUUGUGAUGUCGAGGGGCAGUCUCCCAAUAAGAGAGUUCCCGUGAAGGUGAUGUGGUAUUUCCCUAUAAUACCACGCUUGAAGCGCUUGUUCAGGAAAAAGGCGAAUGCUAAGUUGAUGUGAUGGCACAAAGAAGACCGUAAGGAAGAUGAGAUGCUGAGACACCCCGCAGAUGGGGCACAGUGGAGAUCAAUUGAUAGAGCAUUCUCGGACUUUGAAAGUGAAGCAAGGACAUAAGGUUUGGUUUAAGUACUGAUGGAUUCAAUCCAUUCGGUGAGUUGAGUAGUGGCCAUAGUACUUGGCCUAUGACCCUAUUUAUGUUGAACCUUCCUCCUUGGCUAUGCAUGAAGUGGAAGUUCAUUAUGAUGCCGGCGCUUAUCCAAAGUUCAAAACAACCCGACAACGACAUUGACGUGUACCUAAGACUGUUGGUUGAUGACCUUUUACAGCUCUGGAAGGAAGAAGGUGUACGUGUGUGGGAUGAGGAUAGACAAGAGAUCUUUAAUCUACGAGUAUUGUUGUUUGUAACCAUCAAUGAUUGGCCUGCACUGAGUAACCUUUCGGGACAGACAAAUAAGGGAUAUCGGGCAUGCACCCACUGUUUAGACGACACAGACAGCAUGUAUUUGAAGCAUUGUAAGAAGGUCGUCUACAUGGGUCAUCGUCGAUUUCUCCCUGCUCACCACCAGCUGAGAAAGAGCAGGAUGCAUUUCAAAGGGGCGCCAGACCAUCGUAAAAAACCUGCACACCAUAAUGGAAAGUGUGUCUUCAAGAUGAUGAAGGAUGUAAAUGUAGUCUUUGGAAAGGGUCUUGGUAGCCAACCUAUUCCAAACGACAAUAACGGACAUGCACCCAUGUGGAAGAAAAAGUCAAUAUUUUGGGAGCUACCUUAUUGGGAAAUCCUAGAGGUUCGCAAUGCAAUAGACGUGAUGCACCUGACGAAGAAUAUUUGCAUGAACGUGCUAGGCUUCAUGGGUUUUUAUGGGACCUCAAAAGACACAUUGGAAGCACGACAGGACCUGAAAGCCAUGGGGCAACGAGAUGACCUACAUCCGAAAAAGAGAGAUAAUGGAUAGCACUACUUACGUCCUGCCAGUUACACUCUGAGCAAGGAAGAGAAGGAUAGCAUGUUUGAAUGCUUGAAUAGUAUGAAGGUCCCGUCUAGGUACUCCUCGAAUAUAAAGGGAAUAAUAAAUAUGAAAAAAAAGAAGUUUAUAAAUCUCAAGGCCCAUGACUGUCACAUGUUGAUGACCCAGUUGCUUCCGGUUGCACUGAGGGGUGUUCUACUAGAAAAUAUCCAGUUGCCGCUCGUAAAGCUAUGUGCGUUUCUAAAUGCGAUUUCACAGAAGGCAAUCGAUCCAUCCAAGCUAUCAAAGCUACAGAACGAUGUGGUGCAAUGUCUUGUCAGUUUUGAGUUGUUAUUUCCACCAUCCUUCUUCAAUAUUAUGACGCACUUACUGGUUGACCUAGUAAAAGAGAUUGGUAUUCUCGGACUUGUAUACCUGCACAAUAUGUGGCCUUUCAAGUGUUCAUGGCAGUCCUAAAAAACUAUGCUCUUAAUCGUGCCCAUCCAGAAGGAAGCAUCGCCAAGGGAUAUGGAACAGAGGAGGUGAUCGAGUUUUGUGUUGAUUUUAUUGAUUCAAUUGACUCGAUUGGGGUUCCAACUUCACGCCAUGAGGGGAGGCUCCGAGGAAUGGGCACCCUUGGAAGGAAAUCAAGUUUGAGCAAUGAUACUGAUUUGUUCGACAAGGCACACUACACGGUUCUACAACAGUCAUCCUUUGUGUCUCCAUAUAUUGAGCAGCACAGGCAGAUGGUAGUUUCCAAAAACCCGACCAAAUCCGAUGCUUGGCUUACCCGUCUUCACAUGGAAACUUUUCCCUCCUGGUUGCGCCAACAACUUAUGGGUAACUCUGAGAUUCACCCACAGCUUGCCUGGUUAGCCAGGGGACCUGCUAGCACAAUUGUGAAAUUUCAAGGCUAUGAGAUAAAUGGUUAUACAUUUUACACGAGAGCCCAGGACCAGAAAAGCACGAAACCAGAAUAGUGGUGUCCGCAUACAUGCCAUGGACAGAAAUAAUAGCAAGGAGUCGUAUUAUGGUUUCAUAUAGGAGAUAUGGGAACUUGAAUACGGACCGUUGUACAUCCCUCUAUUUCUUUGUAAUUGGGUGAAGCAAACUGCCGUAACCAAAGAUCAGUACGGAAUGACAAUAGUAGAUCUGAGCAAGACUGGAUACAGUGAUGACCCAUUCGUACUUGCCAACAAUGUGCAACAGGUGUUCUAUGUGAAGGACAUGUGUAGCAAACCCAAGAGAAAUCCAGAAGAGACAUGGGAGCCAAAGUGCCACAUAGUUUUUCCAGGUAGAAGAAAAAUCGUGGGAGUCGAGGAUAAAACAAACCAAUCAGAUGAUUAUGAUUAGUUUGAUGGCAUGCCUCCAUUCGCCGUUGAAGUUGAUCCAAGCAUCCUGCUAUCCAAAGAAGAGGCUCCGUACUUACGCCGCGAUCAUGAUCAAGGAACUUUCGUGAAGAAGAAAUUCUACAACGUUGUAUUGUAAUGCGCUAAAUUUACAUGACCUUUGUGUAGUAAUUGAUACAAUUUUUAAUUUACCCUAUGUAUGAUUUGAUGUGUUCUUAAAUUUGUUAGGUGAAGAUUUAUUAGAUAAACAUGAACAAUGUUAACCACAUACAUACAUGGAUUUUUCUGCGCAUUGAAAUUAUUUAAUGGAAUAAUUUCUUGAUCACAGCGAUGUAGUAAAAUAAAUAUUUUAGAGCCUAAAUGAACUGGUAUAGAAUUAAUGACUAACUCACACUUAUUGUCAAUUUACUCGCUAAUUAAAUAUAUUUUUGCAUGUACAAAAUAUGUGAAGGUUUUUGUUUUUCAUCCUGAAUUGCAGUGAAAAGAUAAAUAAAAUCCAUUUCCAAAAAACAGGCGGGAGAAGAAAACUGGGAAAAGGACCUUUUGUCCCGGGUGCCAACAGAAACCGGGACAAAAAGCCCCCCCCCUUUUAUCCCGGUUGGUGGUGGCACCCGAGAUAAAAGGGUAGGCUCCAAGCCCCACUUGGCGGACGCACCCUUUUGUCCCGGGUCCCGUCACCAACCGGGAUAAAAGGGGGGGCCUUUUAUCCCGGUUGGUGAGGGGACCCAGGACAAAAGGCCCUUUAGUCCCGGGUGUCAUUACGAACCGGGAUAAAAGGGGGGUUAAAAGGCACUAUAGCCCCUUCUACCCCCCACGCCAGUUACAGUUAGCAAAAUUUUCACCAAGAUCCCGCGCGCACUCUGCUCCGUCGCUGCCCGUCCGCCUUCCUCGCCAGCCGUCAUCGUCGUCGUCCCCCAUUGCCCCGGCCGUCGUCGUCCCGCCGGCUGACCGUGCCCAGAUAGCCUCCUCCUCCAUCGCCCCGGCCCGCCUCGAUCCUCCUGCGUCGUGCCCGGCCCCUACCUCAUCGACGCCGGCCACCUCCAUCGCGGGGCCUCAUCGCCGCCUCCAUCCUCGUCGCCACCUCGACGCCCUGGGUCGCCGCCUCGUCGCCCCUCGUCGCUGCCUCGUCGCCGUCCUGCCUCCGCCGUCUCGCCGUCCCGCGCGCCUUCGCUCCGUCGUCGCCUCCGCCGUCCCACCGCCCCAGCCACCGCCAUCCCGCCACCCCGGCCACCUCGUCGCCCCGACCACCGUCGACCGCGCGUGAGGUCCGCCGCACCGGCACUGGCGCCGGGAGUACCGCCUUGCUGACGCAAGCCCACCGGCUUGCGUCAACAAGGGCCUUUUUUAAGUUAGAAAAUAAAUAGAAAGGAGUAGUAAUUAGGUAGAAAUUCAAUAGAUUUUUGUAUAUGUGUUACAAAAUCAAAUUAGUGUAAAUUAGUUGUAAUUAGGUUCGUCGCUCUGCCUAGGUUAGAAAUGAAUCGUGUUUCGUCGUGGUUCCGUCCCCGCCUCCGCCGUCCCGCCACCCUGACCGUCGCCGUCCCAACCUAGGCACCGUCUGUGGUUCCGUCCCCGCCUCCGCCGUUCCGCCUCCAUCGCAAAUUCAUGUUAUUGCUAGAAAUUCCAAUAAAUAUGAACAAAUUAGUAGAAAUUUGGUAGAAAUUAAUCAUUGCUGCGGCCACCUCGCUCCACAAAUUCAUGUUAUUGCUAGAAAUUCAUAAAAAUUCAUGUUAUCACUAGAAAUUCGUACAAAAUUCAUGUUAUUGCUAGAAAUUCGUAAAAAUUCAUGUUAUUGCUAGAAAUUCGUACAAAAUUCAUGUUAUUGCUAGAAAUUCGUACAAAUUCAUGUUAUUGCUAGAAAUUCGUCACAAAGUACUACUAAUUUGCAAAAAUUUGUAUAAAUAUUCCGGACUUUGUGGGAUUCAUGUUAUUUUCUGAUUUCAUGUAUAUACCCUUAUGUACAUAUAACUAAGGAGAUUUCUAUGACUUUCAUGUAUGUUUCAAUCAAUAGUUGAAAUGGCAGACGAUGAGACCGCAAGGUAUCUCAUGGAGCAGAUAAUCGCUGGUGAUGGUAGUGGCGACAACCUUCCACUAUCGUACACCGAUGAAGAGGGCACCCAGGCGGACAUGUUCCUCAACAUGUCCGCCGAUGGGAAUGAAGAGCAAAAGCCCCAGCAACACCUUGCCGGGGCGGAAGGUUCCGGCGAGGUAUAUAUAACGAUUCUUGUAUUGUUUCACACCACCGUUACUACUACGUACUAAUUAACGAAUCAUGAACCGUUAGCCCUCUGGAUCGACGCAAGGGCAGAAGACACGAGGUCGUACAAAGGUGAUGGAAGGGAGGCUUGUCAUCACGGAAGUGAUAGAAGAGGGCAGGCCGGUUGCUCCCGAGAAAGUAGCAAAGAAGUACGUGAGUCAGAUCGGGGCAAUCGUCCGGGACAACGUGCCUAUCAGCAUCAGAGAAUGGAAGGGCAGAAGCACUAAUCCGUACGCCCUCCUGGAGACAGAAAGAAUAUGCUGUGGGAAGAUGUCAAGAGACAUUUCACAUUCACCGAAGGAUAUAUUGAGAAGGAUGUGAAAGCGUGGACGCUUAAGAAGAUGGCUACACAAUUUCCAGACAUUUAAGAAGAUGCUAGAUACCCACUACAUUAAGAAGGGCCGAACUCCAGACUUCAACGCGUGGUCAAAGUUGAGGGACCACUAGGAUGCAUUUGUUGAAUAUAAGAGGAGUGAAUACGAUGUGAAAAAGAUCACGACCAACACAACAAAUGCUAGUCAGAAGGGCUACCAUCAUCAUCUGGGGCGAGAUGGUUAUGGCUCAGCAAUUCCCAAGUCGAGGAAGAUGGAACAAGAUCUGAUUGAACGGGGAAUCGUACCGGCAACUAUUGAAUGGCCCGAACGAUCAAAAAAUUGGUACUACGCUCAUGGAGGCUCCCUGUGCCAAGAGGAUGGGACGUUGAUUUUCAAUAACACAAUACGUUAGAAGGCCAAACAUCUUGUGAAGAACAUUGAAGAUUCUAAGGCUGGGAGGUUGAAGGUGGACCGAGAAAAUGAUGAGCUCACAUUGGCCCUUGGUAAUCCAGAGCACCCAGGAUGUUGCCGAGGGUUCGGGGUCGUUCCGUGGAAGUUUGUUUUCCGAGGCGACAGCGCCUCGUACAGAAGCCGGAAGCGAAGAAAGGAACAGAUCGAGGAGAGCUGGUGGCAGAUGCUAGAAUCCAAAGUGCAGGCACAAGAACAAAGAAUGAUGGAGGAAAUCAAUCGUCGAGUGGCCCACGCAGUUGUGGAGUUGGCCCAAUCUGGAGCAUUGCCGAAUCCUAACAACGCCAGCCCUUCUCAAUGCCUCUUGAGCAGUUAUGCUUCUACAGGGGUCCCCGAUGCGCACACGCCCAGGUUACCCGUGGAGGAGCAACGGUUCCCCGUGGAUGCCAUCACGCAACACACCACAUGUGAGCUGCAUGCACCGGUCGGCAACCUCACUAUUAAGGUAUACUUAUACAUAAUAUUUAUGCAAUCUUGUCAAUUGAUCCACGCCUCGAUAUCGGAGUUUAACUUGUUUACUUCUACUAUAUGUACAGGUAGCGUACGGGAGUGCGUUAGCAACCCUGGCGGGGCAGAGCAGUCAUGGCAUGAAGAUUCCACCUGGCUACGCUAGCGUCCGCGUAGAGCAAAUAGUUGAUAGCCAAUAUGAAGGUCUAGAGCUCGACCUCCCGGGAGGUGACAGGGAAAGAACACUGGCAGAUGCGCUUCAUGGGAUCAUUCUAUGGCGAAAACGCUACAUCAUUAUUCCCGGCACGGAGCCAUCUCCUCAGAGCUCAAGACCACUCCCCGUAGAUCCCCAGCAGCGACCUUCUCCUCAUAGCUCGAGACCGUCAUCUCCUGCACAACCUGCUCCAGGACCGUCCCUUCCAUCUAUAUCAAGGUCUCCAUCUCCACCACAUCCUGGUGGUGGGAGCGACGACGACAAUAACAACACCCCUUCCUGAUCACCAUCGCCGGCACCAAGAGCGGCCCCCAUGAAGGAACCUGCACCACCACUAAAAAAGUCACGAGCACCGCCUCCCAAGCAAAGACAGAGAAAGAAGAAAACAAAGGAGCCUGAAGUGACUCGUAAGGAACGCUGGGAGACAAUGUCUCAUGCGGAACAGUGGGCAGAAAUCCAACAAGAGGCCAGUGAGUGGUUCAAGAAACAAGCCGAAGAAAAAAAAGCAACGGAGAUGCAGCCACCGCCAGUAAAUCGAAGAGAUUUAAACUUUUUUAUCAGGAUGGAAGAAGGAGCCAAGAAAAGGAUACCACUCUUAUCAAACUAUGAACGGGCUUUAGUAAAGGCUGAUGAAAAGGAUAAAAGGAAAGGAAAGUCAUCUUCCAGCGGUGCUGUCCCCGACCUCAGCCAUUUAUCAAAAAAAGAUGCUCAACGGGUAAAAGCAAUGCCCUUGGAUCAACAAGCAGAAGUAUUGAAGUUCAUGCAAGAAACAGGUCUGGGACUUGAUGAAUGCCUAGGGCAAGUUGAGACGCCAACUGCACCGCCCCCUGAGCCGAGAUGGCCUUAUGAGCUAGGCAAACCUCUAGUAAAGCCUUCAUUGGUACGAAAGCUAUCAACAAAGAUGUACGCAUUCCAUCAAUGGUACAUGAUGGCAUCCGCUGACUCAAGGGAGAUGCUCGGCCUGAAGGUAAAACCGAUGGAUUUUCACGACAGAGGCGAGAAAGUGCUGUGGCUAGACUUCAAGGAUAUAUACGAAGUGUACCAUCAUGAUGCCAUAGACGUCUCUCUGAUCCGCGCUUGGGUUCUGUAAGUGUCCGUUUAUCUCUACAUGUAAAUUUUGGCGUGCGUCACCGUACUAACUUCGUCUUCCAUUUCAUGUAGGAUGCUAAUUCAGACAUGCCGCCGAGAGGCGUACCUACAUAUAGGCUUCAUGGAUCCAUCUGUAGUUAACCAACAGCAGAUACAAUUAGCAUCGGAGAAAACCUUGGUGGAAGUAUACAAUUUCCUAGACAAACAAACAUUCAAGGAUUUCAUACUAUUUCCAUACAACUUCAAGUAAGUGUGUGUAUACCGUCUACUUUCGAUGUCUUUUUCCUUAUCUCUACAUGUUAGUUAGCUCUAAUAUGCAUGAACAUUUUACGCACGCAGCUUCCACUGGAUCCUUAUUAUAAUUGAGCCUCAAAGAAGCCACGUCACUGUCUUCAAUUCGUUGAGGAAAGAUCCAGUGGAGCACCAAGAAAUGCAACACAUGCUAGGCUUGUAAUAAUUCUGGACCUUUAUCUCUAUGCAAAAGUUUGUUUCCUAAAUUCUAUCCCUGUUACACUAUAUCAUUCAUUAUUCUAAUCCACAGCGUAUGGAAACAAUUCAUAAGGACACAAAAAGGUCCAUUCAAAGAAAAACUUACAUGGAACACAGACUUCCCGGUACAUAUGAAGUCUGCACAUUUAUUACAUUGUAUAACACGAAUAUUUCAUAACUUAUUUUUUUCCGUAUUGAAGUGCUUAAGACAGGAACUCGGAAAUAAUCUAUGUGGCUACUACAUCUGUGAGCACAUGCACAGUUUUAUGGGACCCAAGGGACUAAAGAUGACGCCGCACAACUUUAAAGUACGUAAAAUAAAACUAUUACUAGUUAAUUAUUUUCUAGCUCCUUAUAUGUAUUUGUUCACGUAACAUUCACAAAUUUCCAAAUUAUAGAUGUUAAAUAUUCAACAAGGACUCUUGAAGGAAGAAAGAGUAGCGGCAAUAUGUGAAGGUCUCAUUGGAUUCCUAAUGGACAAGGUGGUAGAUCCAAAAGGAGAAUUUUAUUUUGAUGGACGACAAUUAGACACUCUGAUCAGCAACACCUCGAUGGGAAGAUUGUAGAUAGAUACUUUGAUUUAUUUGUAUAUAUAAUACGCGCUAAUUAUGAUCGAUUUGUACUAGUUGAAUUCUGUAUAUGAAUUGUGUAUAAGAAUUGUGUAUAUAUAUAGUAACUGUAUAAUUACAAAUCCCAUUCGUUUAAAUACUAGUUAAUUUCAUUCUAAAAAAAUCUCAACUACUUAAGGUUAACAAAAGGGCUGCGGUACUACGUACGUGAUGCAUGCAUGAAAAAUUCAGGCGCCAGGCAGGUGCCAUGCAGGGCAUCAUUUAGUCCCGUUUGGAAUCCAGCCGGGACUAAAGGGUAACCCUUUACUCCCGGUUGGGAAACCCAACCGGGACUAAAGGGGGACCGUUACUCCCGGUUAAAAGACCCGGGACUAAAACCCCCCCUUUUGUCCCGGUUGGCUUAUCCCGGAUAAAUUUUCGGGAGAUAUGCACCCUACCAACCGGGACUAAAGGCCAAUUCUCCACUAGUGGAAGGUCCUUUCUCUACCAUGAAUAUUGCCAGAAAGAAUUGAAAGAGACCGCUUGCUAAAAACAUGUCAUAGAUGCGGACCAAGCUACCAAGGAGGUAGACCAAACAUGAUACACACCAUGCGUACCUUGCUGUGCAGACUAUGCAUGGACAAGAUACCCGACCACAUGUUGGCUUUGGUCACAUCAAAAGAAUCAUGUAGGCCAUUAAUAAACUACUUGAAGCGUCAUUCCGUAUCUUAUAUCCAUCAUCUGCAUUACAUUACAUUAAAUAUUAUUAACUAUUUGAAUAAAAUGAACCAAUUUAAAAAUAAUGAAUUGUACAUUACUACAAAAAGCCCUAGCACUGCCAGUUCCAAAAACAUCAUUGUUGACGGCCGUUAAGUACCAAAUAUGACGGUCAAUAUCCUAAAGAAUAAAGGACAAUUGGCAUUUCUUACACACAUAUUUGGUUUCGAAUAAUGUAGUUCUACAUGUCCUUGGAGAUUAUUUGGGUGUGGGUGAAAUAAUACAAAAAGAAGGAGAAAACACACUCCCAUGGCAAAGAAACAUAACUCCGACCAAUGAGAGAUAGCCACAGGGGCAGCACAUGGAUCCAUGGGCCCACAAACUGCAUCAAACCAUCUUACAAGGCGGGUAGCACCCACAACUGUCAUUAGGACCCACCUGGAAGUCUAGCAAAGAAGAAGGUUGUGAGUGGGGCCACGAGGGGUUCGGUUGAAUCAUCUCUAGCUCCCUUCAUCCCCAGCUGGCGCGUGGCGGUGGUUCAUGGUGUCCCGACAUCGGUUAGAGGACAUUCCCCCAAAUAUUCCUCCUGUAAACCAGCUCUAUGAACCUAUAAAUAGAGGGGUGUGCUCUCCAUUCCAACACACACCACAAGUUGAAGCACUCUCUCCCUCUUUAGUUUCCAAGUUUACGGAGAUAGGCUGGAGUAGCUCUGCUAAAGGUUCCAAGUCCACUUGGAGUUAAGCGUAUGUCUCUUGUAUCAUUAUUUCCUAGAGAGACUUUAUGCUAUUCAAGUUAUUUAUCUUCUUCAUAUAGUGUUAUGCUUAGUUCUUAUAUGCAUGAGUUAGUCUAAUACCCUUGCUCUAUUGAUAUGCUCAGCUUAUGUGCUCGUAUGCUAGUCAUGUACCCUUGCUGUCAUAGUAUAGGGUUAUAUGCUGUCAUGUGUGCCUAUAGACCUUGCUACAGUAUAUACUUGUUGUGUAUACAUACCAUUUGUAUAUACAUUAUUACAAGUUAAGGUAGUUUUAAAUAUCCUUGUGUUGACAACCAAAGCUUGAUCUUUUGUUUCCAUUGCCAGCGGAUUCAUCGGCUCAGAGUAGGAUCAAGACAUCAAGUUGAUGGAGUUCUUUAUAUUUCAAGAGGAGUCAUGGAGUUCUUUAUAUUUCAAGAGGAGUUGAUGGUGCUUUCAAUAUUGCAACCAGACAUCAUUGGCUCUGAAGACACCGAAUCAUCGGAGUUCUAUGAUCAGUUUCGGAACAUGAAGCCUUCAUACUCCGAAACUGGGGGGCCUGUGUUGACACCGAAUUAUCGGACUUCUAUAAUUAGUUUCGGAACAUGAAGCCUUCAUACUUCGAAACUGGGGGGUAUGUGUUUACACCAAAAUUUAGAAAUGUGCUCUGAAAGGAAGGACCUGGGAGAUCUAUUGGCUGAAAUACAAAUCCAUCGAAACUAGCCUUAUGCUAAGAGAUCAGAAUAUUGUACAAAGUCUAGAAAGUUCUAUUUACAUCUAAGUAACUCGAUAACUAGCCUUACGCUAAGAGAUCAGAAUAUUGGACAAAGCCUACAAAGUUCUAAUAUAGGUAACGUAAUGACCAGGUGAGGAUAGUUACAAGCUCGCUUGAGAUCGAAGCCGAUGUAGCCCUGCGCGCAAGAAGAAACUCACCUAUUUCUACUCUACUCUUACUCCUAGGGUUUGAUGGCGUGGCGUCAAAAGAUUGUAUUGAUUGAUUGAUUAUUUGAUACAAAGCUCAUGGGCCUAUAUUUAUACCCUUGAGAAAGCUAAAAUCCUAAUCAGUUAUGACAUGAAUCGUGACAGAAAAUCUAACUAAAGAUAGAUCUCCAUGCUUUCCCUUAUUUGGUGGAGUCGAUUUCACUUCAUAUCGGAUCCCUCCCGAUCUUCUAUCGGCUUCUAGCAUCCGGUCAUCUGCGACUGGCCUUGGUCAACAUCAGGUGUCAACAGACUUAUUUCUUCUACAAGUUCAUCGGCUGUCAGAGCCUUGUCUUAGUCAGUUGACUCUAGUAAAAAAUCGAUGUCAAUACAUGCCCCCCAAUUUUUGAAUAAAAUAUUAUAUUUCAAAAUUCUCUUCUCUUGUCAACAGCUUUUGAAAGAAAAAGAGUCACUGCUGCAAUCAUAAUCUUUUUCCCCGGGUUUUGUGAUAGCACCCUCCUCAUUUUAAGGGAUUCACCAUGUGGAAAUUAUAAUAUAACUGCUUCACCCAUUUCGUUUUCUUCACCAAACCAACUAUUGUCAGCCGCUACAACCAAAAAUCAAUUAUUCCCUUCACAUGCCUAGCGACUGCAUCCAUCACUCAUCGUCACCAUUAGUCUCCAUGUGUCAAGGCUUCUUCAACCAGCAAUGGCGACAUUAUCUUCCAUUCCACAGGUACCAUGUAUCCUAGCCAUUCCUUUCCCCUUUCAACCUGAAAUCCAAUCUAGUCACUAUAUAUCAAACCUGUGUUCUUAAUCAAUACUUGCCCCCUUGUACUUAGAAACACCCUUUUGAUCCCCAUAUCCGAUACGCAAGCAGAAUACUUUCUAGGCCCCAUGGGUAGUGAAGACCCAAUAGAAUCUAUUAAUGCUGAAAUACUUGGACAAAGUCUAGAAAGUUCUAUUUACAUCUAAGUAACUCGAUAACUAGCCUUACGCUAAGAGAUUUAAAUAUUGGAUAAAGCCUAGAAAGUUCUUAUAUAGGUAACUGAAAAGUGUGUUGACGCAAAAAUUGGAUGGUUGACUCCUGCGUACUAACACACGGAACCAGGGAGAAUCUGCUUAGCUACUGUUCGGGUUAUAGCCCUCUCGAUCCGUAGCGUGCCAGUUAAUCUGACCUGCUGAUUGACAAGUAAAAAUGUCAAAUUAAGAGCAAAUCAGCUGGUGUUCCGAAUCGCUCCACGGGACGUAUCAGUAGACAGCCGAUACGGGCAAACGACAAUCAGCUAGAUCAGCCGAUUUGCUCUUGUAUUUGACGUUUUACUUGUCCUUCUCAAUCAGCAGGUCAGAUUGACUCGCACGACGCAGAUCGAGAGGGCUAUAACCUAAACAAGAGCUAAGCAGAUUCUCCCGGGUUUCAUGUCUUAGUACACAGAAGUCAACCGUCUGAUUUUAUCAUCAACACGCUUUUUGGCACGCUCAGUGGGACCCGAUUCAUAUCUUAAUGGUAAUUGGUGAUCAAGUUUCAAACAACGUAUCCACUGGUAGAAAACUGAGCAUUAGUCCCGGUUGGUAAGGGUCAUAUCUCUCGGAUAUCCAUCCGGGAUAAACCAACCGGGACAAAAGGGGGGGGUCUUUAGUCCCGGGUAUUUUAACCGGGAGUAAAGGACCCCCUUUAGUCCCGGUUGGUGUCACCAACCGGGACUAAAGGGCCUGCCACGCCAGGCGCGGGACAGGCCCUUUAGUCCCGGUUGGUGACACCAACCGGGACUAAAGGGGGUCCCUUUAGUCCCGGUUGGAUUUCCCAACCGGGACUAAAGGGGUCCCCUUUAGUCCCGGCUCAAUUCCAACCGGGACUAAAUUGCGCUUGCAUGGCACUGGUGACGCCUGAAUUUUUCAUGCAUGCAUCACGUAUACGUAUAGUAGUACCGCGGCCCUUUUAAUUUGUUAACCUUGUAGUUGAGAUUUUUUUAGAAUGAAUUAAAUCAACUAGUAUUUAAACGAAUGGGAUUUGUAAUUACACAACUACUAUAUAUAUACACAAUCCUUAUACACAAUUCAUAUACACAAUUCAACUAGCUUAAUUAGUACAAAUCGAUCAUAUAUACAAAUAAAUCAAAGUAUCUUCCUACGAUCUUCCCGUCGUGGUGUUGCUGAGAGGAGUGUCUAAUUGUCGUCCAUCGUAAUAAAAUUCUCCUCUUGGAUUUACCACCUCGUCCAUUAUGAAUCCAAUGAGACCUUCACAUAUUGCCGCUACUCUUUCUUCCUUCAAGAGUCCUUGUUGAAUAUUUAACAUCUAUAAUUUGGAAAUUUGUGAAUGUUACAUGAACAAAUACAUAUAAGGAGCUAGAAAAUAAUUAACUAGUAAUAUAUUUAUUUUACGUACUUUAAAGUUGUGCGGCGUCAUCUUCGGUCCCUUGGGUCCCAAAAAACUGUGCAUGUGCUCACAGAUGUAGUAGCCACAUAGGUUAUUCCCGGGUUCCUGUCUUAAGCACUUCAGUGCGGAAAAAAAAUAAGUUAUGAAAUAUUCGUGUUAUACAAUGUAAUAAAUGUGCAGACUUCAUACGUACCGGGAAGUCUGUGUUCCAUGUAAGAUCUUCUUUGAAUGGACCUUUGUGUGUCCUUAUGAAUUGUUUCCAUACGCUGCGGAUUAGAAUAAUGAAUGACAUAGUGUAACAGGGAUAAAAUUUAGGAAAUAAAUUUUUGCAUAGAGAUAAAGGUCCAGAAUUAUUACAAGCCUAGCAUGUCUUGCAAUUCUUGGUAGUCCACCGGAUCUUUCCGUAACGAAUCAAAGACAGUGACGUGGCUUCUUUCAGGCUCAAUUAUAAUAAGGAUCCAGUGGAAGCUGCGUGCGUAAAAUGUUCAUGCAUAUUAGAGCUAACUAACAUGUAGAGAUAAGGAAAAAGACAUCGAAAGUAGACGGUAUACACACACUUACUUGAAGUUGUAUGGAAGUAGUAUGAAAUCCUUGAAUGUUUGUUUGUGUAGGAAAUUGUAUAUUUCGGCAAAGGUUUUUUCCGGCGCUAAUUGUAUCUGUUGUUGGUUAACUACAGAUGGAUCCAUGAAGCCUACAUGUAGGUACGCCUCUCGGCGGCAUGUCUGAAUUAGCAUCCUACAUGAAAUGGAAGAUGAAGUUAGUACGGUGACGCACGCCAAAAUUUACAUGUAGAGAUAAUAAACGGACACUUACAGAAUCCAAGCGCUGAUCAGAGAGACGUCCAGGGCAUCAUGAUGGUACACUUCGUAUAUAUCCUUGAAGUCUAGCCACAGCACUUUCUCCCCUUCACCGUGAAAAUCUAUCGGUUUUACCUUCAUGCCGAUCAUCUCCCUCGAUUUGGCGGAUGCCGUCAUGUACCAUUGAUGGAAUUCGUACAUCUUUGUUGACAGCUUCCGUACCAUUGCCGGCUUCACUAGAGGCUUGCCUAGCUCAUAAGGCCAUCUCGGCUCAGGGGGCGGUGCAGUUGGCGUCUCGACUUGCCCUAUGCAUUCUUCAAGUCCCAGACCUGUUUCUUCCAUGAACUUCAAUAUAUUUUCUUGUUGAUCCAAGGGCAUUGCUUUUACCCGUUGAGCAUCUUUCUUUGAUAAAUGGCUGAGGUCGGGGACUGAACCGCUGGAGGAUGAUUUUCCUUUUCUUUUAUCCUUUUCAUCAGCCUUUACUAGAGCCCGUUCAUAGUUUGACAAGAGUGGUAUCCUUUUCUUGGCUCCUUCCUCCAUCCUGAUAAAAAAGUUUAAAUCCCGCCGACUUACUGGCGGUGGCUCCAUCUCCCUUGCCCUUUUUAAUUCGGCUUGUUUCUUGAACCACUCACUGGCCUCUCGUUGGAUUUCUGCCCACUGUUCCGCAUGAGACAUUGCCUCAAAGCGUUCCUUGCGAGCCACUUCAGGGUCGACCUUUGUUUUCUUCUUUCGAGGCUGUCUUUGCUUGGGAGGCGGUGCUCGUGACUUCUUGAGUGGUGCUGCAGGUUCCUUCGAGGGGGCCGCUCUUGGUGCCAGCGACGGUGAUCGGGGAGGGGUGUUGUUAUUGUCGUCGUCGCUCCCAGCACCAGGAUGUGGUGGAGAUGGAGACCUUGAUAUAGAUGGAAGCGACGGUCCUGGAGCAGGAGAUGCCGGUCUCGAGGUAUGAGGAGAAGGUCGCUGCUCGGGAUCUACGGGGAGCGGUCUUGAGGUCUGAGGAGAUGGCUCCGUGCGGGAAAUAAUGAUGUAGCGUUUCUUCCAUAGAAUGAUCCCAUGAAGCGCAUCUGCCAAUGUCUUUUCCCCGUCGCCUCCCGGGAAGUCGAGCUCUAGACCUUCAUACUGGGCAUCUACUAUUUGCUCGACGCAGACGCUGGCGUAGCCUGUUGGAAUGUCCAUGCCAUGACUGCUCUGCCCUGCCAGCGUUGGUAACGCACUCCCAUACGCUACCUGUACAUAUAGCAGAAGUAAACAAGUUGAACUCCGAUCUCGAGGCCUGGAUCAAUUGACAAGAUUGCAUAAAUAUUAUGUAUAAGUAUACCUUAAUAGUGAGGUUGCCGACCGGUGCAUGCAGCUCACAUGAGGUCCGUUGCGUGAUGGCAUCCACGGGGAACCGUUGCUCCUCCACGGGUAACCUGGGCGUCUGCGCAUCGGGGACCCCUGUAGAAGCACAACUGCUCCCGAGGCGUUGAGAAGGGCUGGCGGUGUGAGGAUUCGGCAGUGCUCCAGAUUGCGCCAACUCCGCAACUGCGUCGGCCACCCGCCGAUUGAUUUCAUCCAUCAUUCGUUGUUCUAGCAUCUGCCGCCAGCUCUCCUCCAUCUGUUCCUUUCUUCGCUUCCGGCUUCUGUAAGAGGCGCUGUCGCCUCGGAAAGCGAACUUCCACGGAACCACCCCGAACCCCCGGCAACGUCCUGGGUGCUCUGGAUUACCGAGGGCCAAUGUGAGCUCAUCAUUUUCUCGGUCCACCCUCAACCUCCCAGCCUUGGAAUCUUCAAUGUUCUUCAUGAGAUGUUCGGCCUUCUCACGUAUUCUGUCAUUGAAAAUCAGCGUCCCAUCCUCUUGGCUUAGGGAGCCUCCAUGAGCGUAGUACCAGUUCUUUGAUCGUUCGGGCCAUUCAAUAGUUGCAGGUAUGAUUCCCCGUUCGAUCAGAUCUUGUUCCAUCUUUCUCCACUUGGGAAUUGCUGAGCCAUACCCACCUCGCCCCAAAUGAUGGUGGUAGCCCUUCUGACUAGCAUUUGCAACGUUGGUCGUGAUCUUUUUCACACCUUCUUCACUCCUCUUGUAUUCAACAAAUGCAUCCCAGUGGUCCCUCAACUUGGGCCACGCGUUGAAGUCUGGAGUUUUGCCCUUCUUGAUGUAGUGGGUGUCCAGCAUCUUCUUGAAUGUCUGGAAUUGAGUAGCCAUCUUCUUAAGUGUCCACGCUUUGACAUCCUUCUCGCUAUAAUCUUCGGGGAAUGUGAAAUGCCUCUUCACGUCUUCCCACAGCAUAUUCUUUUCUGUCUCUGGAAGGGCGUACGGAUUAUCGCUUCUGCCCUUCCAUUCUCUGAUGCUGAUAGGCACGUUGUCCCGGACAAUUGCCCCGAUUUGACUAACGUACUUCUUUGCGACUUUCUCGGGAGCAACCGGCCUGCCCUCAUCUGUAACUUCGGUGAUGACAAGCCUCCCUUCCAUCACCUUUGUACGACCUCGGGUCUUCUGCCCUUGUGUCGAUCCGGAGGGCUAACAGUUUAAGAUUCGUUAAUUAGUACGUACUAGUAGCGGUGGCGUGAAACAAUACAAGAAUGGUUGUAUAUACCUCGCCGGAACCUUCCGCCACGGCAAGUUGUUGCUGCGGCUGUUGCUCUUCAUUCACAUCGGCAGACAUGUUGAGGAACAUGUCCGCCUGGGUGCCCUCUUCAUCCGUGUAUGAUAGUGGAACGUUGUCGCCACUAUCAUCACCAGCGAUUAUCUGCUCCAUGAUAUACCUUGCGGUCUCAUCGUCUGCCAUUUCAACUAUUGCUGCAAACAUACAUGGAAUCAUACAUGACAGUCAUAGAAAUCGUCUUAAUACAAAUUUGUAUAUAAUCACAGUUCGGAAUCAUACAUGUAUAUAAUGAAAUCAUAAAAUAACAUGAAUCGUACAAAGUCCGGAAUCUUUAUACAAAUUUCUAUGAAUUUAUACAAAUUUCUAUGAAUUUAUACAAAUUUCUAUGAAUUUCUAUGAAUUUCUAUGAAUUUCUAUGAAUUUCUAUGAAUUUCUAUGAAUUUAUACAAAUUUCUACGAAUUUCUAUGAAUUUCUAUGAAUUUCUAUGAAUUUAUACAAAUUUCUACGAAUUUCUAUGAAUUUCUACAAAUUUCUACGAUUUUCUAUGAAUUUCUACAAAUUUCUACGAAUUCCUACGAAUUUUGACGAAUUUCUACGAAUUUUGACGAAUUUCUACGAAUUUCUACGACGGCGAUAAGGGCGGCGAAGGCGGGACGGCGGCGGUCAGGGCGGCGGAGGCGGGACGGCGGCGGUCAGGGCGGCGGAGGCGGUUCACCGGAACCACGGGCGGUGCCUAAGCUACUACGUUGUGAUGGGCGGCAGGACGGCGGCGAUCACGGCGGCUACUCGGCGGCGAUCACGACGGCUACAAGGCGACUGUCACGGUAGCUACUCGGCGGGACGGCGGCGAUCACGACGGCGGGACGGUAGUUAACAACCUAACUACAAAUCUAACUUAACAAACUAACUAGAAAUCUAAAAAUCUAACUUAACAAAAUUAGAAAUCUAAAAAUCUAACUUAACAAAAUUACAAUUCCAUCUAAAAAAACAAAAUUAAAAAUUAAAAGAAAACGGCCAGCUCUCCCGGCGCACCGGCCGGCGCGGCAGACCUCUCGCGCGCGGGGCGGCGGCCGGGGCGGCGGGACGGCGGCGGCCGGGGCGGCCUGACGGCGGCGGCUGGGGCGGCGACGAGGACGAAGACGACGACGGCGGGAUGACGGCGGCCGAGGCGAAGACGACGACGGCGGCCGGCGAGGGGCGACGAGGAUGGAGCUGGCGACGAGGGGCGAUGCAGCCGGCGAGGGAGGCGGACGGGCGGCGACGGGCGGAGAGGGAGGCGGACGGGCGGCGACGGGCGAGGGAGGCGGACGGGCGACGACGACGGCGCAAUGCGGGACUUCGACGGCGCAAUGGGGGACGACGACGGCGGCGGCCGGCGAGGGAGGCGGACGGGCGGCGACGGGCGGAGAGCGCGGGACUUGCGAAAAUUUCGCUAAGUGUGGAACUGGCGGGGGGUAGAAGGGAGUACAGUGCUUUUAACCCCCCCCCCCUUUUAUCCCGGUUCGUAAUGGCACCCGGGACAAAAAGGGCCUUUUGUCCCGGGUCCUGUCACCAACCGGGACAAAAGGCCCCCCCUUUUAUCCCGGUUGGUGACGGGACCCGGGAUAAAAGGGUGCGCUCCCAGCCCCACCUGGCGGGGGCACCCUUUUAUCUCGGGUCCCGUUACCAACCGGGACAAAAGGCCCCCCCUUUUAUCCCGGUUGGUAACGGGACCCGGGACAAAAGGGUGCCCCCGCCAGGUGGGGCUGGGAGCGCACCCUUUUAUCCCGGGUCCCGUCACCAACCGGGAUAAAAGGGGGGGGCCUUUUAUCCCUGUUGCAAAUGGCAACCGGGAUAAAAGGGUACGUUCGGGCGGGAGACGAAACGUACCCUUUUAUCCCGGUUGCCGUUUGCAACCAGGAUAAAAGGGGGGCCUUUUAUCCCGGUUGCUGUUAGCACCCGGGACAAAAGGUCCUUUUUCCUAUUUUUCUUCUCCCGCCUGUUUUUUGGAAAUGGAUUUUAUUUAACCUUUUCACUGCAUUCCAGGAUGAAAAACAAAACCUUCUCAGAUUUUGUACAUGCAAAAAUAUAUUUAAUUAACGAGUAAAUUGACAAUAAGUAUGAAGUAAUCAUUAUUUCUAUACCAACUCAUAUAGCCUGUAAAAUAUUUAUUUUACUGCAUUGCUGUGAUCAAUAAAUUAUUCAAUUAAAUUUUUUGAAUGCGCAGAAAAAUCCAUGUUAGUAUGUGGUUAACAAUGUUCAUGUAUAUCUAAAAAAUCUUCACCUAACAAAUUUAAUUACAAAUUUUAUCAAUUAAUACACAAAGGUCAUGCACAUUUAACGCAUUACAAUACAACGUUGUAAAAUUUCUUCUUCACGAAAGUUCCUUGAUCAUGAUCGCGGCGUAAGUACGGAGCCUCUUCUUUGGACAGCAGGAUGCUUGGAUCAACUUCAACGUCGAAUGGAGGCAUGCCAUCAAACUGAUCAUAAUCAUCUGAUUGGUCUGUUUUAUCCUCGACUCCCACGAUUUUUCUUUUACCUAGAAGAACUAUGUGGCACUUUGGCUCCCAUGUCUCUUCUGGAUUCCUCUUGGGUUUGCUGCACAUGUCCUUCACAUAGAACACCUGAUGCACAUCAUUGGCAAGUACGAAUGGGUCAUCACUGUAUCCAGUCUUGCUCAGAUCUACUAUUGUCAUUCCGUACUGAUCUUUGGUGACGGCAGUUAGCUUCACCCAAUUGCAAAGAAAUAGAGGGAUGUACAGCGGUCCGUAUUCGAGUUCCCAUAUCUCCUGUAUGAAACCAUAAUACGACUCCUUGCUAUUAUUUCUGUCCAUGGCAUCUAUGCGGACACCACUAUUCUGGUUCGUGCUUUUCUGGUCCUGGGCUCUCGUGUAAAAUGUGUAACCAUUUAUCUCAUAGCCUUGGAAUUUGACGAUUGUGGUAGCAGGUCCCCUGGCUAACCAAGCAAGCUGUGGGUGAAUCUCAGAGUUACCCAUAAGUUGUUGGCGCAACCAGGAGGGAAAAGUUUCCAUGUGAUGACGGGUAAGCCAAGCAUCGGAUUUGGUCGGGUUUUUGGAAGCUACCAUCUGCCUGUGCUGCUCGAUAUACGGAGACACAAAGGAUGACUGUUGUAGAACAGUGUAGUGUGCCUUGUCGAACAAAUUAGUAUCAUUGCUCAAACUUGAUUUCCUUCCAAGGGUGCCCAUUCCUCGGAGCCUCCCCUCGUGGCGUGAAGUUGGAACCCCAAUCGAGUCAAUUGAAUCAAUAAAAUCAACACAAAACUCGAUCACCUCCUCUGUUCCAUAUCCCCUGGCGAUGCUUCCUUCUGGACGAGCACGAUUACGAACAUAGUUUUUUAGGACUGCCAUGAACCUCUCGAAAGGCCACAUAUUGUGCAGGUAUACAGGUCCGAGAAUACCAAUCUCUUUUACUAGGUGAACCAGUAAGUGCGUCAUAUUAUUGAAGAAGGAUGGUGGAAAUAACAACUCAAAACUGACAAGACAUUGCACCACAUCGUUCUGUAGCUUUGAUAGCUUGGAUGGAUCGAUUGCCUUCUGCGAAAUCGCAUUGAGAAACGCGCAUAGCUUUACGAGCGGCAACCGGACAUUUUCGGGUAGAACACCCCUCAGUGCAACCGGAAGCAACUGGGUCAUCAACAUGUGGCAGUCAUGAGCCUUGAGAUUUGUAAACUUCUUUUGUUUCAUAUUUAUUAUUCCCUUUAUAUUCGAGGAGUACCCAGACGGGACCUUCAUACUAUUCAAGCAUUCAAACAUACUAUCCUUCUCCUCCUUGCUGAGAGUGUAACUGGCAGGACGUAAGUAGUGCUGUCCAUUAUCUCUCUUUUCCGGAUGUAGGUCAUCUCGUUGCCCCAUGGCUUUCAGGUCCUGUCUUGCUUCCAAUGUAUCUUUUGAGGUUCCAUAAACACCCAUGAAGCCUAGCACGUUCACGCAAAGAUUCUUCGUCAGGUGCAUCACGUCUAUUGCGUUGCGAACCUCUAGGAUUUCCCAAUAAGGUAGCUCCCAAAAUAUUGACUUUUUCUUCCACAUGGGUGCAUGUCCGUUAUCAUCGUUCGGAAUAGGUUGGCUACCAAGUCCCUUUCCAAAGACUACAUGUACAUCCUUCAUCAUCUCGAACACACGCUUUCCAUUACGGUGUGCAGGUUUUUUACGAUGGUCUGGCGUCCCUUUGAAAUGCAUCCCGCUCUUUCUCAGCUGGUGGUGAGCAGGGAGAAAUCGACGAUGACCCAUAUAGACGACCUUCUUACAGUGCUUCAAGUACAUGCUAUCUGUGUCAUCUAAACAGUGGGUGCAUGCCCGAUAUCCCUUAUUUGUCUAUCCUGAAAGGUUACUCAAUGCAGGCCAAUCGUUGAUGGUUACGAACAACAGUGCUCGUAGAUUAAAGAUCUCUUGUCUAUCCUCAUCCCACACACGUACACCUUCUUCCUUCCAGAGCUGUAAAAGGUCAUCAACCAACGGCCUUAGGUACACGUCAAUGUCGUUGCCGGGUUGUUUUAGGCCUUGGAUAAGCGCCGGCAUCAUAAUGAACUUCCGCUUCAUGCACAGCCAAGGAGGAAGGUUGAACAUACAAAGGGUCACAGGCCAAGUACUAUGACCACUACUCAACUCACCGAAUGGAUUGAAUCCAUCAGUGCUUAAACCAAACCUUAUGUUCCUUGCUUCACUUUCAAAGUCUGGGAAUGUUCUAUCAAUUGAUCUCCACUGUGCCCCAUCUGCGGGGUGUCUCAGCAUCUCAUCUUCCUUACGGUCUUCUUUGUGCCAUCGCAUCAACUUAGCAUUCGCCUUGUUCCUGAACAAGCGCUUCAAGCGUGGUAUUAUAGGGAAAUACCACAUCACCUUCACGGGAACUCUCUUCUUGGGAGACUGCCCCUCGACAUCACCAGGAUCAUCUCGCCUGAUCUUAUACCGCAGGGCUUCGCAGACGGGACAAGCAUCCAAUUCCUCGUAUUCAUCACCACGAUAGAGGAUACAGUCAUUAGGGCAUGCGUGUAUCUUCUGAACAUCCAAUCCGAGAGGGCAAAUAAUCUGUUUAGCUUCAUAUGUUGUGGACGGUAAUUCAUUAUUCUCGGGGAGAAUCUUCUUGACAAUUCUCAACAUCCCCUGAAAUGCCUUAUCGGACACACCAUUUUUUGCCUUCCAUUGCACAAAUUCUAGUGUCGUACCUAGUUUUUUAUGGCCCUGCUGGCAACCUGGGUACAACAAUUUUUGGUGAUCAUCUAUCAUGCGCUGCAACUUUGCUGCUUCCUUCUCAGUUUCGCAAUCUCUGUAUGCAUCUCGUAUCACCUGACCAAGGUCAUCAGUAGGGUCAUUUUCUGCAAACUCAUCUUCAUCAGCCUCGCCCAUUGUAGUACCUGCAAAAGCUUGGCCUGCAACCCAGUCCGGAAUGGUGUCAUCUUCCUCCUCCUCCUCGCCAUCUUCCAUUACAACCCCUAGUUCACCGUGCUUGGUCCAAACCAAAUAGUUAGGCAUGAAACCGUAUUUAAACAAGUGGCUGUGAAUAGUCCCCCAGGAAUUCUUUGAAUACUCCUUCCUGUUAUUGCAUUGGAAGCAUGGACAACAUACGAACCCAUUCUCUGGCUUGUUCGCUUUUGCCACUUCGAGAAAAUAAUGCAAGCCAUCAAUAAACACCUUGCUCCGCCUGUCUGCAUUAUACAUCCAAUGCCGGUCCAUCUGCAUCGUAUUACGCACGAAAAUGGAUUACACUUGACAAUGGAUUACGCGUGAAAAUCGAUUAAAGAUCCAAACAACAUGGUACAAUACAACAACAUGAAGAUCCAAAUACACAUAUUUAAAUUAAAGUCCCAAACACUGCAUAAGUUGUUCAACUUGAAGACCGUGAUCAUCUCGUGAGGAUGUCCUCAACUGGGCGGCACCGCACUUCGUCAUUAAAGAGGUUAGAUGCUACGGAAAAGGGGACACGGUCACAAUGUCCGUAUCCACUCUUUCUCGUAGAAUCGAACCUCCUUCUUGACAUACGUUGCUGCUCGGCGGAGAACAUCCUCGGCGAGAUGAACACGGUAUGCAAGUUCAACAAGUAGCAGAAGUCAUCUAUGUACAAAAAUUCUUUCCUUACCACUACAGAAGUUGUUGAACUUGAAGACCGUGUUCAUUUCGCGAGGAUGUCCUCAGCUAGGCGGCACCGCACUUCGUCAUGAAAGAGGUUAGAUGCUACGGAAAAGGGGACACGGUCACGAUGUCCGUAUCCACUCUUUCUCGUAGAAUCGAACCUCCUUCUUGACAUACGUUGCUGCUCGGCGGAGAACAUUCUCGCCGAAAUGAACACGGUAUGCAAGUUCAACAAGUAUAUGGAUUUAAAAAACCAUAUUGAAUUUGAUAAGAUAAACCGUCUAGACAAGGUAGCAUCAUUUUUAAACCACUGAAAUAAUGCAUACUAUAUAUGACACAUCAAUCUCCCUCACAUUCUAGCUCAAAAUACCUCUCCAUUUUUCUACUUCAUCAUCACAUUGUAGCAAAUAAUCUUUCCAUCUCCAAAGCAUAAAUCAAAGCAUAACACGAGGAUGAAGUAGCAAACCUUCGCAGCACUUGUUGGCUGAGUCAAAUUCCCACGAAAAUGAGGGAAAAAAGUUCGGGCAGCACCUCCCUUGCUUGGGCACCACCGGAGAGUAGGUGAAGCUCAGCUCUCUAUCAAUGUGCUGGACUGCUCGGGCUGGAGGAAGAAGAAAGUCUCUGUCUCGGGGUAUAGUGGGGGAUGAGUUUUAAUCCCGGUUAAAAACUCCAACCGAGACAAAAGGAAACACCUUUUGUCCCGGUUGGAAAGUUAGUCCCGGUUGGAGGAUCCAACCGGGAUAAAAGGGACACCCUUUUAUCCCGGUUGGAGGCACCAACCGGGACUAACCCUUUUAUCCCGGUUGGUGCCUCCAACCGGGAUAAAAGGGUGUCCCUUUUAUCCCGGUUGGAUCCUCCAACCGGGAUAAAAGGGUCCCGCCACCGACGGCCCCCGCUAGCCGUUGCAACCGGGACUAAAGGGGGGCCUUUAGUCCCGGUUGCAAUUACCAACCGGGACUAAUGCUCCCCUCCAAAUUCCCGCACCCCGGCGCACCCCCUUUUGUCCCGGGCCACUUUUAAACCGGGAUAAAAGGGGGUUGAUCGAAAGUCAGUUCUCUACUAGUGAUCGGUGACUCCGCUCGAGGAGAAUUGUUUAUAUCAAGCAUAGAAAUGACAACGUUGGAAGUGGAGGAUAUAUUUUGCUCUGUUGAUUUAAUUGCCGCGAGAGUGGCGGACAAGUUCUAAUGAUUGAAGAUCAGAAGCGUCUCGUGGAGAAUUUUUCAGAAGCUAUAUUUGGAAUUAUUAUAUUAUCUCAGGAGCAGAUUAAAUAUAACGCCACCACUGAAAGCCGAUGAGAUGUAUCUAUCGGCUACAUGCUAUUCAGAUGAAUUUGAUGACAGAUUAAUUACGGAGGAGACCGACCGAUACAACAUUAUGGUUUCUUACUGCUGAUCUGUUAUGAAAGAGGAUGUGAGAAGCUGAUAAUCAAGCAACAAUAAAAUGAUAUACACGCAGGGCAUUAAAUAUUGAGUUAAUGAUUGGGAGUACUACCAUUAUCUUAUGAAAAGUCCAUCGGCUAACCAAACAGCGUCAGCCGAUGGAAGCAAAUAGUGUCAGCCGAUAGAAUGAUGUUAUAUAAGUAUAUAUAUCGGCCUCCGAGCCAAUGGGAAGUAGGAACUAUCAGCCGAUGCACACAUCCAUGGACAUAGCCGAUAAGACAUUGUAUCGGCUGCUUGGCAAAUAAAAAUAGCAUCGGCUGACCGCUUGUUAAAAUAUUAUCGGCCGAUUGCUUGGCAAAAUAGUAUUGGCUGACUGCUUGGCAAAUAAAAAAAUAAUAGGUUGACCAAAAAAGGAUAGCAUUGCCUGAUUGCUUGGCAAAUAAAAAAAAUUACGUCGGCUGAUUGGUUCCAGCAAAAUAGUAUCGGCUGCUUGUUGAUCAGAAAAAGCCGAUACUGUUACAGCUCCCGCAACUGUGCUUUGCUGUCAUCGGCUGGGUUGUUCGUGCUCCAUCUGCAAAUAUUUGUCCCGGCUAGAAAGUAUCGUACGUGCAUUGGGAUUCGGCAGUACAAAUCACGUACACGCGUAUGGUCUGCUCAGAAGCUGUCUGUUCGACGAAGUUCCAGGCCAAUGGUGGAGACUUGAUGACCAUGGUGACCUGCAUUAAUCAACAUGAAGUAUGUAUCGGCUGUUCGGUGAUUGGUAGCAAAUCAGCUUUCUCAUAGCCGGUGACAUAUGGGGCAAGAAAUAUCAGGCUUAAAAAAGGACAGUACGAUCAAUGUCGAAAGUUGUAGCCGACGGUUCUAUUAUUGUGCAGUCGAUGGAACAUAGAAGAUGCAUCUGAAUGAGCAAAAGGAAGGGAGCCGAUAGAAGGGAAUUUAAGUUGCAUGAGAUCCAAUUAAAUUAAGAUGACGAGAGGUGUUGACAUCGAAUCAUCGGACUUCUACGAAGUCUUCAUACUCCGAAACUAGGGAGUCUGUGUUAACACCAAAAUUUAGAAAUAUGCUGAUGCAAAAAAAUAAUGAAAUCUCCUAAAUAAGGCUCAAGAAAGAAAAAGCAAGAAAAGAAAAUCAAUCGCACGCGGCAAGAAUUGAAUAAAAUAUUCUAGAGGUAGAGUUGGUUAGGAUAAGCUUAAUUAGGGAUAGAGUUGGAUUAGUUAGAGAUAGUAUUUUGAUUAGAAAAGAUUGUGUACAUGACUUGUACGUGGUGCGUCAGAGGCCAUCCGCCCUAUAAAUAUAAGGGGUCGUGGCCAUUGUAAUUAUCAUCACACGAUCAAUAUACAACAUAUUUAUCUUUUACCUUUUCGGCUUCACGCCAUUGUAUUAGGAGUAGGAGUAAUGUAGCUUCCUGACGAGUUCCUUCUAGCAAGCUGUGCUGCAUUGACCUUGAUCUCUGGCGAGCUGCAAAGUUCCGUCACCAGGUGUUCUAGGCUUUAACCACCGGGCGCAUCGCUUGUGGUUUCGUCUAGUUUCAUCUACAAGGUAUCGAAUAUCAUGGAUCUUUAACUUACGCAUCGCUUCUGUCUUGAUCUACGGUAUUCACCAGUUAUCCUGCCUUGGUUAAGUCUGCAUCGGCUGAUAUUUAUCUGUUCUAUCAUCUUGCCGUUCAGUUUGCUUUAAUUAGCUUUAGAUCGGUUCAUUAUAGAUGAUAGAUCGCUUAAUAGCCUGUUGCAUCUUAAUCUUGGUUACCCCUUCAAGUGCUGUUGGGAUUAAGUUUCGUUAUGAUUGGAUUCAUCGGCUGGUGGGGUUGGUGGGGUUCAGAUUAACAUCGUGCUAAAUAUUUCUAGACUGCAACUACUGGACGCAUCGCUGUGGUUUCAUCUAGAGAUAUUGGUAGAGAGUUUAGUUUAGAUCUCAUCGGUUCGUGGCUCUAGCUAUGGUGGAGCGGCAGCUGAAUAGCAUCCUGUUUUCUAUCGGUCGCCUGGCCGAUAGUUAUUGCAAAAUAUAUUAAAUCGCCUGGAUGGCCGAUGGAUCACUCACGCUCGUCAAGGAUCAUAUCGGCCUGAUCGGCCAGUUGCCUCGGACUUCAAAGGAUUAUUUUCACCUUGUCAGUUGAAUGGUCAAACUGGCUGGCACGCCCGCGCACACCAUGCGCGCCGAUUUGGAUUUUGCACUGGAGUUAAGUAGAUCUUCCAGGUCCUCAUGUGGUGACGAAGGAUCCACCACCAUCAGGAUUUUGCGUCAACACAUUUUGGCACGCCCAGUGGGACACGGUUAUAAGGUUCAUAUUUUUAUUCAUAUAAAAAAGCAUCUUCGGCAUCAUCGGCCAAAUGAGUGUUCAUCGGCUUGUUAGAAUUAAUUCAAUAUAAUAUUUCAGCAAAAGCAGCCGAUGUAGCGAUUGGAGAUAAGGCCAAGUCAAGUCUGCGUGUAUACGCAUGUUCCGGUGGGAUCAUCUUCAUAAAUGCCAAUGACGAUUAGAGAUGAAGCUUCCUGCAAAAUGAUUGGCUACUCUAUCCGGGAAGAAUUGCUUUUUUAUGAGGCAUAUAUAGAGACCCAUGUUGCAAUUAGGGGGCGUAUUCGUGCAUUGGCUGAAAUAAAAAAAUGCAUCGGCAUAUUGAAAAUUGCAUCGGCCGAUUGACAGUCGUAUCAGCUGAUUGGAAAAAUAAAAAGGGAUCAGGGAUCCGCCGAUUGAAAAUUGCAUCAGCUGAUGGAAAAUGAGAGCAACAGUUACAAUAUUUUUUUUAAAAGAAAGCAAGUAUCGGCAAGCAGUAGCCGAUGGAUUUGUAUUUCAGCCAAUGGGGUUUUUGUUUCAGCUGAUAGUACUACUGGCUGAUGGCAAGUCCAAUGGAGUUAAAAUUGCAUUGACUGAUUGAAAUAAAAAUUAAGUAUCGGCUAAUUUAUGGCCAAGUAGCAUCUGCUGAUUUGUUGCAAAGUAGUUUCGGCUGAUUUAUGGCAAAAUAGAAUCGGCCGAUUUAUGGCAAAGAAGCCAAUAGACAAAAGCAUCGGCUGGUAGAGAAGCCGAUUGAGCAAGCAUCUGUUGAUGAGCUAUGUAUGGGAAAAAGUAUUGGCUGCUUAAACAAUUGACAAAAGCCAAUUGGUCAGACUGAGAAGCCAACUGGGAAAGCAUCGAUCGAUGGAUUGCGUAUGGGAGAGAGUAUCGGUUGAAGUCUUUAGUAUUGACUGCUAGAUAUUUGAGCAAGCGUCGGCCGAUUGACUGCUUGGUAAAAAAAACAUCGGGCUGAUUGCUUGGUUAAUAAAAAAAUUGCAUCGUUCAAGCAAAGAUUGCAUGGGCUGAUUGGUUCAAGCAGAAUAGUAUCGGUUGCUUAUAGAAUAUAUCGGAUAUUAAUUUCGAAGCAUGAAAAUAUUCAUACUCCGAAACUGGGGGGCCUGUGUUGACAACAAAAGCUUGCUGGUUACUGCAUCAAGUUUUGGUGUCAACAUACUUGAUCUUUUGUUUCCAUUGCCAGCGGAUUCAUCGGCUCAGAGUGGGAUCAAGACAUCAAGCUGAUGGAGUUCUUUAUAUUUCAAGAGGAGUCAUGGAGUUCUUUAUAUUUCAAGAGUAGUCGAUGGUGCUUUGAAUAUUGCAACCAGACGUCAUUGGCUCUAAAGAUACCGAAUCAUCGGACUUCUAUGAUCAGUUUCGGAACAUGAAGCCUUCAUACUACGAAACUGGGGGCCUGUGUUGACACCGAAUCAUCGGACUUCUAUAAUUAGUUUUGGAACAUGAAGCCUUCAUACUUCGAAACUGGGGGGCCUAUGUUAACACCAAAAUUUAGAAAUGUGCUCUGAAAGGAAGGUAUCGGCCGAUGAUGCAAAAAAAUAAUGAAAUCUCCUAAAUAAGGCUGAAGAAAGAAAAGCAAGAAAAGGAAAUCAACGCACACGGCAAGAAUUGAAUAAAAUAUUCUGGAGAUAGAGUUGGUUAGGAUAAGCUUGAUUAGAGAUAGAGUUGGAUUAUUUAGAGAUAGUAUUUUGAUUAGAAAAAAUUGUGUACAUGACUUGCCUUGUACGUGGUGCGUCAGAGGCCAUCCGCCCUAUAAAUAUAAGGGGUCGUGGCCAUUGUAAUUAUCAUCACACGAUCAAUAUACAACAUAUUUAUCUUUUACCUUUUCGGCUUCACGCCAUUGCAUUAGGAGUAGGAGUAAUGUAGCUUCUCGACGAGUUCCUUCUAGCAAGCUGGGCUGCAUCGACUUCGAUCUUCGGUGAGCUGCAAGUUCCGUCACCAGGUGUUCUAGGCUUUAACCACUGGGCGCAUCGCUGUGGUUUCGUCUAGUUUCUUCUACCAGUUACCGAGUAUCUUGGAUCUUUGACUUAUGGCACAUCGCUUCUGUCUCGAUCUACGGUAUUCACCAGUUAUCCCGCCUUGAUUAAGCUUGCAUCGGCUGAUAUGUAUCUGUUCUUUCAUCUUGCCGUUCAAUUUGCUUUAGUUAGCUUUAGAUCGGUUCAUCAUAGACAAUAGAUCAUUUAAUAGCAUGUUGCAUCUUGAUCUUAGCUAUCCUUCGAGUGUUGUUGGGAGUAAGUUCCGUUGUGAUUGGAUCCAUCAGCUAGCAGGGUUUAGAUUAACAUCCUGCUAAAUAUUUCUAGACUGCAACUACCGGGCACAUUGUUGUGGUUUCACCUAGAGAUAUUGGUGGUGACGUUAGUUUAGAUCUCAUCGGCUUGUGGCUCUAGCUAUGGCGGGGCAACAACUCAACAACAUCCUGUUUUCAAUCGACCGUCUAACUGAUAGCUAUUGUAAAUUAUAUUAAAUCGGCUGGAUGACGAUGAAUCACUCACAUUCAUCAAGGUACUGGAAUCGGCUUCACAGCCGAUAUAUUUGUCAUGAUUUAUUUUGUUGCACCAUUAUCGCUACUGUGCUAGGAUUAUAUCGGCCUAAUCGGCCAGUUUCCUCGGACUUCACAACGACUAUCAUCUCCUUGUCAGUUGAAUGGUCAAACUGACUGGCAUGCCCGCGCACACCACACGUGCCGAUUUGGAUUCUGCACUGGAAUUAAGCAGAUCUCCCAGGUUCUCAUGUGCUGAUGCAGGGUCCACCACCGCCAGGAUUUUGUGUCAACACCUUGUAAUCUUCCUUUGAUUUCCUCAAUGAUUCGAAGACAAUAACCUUGCUUGUAUAAAUGAUAAUUAUAAGGAGAACCUAGUGGAAACUGUGUAUUCAUAUUAGAACUACCUAUGGUUAAUUAGGUUAGGAAAGGAAAUCGAAAAUAGACCGUACCCACACUUACUUAAAGUUGUUGGGCAGUAGUAUGUAAUGCUUGUAAUUCUGUUACUCCAAGAAUUUGUAUAUGUGGUCCAAUGUAGACUUUGGUUGAUCCCAUAUCUGUUGUUGGUUAAAUAAGUGUUUCUGGCCAUUUCUAGCCGUUAGAACCGGAACUAAAGGGGGCUCUUUAGUACGGGUUGAUAUUACUAACCGGGACUGAAGAGCCCCCAUUACAGUUGGUUUUUGGACGCGGAACUAACAACUCCUUUAGUCCCGAGUCCAAAAACGACUGAGAUAGAAGAUCCUUUCUCUACCGUGAAUAUUGCCAGAAAGAAUUGAAAGAGACCGCUUGCUAAAAAUAUGUCAUAGAUGUAGACCAAGCUACCAAGGAGGUAGACCAAACAUGAUACACACCAUGCGUACCUUGCUGUGCAGACUAUGCAUAGACAAGACACCCGACCACAUGUUGGCCUCGGUCACAUCAAAAGAAUCAUGUAGGCCACCAAUAAACUACUUGAAGCGUCAUUCCGUAUCGUAUAUGCAUUGCCGGUUCAUCUGCAUUACAUUACAUAAAGUAGUAUUAACUAUUUGAAUAAAAUGAACCAAUUUAAAAGUAAUGUGUUGUACUCUACUAUAGAAAGCCCUAUCACUGUCGGAUCCAGAAACAUCAUUGUUGAUGGUCGUUAAGUACCAAGACGGUCAAUAUUCUCAAGAAUAAUGGAGAAUUGGCAUUUCUUACACACAUAUUUGGUUUUGAACAAUGUAGUCCCACAUGUCCUUGGAGAUUAUUUGGGUGUGGGUGAAAUAAUACAAAAAGAAGGAGAAAACACACUCCCAUGGUGAAGAAACAAAACUCCGACCAAUGAGAGAUAGCCACAGGGGCAGCACACGGAUCCAUGGGCCCACAAACCGCAUCAAACUGUCUUACCAAGGCGGGUAGCACCCACAACCAUGAUUAGGACCCACCUGGAUGUCUACCAAGAAGAAGGUUGUGAGUGGGGCCAGGAGGGGUUCGGCUGAAUCAUCUCUAGCUCCCCUCAUCCCCAGCUGGUGCAUGGCGGUGGUUAAUGGUGUCCCUACAUCGGUUAGAGGAGAUUCCCCCAAAUAUUCCUCCUGUAAACCACCUGUAUGGACCUAUACAUAGAGGGGUGUGCUCUCCAAUCCAACACACACCACAAGUUUAAUCACUCUCUCCCUCUUUAAUUUCCAUGUUUAUGGAGUUAGCCUAGAGUAGCUCUGCUCAAGGUUCCAAGUCCACUUGGAGUUAAGCAUAUGUCUCUUGUAUCGUUAUUUCCCAGAUUGACUUUAUGCUUAGUUCUUAUAUGCAUGAGUUAGUCUAAUAGCCUUGCUCUAUUGAUAUGCUCGGCUUAUAUGCUCGUAUGCUAGUCAUAUACCCUUGCUGCCGUAGUAUAGGCUUAUAUGCUCUCAUGUGUGCCUUUAGACCUUGCUACAAUAUAUACUUGUUGUGUAUACAUACCAUGUAUAGGCUAGUCGAUCUAUACCAUGGCAUUGGUUCAAUAGCCAUGUUUUUGGUGGCUCCAACCCUAGUCAGAAUAGCUCGGGACAGCUAGAGUGUUGUUAAAAAUGCAAGAGUGAUGGUUGGGUUGUUUAGCAUCGUUGGAUAUGGGUUUUCCCCACGGGUUUCUAAGAGUAGGCGGCAGCUAGUGACAGCCCUGUCCGUCCUUCGUAAUCCCCCCACAUUCAAGUACGCCAUAGAAGUUCAUAAAUUAGCAGUAACUACACCGGCAGACCGGUAGGGUAUUGUCUCCCUAUAGUACCUUGGUGCAUAGAACUAGGUCAUAUACACUGUGUGUCUAUGUUUACGCUGAUAUGAUCUGUGCAGUAUAUAGCAUGUAUAUAUGAACCUAGAGCUAACUCCUAGUCCAUUCUCCGUAGCUUAGUUAUCUUGAGAUGAUUCUUCUGUGUGUGUAACACUACCCAUCUUAUCAUUAUCCUUAAUCCUGUCUUGUGUAAUAUAUCUACUCAUCCUAUGAUAUACUCAUAUGCAUAGUAAACUAUUUUGACCUACCCGCCUUCCUUUGGGAAAUACGAUACCCUGGAAUAAUCCUAGGUGAAAUGCUACAACGGUAUAUCCAUGUGCUUACGGAAUUAUUCCUGACCAUUAAAUAUACCAACAAUCAUCACUAUCUAUUUUGGGCAUCGUUAGUGAAGGGUCGGCAGUGAUGGGCAUCCCCUUCACCAAUGGAGCUGGAACUGGCGGUGAUGGCCAUUAAAAAAAAUGGGACCCCACCCAGCGUACCCCGCAACCCGGCCGGCUGCGCCUCCCAUCAUCCCCGCCGGUCGCCCUUCCUCUUUGCCGGCCGAGCAUGGUUCCGGCCCUCGUCCCUACCGCCUCGCCUCCAUCGCGACCCCCUGCCGAUGCCCUCAUGCCUGGCCCCCCUCGUCUGGCCGGCCACCCUCCCGAUGCAUCCACCGGGGCCCUCGCACCACCAACCACCCUAGCCUAGAGAGAGAGAGGAGGAGGGAGGUGAGGCCACGCACCUCGUCCUACAACGCCGCUGUUGCUCCUCGGCCCACCGCGCCUCACCCCACACCACAGCCGCACCUCGCCAUCUUACCGGCCGCGACGCCCCAUCUCACCGGCCACCGUUCCUCACCCCCACAUCGGUCAUCGCUGCUCCUUGCCCUACUGCUGCUCUUUGCAGCCGCGAAUGAGGGGCGAGUGGAGGGGGAGGGGCGGGGCAGGAGGAGGGCAAGAUCCGGGAGGAAGGGAGAGAUUUUGGGAGGUGGAGAUGGAAGGAUAUGGCGGAAGGUAGAGAUCUAGAGGGAGAGAGCGGGGGGGAGAGGGGGGCAUGUGGGGAGAGAGCGCAUGUGGGGUGGGGCCGGGCUGGUGGGAUGGAAGGUAGAGGGGCCGGAGGGCGCAGUGCAUUCAACUGGAUUAAGUAAAUAUUUCGGAUUCGAGACCCCAGCUUUAUUAUCACCGCUGGUCCGUAGUACCAUUCGGUGCCGGCUCAUAAUUUAAUUUGAACCGGUGGUGAUGUUUUAUUAUCACUGCUGGUUUCAAUUUUCACCAUCGGAUCAUAUAAAAAUCCGGCGGUUAAAAAUCCGCUGGUUUCGAUGAAAACCGACAGUGAUAGGACGACUGUGAUAGUCUCUUCUCUAGUAGUAGUAUAUUAGUACCGGCUGCCGGAUGGUGUUGCCGACGAGUACUUCUCCAGGGGCGAUUCAGUACUGAUGUUAGCAAAGCUUGUUCUCUAUGAAUUUGGGGAUGGAAAGCUAGUUCUCUAGUUGUGAUUUGUUACAUAUAUCUCUAUGAUAGUCUAGAAAUUGCAUGUCCUUCGUUGACAUAGUUGAAGCUGCUUCAAGAAUUUACUUCGUGCAGUCGUGCAGCAUAUUGGAUUAUCACCUAGACAGGAUACAUAGGUGAAGCAUUGCAUGUGAUUGUGGCUGAUAAUUAUGCAGGACGCUGUUGCAAUCAACCAUCAAGAAGACUGGAGCGAUGGGGUUGCCUCAUCAACAAUUUUUAUAUAUGGCUGCAGUAUUAUUAAGCCCACGUCAAUAAUUUUUUCUCCGCAGCAUAUAUAUGGUUACUCAGUUCGCUGGAGUAUCGCUGUGGAAAAACAUACGUACUGCGCCUCGGAACUAACUGGCAUUCAGGCCAUCAACGACCAGAUAUUUGGGACAACCAACAAAUAGUAGGUGGUUCCUAAGUUGUAGUCGUAUGUACUAAUGCGCCUCGAUGGGGUUUUCUUCAGAUAUUUUAUUGCCGUUCAAUGAACAAGCAGAUACAUAACCUGUGCAGAAAAUUCCAUCUCCACGCAUGCCACUGCACCAACAAGAUCCUCAGUCGACGAUGAUGGCUCAGCCUGUUCCUUCUGCCACCAAAUCCUCAAUCUUCCCUCCAGCAACGGAGAAUGCACCUUUAGUACCUUCAGUAUCAGAUGUUGCAAUCGGUACCGUGAAACCGAGACUAAAAUCCUUACUUUGCAGGGGGCAAAACAAUCUUGCAAAUAUAUAUUUUGAAUUCCAACAAAAUUUAAGAAAUGUUAAAGAUGACUAGCUGAGAGUCAACAGACAAGAUAUGAUAUUAGGAAUGUGGGAGGAUGAAUGCAUUUGUACAGGGGUCAUACUAUUUCCAGACUCUUCUAUAUUUCCAUAUGACUACCUACUUCAAUGUCACGCGAGCCAUUCAAAAAGAUACAUGGUACACUUGUAUGUCUAAUCCAUUAUUGAUUAUUUCCUCUUGUCAUCUCUUACAAGUAUUUCUCCAUACUAUAGAAACGUGCAACACAUUUUUAGGAUAUGGACACGCAUGAUUAAUAUGCUUGGACUAGUAUACAGGUCAUCUUUGGAUGAGUACAUAUGAAUGCCAGGGAGGGACUGAUGGAUAUAAGGAAAAGGGACCAUGCAUAAAUAAUGACAUAUGUAACAUGGCAAUCUUCAUUGCCAUGCAACUCCUAUCAACAAUCAUGGAAUACAUACUACUGCUCCAGAAGGGUGGUGUGCAAAUUUAUUUUACCUCGCGGUGAAAAUCUCCAGAGCAGGCCUGAAGUUAAAAUAAGAGGCAGUCACUAUCGAUCAUGACAGUCUCGAAACUGUACAGCACUAUGCUAGUCCUAGUCCUCAUGUCGUUCGUGCUGUCGUGUAGCAUGAUGGAUUAUUAACUGGGCAGGACACGGAGAUGGCUAGCGAUGACAGAGGAUGACGUACAUGAUAUUCACCUCUGAAAUGAAGCGUAGGCUAAUGAAGCACAAUUGCAUGUGAGUGUGGCAGAUAUUUAUACAGGACAGUGAUUGCAAUAAUCGACCAUCGAGAUCGAAGACAGGGGCGAUGGGGUUGCCUCAUCAAUAAUUCGCGCAACCAGACAAGCUGCAGACUCAAUAUGGUACGAAGCUAUUUGGUCAGCCCACAUGCUCUGAUAUAACAUUGGCAUCUGCUGAUCUACAGUAUAUAUGACCAGAAAUAUUGUGCCACCUCAAUAAUUUUCCGAAGUAUCGUUGGGGAAGCACCUACAUACUAUGCCUCGGAACUAACUGACAUGUUGGCCUAGGCGGUCCAGGCCGAUUGGACAGGCUCUUCCUUAUGGCUCCUCACGUCCCCUUCGUUUCCGAGUAAUCUCAGGUGUUCUGAAGUUUUCUUUUCACUUGCAUGUGGACCUUAUAUAUCAAUAGCUUCGGGAUAAGAAUGCCUCUUGAUAACCUUCCAAAUCGUCGCUUGAUUCACUUUGAUUCCAAAAUCAUCUUGCCAUAUCUUUUGAGACUUAGGCCCUAAGGCAUCAUGGAGGAUUGCUCGCCAAGAAUGAGCACCAUUGGGCUCCUGAGGACCCUAGGCCGAUCAGCCUGGGCUCUAUAGGUUGAUUGGCCCAGGCCCUCUCUGGGCCCAUUGGCCUUCAUCUUUCUCUGAGUCGACGCUUAUUGAGGGCUUUGUCCAAUUAUAGUCCAUUAUAGUCUAAUUUCCAAAAAAAUAGAAUAUCCUCCAAAAUACAAUACAUUUGUGAAAACAGCCCAAUUAUUAGGUAUGAUCAAUAGUCUAGGUAUUAAAUUAAUGUUAUUAUUUAAGAUAAAUAGGGAUAAAGGGUGUCAUUAAUAACGAGCACCAACCAGCGUACCAGCUGUUAACACUAACCGAUGCUAAUAUGUACCCUUUAGUACCGGCUAUUUCACCCGGUACUAAACGAGACAAGAGCACCCUAACAGAGGUUAAUACCAUCCAUUUCAUGAGUAAAAUACUAUGAUUCAAAAAUAAUUCAAAUCCCUUAAGACAAUACCUAUCAAAUGAGUAGAUUGUAAAUAGAGUAAAACAAUGUCCUAAUGAAACGGAACACUUCUGGUUCGUGUAGAGCACAAUAUAGAAAACAGUAGGGUAGCUGUACGAUUGACACGUGGUCCAUUAAUUAUUGAGCCAUCACUAUGGACAUGUCUUCAUGAGUAGUGUACUAGUCAUGACACAUGGUAUGUAGUAGGUGGAGGUAUUGAGUUAGCCAUGCCAUGAGCACUUAGUUACAACAAACACUUUGCCAUUAUCGAGCAUCCCAAAUCACUACAAAAUCCAUAGUUUACCAUAUACUACAAAAUCUGAGUUAAAAUAAGAGCAUACACGGAAGAGUCCGAAUGCACCGGUUUAGGACCAGGCACAUUGAAUUACUAGAAAAAGUUAUCGGACAAGGUUUUGGGUAACCGCAUGAAAAAUGUUGGAUUUUACUGAACACUUAGUUACAAUUACCAUGCCGUGAGCACUUAGUCACCACAAACAUUUAACCACUUUAGAUCAUCCUGAAUCCCUAUAAAUUCUGUACCUUACACCGUACCAUGAAAACGACAAGAACAGAGACAGAUGCAGUGAAAAUCUCCAGAGCAGGCCUGAAAUUAAAAUAAGAGGAGGCAGUCUCUAUCGAUCAGGACACGGAGAUUGCUAGCCAUGACAGAGGAAGACAUGAUAUGAUAUUCACCUCUGAAAUGCAGCGUAGACUAAUGAAGCACAAUUGCAUGUGAGUGUGGCAGAUAAUGGACCAUCGAGACCAUCGAAUGGUAUGAAGCAUGAUUAUCACCUAGACAUGAUAUCCUAGACAGGACGGUGAAUUGUAAAAAGAGUAAUCUUGAUCAAAGAAUGUCCUAAUGAAACGGAACAUUUUUGGUACGUGUAGAGCACAAUAUAGAAAACAGUAGAGUAGUUGUACGAUUGAAACUGCAUCCAUCCACGUGGUCCAUGAAUUGUUGAGCCAACACUGUGGACAUGUCUUCAUGAACACCAUCUAGUGAGGACAGGAUGCAGAAAAAUAUAAAAACAUGUCAUAGGGAGGCAGACCAAUCUUGCAAGGAGGUAAACGAAACGUGAUACACGAUCUGCCUACCUUGUCGUGGAUACCCCAAGAGAAGAUGUCAUAGAGGUGCAGACCAAGCUAGCAAGGAGGUAGAUGAAACGUGAUACACGGCCUGCCUACCUUGCCGUGGAUAUUAGCCCUGAUAUCAUUCUAUUGUUCAAGGAAUAACACUCAAUGCUGCUGCUGCUGCUGACCUGGCUCCAUAAAGUUGUAUUCCUCUAGCCGCUUGCACUAACUUUAUCUGAAGUAUUAUUCUCUCUGCCCUGAUAUCUGAAGUAUUAUUCUCUCUGCUGACUUUGCUGAAGAACCUACAUAAUAUGUCUUGGAACUAACUGACAUUGAUUCACAGACAAACUCUACAAGGUGCUGUUGUUGCCAUAUUUUAGAGCAUCCCAAAGGACUAUAAAUAAUAUAGUUUACCAUAUACCGUAUACCAUUAUAUGUUAGCUAAAAUAAGAGCAUAACAUGUCGCAGGAGUCCAAAAGCACCGGUUGAGGACCAGGUACAUUGAAUUACUAGAAAAAGACAGGGGGCAAUGUUUAGGUAGCCACAUGAAAAACAUUUGAAUUUACUGUUCCAUGAACACUUAGUUACCAUGCCGGGAGCACCUAGUUAACACUAAAAUUUAGCCACUUUAGAUCAUCCCGAAACACCCUCAAUAGCGACAAAUUUUGAUUUAAAUGCCGUCACCAAUGAUCCUCAAUAGCGACGUGUUUAGGUUUAAAUCCCGUCACUAAUAACCCUUGGUAGUGACGUGUUUUGGUUUAAAUCUCAUCCCACUGAUCCUCAAUAGUGACGUGUUUUUAGCAACACACGCUAUGAAUGACUUGUCAUUGGUGACAUGUUAAAUGCGUUAUCUCAAUGGCAAAUCAUUGGUGACGUGUUUUAAAAAAACAUGUCACUGUGAGAGUUAUUGGUGAAGGGUAAUUAAAAUGCAUCACUAAUUUUGUAGCAUUAGUUAUGAUAUAAUUUAGUAACGCAAAAAUCUACCAUCAGUAAUGAGGUUUAGAGCCGUCGCUAAUGUGGGUUUCUUACGAGUGAUGCAAGCUCUACAAGGUGCUGUUGUUGCCAUUUUAAAGCAUCCCAAGUGACUACAAGUUAAUAGCAUAGUUUACCAUAUACCAUAAAAAUAUUAGUUACAAUAAGCACAUCCGCAUGUGGAAGAGUCCGAAUGCACCAGUUGAGGACUAAACACAUUGAAUUACUAGAACCAAAUGUAAGACAAAGAAAGGGGUCAAGGUUUGGGUAACCGCAUUAAAAACAUUGGAUUUUACUGUACCAUGAACACUUAGUUACCAUUACCAUACCUUGAGCAUCUAGUUACCACAAACAAUAAUUUAGCCACUUUAGAGGUUCCAGAAUCACUAUAAAUAAUAUACCAACACCGUACCAUGAAAACAUCAAGAAGAGAGACGGGUACAUGGACCACCAUCAAGUGAGUAGUGACAGCACGCACAAGAAUACCCGGAACCUGUUAGCUUGUCUGUAGUGAUCUGUUUUCUUCCCCAUAAAAUCCAUGAGUAUUGCCACAAAUAAUGAAAGAGGCUGACCAAGCUAACAAGGAGGUAGAGAAAACGUGAUACACGUAGGUUUCAUUCAAGACAUCCAUGUAAGAUUCAUUCAAAACAUUCAUGGAAAUUUCUUGUAAGUUUUCAUGUAAAUUUCAUUCAAGACAUUUGUUAGAGGUGUUGUAUAUAUAUACCUUAACGUACAUAUAUCUAUGAUUUCAUGGUUGUUAGUGAUGGCAGAUGAGGAGCAUGCAAGGUAUUUAAUGGAGCAGAUUAUUGCUAGUGGUAGUGGCUCCAACCUGCCCGUAACGUACACCAACGAAGAGAGCAGCCAGGCGGACAUGUUCCUCAACAUAUCCGGUGAUGGCAAUGAAGAGCCCGAGCAAAACCUUGCCGUGACGGAAGGUUCCAGUGAGGUAUAUAUCAUUUCCAUUGUUUUACCCCAUCUAUAAUUUCAUAUUCAUUAUUACUAUGUACUAAUUAAUGGAUCUUGAACCAUUAGCCCUCUAGAUCAACGAACCGAAAUAAGCCCCGAGGUCUUACAAAGAUAAUGCAGGGAAGGCAUCACAUCACGGAAGUCACAGAAGAGGGCACAUCAGUUGCUCCCGAACAUGUGGCAAGAAAGUACGUGAGUCAAACCGGGCAAUGUGCCCAUCAGCAUUAGGGAAUGAAAGGGCAAUAGAAAUGAUCUAUACACGCCCCCGGAUACACAAAAGGAUAUGCUGUGGGCAAAUAUCAAGAAACACUUCACAUUUCCCAAAGGAUAUGUUGAAAAAGAUGUGAAAGCGUGGAUGCUGAAGAAGAUGGUCACCGAAUUCCAGACAUUCAAGAAGAUGUUGGAUGUCAACUUCAUCAAGAAGGGUCGAACUCCGGGUUUCGAUGAGUGGCCAAAGUUAAGGGACCACUGGGAGUCAUUUGUCAAAUACAAGACGAGUGAAGGUGGUGCGAGUAAGGUUCGCAUCAAUGUUGCCAAUGCUAGCAAGGAGUACCAUCAUCAUCUAGGGCGACGUGGUUACAGCACUGCAAUUCCCAGAUGGCGCAAGAUGGAACAAGACCUGAUCGAUCGGGGUAUCGUACCAGCAACUCCUGACUGGCCUGAUCGAUUGAAAAAUUGGUAUUAUGCUCAUGAAGGCAAUCUGAGCCAACAGGAUGCGACAUUGGUCUUCAAUAAAACAAUACGUCAGAAGGCCGGAAGGCUUAUUAGGAACAUUGAAAAUGCUAAAUCUGGGAGGUUCAAGGUGGAUAGAGAGAAUGAUGAGCUCACAUUGGCCCUUGGGACUAUCAUCUCUAGCAUUUCCAGCUCCAGGACUGUCGUCACCACCGGGACCGUCGCUUCUUGCUCGAUCACAGUCUCCAUCUCCAGCACAUCCUGGUGGUGCGAACGAUGACGACAACAACACCCCUCCCUGCCCACCAUCGCCGGGACUAAGACCCGCAUCGAGUAAGGAACCUGCAGCACCACUGAAGAAGUCGCGACCACCGCCUUCCAAGCCAAGUCAGCAAAAGAAGAAAGCAGAGAAGCCUAAGCCCACUGAGAAGCCAACAACCGAUAUGACCGAUGCGGAAAGAUGGAAGGCACUCAAAGAAGAAUGCAGGGAGUGGUUCUGUAAAAAGAACCAAAGAAAGAAAAGGAAAGCAGAUGGAGCCACCGCCAGUAGAUCCAAGAAAAUUAUAAUUUUUUAUUAAGAUGUCAAAAGGAGCCAAGAAGAUGAUUCCACAACUAUCAAACUACGACCGGGCGUUAGUCAAGGCUGAUGAGAGUUAAAAAAGGAAAGGAAAGUCAUCUUCAAGUGGUACUGUCCCCCACCUCGAGGAUCUACCAGAAAAAGACGCUAAAAAGAUAGUAGCAAUGCUCUUGGAUCAACAAACACAUAUAUCAUGAGAUUCAUGCAAGAAACAGGUAUGUGCCUUGCUGAAUGUCUAGGGCAAGUUGAUAUGCUAGCUCUAGAGCCAUUUGUACCGAAAUGGACCUUUGAGCUAGGCAAGCCUCUAGUAAGGCCUGAGCUGGUACAGAAGCUAUCCACAUAGCUAUAUGAAUACCAUGAAUGGUACAUGAAGCAGUCUGCCAAUGAGAGGAAAAUGUUCGGUCUCAGGGAAAAACUGAUAUUUUUUUUCGGCGAAGGCGAGAAAGUCUUGUGAUGGAAUUCAAGGAUAUAUAUGAAGUGUACCAUCAGGAUGCCCUUGAUGUCUCUCUCAUCAGCGCCUAGGUUAUGUAAGUGUAUGUUUAUCUAUACGUAAUUUUUGUCUCAUAUCAUUAUUUCUUUUGCGUGCGUCACCCUACUAACUUCGUCUUCCAUUUUAUGUAGGAUGCUAAUUCAGAUGUGCCGCAUAGAAGCGCACUUCCAUGUUGGCUUCAUGGAUCCAUCCCUAGUUAACCAAAAGCAGAUACGGAAGUAGCUAGAGAAAAUGUUGGAGGUGGUAUACAACUUCCUGGACAAACAAAACUAUAGAAUAGGGGCAAUAUGUGAAGGUCUUGUAGGAUUCCUAGUGGACAAGGUGAUAAAUCCAUAAGGAGAAUAUCAUUACAACGGACGAGCAUUAGACACACUGAGCAACACCUAGACGGGAGGAUCCUAGGAAUGACCUAGACAGAUUUUGGUAUAAAUAGUAAUUGUGUAAAUACUAGUUUGAUUUGUAUAGGAAUAUACUAAGAAUUGUAUAUAUAGUAAUUGUACAAAUACUAGUUUGAUUUGUAUAAAUACUAGAUUGAUUUUAUUAUAAAAAAGUUUUAAGUCGUACGUGCAUGCGCCUACAAAGGCGCGUAUGCCCUUUAAUCCCGGUUGGAAAAACAAACCGGUACUAAAGGGGCUCGUGCCGCACCUGGCAUGACCGCCCCUUUAGUCCCGGUUGAACGACCCAGGACCAAAGAUCUGCCCCGUCUCAUAAAUUUUAUCCUGGAUGCUUUUUAGAGAGAUUUGAGGCCUAUCAACCAAGACUAAUAUCGAGUUUUCUACCAGUGGAACUAACUAACGUUCACAUGCUUCUGACAUUCACCUGCCAUUUGGUGUAGACAAGGGCACCCUAACAUAUGGUUAAUAUUAUUCAUGAAAGAAAAUCCUUUGAUUCAAAAAUACUUCAAACCUAAUAAUACAAUACUUCUCACAUCUGAAAAAUAUGAGAUGGCCCGACAGUAUUCUAACCGACGCAAUAAUAUUUUGAGGGCAGCACUACUACAGCGACCCUCAUUCGUGCCGGUGCUGGAACCCCUAUCACGACCCUGAUACAAAUGAGGGUACAUUAUUGUUGCCAGUGCUAGAAUAGCCACGAAUAACUUGCUAAACAUGCUGUUACACUCACUACUAGAAAAAUAACCUCUCGUCCUGAGGCUUAGUACCGGUCACUUUUUUGCCCAGUACUAAUGUUAGUAUUAGUACCGGAUCCAAAUUUGGGAUCCCCCAGAGACCCUUUAGUACCAGGUGGAGUCUCCACCCGAUACUAAAGGCUUUGUUACCGGGUGAAGGAUCCUCCCGGUACUAAUGGGGGAUUUUUAGUACCGGGUGGGAACCCCACCCGAAACUAAAAUCUCCCAUGCGGACCCCUCCCCCCCCCACGCGUUGCCUCUGUCCUCCCUCCUCCUCCUCUGAGUAGUUAUCCCUUCCUCAUCCCUCCUCCUCCUCCCACACGUGGGGUGAGGUGAGGUGGCAGUAGCAACGACAGGUGGUGUGGCGGGUCACGGCGGGCCGGAUGCGGAGCCGCAACGGUGGUCGGCGGGAUGGGGUGGGGCAGAGCGGCAUGGCAGGGCGGAGCGGUGGGACGGGGCCGAGGUGGAGGUGCCGGGCGGAGGUGGAGUGGCAGGACAGAGGCGGAGGCGGAGCGGCGGGUCGGCGAGCGGGUGGAGGGUGGCGACGAUGGGGCGGGCAGAGGCAGAGGGGUGGGUGGAGGGGCGGCGUGGUCCACCGGCGGGGGGGGGGGGGGGAGAGGGAGGCGUGGGGGGUGCGGUUGGUGAUUUCAAUUUUCUUUUAAUUUUUUAACACCCUUCAGUACCAGUUAUUUUAACCGGGUCUAAAGGGAUCCCCUCUUGUACCGAAUUGCUAGUACAGGAUGCACAACCGGUACUAGAGGGAGGUUCCCAACCGGUACUAGAGCCACUUUCCCCGGUAGUGACUUUUUCACCGAUUAGAAUAUGUUAUUAUUCUAAUCAGCUUUUGUUGAUCUCCUGUAUAAUUUAGUACCUAAUUCUACUAGCAAUUGUUAACGCCGACACGUAUUGGGUAUAGUCCUAACAGUGUCUAACUAGGGCACUACAUUUGUUAACCUAUAACUACUGGUAUCGAUUAGCCCUGGUUAGAAUACUGUCAAGGCAGCCAGAAAAAAUUGUUUGCCAAUUCUGCUAUCCAUCAGAACCAUGACUAGUACCGUAUUGUAAUAAACGAAUUACACAAAUAACUGAUGCACACAAAGGAAUAUGCACUCGCAUGUGCUAGACGUUCGUAGCAACAACAAAUUACUCUCAUCAUCAAUUAAACAUAAUAGAUUAAACAUUAACUGAACAUAGUUCAACACGUACAUCAACAAGACAAAGCAGUUUAAACAUCAACUGAACAGAACUGAAAACAUACAUCAACUGAUGAUAAACUUCGACAUGAACACAACACAUAAACAUCAACUUCAAUAGAACUUAAUAGAGCAUAUUAAACAACAACAUCGACAAAACAUAUAAACCCAGCUCAGUAGCUCAAGCAUCAACUAAAACUGCUGAAUUAAAAUAACAUAACAUAGUGUAGUUCAUCAUGAUGAUAACUAACAGAACCGAAAAGCCUAACUGGGUAAAAGAGCAAUUCAUUCAUAAUGCUUCAGCACUUACAUCACCGGAGUAUGCAACUGGCGGCGUCGCUUACGUCACUAUCACCGCGCUUGGCGAGUAAAGGAGGAGGAGGUGGCAUAGUAAUCGAAGAGGAGGCCGCUGUCGGCGGGUUUAGACUACGUGGAGGUGUGGGUAGGGUUAAGGUGGCUCUGUGGACGAGUAUAUAUAAGAGGUCUGGGCUUGUUAGAAUAAGAUAACAUUCUAACUGGCCAAAUUCGGAUCCGGUUAGAAUAAAUUGUUCUAACCAGCCUUAAUUCGAGGUGGUAAGGAUAAGUUAACAUUCUAAUCAGCUCUAUUUGGAGCCCGAUUGAAUGUUCUUGUUAUUCAAAAAAAGAUCAAGUUCAUCAAUUUUUUUCUAGAAAAACAUCAAGAUAAUUUAAACACGAUAUAUAACAAGAUUAAUACAUUUAAAAAUUGUUUUCUCCAAUAAUUAACGAUAUUUAACAAAUUCAAAAAAAAUCCAAAUUAACAGAACAUAAUAACCAAUUGUUCGAAAAAAUCAAAAUAGUCCACACAGUAUCAUAUUACAAAUUCAGAAAAAUAUCAAAAUAAUCCCUGAUCCACUCGAUACCGUCGUAGAACUUUGAAAUACUGAGCUUCUUGAUUCAUCUGAGGUCCACGUACUCGUCUCAGUAACACUAGUGGUGGCCAUGCAUCUUGUAGAUGUCUUCUAAUGAAUUAAGCUUGACAUACAAGGUCGUGCCUUCCACUCCUUGAGGAUUGCUUAUGACGUUUCUGCAAAUAACGAAGCAUUGCUUUCUCCAACAUGAUUAUUUUCUUCGGCUUAUCCCAAGGGACAACUAUGGUUUUCCCCUUGCCGGAAGAGGAACGAUGAUCGCCCCCACCAUCGCCACUUCCUCCAGUAGCAGAAGCCAUCUAUGUACAAAAAUUCAUACCUUAGCACUACAGAACUUGUUGAACUUGAAGACUGUGAUCAUUAGGCGAGCAUGUUCUCAACUAGGUGGCACCGCACUUCGUCAUGGAAGAGCUUCGAUUUUACAAAAAAGGGGACAUGAUCUUCCAUGAUGUCCGUAUCCGCUCUUUCUCGUAGAAUCAGAGCUCCUCCUUGAUAUACGAUGCUGCUCGGCGGAGAACAUGCUCACCGAGAUGAACACGGUAUGCAAGUUCAACAAGUAUGGAUUUGAAAAACCAUAUUGAAUUUGACAAGACAAACUAUCUAGAUAAGCGUAGCAUCAUUCUUAAACCACUGCAAGGAUACGUACUAUAUAUGACACAUCAAUCUCCCUCACAUUCUAGCUCAAAAUACCUCUCCAUUUUCUACUUCACAUUCUAGCAAAUAAACUAUCUAUCUCCAUUCUACACAUCAAGUUGUUUUAACUAAUACAAAUCGUAUAUAACAAGCAAAAUAUCCAUCACAUUCUAGCUCAAAAACAUGUAUAAAUACAAAUCCUCUUCAUUCUCCCUUUUUCUAACAAACAAACUCAUUUUUCUCCCUCUCCAAAGCAUAAAUUAAAGCGUAACAUGAGGAUGAGGUAGCAAACCUUCACAACACAUUGGAUGAGUGAAAUUCCCACGAAAAUGAGGGAAAAAAAUUCGGGCAGCACCUCCCUUGCUUCGGCACCUCUAGAGAGUAGGUGAAGCUCAGUUCUCUAUUUUUGUGGUGGACUAGCUUGGGCUGGAGGAGGAAGAAAGGCCUCUGUCUUGGUAUAUAAUGGGGGAUGAGUUUUUAUCCCAGUUAAAAGCUCCAACUGAGACAAAACGGCCAAUCUUUUGUCCCGGUUGGAGCCUCCAACCGGGACAAAAGGGGCACGCCAUCGACGCACGGGAGCUAGCCGUUACAACCGGGACUAAAGGGGGGCCUUUAGUCCCGGUUGCAAAUACCAACUGGGAUUAAAUCUCCCCUCCAUUUUUGCCUACCGUGGUGCGCCCCCUUUUAUCCCGGGUCAACUUUAAACCGGGACAAAAGGGGGCGUCGAAGAUCAGUUCUCUACUAGUGACCCCUCCCCACCUAUCUCUCUCCCUCCAUGCUCCUCGAUCUGUGCCUCCCCUCCCCUCCCCUUCCACUCGCCCCUCACCGACGGUAAGGAGCAGCGGCGGGGCGAGGUGAGGUGGCAGCAGCAAUGGCAGGUGGUGGGUCGCAGCGGAGCGGCUACGGUAGGCAGCCGGACGGGGCAGAGCGGCGGGGCGGGGUGGAGGCGGAGGUGGCGGGUAGAGGCGGAGCGGCGAGGCGGAGGCGGAGGUGGAGGCGGAGUGGUGGGACGGCAGGGCCGGGCGACUAGUAUAGGUGGGCGGGCGGAGGGCGGCGACGGCGGAGCGGGCGGAGGCAGAGGGGCAGCGGGGGCCGCCGGCGGGGGGUGUGAUCGGGGAUUUCAAUUUUUUUUAAAUUUUUUAACACCUUUUAGUCCAACUGGUUCUAAAGGGACCCCUCUAGUAUCAAAAUUGCUAGUACCGGUUGCACAACCGGUACCAGAAGUGGUUCCUAACUGGUACUAGAGCCACUUUCCCUGGUAGAGACUUUUUUACCAGUUAGAAUAUGUUAUUAUUUUAAUCAGCUUUCGCUGAUCGCCAGUAUGAUUUAGUACCUAAUUUUACUGGCGAUUGUUACCGCUGACACGGAUUGGGUAUAGUCCUAACAGUGUAUAACUACGGCACUACAUUUGUUAACCUAUAACUACUUGUAUCGAUUAGCCCUGGUUAGAAUACUGUCAAGGCAGCCAGAAUUUUUUUUUUUUGCCAAUUCUGCUAUCCAUGAGAUCCAUGACUAGUACCGCAAUGUAAUGAAUGAACUGCACAAAUAACUGAUGCACACAAAAGAAUAUGCACUUGCACGCUAGACGUUCGUAACAACAAAUUACUCUCAUCACCAAUUGAACAUAAUAGAUUAAACAUUAACUGAACAGAAUUCAACACGUACAUCAACACGACAAAGCAGUUUAAACAUCAACUGAACUGAACUGAACACAUACAUCAACUGAUGAUAAUUAUCGACAUCAACAGAACACAUGAACAUCAACAUCAAUAGAACUUAAUAGAGCAUAUUAAACAACAACAUCGACAAAACAUAUAAACCCAGCUUAGUAGCUCAGGCAUCAACUAAAAUUGCUGAAUUAAAACAACACAACGUAGUGUAGUUCAUAAUGCUUCGGCGCUUACACCACUGGCGGGUCGCUUACGUCGGCAUCACCGCGCUGGCUGAACCUCCGACACCCCCACCACGGCAAACGGAGGUGAUGGCGGAAGGUGAGGCAACGACAGUAGCUGGUGAGCUCCCGCUCCAAUGUCUCGCGAGUAAAGGAGGAGGAGGUGGCAUGGGAAUCGAAGAGGACACUAGUAGAGAAACGACUUUCCAUCCACCCCCUUUUGUCCCGGUUUAAAGUUGGCCCGGGACAAAAGGUUCACCAACCGGGAUUAAAACUCGGUCACUGGUGGGGGGCUCACCAACCGGGACCUUUUAUCCCGGUUGCAAAGGCUAGUGGGAAAAAAUUACUCUGAGAGGCCUUUUAUCCCGGUUUGAAACACCAACCGGGAUAAAAGACCCCCCCUUUUAUCCCGGUUGGUAACACCAACCGAGAUAAAAGGGUCAAGAGCCUUUUAUCCCGGUUGGAAACACCAACCGGGAUAAAAGGGGGUCUUUUAUCCCGGUUGGUGUUUCCAACCGGGAUAAAAGGGUCCCCCACGAGUUAAUACAAAAGGAUAGUAUCCCCUACAUAGUCAGAUGUGGUGUGUAGGUGGGAUGGUAAGGAAGCUACGCGCGAGGCUGGAGGUUGUGGGUUCGAAUCCCACGAACCGCGCACGCGCAUAUUUCGCGUGAAAAAUCGCGUGACUUGCGACUUGCGCGUGUGGGGGGGCCUCCUGGGAGCUCGGGAAUUUUUUUUUUUUGCAGCGCCGGCCGUGGGUGAACCCUUUUAUCCCGGUUGGUAUUACCAACCGGGAUAAAAGGGGGUCUUUUGUCCCGGUUGAGUGACCCGGGAUAAAAGACCCCCCCUUUUGUCCCGGUUGGUUUAUCCCGGAUGCAUUUUCGAGAUCUUUGCACCCUACCAACCGGGAUAAUAGGUGAGUUCUCCACCAGUGGGAGGCCGCCGCUGGCGGGUUUAGACUACGUGGAUGUGUGGGUAGGGUUAAGGUGACGGUGUGGACUAGUAUAUAUAAGAUGUCUGGGCUUGUUAGAAUAAGAUAACAUUCUAACCGGCCAAAUUCGGACCCGGUUAGAUUAAAUUGAUAUUCUAACCGGUCCUAUUUCUAGGUGGUAAGAAUAAGUUAACAUUGUAAUUGGCUUUAUUUGGAACCCGAUUGAAUCUUCUUGUUAUUCAAAAAAACAUCAAGUUCAUCAAUUUUAAUCCAGGAAAACAUCAAGAUAAUUUAAGCACGAUAUAUAACAAGAUUAAUACAUUUAAAAAUUGUUUGAUUCACAAAUUAACGAUAUUUAACAAAUUCAAAAAAUCCAAAUUAACAGAACACAAUAACCAAUUGUUCGAAAAAAUCAAAAUAAUCCACACACAUUAAUAUAUUACAAAUUCAGAAAUAUAUCAAAAUAAUCCCCGAUCCACUCGAUACCGUCAUAGGACUUUUAAAUACUGAGCUUCUUGAUUCGUCUGAGGUCCACCUACUCGUCUCAGUAACACUAGUGAUGGCCAUGCAUCUUGUAGAUGUCUUCUAACGAAUCAAGCUUGACGUACAAGGUCAUGCCUUCCGCUCCUUGAGGAUAACCAUCUUUGGUGAUCUUGAAAUGGCAGACGGUGGAUGUGCCAAAGGUACGUGACGAUCCUUCUAAAUGUAUGCCACCACAACUUCCGUCUGAUCGCCAUGGGUGACACCAAGAAGAGCUACCAUGCGGCAAGGGACGAACAAUUUAUCAAUUAGUGCCGCUGUCCAUCGCCAUCAUCUAAUCCAGCCAUAUCUUGUUGUAUAUUUAAGUAUAGAAAUUAAGAUUUAAAAAUAAACAGAAUAAAUUGAGAUCGAUUAUGUAUGUAUAUCAGAACAUUAGCUUUUGGAAAAAGGGCUUCGAUGGAAGAGAGGCACGGGGCAUAGAGACAACAACGAGUGACAAUAUGUCAGAAGAAUACCCGAUCACAAUUAUUGGCACACACAGCCGAUAUUUACAGUAGUCAAUACCCCUGGUAAAUAACCACACCAUCAAGAGUAAAUAGUGACAAUAUGCAGUAUAUACACGACAUAGCCUUGGCUGCCGUGGAAGCACCAGAAGGGAGACAAAUAACAGGGACCACUACAUCAAGUAGAUAGUGACAAUAUGCAAAAGAAUACCCGCGCCUGUUAGCAUGUGUGAACUGACCACACCACGAAACGUGAUACACGGCAAGCGUACCAAGGCCUUGCUGUGCAGACUAUGCAUGGACAACACAUGGUACCUGACCGCUUUUGGCCUCAGACACAUCAAAAACUGCAUCGUUCCACGUUGUACAUCCAUUGCUAGUUUAUCUAUAUUACAUAAUAUAUUAUUAGCUAUUUGAAUAGAAUGAACCAAUUAAAAAAUUACGUUGUAUUUUAGUACCGGCUGCAGGAUGGUGUUACCAACCAGUACUAAUUGGCCUGUAGGAGUGAUGGUUAUUAGACUUGGUACUGUUGUUAGCAUCAUUAACCUAAUUGUGCGCCGUAUGAAUUUGGGGAUGCAAAGCUAGCUCUCUAUGAAUGUGAGGGAUGGAAAGCUAGUUCUCUAGUAGUAAUUAUAUAUAUGACAGUCAGGAAAUCGAACACUAUGCUGCUACGAGUCACCAUCAUUUCCUUCAUUGACAAUCUGACAUAGGUGAAGCUGCUUCAAUAAUUUCCUUCGCGCAGUCGUGGAGCUUAUUGGAUUAUCACCAGGACGGGACACGGAAAUGGCCAGCAAUGAAGCUGAUUGCCGUCUGAGGAAGACUACAUACUUACCUAUGAAAUGAAGCGAUUGCAUAGACUAAUGAAGCAUUGCAUAUUUGCAUGUGAGUGUGGCAGAUAAUUCUGCAGGACAUGAUUGCAAUCCACGCACCAUCGAGAAGACUGGGGCGAUGGGGUUGCCUCAUCAAUAAUCACGUGGAUGCAUGCAUGCAUGUUCCCUCAACCGGACAAGGGUCUGAUAUAUGGCUAUAGUAUUACUGAGCCCACAUCAAUAAUUUCCGCUGGUGUAUCGUGUGGGAAGAAUCAACAUACUACACCUCUGAGUUCUUGGAACUAACUGACGUUCACAUGCAACCUCCACAAGGUGCUGUAUGCUUUUGACAUUCACCUGCCAGUUCGUGUAGAGGACACCCUAACGUAUGGUUAAUAUUAUCCAUUUCAUGAGUAAAAUACUGUGAUUCAAAAAUACUUCAAAUCCCUUGAGACAAUACUUCUCACUUGACUAACCACUAACCAACCCCGAAACCCUAACUCAACUCCGAACCCUAACCCCUAACGGCAUAACCACUCCGUUUUGCCGGCGAGAUGGAGGAACUGGCUGGAAGGUAGAGAGGGCAGCGGUCCAGGGUUGAAAACGACGGGCGAGCGCAGUAACAUGUGGAGGAGGAAGUGCCACGUAUUCGUUCACCGCUAUUGGGCAGCGACACACGACACGCCCAAUAAGAUCUUCGCACGGUAGAAGGACGUCAUGUAUUCAAUAAUGUUAUUGGUCCCCCAUGUGCAGAAGGGCGCGCGCGUAUGGAAUAACAAGUAGGGACACUGCAACUAAUCUACUCUGCUCGUCCAGUCCCUAGCCUAUAAAUAGAUGCCAUGCUAGCUCUUGUUGUGCUCACAAUUAAUCCGAUUACACACGAGCUUCUCUCCCUGGCCAAGACACAACCAUAGUAUGAUGAAGAACAUGGCACUAGCCGGCAAUGGUAUGAAGAAGUUAAUCCUCGCUGUUCUCUUACUGUGUCUAGUUAUAGGGCAGAUACAAGUGGAAGCUAAGAGCUGCUGCCCAUCCACCACUGCAAGAAAUGUCUACAAUACCUGCCGUUUCACGGGUACAUCCCGUCCAACGUGUGCAAAACUGUCAGGCUGCAAAAUUAUCAGCGGGAACAAAUGCAAGCCCCCUAACGACCACCUCACCCUUGACCCGGACACUGGUAAAUAAUAAAUUUAUCUCACUUGAUUUCUUCGUGAUUUGAGUCGUUAAUGUAUUUUCCAUCUGAUGAAACGUAUUGGUUUUGCAUUGAAGAGGAAGUUAAUGUGCUUAACUUCUGCAAGUUGGGGUGUGCGUCGUCUGUGUGCAACAACAUCAACGCUGGUAAGCAACUUUUGCUCAGACAGAGAAAACAAUAAUCAUUAAUUAGCGGCAGCUAGAAUCCUAUAAUCUAAUAUAUAUAUAUAUAUAUAAUUUUAUCAGCUCUGGGAAAUGAAGAGGCGAACGAUGCCGUUGAGAGUUGCGACCAAGCCUGCUCUAGCUUCUGCAGCGUGCAUGUUGGCAGCGCCACCGUGGUUGCUUAAGCAAAUGCAUCCAACUAGAUCGUCCUUGUGCUGAAUAAUUGGAUAUCGUAUCCACUUAAAGCUGCCUUGUGUAGUACGUCUUUGUGUCUCUCUUUAUAUUCCAAUAAGGUCGGUGAUCUUGAUGCCACACACUCAGAUGUGUGUUCAUCUCCAGAUACUACUCCAUGCUACCUGCCCUUUGUGUUUUGUUCAAUAACUGGGUAUCAUAUCCCAGCCAGUAUGCCGUCUGUUUUGUGUUUGUUUCCUUCUAGUUCCAAAGGGGUCAUCAUGAUGUUACCUUCUUUCAAUAUGGUGCUUUGCAUGACUACUGUUGUAUGGUACCAUCUUGUGGCCAAUAAGUACAUCUUAUCCUAUGACCUUUGCUAUGACCCUUUGCAAAUAAGUAGAAGAUUGUUAUAAGCGUCAAUACUCCGUAUAAAUUGAUCGCUGCUGUGAGUUCCCUUUCAGCUUAUCGUAGGCAUACAUUAUUGCUAGCACGGUAAAGCCAACCAACACGAAUGAUGAAGUAAACGUAGCGGUACUUCUGUAUACCAACACCCUUACUUAAAUGUACCGGUGUCAUUCCCUACUGGCACAUAUAUUCUUAUAUGCUAGCCAGCUUGUAAAAUUAACCAAUUAAAAUAAUUAUUUCAAGAUAGAAAUAACUUAUCGGUUUCUGGAAGCAUGUGUAAUGUGAAUUCAAGGACUCGACGGAAGUUGAAUCACUUCAUCUAUAUUGCUUUCAGUAUUUUGGGUAACUAAAUUUAACAUUUGCACAUACAAAUGUUAAAGUACAAAUGUUAAAUCUAGUUACCCAAGCAGAAUAUGAAGAUAGUUUAUAGUAUAUAUAUACUAUAUAAAUCUAGUUAACAUUUAGUCUAAAUGUUAAAUCUAGUUACCUAAAAUCCUGAAAGCAAAAUGUAUAAAUAUAUAUCUUUUAAGGCAGUAUAAGCUUCGAUUCCUAUUGCUGCUCUGUUAAAUCUCAUCUUUCGUUGUGGCCCAACACUCUAGUAUGCAUGUUGCACCAAGCUUCUUUGAGCCGCUCUGCCCUCUGAUUUUGCUGCGUAGGGGAAUCUUUAUCAGGUUGGGCUACUUCCAGUUGUGCGAUGUAAAGAUUCGUAUUUUCUAGAAGGUAGACAAAAAACUCGCGUUCUCUUAAGGCAACAACCGGAAGAUUCUGCAGCGCACAGGGCAUACCAUUAUUGUAGAAACGACCUUUAGUACCGAUCUCCAACCCCCUUUAAAACUGGUUUUGCAACCGGUACCGUUAUGUCGGUCCUUUAGUACCAGAUCAAAUAAGUACCGGUUGGUAACCAGUAUCAACUUGUUUUGCGGCCAAAAAAAUAAAGAAAAAAACAGUCAGAAGGCUCGCGCACACGCGCAUCACAUGAAAUAUGCGUGUGCGGGGUCCAUGGGAUUCGAACCCAUGAAAUCAAGCUGCGCGCGACCCUUCGUUACCAUCUCACCUACAUAGCGCAUAUGCUUUCCUGAAGUAACCCGUGGAGGAGGCUUUAGUACCGGGUCAUAACACCACCCGGUACUAAAAAUGACUCUUCAGUACCGGGUCAUAACACCACCCGAUACUAGUAUCGGAUGGUGUAAUGACCCGAUACUAAAAGGCCUCUAGGGACCCUCAAAUUUGAACCCGGUACUAAUGCUAAUAUUAGUAGCGGGUCAAAGUGCAGCCAGAACUAAAGCAUGGGAUGAAAGGUCAUAUUUCUAGUAGUGUAUAGUUGUUGUGAAGGACUGACUUGGCUGUCCUCUCUCUUCUCCAUCCCCUUGGUCUUACGCCGCCGCUCGCACGCGAGCCGGUGCCCAACCAGAGGAGUGAGAGCUAGGGGCAGGUUGGGAGGUGGGGAUAGUGACUGGUGGCCAGGGUGAUGGUUGAUCCUGGUGGGGUUAGGGUUUUAGGGUUUUCGAGCUUCCUAUGGUCGGCGAACCUAGAGGAGGAGCUCAACAUCAGCUGCAACCCGCGAUGGUGGUGGUUUGGCCGGCGCCCGAGGCGAGGCAGCGCGGGAGUGCUGCCGGUGGGUUGGUGUUGGCACUCAUUAUUGACAACUAUUUUGUUCAUAAAAUAACACUCAAACUUGCUGCUGCUGCUGCUGCUGCCAUCGCCACCCUAGCCAUAAUAUAAAGGCAAAAUUUGCUAAAGGACAUGCAAAAUGAUGCUAGUUUGCUGGCGGGCAUCGUUGACCUUGUAAUAUGCUACAAGACACUCUAGUUGUGUAUCAAUUUGCUGAAAGACAUUGCUAUGACUAAAAUAAUGUUUCUGGACUGAGUUGGAGAGAGAGAUGGAGUGAAAUGUCUGUUUUGCCCAUGACCCCACUGGUCAGAUCCUUCUUCUUCCACCCUCCUUUGUUCUUUCUUCAACCAUUACCCAGCUCCAGCGUGUUGCAGAUCUACGAGGGUGGCGGCCUGGGGCGAGGGGCAUCGCUCGCCCUUGGAGGAGCGCUGCGAGCGACGGCGCGGGGGCGGCAACAGCGCGUCAGAACCUGACUGUUCGUUAGCUCCUCUCGCUGCUGGGGAAGGAGGGGGAUGGGCCAUGGACGGGGUUCCCUUGAAAACCUCAGCGUCGAGCUCGGGCGGCUACGCGCAGGCAGCACUAGGCUGCUUCACGGGGAGGGGGCGCGGCCAAUCAUUGGCACCCCACUGGUCCAAUGCUGAUGAAGAUGGUGCCAGCGUCGUGUGAGGACAUCUCAUCUCCUCGAGUUCCAUGGCCAGCACAGGUGAGCUGCCGCUACCACAAAACAGAGGUUUCGUGAGAGUCAAAAAACCUUAUGAAAAUAGCUAAAACCAUCAUGAAAAUAAUCCGUGACAUGACACUCUCACGAAAAUCCUCUCACAAAUAUGGUGCCAUGAAAAUACCAUUUUCAUGAGAGUGAACUGUCAUGAUUUUAUUUCGUGAGAGUAUUUCCUAUCAAUGACCUCCACGAAAUACUUUGUGCCACCAGGUCUUCAAGAUCAUUUUCAUGAGAGCUGAACAUCAGGAAAAGUCCGCCACAAAUGUUUUUCUUGGAGCCCCUAACUCUCAUGAAAAUCAUGCGGGCCGCCACGAAAAACAGCAUGACCAAAUGACAAAUUUCAUUUUCAUGUGUUCAUACCGCCAUGAAAAUGGUCAUUUUCAUGAGAGUUGAUGAAACAAAAAAUAGUGCCAUUUUCAUGAGAGUUCAAGCAACCAGGAAAAGACACUAAUAAACAUCCAGAUCCCAUCCAGCACACAUCCAUGCACAUAUAUAACCCACAUAUUGCUCCAGCACACAUCCAUGCAUAUACAAGAUCCAAAUGUUAAUAUAGUAGACAUCCAUGCCUGAACUAGUCUGCCACACAAGUCAUUGAUGCUACAAAUCCUACAAUCGCAGCAUGUGCAUACAAGUCACAGAAUGAGACAAUGUACCCAAAACUAAAAGGUUAGCAUCAACUGUGCUUCAACCAAAGUUGUCAUCCCAACUCUCCUCUUCAUCCAUGCCAUUCUUGUCGUGGCCGUCACUGUCAGUCCCCAUGGCAUUGCCAAUGCUGUGCAUGUCUUGGUAGGAACCUACAUGUGAUGAACUAGUAACCUGCAAAAAGAGCUCAAAGGAUCUUGUUCUCAUAUUGUAGCUGUGAAAUUCUUACAAGUAGUGUUGCAAUCAGUUCACUUUGAACCAAAAGAGCUCAAAGGAUCUUGUCCUAAAAGUUCCUCAUAAAGCUUAUGGGUUUGCUGGUGGAACUGGAAGGGCUUGAUGCAGCAGAUGCCAUUCUGCAAUAGAGAAAAAUUUAGAGAGCAGUACUAGUUAAAAUUGGAUGCAGAAGAUACACAUGAAACUAGUAUUUAUACAAGUCUAUACAAUUAAAAUCUAAGGAGACUUAUCAUCGUUUUCAUGUGUUGUGAAUUAAAAUAAUGAAGGAUACACUGUUAGGUGAAAAUUCAAGAAACAAAAUUUUGCAUAGAGAUAAAGGUCCAACAUUAUUACAAGUUAAGGUAGUUUUAAAUAUCCUUGUAAUCUUCCUUUGGUUUCCUCAACGAUUCGAAGACAAUAACCUUGCUUCUAUCAAUGAUAAUUAUAAGGAGAAUCCAGUGGAAACUGUGUAUUCGUAUUAGAACUACCUAAGGUUAAUUAGGUUAGGAAAGGAAAUUGAAAAUAGAUGGUACCCACACUUACUUAAAGUUGUCGGGCAAUAGUAUGUAAUGCUUGUAAUUCCGUUGCUCCAAGAAUUUGUAUAUGUGGUCCAAUGUAGACUUUGGUUGAUCCCGUAUCUGCUGUUGGUUAAAUAAGUGUUUCUAGCCAUUUCUAGCCAUUAGAACCGGGACUAAAGGGGGCUCUUUAGUACGGGUUGAUAUUACUAACCGGGAUUAAAGAGCCCCCAUUAGAGUUGGUUUUUGGAUGCGGAACUAACAACUCCUUUAGUCCUGAGUACGAAAACAACUGACAUAUUUGUUGCUGGAUGGAAGGUCCUUUCUCUACCGUGAAUAUUGCCAGAAAGAAUUGAAAGAGACUGCUUGCUAAAAAUAUGUCAUAGAUGUAGACCAAGCUACCAAGGAGGUAGACCAAACAUGAUACACACCAUGCGUACCUUGCUGUGCAGACUAUGCAUUGACAAGAUACCCGACCACAUGUUGGCCUCGGUCACAUCAAAAGAAUCAUGUAGGCCACCAAUAAACUACUUGAAGCGGCAUUCCGUAUCGUAUAUGCAUUGCCGGUUCAUCUGCAUUACAUUACAUAAAGCACUAUUAACUAUUUGAAUAAAAUGAACCAAUUUAAAAGUAAUGUGUUGUACUCUACUAUAGAAAGCCCUAUCACUGCCGGAUCCAAAAACAUCAUUGUUAAUGGUGGUUAAGUACCAAAUAUGACGGUCAAUAUUCUCAAGAAUAAUGGAGAAUUAGCAUUUCUUAGACACAUAUUUGGUUUUGAACAAUGUAGUUCCACAUGUCUUUGGAGAUUAUUUGGGUGUGGGUGAAAUAAUACAAAAAUAAGGAGAAAACACACUCCCAUGGCGAAGAAACACAACUCCAACCAAUGAGAGAUAGCCACAGGGGCAGCACACGGAUCCAUGGGCCCACUAACCGCAUCAAACCAUCUUACCAAGGCAGGUAGCACCCACAACCGUCAUUAGGACCCACCUGGAAGUCUACCAAGAAGAAGGUUGCGAGUGGGGCCAGGAGGGGUUCGGUUGAAUCAUCUCUAGCUAGCUCCCCUCAUCCCCAGCUGGUGGGUGGUGGUGGUUGAUGGUGUCCCUACAUCAGUUAGAGGAGAUUCCCCCAAAUAUUCCUCCUGUAAACCACCUCUAUGGACCUAUACAUAGAGGGGUGUGCUCUCCAUUCCAACACACACCACAAGUUGAAUCACUCUCUCCCUCUUUAGUUUCCAAGUUUAUGGAGUUAGGCUAGAGUAGCUCUGCUCAAGGUUCCAAGUCCACUUGGAGUUAAGCAUAUGUCUCUUGUAUCGUUAUUUCCUAAAUUGACUUUAUGCUUAGUUCUUAUAUGCAUGAGUUAGUCUAAUACCCUUGCUAUAUUGAUAUGCUCGGCUUAUAUGCUCGUAUGCUAGUCAUAUACCCUUGCUGUCGUAGUAUAGGCUUAUAUGCUCUCAUGUGUGCCUGUAGACCUUGCUAUAGUAUAUACUUGUUGUGCAUACAUACCAUGUAUAGGCUAGUCGAUCUAUACCAUGGCAUUGGUUCAAUAGCCAUGUUUUUGGUGGCUCCAACCCUAGUCACAAUAGCUCGGGACAGCUGGAGUGUUGUUAAAAAUGCAAGAGUGGUGCUUGGGUUGUUUAGCAUCGUUGGAUAUGGGUUUGCCCCACGGGUUUCUAACGGUAGGCGGCAGCUAGUGACAUCCCUGUCCGUCCUUCGUAAUCCCCCCACAUUCAGGUACGCCAUAAAUGUUCGUAAAUUAGCAGUAACUACGCCGGUACACCUGUAGGGUAUUGUCUCCCUGUAGUACCUUGGUGCAUAGAACUAAGUCCUAUACACUGUGUGUGUAUGUUUACGCUGAUAUGAUCUGUGCAGUAUAUAGGAUGUAUAUAUGAACCUAGAGCUAACUCCUAGUCCGUUCUCCAUAGCUUAGUUAUCUUGAGAUGAUUCUUCUGUAUGUGUAACACUACCCAUCUUAUCAUUAUCCUUGAUCCUGUCUUGUGUAAUAUAUCUACUCAUCCUAUGAUAUACUCAUAUGCAUAGUAAACUAUUUUGACCUACCCGCCUUCCUUUGGGAAAUAUGAUACCUUGGAAUAAUCCUAGGUGAAAUCCUACAACGGUAUAUCCAUGUAAAUGCGGAUUUAUUCAUGACCAUUAAAUAUACCAACAAUCAUCACUGUGAGUUUUGGGCGUCGUUAGUGAAGGGUUGGUAGUGAUGGGCAUCCCCUUCACCAAUGGACCUGGAACCGGCGGUGAUGGCUAUUAUAAAAAAGGGGACACCACCCAGCGUACCCCACGACCCGGCCGGCCGCACCUCCCAUCAUCCCCGCCAGCCGCCCUUCCUUUUCGCCGGCCGAGCAUGGUCCCGGCCUUUGUCCCUACCACCUCGCCUCCACCGCGACCCCCCGCCGAUGCCCUCGUGCCUGGCCCCCCUCAUCUUGCCGGCCACCCUCCCGAUGCGUCCACUGGGGCCCUCGCACCACCAACCGCCCUUGCUUAGAGAGGGAGAGAGAGGAGGGAGGUGAGGCCACGCACCUCGUCCUACACCGCCGCUGUUUCUCCUCGGCCCACCGCGCCUCACCCCACACCACAGCCGCGCCUUGCCAUCUUACCGGCUGUGACGCCUCAUCUCACCGGCCACCGUUCCUCACCCCCACUUCGGUCGUCGCCGCUCCUUGCCCUACCGCUGCUCUUUGCCGCUGCGAAUGAGCGCCGAGUGGAGGAGGAGGGAUGGGGCAGGAGGAGGGCAAGAUCCGGGAGGAAGGGAGAGAUCUCGGGAGGUGGAGAUGGAAGGAUAUGGCGGAAGGGAGAGAUCCAGAGGGAGAGAGCAGGGGAGAGAGGGGGGCGUGUGGGGAGAGAGCGCGUGUGGGGUGGGGCCGGGCUGGUGGGAUGGAAGGGAGAGGGGCUAGACGGGCGCAGUGCAUUCAACUGGAUGAAGUAAAUAUUUUGGAUUCGAGACCCCAGCUUUAUUAUCACCGCUGGUCCGUAGUACCAUCCGGUGCCUGCUCGUAAUUUAAUUUGAAUCUGCGGUGAUGUUUUAUUAUCACCAUCGGAUCAUAUAAAAAUCCGGCGGUUAAAAAUCCGCUGGUUUCGAUGAAAACCGACGGUGAUAGGAUGACUGUGAUAGUCUCUUCUCUAGUAGUGGUAUAUUAGUACCGGCUGCCGGAUGGUGUUGCCGACCAGUACUUCUCCGGGGGCGAUUCAGUACUGCUGUUAGCAAAGCUUGUUCUCUAUGAAUUUGGGGAUGGAAAGCUAGUUCUCUAGUUGUGAUUUGUUACAUAUAUAUCUAUGAUAGUCUAGAAAUUGCAUGUCCUUCGUUGACAUAGUUGAAGCUGCUUCAAGAAUUUACUUCGUGCAGUCGUGCAGCAUAUUGGAUUAUCACCUAGACAGGAUACAUAGGUGAAGCAUUGGAUGUGAUUGUGGCCGAUAAUUAUGCAGGACGCUGUUGCAAUCAACCACCAAGAAGUCUGGAGUGAUGGGGUUGCCUCAUCAAUAAUUUUUAUAUAUGGCUGCAGUAUUAUUAAGCCCACGUCAAUAAUUUUUUGUCCGCACCAUAUAUCGAUGGGGUUGCCUCAUCAAUAAUUCGCGCAACCAGACAAGCUGCAGACUCAAUAUGGUACGAAGCUAGUUGCUCAGCCCACAUGCUCUGAUAUAACAUUGACAUCUGCUGAUCUACAGUAUAUAUGACCAGAAAUAUUGUGCCCACCUCAAUAACUUUCUGAAGUAUCGUGGGGAAGAACCUACGCGUACUAUGCCUCGGAACUAACUGACAUAUCGGCCCAGGCGGUCUAGGCCGAUUGGACUGGCUCUUCCUUGUGGCUUCUCACAUCCCCUUCGUCCCCAAGUAAUUUCAGGUGUUCUGUAGUUUUCUUUUCACUUGCAUCUGAGCCUCCUAUAUCAAUAGCUUCGGGAUAAGAAUGCCUCUUGAUAACCUUCCAAAUCCUCGCUUGAUUCACAUUGAUUCCGAAAUCAUCUUGCCAUAUCUUCAGAGACUUAGGUCCUAAGGCAUCAUGGAGGAUUGCUCGCCAAGAAUGAGCACCAUUGGGCUCCUGAGGACCCUAGGCCGAUCAGCCCGGGCUCUAUAGGUCGAUUGGCCCAGGCCCUCUCUGGGCCUGUUGGCCUUCAUCUUUCUUUGAGUCGACGCUUAUUCAGGGCUUUGUCCAAUUAUAGUCCAUUAUAGUCUAAUUUCCUAAAAAACAGAAUGUCCUCCAAAAUACAAUGCAUAUGUGAAAACAACCCAAUUAUUAGGUAUGAUCAAUAGUUUAGGUAUUAAAUUAAUAUUAUUAUUUAAGAUAAACAGGGGUAAAGGGUGUCAUUAAUAACAAGCGCCAACAAGCGUCCUAGCUGUUCAAUAAAUUUUUUCUAGUACCGAUUGGUAACACUAACCGGUGCUAAUAUGUACCCUUUAUUACCGGUUAUUUUACCAGGUACUAAAGGAGACAAGAGCAUCCUAACAUAAGGUUAAUAUCAUCCAUUUCAUGAGUAAAAUACUAUGAUUCAAAAAUAAUUCAAAUCCCUUAAGACAAUACCUAUCAAAUGAGUAAAUUGUAAAUAGAGUAAUCUUGAUCAAACAAUGUCCUAAUGAAACGGAACACUUCUGGUUCGUGUAGAGCACAAUAUAGAAAACAGUAGGGUAGCUGUAUGAUUGACACGUGGUCCAUUAAUUAUUGAGCCAACACUAUGGACAUGUCUUCAUGAGUAGUGUACUAGUCAUAAUACAUGGUAUGCAGUAGGUGGAGGUAUUGACUUAGCCAUGCUAUGAGCACUUAGUUACAACAAACACUUUGCCAUUAUCGAGCAUCCCAAAUCACUACAAAAUCCAUAGUUUACCAUAUACUACAAAAUCUGAGUUAAAAUAAGAGCAUACACGGAAGAGUCCGAAUGCACGGCACAUUGAAUUACUAGACAAAAUUUAUGGGACAAGGUUUUGGGUAACCGCAUGAAAAAUAUUGGAUUUUACUGAACACUUAGUUACAAUUACCAUGCCCGUGAGCACUUAGUCACCACAAACAUUUAACCACUUUAGAUCAUCCUGAAUCCCUAUAAAUUCUAUACCUUACACCGUACCAUGAAAACGACAAGAACAGAGACAGAUGCGGUGAAAAUCUCCAGAGCAAGCCUGAAAUUAAAAUAAGAGGAGGCAGUCACUAUCGACAGGACACGGAGAUUGCUAGCCAUGACAGAGGAAGACAUGAUAUGAUAUUCACCUCUGAAAUGCAGCGUAGACUAAAUGAAGCACAAUUGCAAGUGAGUGUGGCAGAUAAUGGACCAUCGAGACCAUCGAAUGGUAUGAAGCAUGAUUAUCACCUAGACAUGAUAUCCUAGACAGGACGGUGAAUUGUAAAAAGAGUAAUCUUGAUCAAAGAAUGUCCUAAUGAAACGGAACAUUUUUGGUACGUGUAGAGCAAAAUAUAGAAAACAGUAGAGUAGUUGUACGAUUGAAACUGCAUCCAUCGACGUGGUGCAUGAAUUGUUGAGCCAACACUGUGGACAUGUCUUCAUGAACACCAUCUAGUGAGGACAGCAUGCAGAAAAAUAUAAAAACAUGUCAUAGGGAGGCAGACCAAUCUUGCGAGGUAGACGAAACGUGAUACACGAUCUGCCUACCUUGUCGUGUGGAUACCCCAAGUGAAGAUGUCAUAGAGGUGCAGACCAAGCUAGCAAGGAGGUAGAUGAAACGUGAUACACGGCCUGCCUACCUUGCCGUGGAUAUUAGUCCUGAUAUCAUUCUAUUGUUCAAGGAAUAACACUCAAUGCUGCUGCUGCUGCUGACCUGGCUCCAUAAAGUUAUAUUCCUCUAGCCGCUUGCACUAACUUUAUCUGAAGUAUUAUUCUCUCUGCACUGUAUAUAUGGUUACGGAGUUUGCUGGAGUAUCCGGGGGGAAGAACCUACAUAAUAUGUCUUGGAACUAACUGACAUUGAUUCACAGACAAGGUGCUGUUGUUGACAUGGUACAGUAAAUAAUAUAGUUUACCAUAUACCGUAUACCAUUAUAUGUUAGCUAAAAUAAGAGCAUAACAUGUCGCAGGAGUCCAAAAGCACCGGUUGAGGACCAGGUACAUUAAAUUACUAGAAAACAAAAGGGGACAAGGUUUAGGUAGCCACAUGAAAAACAUUUGAAUUUACUGUACCAUGAACACUUAGUUACCAUGCCGGGAGCACCUAGUUAACACUAACAUUUAGCCACUUUAGAUCAUCCCGAAACACCAAUGACCCUCAAUAGCGACAAAUUUUGGUUUAAAUGCCGUCACCAAUGAUCCUCAAUAGUGACGUGUUUAGGUUUAAAUCCCAUCACUAAUAACCCUUGGUAGUGACGUGUUUUGGUUUAAAUCUCAUCACCACUGAUCCUCACUAGUGACGUGUUUUUAGCAACACACGUUAUGAAUGACUUGUCAUUGGUGACAUGUUAAACGCGUUAUCUCAAUGGCAAAUCAAUGGUGACGUGUUUAAAAAAACAUGUCACUGUGAGAGUUAUUGGUGAAGGGUAAUUAAAAUGCAUCACUAAUUUUGUAGCAUUAGUUAUGAUAUAAUUUUGUAACGCAAAAAUCUACCAUAGUAAUGAGGUUUAGAGCCAUCACUAAUGUGGGUUUCUUAUCGUAGUGAUGCAAGCUCUACAAGGUGCUGUUGUUGCCAUUUUAAAGCAUCCCAAAUGACUACAAGAGUCCGGUUGAGGACUAAACAAAUUGAAUUACUAGAACCAAAUGUAUGUCCAGAACAAAGAAAGGGGUCAAGGUUUGGGUAACCGCAUUAAAAACAUUGAAUUUUACUGUACCAUGAACACUUAGUUACCAUUACCAUGCCUUGAGCACCUAGUUACCACAAACAUUAAUUUAGCCACUUUAGAGGUUCCACAAUCACUAUAAAUAAUAUACCAACACCGUACCAUGAAAACAUCAAGAAGAGAGACGGGUACAUGGACCACCAUCAAGUGAGUAGUGACAGCACGCACAAGAAUACCCGGAACCUUUUAGCUUGUCUGUAGUGAUCUGUUUUCUUCGCCACAAAUAAUGAAAGAGGCUGACCAAGCUAGCAACGAGGUAGAGCAAACGUGAUACACGUAGGUUUCAUUCAAGACAUCCAUGUAAGAUUCAUUCAAAACAUUCAUGGAAAUUUCUUGUAAGUUUUCAUGUAAAUUUCAUUCAAGACAUUUGUUAGAGGUGUUGUAUAUACACUUAACGUACAUAUAUCUAUGAUUUCAUGGUUGUUAGUGAUGGCAGAUGAGGAGCAUGCAAGGUGUUUAAUGGAGCAGAUUAUUGCUAGUGGUAGUGGCUCCAACCUGCCCGUAACGUACACCGACGAAGAGGGCAGCCAGGCGGACAUGUUCCUCAACAUGUCCGGUGAUGGCAAUGAAGAGCCCGAGCAAAACCUUGCCGUGACGGAAGGUUCCAUCGAGGUAUAUAUCAUUUCCAUUAUUUUACCCCAUCUAUAAUUUCAUAUUCAUUAUUACUAUGUGCUAAUUAAUGAAUCUUGAACCGUUAGUCCUCUAGAUCAACGAACCGAAAUAAGCCCCGAGGUCUUACAAAGAUAAUGCAGGGAAGGCUUCACAUCAUGGAAGUCACAGAAGAGGGCACAUCGGUUGCUCCCGAACAUGUGGCAAGAAAGUACGUGAGUCAAACCGGGGCAAUCGUAAGGGACAACAUGCCCAUCAGCAUCAGGGAAUGAAAGAGCAAUAGAAAUGAUCUAUACGCACCCCCGGAUACACAAAAGGAUAUGUUGUGGGCAAAUAUCAAGAAACACUUCACAUUUCCCAAAGGAUAUGUUGAAAAAUAUGUGAAAGCGUGGAUGUUGAAGAAGAUGGCCACCCAAUUCCAGACAUUCAAGAAGAUGUUGGAUGCCAACUUCAUCAAGAAGGGUCGAACUCCGGGUUUCAAUGAGUGGCCAAAGUUAAGGGACCACUGGGAGUCGUUUGUCGAAUACAAGACGAGCGAAGGUGGUGCGAGUAAGGUUCACAUCAAUGUUGCCAAUGCUAGCAAGGAGUACCAUCAUCAUCUAGGGCGACGUGGUUACAGCUCUGCAAUUCCCAGAUGGCGCAAGAUGGAACAAGACCUGAUCGAUCGGGGUAUCGUACCAGCAACUCUUGACUGGAUCGAUUGAAAAAUUGGUAUUAUGCUCAUGAAGGCAAUCUGAGCCAAGAGGAUCCGACAUUGGUCUUCAAUAAAACAAUACGUCAGAAGGUCGGAAGGCUUAUUAGGAACAUUGAAGAUGCUAAAGCUGGGAGGUUCAAGGUGGAUAGAGAGAAUGAUGAACUCACAUUGGCCCUCGGGACUGUCAUCUCUAGCACUUCCAGCUCCAGGACUAUCGUCACCACCGGGACCGUCGCUUCCUGCUCGAUCACAGUCUCCAUCUCCAGCACAUCCUGGUGGUGCGAGCGACGACGACAACAACACCCCUCCCUGCCCACCAUUGCCGGGACUAAGACCCGCAUUGAGUAAGGAACCUGCAACACCACUGAAGAAGUCGCGACCACCACCUUCAAGGCAAGUCAGCAAAAGAAGAAAGCAGAGAAGCCUAAACCCACUGAGAAGCCAGCGACUGAUAUGACCGAUGCGGAAAGAUGGAAGGCACUCAAAGAAGAAUGCAGGGAGUGGUUCAGCGAAGGCGAAGGUGAGAAAGUCGUAUGAAUCGAAUUCAAGGAUAUAUAUGAAGUGAACCAUCAGGAUGCCCUUGAUGUCUCUCUCAUCAGCGCCUAGGUUCUGUAAGUGUAUGUUUAUCUAUAAGUAAAUUUUGGCUCAUAUCAUUAUUUUUUUUGCGUGCGUCACCCUACUAACUUCGUCUUCCAUUUUAUGUAGGAUGCUAAUUCAGACGUGCCGCAUAGAAGCGUACUUCCAUGUUGGAUUCAUGGAUCCAUCCCUAGUUAACCAAAAGCCGAUACGGAAGUAGCUAGAGAAAACGUUGGAGGUGGUGUACAACCUCCUGGACAAACUAAACUACAGAAUAGGGGCAAUAUGUGAGGGUCUUGUAGGAUUCCUAGUGGACGAGGUGAUAAAUCCAUAAGGAGAAUAUCAUUCCAACGGACGAGCAUUAGACACACUGAGCAACACCUAGAUGGGAGGAUCCUAGGAAUGACCUCGACAGAUUUUGGUAUAAAUAGUAAUUGUGUAAAUACUAGUUUGAUUUGUAUAGGAAUAUACUAAGAAUUGUAUAUAUAGUAAUUGUACAAAUACUAGUUUGAUUUGUAUGAAUACUAGAUUGAUUUUAUUAUAAAAAAGUUUUAAGUCGUACGUGCAUGCGCCUACAAAGGCGCGGAUGCCUUUUAAUCCCAGUCGGAAAAACAAACUGGUACUAAAGGGGCUCGUGCCGCACCUGGCAUGACCACCCCUUUAGUCCCGGUUGAACGACCCAGGACUAAAGAUCUCCGCGUCUCAAAAAUUUUAUCUCGGAUGCUUUUUAGAGAGAUUUGAGGCCUAUCAACCAAGACUAAUAUCGAGUUUUCUACCAGUGAAACUAACUAACGUUCACAUGGUUUUGACAUUCACCUGCCAUUUGGUGUAGACAAGGGCACCCUAACAUAUGGUUAAUAUUAUUCUUGAAAGAAAAUCCUUUGAUUCAAAAUACUUCAAACCUAAUAAUACAAUACUUCUCACAUCUGAAAAAUAUGAGACGGCCCGACAGUAUUCUAAUCGACGCAAUAAUAUUUUGAGGGCAGCACUACUACAGCGACCCUCAUUCGUGCCGGUGCUGGGACUCCUAUCACGACCCUGAUACAAAUGAGGGUACAUUAUUGGUGCCAGUGCUAGAACAGCCACGAAUAACUUGCUAAACGUGCUGUUACACUCACUACAGGGACCAAGAAGGUAGAUAAAUUACACGACAUAGCCUUGGUUGCCGUGGAAGCGCCAAGAAGGGAGACAAAUUACAGGGACCACACCAUCAAGUAGAUAGUGACAAUAUGCAAAAGAAUACCCGCGCCUGUUAGCAUGUGAACUGACCACACCACGAAACGUGAUACACGGCAAGCGUACCAAGGCCUUGCUGUGCAGACUAUGCAUGGACAACACAUGGUACCUGACCGCUUUUGGCCUCAGACACAUCGAAAAACUGCAUCGUUCCACGUUGUACAUCCAUUGCUAGUUUAUCUAUAUUACAUAAUAUAUUAUUAGCUAUUUGAAUAGAAUGAACCAAUUAAAAAAUUGCGUUGUAUUUUUAGUACCGGCUGCAGGAUGGUGUUACCAACCAGUACUAAUUGGCCUGUAGGAGUGAUGGUUAUUAGACUUGGUACUGUUGUUAGCAUCAUUAACCUAAUUGUGCGCCGUAUGAAUUUGGGGAUGCAAAGCUAGCUCUCUAUGAAUGUGAGGGAUGGAAAGCUAGUUCUCUAGUAGUAAUUAUAUAUAUGACAGUCAAGAAAUCGAACACUAUGCUGCUACGAGUCACCAUCAUUUCCUUCAUUGACAAUCUGACAUAGGUGAAGCUGCUUCAAUAAUUUCCUUCGCGCAGUCGUGGAGCUUAUUGGAUUAUCACCAGGACGGGACACGGAAAUGGCCAGCAAUGAAGCUGAUUGCCGUCUGAGGAAGACUACAUACUUACCUAUGAAAUGAAGCGAUUGCAUAGACUAAUGAAGCAUUGCAUAUUUGCAUGUGAGUGUGGCAGAUAAUUCUGCAGGACAUGAUUGCAAUCCACGCACCAUCGAGAAGACUGGGGCGAUGGGGUUGCCUCAUCAAUAAUCACGUGGAUGCAUGCAUGCAUGUUCCCGCAACCGGACAAGGGUCUGAUAUAUGGCUAUAGUAUUACUGAGCCCACAUCAAUAAUUUCCACUGGUGUAUCGUGUGGGAAGAAUCAACAUACUACACCUCGAGUUCUUGGAACUAACUGACGUUCACAUGCAACCUCCACAAGGUGCUGUAUGCUUUUGACAUUCACCUGCCAGUUCGUGUAGAGAAGGACACCCUAACGUAUAGUUAAUAUUAUCCAUUUCAUGAGUAAAAUACUGUGAUUCAAAAAUACUUCAAAUCCCUUGAGACAAUACUUCUCACUUGACUAACCACUAACCAACCCCGAAACCCUAACUCAACUCCGAACCCUAACCCCUAACGGCAUAACCACUCCGUUUUGCCGGCGAGAUGGAGGAACUGGCUGGAAGGUAGAGAGGGCAGCGGUCCAGGGUUGAAAACGACGGGCGAGCGCAGUAACAUGUGGAGGAGGAAGUGCCACGUAUUCGUUCACCGCUAUUGGGCAGCGACACACGACACGCCCAAUAAGAUCUUCGCACGGUAGAAGGACGUCAUGUAUUCAAUAAUGUUAUUGGUCCCCCAUGUGCAGAAGGGCGCGCGCGUAUGGAAUAACAAGUAGGGACACUGCAACUAAUCUACUCUGCUCGUCCAGUCCCUAGCCUAUAAAUAGAUGCCAUGCUAGCUCUUGUUGUGCUCACAAUUAAUCCGAUUACACACGAGCUUCUCUCCCUGGCCAAGACACAACCAUAGUAUGAUGAAGAACAUGGCACUAGCCGGCAAUGGUAUGAAGAAGUUAAUCCUCGCUGUUCUCUUACUGUGUCUAGUUAUAGGGCAGAUACAAGUGGAAGCUAAGAGCUGCUGCCCAUCCACCACUGCAAGAAAUGUCUACAAUACCUGCCGUUUCACGGGUACAUCCCGUCCAACGUGUGCAAAACUGUCAGGCUGCAAAAUUAUCAGCGGGAACAAAUGCAAGCCCCCUAACGACCACCUCACCCUUGACCCGGACACUGGUAAAUAAUAAAUUUAUCUCACUUGAUUUCUUCGUGAUUUGAGUCGUUAAUGUAUUUUCCAUCUGAUGAAACGUAUUGGUUUUGCAUUGAAGAGGAAGUUAAUGUGCUUAACUUCUGCAAGUUGGGGUGUGCGUCGUCUGUGUGCAACAACAUCAACGCUGGUAAGCAACUUUUGCUCAGACAGAGAAAACAAUAAUCAUUAAUUAGCGGCAGCUAGAAUCCUAUAAUCUAAUAUAUAUAUAUAUAUAUAAUUUUAUCAGCUCUGGGAAAUGAAGAGGCGAACGAUGCCGUUGAGAGUUGCGACCAAGCCUGCUCUAGCUUCUGCAGCGUGCAUGUUGGCAGCGCCACCGUGGUUGCUUAAGCAAAUGCAUCCAACUAGAUCGUCCUUGUGCUGAAUAAUUGGAUAUCGUAUCCACUUAAAGCUGCCUUGUGUAGUACGUCUUUGUGUCUCUCUUUAUAUUCCAAUAAGGUCGGUGAUCUUGAUGCCACACACUCAGAUGUGUGUUCAUCUCCAGAUACUACUCCAUGCUACCUGCCCUUUGUGUUUUGUUCAAUAACUGGGUAUCAUAUCCCAGCCAGUAUGCCGUCUGUUUUGUGUUUGUUUCCUUCUAGUUCCAAAGGGGUCAUCAUGAUGUUACCUUCUUUCAAUAUGGUGCUUUGCAUGACUACUGUUGUAUGGUACCAUCUUGUGGCCAAUAAGUACAUCUUAUCCUAUGACCUUUGCUAUGACCCUUUGCAAAUAAGUAGAAGAUUGUUAUAAGCGUCAAUACUCCGUAUAAAUUGAUCGCUGCUGUGAGUUCCCUUUCAGCUUAUCGUAGGCAUACAUUAUUGCUAGCACGGUAAAGCCAACCAACACGAAUGAUGAAGUAAACGUAGCGGUACUUCUGUAUACCAACACCCUUACUUAAAUGUACCGGUGUCAUUCCCUACUGGCACAUAUAUUCUUAUAUGCUAGCCAGCUUGUAAAAUUAACCAAUUAAAAUAAUUAUUUCAAGAUAGAAAUAACUUAUCGGUUUCUGGAAGCAUGUGUAAUGUGAAUUCAAGGACUCGACGGAAGUUGAAUCACUUCAUCUAUAUUGCUUUCAGUAUUUUGGGUAACUAAAUUUAACAUUUGCACAUACAAAUGUUAAAGUACAAAUGUUAAAUCUAGUUACCCAAGCAGAAUAUGAAGAUAGUUUAUAGUAUAUAUAUACUAUAUAAAUCUAGUUAACAUUUAGUCUAAAUGUUAAAUCUAGUUACCUAAAAUCCUGAAAGCAAAAUGUAUAAAUAUAUAUCUUUUAAGGCAGUAUAAGCUUCGAUUCCUAUUGCUGCUCUGUUAAAUCUCAUCUUUCGUUGUGGCCCAACACUCUAGUAUGCAUGUUGCACCAAGCUUCUUUGAGCCGCUCUGCCCUCUGAUUUUGCUGCGUAGGGGAAUCUUUAUCAGGUUGGGCUACUUCCAGUUGUGCGAUGUAAAGAUUCGUAUUUUCUAGAAGGUAGACAAAAAACUCGCGUUCUCUUAAGGCAACAACCGGAAGAUUCUGCAGCGCACAGGGCAUACCAUUAUUGUAGAAACGACCUUUAGUACCGAUCUCCAACCCCCUUUAAAACUGGUUUUGCAACCGGUACCGUUAUGUCGGUCCUUUAGUACCAGAUCAAAUAAGUACCGGUUGGUAACCAGUAUCAACUUGUUUUGCGGCCAAAAAAAUAAAGAAAAAAACAGUCAGAAGGCUCGCACACACGCGCAUCACAUGAAAUAUGCGUGUGCGGGGUCCAUGGGAUUCGAACCCAUGAAAUCAAGCUGCACGCGACCCUUCGUUACCAUCUCACCUACAUAGCGCAUAUGCUUUCCUGAAGUAACCCGUGGAGGAGGCUUUAGUACCGGGUCAUAACACCACCCGGUACUAAAAAUGACUCUUCAGUACCGGGUCAUAACACCACCUGAUACUAGUAUCGGAUGGUGUAAUGACCCGAUACUAAAAGGCCUCUAGGGACCCUCAAAUUUGAACCCGGUACUAAUGCUAAUAUUAGUAGCGGGUCAAAGUGCAGCCAGAACUAAAGCAUGGGAUGAAAGGUCAUAUUUCUAGUAGUGUAUAGUUGUUGUGAAGGACUGACUUGGCUGUCCUCUCUCUUCUCCAUCCCCUUGGUCUUACGCCGCCGCUCGCACGCGAGCCGGUGCCCAACCAGAGGAGUGAGAGCUAGGGGCAGGUUGGGAGGUGGGGAUAGUGACUGGUGGCCAGGGUGAUGGUUGAUCCUGGUGGGGUUAGGGUUUCAGGGUUUUCGAGCUUCCUAUGGUCGGCGAACCUAGAGGAGAAGCUCAACAUCAGCUGCAACCCGCGAUGGUGGUGGUUUGGCCGGCGCCCGAGGCGAGGCAGCGCGGGAGUGCUGCCGGUGGGUUGGUGUUGGCACUCAUUAUUGACAACUAUUUUGUUCAUAAAAUAACACUCAAACUUGCUGCUGCUGCUGCUGCCAUCGCCACCCUAGCCAUAAUAUAAAGGCAAAAUUUGCUAAAGGACAUGCAAAAUGAUGCUAGUUUGCUGGCGGGCAUCGUUGACCUUGUAAUAUGCUACAAGACACUCUAGUUGUGUAUCAAUUUGCUGAAAGACAUUGCUAUGACUAAAAUAAUGUUUCUGGACUGAGUUGGAGAGAGAGAUGGAGUGAAAUGUCUGUUUUGCCCAUGACCCCACUGGUCAGAUCCUUCUUCUUCCACCCUCCUUUGUUCUUUCUUCAACCAUUACCCAGCUCCAGCGUGUUGCAGAUCUACGAGGGUGGCGGCCUGGGGCGAGGGGCAUCGCUCGCCCUUGGAGGAGCGCUGCGAGCGACGGCGCGGGGGCGGCAACAGCGCGUCAGAACCUGACUGUUCGUUAGCUCCUCUCGCUGCUGGGGAAGAAGGAGGGGGAUGGGCCAUGGACGGGGUUCCCUUGAAAACCUCAGCGUCGAGCUCGGGCGGCUACGCGCAGGCAGCACUAGGCUGCUUCACGGGGAGGGGGCGCGGCCAAUCAUUGGCACCCCACUGGUCCAAUGCUGAUGAAGAUGGUGCCAGCGUCGUGUGAGGACAUCUCAUCUCCUCGAGUUCCAUGGCCAGCACAGGUGAGCUGCCGCUACCACAAAACAGAGGUUUCGUGAGAGUCAAAAAACCUUAUGAAAAUAGCUAAAACCAUCAUGAAAAUAAUCCGUGACAUGACACUCUCACGAAAAUCCUCUCACAAAUAUGGUGCCAUGAAAAUACCAUUUUCAUGAGAGUGAACUGUCAUGAUUUUAUAAGCGUCAAUACUCGGUAUAAAUUGACUACUGCUGUGAGUUCCCUUUCAGCUUAUCGUAGGCAUACAUUAUUGCUAGCACGGUAAAGAGAACCAACACGAAUGAUGAAGUAAACGUAGCGGAACUUUUGUAUACCAACACCCUUACGUACCGGUGUCAUUCCCCACUGCCACAUAUAUUCUUAUAUGCUAACCAGCUUUGAAAAUUAAGCGAUUAAAAUAAUUAUUUCAAGAUAGAAAUAACUUAUCGGCUUCUCGAAGCUUGUGUAAUGUGAAUUCAAGGACUCGAUGGAAGUUGAAUCGCUUCAUCUAGAUUGCUUUCAGGAUUUUGGGUAACUAAAUUUAACAUUUGCACACACAAAUGUUAAUGUACAAAUGUUAAAUCUAGUUACCCAAGCAGAAUAUGAAGAUACUCUAUAGUAUAUAUGUACUAUAUAAAUCUAGUAAACAUUUAGUCUAAAUGUUAAAUCUAGUUACCUAAAAUCCUAAAAGCAAAAUGUAUAAAUAUAUAUCUUUUAAGGCAGUAUAAGCUUCAAUUCUCUGUUAAAUCUCAUCUUUCGUUGUGGCCCAACACUCUAGUAUGCAUGUUGCACCAAGCUUCUUUGAGCCGCUCUGCCCUCUGAUUUUGCUGCGUAGGGGAAUCUUUAUCAGGUUGGGCUACUUCCAGUUGUGCGAUGUAAAGCUUCGUAUCUUUUAGAAGGUAGACAAAAUACCCGCGUUCUGGAAGAUUCUGCAACGUGCACGUUGGCGCUGCCACCGUGGUUGCUUAAGCAAAUGCAUCCAACUGAAUCGUCCUUAAGCUGAAUAAUUGGAUAUGGUAUCCACUGCUUAAAGCUGCCAUGUUUAGUACGUCUUUGUUUUUCUCUCUUUAUAUUCCAAUAAGGUCGGUGAUCUUGAUGCCACACACUCAGAUGUGUGUUUAUCUCCAGAUACUACUCCAUGCUACCUACCCUUUGUGUUUUGUUCAAUAACUGGGUAUCAUAUCCUAGCCAGUGUGCCAUCUGUUUUGUGUUUGUUUCCUUCUAGUUCCAAAGGGGUCAUCAUGAUGUUACCUUCUUUUGAGGUGUCUAUGAUGACUUCGUUAAUAUCAAUAUUAACCAAUUCAAUCUGUCUUAACUAUUUGUAAGGGGUAUGAUGUAUGCAUGAUUAUAACAAUGAUUGCGCAUACAAUCGCCGCCAAAGAAACGGUCAAUACCAUUAAGACAUAUUACAGACAAUUCUCAUAAUCUAUAAUGAAUAUACAUAUUCACUACUGCAGAAGACUGUCAUUUGUAUCGGCUCAUACGUGCCAGGGCAAAGGUCACCCUUGCAUUAAGUACAUUUGCACGGUAAAGACAACCAACACGAAUAAUGAAGUAAACAUGCCGGUGCUUUUGUACACCAACACGCUUACUUAAAUGUACUGGUGUCAUUCCUCACCGGUAGCCGGCUUGAAAAUUAACCAAUUAGAACAAUUAUUUAUUGUAUCGGUGUGAUUUUUGACCUAUUGGAAUAUGAAUUUGACCGUUACUGCAUUCGUCAAGACUCAAGAGAGAAAUAACUGAUCGGCUUCUUAGAGCGUGUGCAAUGUGAAAUCAAGGACUGGAUGGAAGUUGAAGCGCUAGCACUAGUAGAGAAACGACUUUCCAUCCACCCCCUUUUGUCCCGGUUUAAAGUUGGCUCGGGAUAAAAGGUUCACCAACCGGGACUAAAACUCAGUCACUGGUGGGAGGCUCACCAACCGGAACCUUUUAUCCCGGUUGCAAAGGCUAAUGGGAAAAAAAGACUCUGAGAGGCCUUUUAUCCCGGUUUGAAACACCAACCGGGAUAAAAGACCCCCCUUUUAUCCCGGUUGGUAACACCAACCGAGAUAAAAGGGUCAAGAGCCUUUUAUCCCGGUUGGAAACACCAACCGGGAUAAAAGACCCCCUUUUAUCCCGGUUGGUGUUUCAAACCGGGAUAAAAGGGCCCCCACGAGGUGACUGGAAGGUGACUGGAAGGGGAUUAAAUCGUGGGGGACCCUUUUAUCCCGGUUGGAAACACCAACCGGGAUAAAAGGGGGUCUUUUAUCCCGGUUGGUGUUUCCAACCGGGAUAAAAGGGUCCCCCACGAGUUAAUACAAAAGGAUAGUAUCCCCUACAUAGUCAGAUGUGGUGUGUAGGUGGGAUGGUAAGGAAGCUACGCGCGAGCUCCGGAAUUUUUUUUUUUUUUUUUUGCAGCGUCGGCGCUCUCUACCCUUUUAUCCCGGUUGGUAUUACCAACCGGGAUAAAAGGGGGUCUUUUGUCCCGGUUGAGUGACCCGGGAUAAAAGACCCCCCCUUUUUUCCCCGGUUAGUUUAUCCCGGAUGCAUUUUCGGGAUAAAAGCACCCUACCAACCGGGAUUAAAGCUCACUUCUCUACCAGUGUAGCUUCAUCUUCCGCUGCAAGUUAAUUGCUUGGAUAAGAAGUUGUAGCCGCUGCAAGUUAUAAAUAGUCCCGCUGAUGCUGUGCUCCGAAGUCUAUACUAUAUAUGCGGAAACUAGAUUGCUUUCAGGAUUUUGGGUAACUAAAUUUAACAUUUGUACAUAAAAAUGUUAGUUUACGAAUGUUAAAUCUAGUUACCCAAGCAGAACAAGAAGAUAGUAUAUAGUAUAUACUAUAUAAAUCAAGUUAACAAUUAGUCUAAAUGUUAUAUCUACUUACCCAAAAUAUUGAAAGCAAAGAAAGAAUAAGUAUAUAUCUUUUGUUGGAAAAUUGGUCCACGGAGAGGCCCAUUUAGGCCUCGUUCGUUUCACCGGGAUGGGAUUCCAGUCAGGAUUACUUCCAAGUUCGGUUUGAGUGAUUCCACCCGUGUCACUCAAUCCGGCUAGGAUUCAUUCUAUGGGUGAGGAGGUAUGGUUUCAAUCCAGGCCAUCUAAUGUAGAAGGAUUCCAAUCCAGGCCGGUUUUCGUUCCAGGCCAGACUAAAACGAACAACACUUUCAAUGCAAGUCUGGUUUCAAACCGGGCCAUUUCAAACCACCCGGAAUGGACCUCGUUCCAGGCCAAUCCGGUGAAAACAAAUGAGGCCUUAAUGGAAUCCCAAAGCAAGAGUUCAGUGGCAUUCUAUAGUCCCAUGCUGCUAGUUUGAGUUGGUCGAAGCCAACUUAAAUAGGAGAGCUCUCUCACUUCUCUAAAUACGUAACUGAAGGAGAGAAGGGGGCUUGGGUUACACAACGCACGCACGCACGCAUAUUUGCGUUCUUUUCGCGUAACCAACCGCGUGACUUGAAACUUGCGACGUAGCGUGCUGCUAAGUCAAGUUGAUAUAACCUUUUUGCCGUUUGCAUGUAAUCUUUUGACAACGGUCAUUGGAGGUGAUAAGCACGCAGUCAAUACCUUAAUCUUGAGUUAAUAGGGUGGUUACUACUGCCAAUUAGUGGGGCAAUUUUGUAGGGGAAACGGUUAGCAGAGGGCUACCGUCUUCUCUAUAAGAAGUUCUGGAGACGUCCAGGAACACACAUGUACAUGUGAGAGACCCACAAAUUCCUUCCCUUCUCCCUUUUCCAUGUGGUGAAGUGUGCUGUGGUACUGAGCUGCUUGAUCUCGCCGCUCUUCUCCUUGGCAUGCACCGAGGAGGAGGGUGAGCGGUAUCUCCGAGCUAUUGCCGUCAGGAAGCCUGCACGAGGGACAACAAAAAGUUUUUGGGUAGCGCAACUGCCAGCACAACUCUCCCUCCGCCUCUUCUUCACGGUUGAUGGCCACCACAAGCAUAAACCUCGCCUUCGCAUCCACGCAAAAGGGUCGCUGGGGUGCCUUCUUGCAUCGCUUCUCAGCCUCCUUGACUUGCGGCCAGCCAAGAACUGCGCCACCACCUCGGGUGCACGCCACCACUCCAGGGCUGCUACCCCAUGCCUGCGGCCGCCGCCGGCCACCACGCGUGUGCAACCGCGUCGCACCGCUUCCUUGCUUUGUGCCACCACUGCUGCUGUACCACCAGCUCCACCACCUUGGGCUGGUCGCCAGAGUGACUGAUAACUUAUUAUCUGUAACUACUAUUAACUCAGGGAUACAUGCGUCUUUUGCUUCUCCUACUAAUAUGUCCUAAAAUAUCUAGGAUGCCUUAUAUUUCUGGACAGAGGAAGUAUUUGAAUAAAAUGAACCAAUUUAAAAAAAUGUGUUGUACACUACUACAGAAAGACCUAUCAGUGUCAAACCCAAAAAUGUUGUCACCGCCAGUUUUGGGCAUCAUUGGUGAAAGGUUGGCGGUGAUGGGCUUUCCCUUCAACAACGGCACUGGAGCCGACGGUGAUUGACAUUAGAAAACAAAAAAGGGGACCCUACCUAGCCACCCCUGCAACCCGGCCGGCCGUGCCUCCCCUCAUCCCCACCACCUCGCCUCCCCAUGACCCCCCGCCGGCGCCCUUGCGCCUAGCCCCCUCAACUGCCCAGCCGGCCACCCUCAUCACGAGAGAGAGGUGCAUGUUGUAUAAUUGCGUGAAUUUUUUAAUGUUUAAUUUCAUGUAAGUUCCGUGUAAUAAAUUGUACAAGUUUUAUUGUAUAUAUGAAUUCCAUAUAUAUAUAUAUAUAUUUAUAAUUUAAUGUAUGGUUUCAUGUGUAUAUUUCAAUCAUGUGUAUAUUUAGUAGAUUGCCGAUUUUCUUUUUCUACUAGACAAGGGUUGAUGUAUAAUUACGUGUAUAUGUUUAUUGUACGGGCAAUUAGGACAAGUUUUGUAUAAAUUUCUUUUAUUUGAUGGUUGUUGUAUGGUUUCAUGUAUAUACAUUUAUUGUACUACUUUAGACAAUUUUUAAUUUAAUGUUUCUAUGAUUAGAUGUGUGUAUAACUAAUUGUAUUAUUAGUUAAGAUGGGAGCUAAAGAGGAUGAAAGGUAUAUAAUGGAGCAGAUUAUUGCUAGCUCAAACGUUGCAAGAACCUACACCGAGGGUGAGGGUAGCUAGGUGGACAUGUACCUCAACAUGUCCAGUGAUGGCAAUGACGAUGAGGAGCACGAGCAUGACAUCUAUGAUAAUGCGGAACAAGACAUUGCAGAAUUGGAAGGUUCUAAUGAGGUGUGCUUCAUGUUGACAAUCUAGUUGGCUUUUUUUCGUUGGUCACACCUUAGUUACCAUAGAACUUCGUCUCGGGAGAAGAUUGGUGGUGGUAUGGUGAUUGGAAUUUUAUUUCCACGAAAUCUGAUUUCCAUCGAAUCAUAUCCCUUGUAUUUAUCUUCUUUUUAUUUGUGAGAGCAUCUUCUUUAUGCUUGCAAAACAAUUCAAGUGCACAUACUACCCCUAGGGUGACGAUUGGGAGUAGAAAUAAUUGCCAACAAAACAACACCACAUCCUAAGAUUCUUAACUUGUGGCAUAAUUAGUCUAGUAAAAAGAAAGAUAAAAACCUAAUGGGUGUAUGUGAGUGCAAUGUGUAUAUGCAUAUGAGUGGAAGGCAUAUAAGCAAAGACAAUAUUUACACAUAGUUCUAAACACCAUGUUUACAGCUAGGUUGCUGAAUUUCUCCAUAGCCAUAGAGAUUAAUUAACCAAGGUCAAAACACGAUGUCUAUCCCAAGAUCAGUAAUUAUUUAUAGCACAAGAAAAAGAAAGCGCAUUGCAAAGUUUAUAAACCAACCAAUACAGCAUGAAAACAAGAUGAAUAGCUAGCAAGGUUUAUUAAACUGAAUGAUGACGGUCUGUAAGCAAGUUUAAACACCAUCUUUACACAAGAUUGCAAAUGGAAAAUGCCCAUAUGAAGCACUAACAUGGAUAUGAAAUCAUUCAUCAUAAAGCGUAAAGAACAACCAAGCCAACCAUAUGCAAAGCAUGAAUGGAAUGCAAUGAAGGUGCAAGAGAACAUUUUUGGAUGAACACAUUAUGAUGAUGGCAAAAUGCAAUGCAUGCAGAAAAAAUAAAUAUGAACAUGAAUAUGAUGAUCAGGGGCGGACCCACUAUUGUGGCCUGGGUAUUCCUCGGCAUACCCAAUAUUUUUGGGAAAAUGUUUAGUAGUUUUUAAUGGCAUAUACAUGUAUAAUAUAGUUUAGGUGUUAAAAUUGAUAUUCACAGCUAUUUUGGGCUCCAAUUCGCGUCCAAACCAACCUGGCCCACAGACCGCACCCGGCCGCCCGGCCCAUCGGCCCAUCUUGUCACUGAUCCUCCCACCACCACACUCAGCCCGUCAGUUAGUCAGGUCCCGAGCUCCUGCCUGACCUAGUCCGCUACCACCGCCAGGCGCCAGGCACAGCUGUACACGCCGCCCCCGUCCACCCACGUCCGCCGCACGGCCGCGUCGCGCCCCCCCCCGGCGCCCGCUGCUGCCAGAACCCAUUAGGCCUCCACCGGCAAGUCCACCCACAGUCCCGCGCGACGCGGCAGCCUCUUGGCUCUCGGCGCUCGCGGCGCGCCAAUGCCUGCGCAGCCCCAGCAGGCGACUGCCCCCCCCCCCCCCGCAUCGGGCCUCGGCCCCUCCCCAGCUCCCCCUCCCCCCUCCACCAGGACUGCCUGCUGGCCCCCACCGCGAGGUAAUCGAAAUGGACUGCUCAAUCUCUCAAUCUGUUGACAUGAUGCACACGGUUGCAAAAAUAGAUGUGUCAAAAUAGAUGUAUUGCCAAUUGCUAUAGAUGCAUAUGGUUGACAUGAAGAAGUCAAAAAUGACAUUUGGUUCCUUGUAGGCAGUCAAAAAUGAAGAAGUCAAACAAUAUUGAUCUGAAAUCAAUGCGGGAAAGGGCUACGAAGACACACGGGUAGAUUCCCUUGUGAACUUUUUAUGUCGUUCGUCUAAAUAUAUUUUUGCAAUGGGCAUACCCUACUCUGAAAUCCUGGGUCCGCCACUGAUGAUGAUGGUCUAAACAUAAAACAAGCCUAGAUUAAUUAGCUACAACUGAAAUUAAGCAAAGGUUAAUGUCAUUGACCCUAGCUCUAUCCUAGCUUUUACUAAAGUCCCGGCACAUAUAGUGGUUGGGCCCACUCUCUCUACUUCCCUCUCUGCUGCAUGCACACACACGAGCAACUGGAGGCCCAACAAAGCCCAGAAGGGUUCGGCCGAACCCGUCCGAUCCAGUCUGAGCGCCGCUCCCUCCCAGCCUUCGCGCAGAUGCUCCUCCAACGUUCCUUGACCCCUCCCUCAGUGUCCCAUUGGGUUUAACAUUGUAGGAGAGGAGUCCCUUUUUUAAAAUCUCAACCACCUCCUCUCCUCAUUCACUCCACUCUCAUCUCCAUCAAACUCACCAAGAUCCACAUCGGAAAUACCUGCUUACCACCAUGGCUGGCAAAGCCCUCGUCCCUUUCACCAACUUGGGCUUGACCAUUGAUCUCGAUGGGAAAAUCACUCCAGCAAAUGUCAUUGUCCCUGUCGGCGAUCUGGCGAUGGAGGAGGUCCAGGCACUAGAGGUCGAGCCCCUAGCCAUCAUACCGCCCAAGGGGUAAAGCAGGAGCAUGACAGGCGCUGCUAGGGGUUCAGCCGAACUCCCAGUUCAGCCAAACGAGGACGGCGUCGCCUCGGCCUCCCGCUCGACUGCAUGCUUCCCCUUGCCAAGGAGGACUCCAGAACAGCGGGCGCGUGCGUCAAGUCCCUACAAAAGGCUGAAAUACAAUGAAUAUCCAGGGUCACCCUUGAAGAUGGGUGAACGCUACGCCGGGUCCUUGUUUGACUAGUACGGCGAUGCAUUCUGCCACCGCUAUGUCGUUGUCGAGAUUAGCGGAUCAAGACUUAGACUAGUAAAUUUCUUUUAUGCGCGUAAGGCUUCAGAUGGUGGCGUGGGAGACAUGGGUUUUAUACUAGUUCGGGCAAUGGAAUACCCUACGUCCAGUGUCUGGAGCUGCUUGUGUUGCCCACGCGGGGUUCUGUAGUAGGGGUUACAGGUGUGCGAGAGAGGGAGCUAAUCCCAGGUCUCUUAGGCGUGUUCCGGUCCUCUAGAUGGGAGAAGUGUGUUCUGUUUGCUUGGGAGUAUCGGUUGUGUCUGAGUUGUCUCCGGAGCCUCCUCCCGUCUCAGGUCCCCGAUUCUCCUUUCAUAGCACAAGGAGACCAUCGGGGUUACAGACGAGACCGAGCGUGGGGAGGAGUAAAGAGAUAAACAUAGCUAGGUAAAAAUACAACAAGAAAGGGGGGAACCAAGUUUCUAGGUCACCGGCGUCCUCGCCGGCCUUCGACUUCCGCCGGCGCAUUUGUCGGAGGAGGGUGGCCGCCAUCGCGUUCUGUCGAUGGCUUCCUCGGUGACUGUAGCCACCGGGCGUGAUGAUGGCAUUUCGUCGUGACCCUUUGUCUGUUGGGGGAGGCGGCGGAUCCUGCCAUUCUGCUGACGGCUCGCGGAGUGCGAACGUCGCAUCCCUGCCGCUGGGCACGCGGGGCGCGAGAACGUGCGAGGCUUCCCCCUACCCCAGGCGGCGCAGGCCAUGAGUGCCCUGUGGCAAAUCGGAGGAGGCCGCAGCUACUGUAGCUUGUACUGUGCAGCCACGUAUGGGUACUUGUGGCAGGUUGCGUGGUGGAUGCGGAUAUCCUUCUCCCUGACAGAUCUGCGGCGCAUUUAUGGCGAGAUCGACAUGGGGACCCACAAGACCCGCGCCCAAGGCGGAUACUUGUCUGGAGGGCCCGGGUUAGCCUGACCCCCUACGCUUGGGGUCGGGCGAGGCGGAGACUUGCGGCGGGGCGUCGGACGCUCCCGACACUAGACCUGCGGUCGCGCAAGGCGGAGCUUGGUCUUCCGGGGGUCGGGGGUGCCGGACCCCAGGAUGCGGGGUCGGGCGAGGUGGAGCGUAAUUCUUGCCUCCCAUGUUGGGCCGAUGGCAGUCUUUGUUACCUCUAGUGGGCUUGGGCCUUUAUGUUUUGUUGUUUCCAUGGGCUUCGAGAGGUCGUUAAUAUUUCCCCCCAACAGUAGCCCCCGAGCCUGUGGUGGAGUGGGGGCGCUCCUCCGGAGGCUACUAUCAUCGCCCCUAGGGAAUCCUCGCAGUUGAUCCGGGAUAGGAGGUGUUGUUUGCACGGCUUGACCGAGGGGGUCGAUUAGGCGACGCAUCCUGUGAGCGACUCGGUGCGGGAGGGUUUCUUGUUGUUCCCUUCUGUCUGAGAGCCUUAAGUCGAGACCACCUGCGUGGCCUUUGGUUGCAAGGCCAGCCCCCGAGCCCCCGCACGUUGCAGGGGACCGGUCGGAGGCUAGGUCGACUUUUGUUCAUUACCCUCAAGCGUCUGUUCGCUAGGACGGAGGGGGCGAGCCGUGCCAUGCUAUCCUCAUCGGACGAACCAUGGUGCUCAUUGAGUUACUAACGGGUUGAUUCGAGUGGGAUCCCGGUCCCCGUUCGGGGGGGGUCCGGCUUGGGCCAAGCUGGUGGCGUACCCCAGGCUCCGGUCGGCCAGUUCAUAUAGUUCCUGAGUCCGUUCGGUCGGACCGGGGGCUCAUUGCCUUUCUUCGGGGAAAAACCAUGAACUUUGAUGCCGGUCCAGACUCGAAUGUGAGAUUGAGACGCCCGGGGCUGUCGCGUGCCCGGGUGAUGGCCGCUAGCGGACCCGUCUCCUCUCACCCCUCACUCGGGGGUAUCCUGAGGCGGCUGUCGAACCCGUGGCGGGCCAGCCUUCGAACCUCUGGAUCGUAAUGGGCCGUAGGGGCGUUUUCAGCCCCGUAUCCCUUUUUACCUUUUGGUGGGCCUUGGGCCGAAUCAUGGAGGAGGUCGGGCCUUGGGCCGGAUGCGGAGGAUGUCGUGCCUUGGGCCGGAUGUGGGGGACGUCGUGCGUGUCUUCCGGGAGACGAAGUGGUGGAGGGUGCCAACCCGCGAAUCGAGGGAGGAGGGGAUGUUUCUACUGCAGGUCAUGCGCACGGUUUCCGAAAAGGCAGCGGGCGUGACGGGACGUACCUCGCGCCGCAUUUAUUGCGAUGGGGGCGUCUGUUCUGCUUCCCUCGUGCCUUCCCUAUAAAACGAGGACUUCGCCUCGCCGGUUCCGCCCGCCAUCUACCUUCAAGCCUUUUCGCCUCCUCGCGCGCCCUUAGCUUUCCUGUGCCCGCUUCGUCUUCCUCCGCCCAGUGCCGCGCCCUUUCUCCCCAUCCGCCGUCGAGUUCUUCUCCCUCCGGCGAUGGGAUCCUGGGCGCGUUCCCACUUCGGCCCCUCACGCGCCGAAGGCCUAGUGAGGAAAGGCCUCCUUUGCGAGAGGACGGAGACGGAUGAGUGGGGGUUCCCUGAGAUGGAAGAGGUGCCGACUCCGCCCACCGGCUACGUCGUUUCCUUUGCCCACUUCCACGAGAGGGGGUUUGCGACUCCGCCGAGCCUCUUCUUCCGCGGGCUUUUGUAUUACUACGGGCUUGAGCUGCAGCACCUCAACCCCAACGGGAUUCAGCACGUCGCGGCGUUCGUUGCGGUGUGCGAGGGGUUCCUGGGCAUUGAGCCCAACUUCUCGCUGUGGAAGUACUUCUUCACGGUCAGCCUAUACCAGAAGGCCGAGAAGAGGGGAAGCCAGCAGCGGUCGACCCCGGUGCCGAUAGGGUGCGUCGGAAUCCACCUCUGCCAUACUCGCGCCAAGGAGUAUAUCGCGAUGAAGACCGCGGCAUCCCACAAGGGGUGGCACCAGCAAUGGUUCUACGUGAAGAACUACUCCAACCCCCCCUGCCGGAGUUCACCGGCCGCAUUAUUGAAGCGGCGCCGGAGGUGUGGGUGUACGGCCCGGUGGAGAAGGAGAAGAAGCGGAUCACCGGCCUGCUGCAGGCCAUCGAGCACCUGAAGGAGAGGGGACUGACCGGAGCCGGAGUCAUCGGGGCGUACCACGCCCGGCGGGUGGCGCCGCUGAUGCUCCGGGUCCGCUCGCUCGCCGACAUGACCCCCGGUGCUCUCACCGAUGGCACUGUCCUCGCGACGGGUGCUCUCGCUGCCUCCGAGAUCCGGCAGCGGAUCCGGGAGGCGCUGGAGGACAAGGACGCCGAUUACCCGGUGCCCGGCCACCCUCCGAUGCGCCCGGACGAGAAUUUCAUUGAUCUGGUAAGGAUUUUGCGCGCCAGUUUCCCUCUCUUGCGUUUCUUGGUAUGCCGUUCUGACGCGAGGCCCUCUGUGUUUGCAGGGUAGCAUGACCCGGGUCGUCGACUUGCGUCCGCCAGUGUCGGAGGACGCCGAGUGGCGGUAGCAGAACCGUCUCCUUGCCGAGAAGCAAAAGUGACGCAAGGACAAGAGACAGCGAAGAAGAAGAAGAGGGCCGCCAAGGAGUUCCAGCGGCGGCGGUGGGGAUAGGUCGUGUCGGAUGACGAUGACGAUGAGAAGGAGGAGGAGGAUGACGAGGAGGAGGAGGAGUUUAUCCUGUCCCCCCGGUCAGGGGCGCUUGUUAUCCGGGAGCCGCGCUCCCAAGCGGCCAUGGGGGACAAGGCGGGCGAGCUGCCUGCCCGGACCCGAUCCUGCGAAGCUUUGGGGGCGCGCCCCAGGGGUCGGCGCAGAGCGCCCCCCGGGGGUCGACGGAGCCGACCCCCAUCCCUACACCUGCAGCCCAGGAGCAGAGGAGCAGCGACAAGCGGCCGUUGCCAGAUGCCCCGGGGUCGGCGUCCAGCUCAGAGGCGAAGCGCGCGCGCCGCCCUUGCGCUGGGGGAACGUGAGUUGAAUUUCCUUGCGAAUCUCGUUCCUUUCCAUGCAUUGUGUUUGUUUCCGCUGAUGCUGUUUGUUGUCUCACAGCACCGCCCCUCAAGGCCUUGUCCCGCCGUUGGCGCCAAAGAAGGCGUUGCGGUGUUGUCGCCUCUGCGGGGCGGACCGCGGCUCCGCCGGCGGCGAGUGGCGGGGUCACUGGUGAGACCGCGGGUCCUACCGCGGAGGUGGCCCCUGCGGCGGCAACCGGUGGAGUGGUGCCACCGCCGGGCAUGGGACAGGGUCUGGACCCCGCUCCGUCCUCCGCCUCUUCGGCCGACCCCGCGGUGCAGAGUAUCGCUCCUGGGGGCCCUCAGGCCGGGGAGGUGAUUGACCUCGACGCCGACGAGGUGGAGGAGACGGCGGCGGUGGAGACGGGGGCGGUUGCCCCAGCGGCCAUGACGGGGACGACGACGGCGACGGGGGAAGGAGAGUCUACCCCCGCGGCCACGGCGGGGACAGUGGCGACAGAGGAGGCGGGGACGCCCGCCCCGGCGGCUGCGACGGAGGAGGCGGCGGUGACGGAGACGGGGGCUUCCGCCCGGGAAGCCACAGCCGAGGUGGCAGCGGCGACGGAGGUGAAAGUGCCUGUUCUGGAGGCCACGGUGGGGGUGGGGACGCCUGCCUCGUGGCCACGACGGAGGGCGAGGCGGCCCCAGGGACACUUGCUCCGGCACCCGCGUUGGAGGCGGUGGCGCCGACGGGUUGGCCCGUGGCGGCCUCGACGGGGGCGGGGGUGCGUGCGCCGGGACCGUCGGUGAGGCCGGCGACUUCCGGGAUGGUGGUGCCCGUCUUGACGGCGGCGGCGGCGCGGUCGGCCCCCGCCCUUGCCUCUACCACUCCCAUUCCCAAGGCGUGGAGCGGAUCCGUCCUGCGUUGGUCGUCUCGUGACGACCCGCAGAGGCCCCUCUUCACGUUGGAUGAUGCCACAGAAUGGGGCAAGUGGCAGGCGCUGCAGGGCGGACUCGCUAACGUCCGCGCCGCUCUAUCUUCGGCGUUGGGGGAGCUGGACGGCGUCAUCUUCCCCGGUGGCCGGGUAUGGUGCUUUCUCCGUUGGUUAUUUUCUUCCCGUUACUUCGUCCCUGAUGGCACAUUGUUCUGCAGGCCCUCCAAGAAUGUAGCCGGGGAAAAUCUGAUUUCCUUUGGCUCGAGCAGGGGCUCUGGGAGCGCUUCAACUUGGAGUUGCAGCGGACCGGGGAGCUGACCAUGCAAGUCGCCACCGUCUAGCAUGUCAUCGACGAUCUGCGAAGGCACGAGCAGGCGGCACAGGAGGACGCGCGGCGGGCGGAGGCCAAGUUCCAGGUCGUUGCCGAAAGGGCUCGCUGCGACCGCGAGGAGUUCCAGGCCGUUGCCGAAAAGGCCCGCCACGACGCUGAGGAGCUCGCACGGCUGAAGGUGCAGCAUGAAGCUCUUCAGAAGAGCGGCAGAGGGCCUGGCAGGACCGGGACGCCGAGAAGGUCCGGAAGGAGGAGGCUGAGAAGGUGGCGGCCAACCUUGGGGCUGAGGUCAGCCAGCUCCAAGUGCAAGCGCGAGAGCUUCAGGCCUCCGUGGCCCAGGGGCUCGACCAGGAGCGCCAGCUGAAGGCCUAAUCCGAGGGUAUGACUCUGUUUAUUUCUUUGUCUUUGUGAUGUUGCGGUGAUAUUUUAUUUGGCGGGUUCUUCUGGAUGAUCCUUGCAGAUGAGCUCAACUGGCUGAGGGAGGUGCUUGACGCGGAGCGCGCUGAGCACGGCGACCUGCGGGACGCGGUCCGCGUCAUCUGUGACUUCCUUAGUGUGGUCCAGGGGGAGGGGACGAGCUCGCUGGCGGCUCGUGUCCUCGGGACGUACCGCCGGACCAGCGAGAUCGCCCUGGAAGCGCUUCGCACCGGCUUGAGGCAAGCCUUUGGGGUCUUCGGCUCCCACUAUUCCGGCAUCAACUUCGCCGGGAUGAGCGGGGGAUACGCCACCGGCUACUACGAGGCCGAGCUGGAUGAGAUCGACGUGUCGGUGCUCAGCCCGGCGGAGGCCUUGGUGAAGCUCCUCGAGGAUGAGGCCGUCCCGCCCGAAGAUCCCCGGACGAGUUAACUAUAUCGGGCUGGCGCCCCAGAUGUAAAUACGUUAGGGAAAGACUUGUUUUUUGUGAGGGCCGUAGAGGCCUUUUCUAUGAAUUGUCGUAAAAAAGUUUUUGAUUCCCUUUCUUGCUUUUUGGACUUGGAAAGUUUAGAGCACGUUGUCGGGCGUGUCAGUAAGCUUUGAUGAGCGAAGGCACCGUAGCCGCUGGGGCGUCGUUUUUUUUGCAGUCCGAUCAAUCUUGCCUGAACACCGUUCGUGCACUUUCUCCUUUUUAUGCCCAAAAGUUCAGAAAGAGGGUCGGCUCGGAAAGAGAAAGCGUUUUGAGAGGGUGUCAAGUGGCUUAGGUACUUGCGGCAGGUUGCGUGGUGGACGCGGAUAUCCUUCUCCCUGACAGAUCUGCGGCGCAUUUAUGGUGAGAUCAACAUGGGGACCCACAAGACCCGCGCCCAAGGCGGAUACUUGUCUGGAGGGCCCGGGUUAGCCCGACCCCCUACGCUUGGGGUCAGGCGAGGCGGAGACUUGCGGCGGGGGGUUGGACGCUCCUGACCCUAGACCUGCGGUCGGGCGAGGCGGAGCUUGGUCUUCCAGGGGUCGGGGGCGCCUUACCCCGGGAUGCGGGGUCGGGCGAGGCGGAGCGUAAUUCUUGCCUCCCAUGUUGGGCCGACGGCAAUCUUUGUUACCUUGGGUGGGCCUGGGCCUUUAUGUUUUGUUGUUUCCAUGGGCUUCGAGAGGUCGUUAAUAUUUCCCCCCAACACUAUGAGGAGGACUUGUGGGCAGAAAGUCAGCUACCACAAACUUGCCUCUGAAUAUUUGGAGUGCAAACAUUGGAUGGUGGUUGUGGAGAGCCCCAGCCAUACCUCGCACCCGUGGAGAGGUAAUUGUCGGAUUGCUUGGUUCGUCUCUAGAAUGCGACAAGGUCAGGCGCCACCUCUCACUGCUGCCAGUCAGAAGGCCGAGGGGCCAGUUUCAACAUAGUAAUGAGAAUCUCCGAAGGCCAAUAUGGUUAAGCAGCUAACCUCCAUGAUCAUAGACUUACGUUUAGAAAAUAGGAGGCUUAGCGAUGCGUUAACAGAGCAGAAGUUAGAAACAGAAGAACUUAAGGACGACUUCCGUGUCCUCCGCCUUGGUCUUUGUGCUAAGAUAAAGCGCUUGUACAAUGCCACGGGGAAUGACGGUCUCUACGAUGCAGCUCAAUAGACGUGCCCCUUGUAUCCUUUCCUUUAGGCACUUUAGAAUAUGUUUAUUUGUUUUCCUUCAUUUUAAUUUCCAAUAGAUUGUUAGCGCCUCCAAUUUAAUUUCAAUAAAGUGUAGACUCACCGGUCAUCCAACUUGAUGGAGUCCUUUUGUCACCUAGUUGUCUUUGGAAGAAGUAGCUGGGUACAAAAUAAGUGUGGGGGAGAGCCACAGACUCUCUAGAGCUGAAACAAUGCACAACACCCACAAAUAGAGAAAACCACGCUGCACCAGCACGUACGUGAAAGUGGAGCCAGAGCUGGACCCAUAGGGGUUUGGCCAACCCAAGGGGUGGCCCACUCGGGCCAUCUUCAUCCACCGCGUCGGUUUGUGUCUCUUUACCCCUGAUCUCCCUGAUUCAUGAGUUUGAAUGAAUUUUAAAUCUGAUCAACUAAUUCAAACUCAACUAAAAUGAAUCAACUGCUCCACCUGCUCUACAUGUUUUCUAUGGUUGGCUUGCAUAUGUUUUAUUUCAUGCUUAUCAUCUUGAUGCUUGUGAACAAAUAUCUUUAGGACAGCAUGCUCAUCUAAGUAGUUGAUGUGUAUGAUAUGGUUCGAUGAUAUGAUCUUCACUCUUAAUGCUUAAGUGCUUGGGAAAAUCUAUUUGAAAAUUUAAAAGCCUUUUUGAAAUCUCCUCUUUGAUGUGCCAAAGUCCUACCAAAGCCAUAUGAUAAGUUAUCUUGAAAAACCAUUUGCAUAUGUUGCUUGUCUUUGCAUUGAGCUUUGUCAAAUUGGUGUGACCCUUGUCACAAUUCUUUUCAUACUUUCAUGAUCAAGACUCAUGUGCACGCCAUAUACCCCUUGCUAUGCUUCUAUGAGAUGUUAGCAUUGUACCAUCCAUUCAUUCCACAAAAUAAAUGCUCCACCAUAUGUGUUGGUCUCCUUCUAAGAUUAUUGUUACAAAAGAGAUAUGGGCUAUCAAAAAAAAAUAUGAAUGUCCAAGAAAGUUGGACACAUGAAUGUCCAAUAAAAAGAAAAAGAAAGAUAGCCAUGUCCUCAGAAAUAUUUACAAAGGGAGAGAGAUCAUACAAAAAGGAGUUUCCAUUCCAUCCACCACAUCCAUACAUGUGCACAUCUUGAUCUGAUUGUAUGACUUAUUUUUCUCUUUGGAUCUGGUCUUUGACUUUGCAAUAUAUGUGAUGCAAGCAUGCCUUAUCCUUCAUAGCCUACCUUGAGCUCCACAUAUAGCCAUCAUUAGAAGUAGGAUGAAGAAAGGCAAGUCUAAUGCCUUGGUGAGGACAUAUACACAUUGAGUGAUCUGAGAGAAUCAAAUGAGGAGCUAAGCAAGGUUUUGUUUUGAAAACUAAUUGAAAAAUCCCAAGCUACUUGGCAUAAGGAGUUGAGGUGACUUGAUUCAAGACCAUUACAUUCCUCAACUACCCAAGAUGGCAUGAUAGACACUCCAAAGUUCACAAGUGCAGGUAUGGUUUGGAAUAUCUUUUAGGCUCGCUUCAUACCUUUGAAAGUUAUGUUUCACCUUAGUCCUUUCUCGUUCACUCAAGGAUAAGCAAAGGCUAAGUGUGGGGGUGUUGUUGAUGGCUCUUAAGUACAAAAUCUGCGCCAUCAACUCUUGCAUAAACACAUAAAAUAUGAGCAUCAACAAUAGUGGUAGGAGUUAUUACAAACGAAUUCCACAAGUCUUGGUGAAUAUUUGUAUGCAAGCCCAAUAGGAGAGAAAAGACACCUCAAAAGCAAGGAAACACACUCUCAACCAAUCAAGAGCAAGCACAUGGAACCAUGGGCCCACAACCAAAAGGAAAUCGACUACAUUCCAAACACCCUAUACCCACAUGAGAACCCAUAGGGCAGUGACCCAGAGCAAAGGUGAUGCCAGAGUGUAGAUGGUAGUUAGCAUGCCAAAUUUUGAACCGCAAGCGCUCGGAUUAGUUGUUUCUUUUCCCUUAGAGAUUCCCCCAAGGUUUAUCAAUCCAUGGAACAAGGGAUUUGCACGUUUCACUAAGCACUAAUCAAUGUAAUUGAAAGCUUUUCGAAUAAGAUAUGAUUAUGCUAACAAAGGAACUAAGCAAUCUAGAUUAAGAUGGAUAGAGAGUACAGGUUGUGAACAAGAUAGAUUAAACGCUUGUAGAUGCAAUCACCAUGCAUGAAUGAAUUAGAUCUAGGUGUUAUUGUGAGUGGUUGUGAACCAUGCCCAACACUUUCCCACCCGCAACAUUGUCACUACAUGUGGGUACUCAACUAUCGGAACAUAAGAACACAUCAAGAUGAUCAUUCUAGGUAAGCAAAUAAGCAACCCAAAGUAGCGCUGGCCAGCCUUUUCAUGAAAGAGCAUCAUCAAGAUAAGAUUGAUAACAAAAUAGAUCUCAACCAAAGGUUCAGCGAUUACAAAUCAAGAUCUUCGUAUAACCCCGAUGACAAAUAGAGGUAUUACCCCCAUGAUCUUACACAUGUUGAUGAAUUUUAGGGUAAAGGACACCCUGUAGAUCAACUGGACCAAAGAUGAUGAUGAACGGGGGCAGGGAAGGCCCAGGUUGAUCAGCCUGCGCACUUUUGAGCCGAUCAGCUCAGGGGGUUUCCUCCUCCCCUGGUGCUCCUCUUCGCGUGGCCUCCUCUGGAUCCAAUCUUCUCUUCAUUUCUCCUACUUGUGGCGGCAAUGGAUGGUGUUUGCAUGGUGAUUUCCUCUUCUCCCCAACUCUCCCUCCUUGAAGUCCAUGAGGGGGUAUUAAUAGUCUCCAAUAGGCGGCAGCUCUGGGUCAAUGUCAGUGAAAAAAUCCUAGAGAUCAUCGUACACUUCAUGCUGAGGAAACAAGAGGUUGACCGAGCCCUGGGAUAGACCAAGAGGAUCAUCCUAGAGGGUCCCAGGCUAAUCGGUCUAGGCCCUUCCUAGCCCUUCUAGUCCUCUCCUUCCUCGUGCUGGCUUUUCUCGAUGACCCUUGUCCAAAUAUCCAUGAAGCUCUAUAUACAUACCCCCUUGAUUAUGUUGUAUUUCCUGUCAAAAUACAAUGCUCCAAAAUACAACACAUAUGCAAUAAUAGGGUUAUUUCAGGUGCCAAUUGGUGGGUUAGUAUACGAAUAAGCAUGAAAAUACUGUUUAAAUGACACUAAAAGUGUGUCAAUAACGAGCACCAACAAUCCCCCCACGCUUAGAUCUUGCUCGUCCUCGAGCAAGUCUAGCGACUAAAAGAUCUUGAAUUAAACCUGAGCAAGCGAGUCAAGUACCUAGCCUUGAAACAAAAGAUUAGAGGAGCAGCAAAGAUAAUCAAAGUCUGGGUGUUCAAAGAUUUAUCUAAGCAAAGAUUCCCCUACAACUAUUAUUCAGAACCAAGUAACUUCAAAAAUCAACUACACUUAUUUUCUGGCUUUUUUCAGAGGGUUUUUCUUUCAUCAUAAAACAAUCUCCCUGCAACAAAAUUGAAAAAAGAAUUAUUUUCAAGGUGCUUACAUGUCGCUUAAAUGAAUGUUGGCUAUCCUACUUAUUUGCAAGCUCUCAUCUCUCAAAAUUCAUUCAAUUAUAUGGUGGAGUUUGGGUAAGGUUAGCUAGAAUCAACACGUAUAUUAUUGAAUUAAGAAAACCCUCUAACGGUGGCCUACCUUCCGAGCCAUUGAUCAUAAGAAUAUCCACAUAAUGUGAAGUUUUCAAGGAUGAGAAGAUAUAGAAUGGUGGACAUGUGCAAAGGCAAAGAAAUAUAGUGACUCUGAGGCACAAGCAAUGUCCUCGUCGUUGGAUUGCAUAUGGUUGUAAUGAAAAUAUGUUCCUUAAACAAGUCUAUCUUUUCUUUGCACCACUCUUGAUCUUCAUGACAGUAAAAACUCCUCCUUUAUUUCUUUCUCUCUUUUCCUAUUAUUUCUUUUUAUUUGUCUCAAUACUUUUAUUUCUUUAUUUCUUUAUUUUAAUCUCUUCUCUGAACCUCUUCUGAACACCACAUAAUAAAAAUAAGUUUUAGAUCCUUCCAGAGACCUUCCAGGAAUUUGCUACAUGAAAACCGAGGCAAGGAGACCCCAGGCCGAUUGGCCUAGCCACUCCUUUGCUCUCCUCUAGCUCUUCUUUCUGGUGAAGCUUCCUUAUCUUGUAUCUUUCCAAAAAUUUCAUAAAGCUCGACUAGAAACGGAACAGAUCUUCAUAUAAUGAGUUGUGUUCAAGGAAUUGGUAAUAAAAUUGAGAAAUUUGUGGUUCGGGUUUACGAAUUCAGUACAAAAAUAUGAUUGUUCCAAUGAAGAACUCUCAUUACUGAAUAUUGACGAGGCAAGCAUUCAAAGAUGGUAAAAAGGAUAUGAUCAAUUCUCAAAAUUAAAGCAAACCAAGAGAGAGCGAUCCUAAUUCAAUUCAAAGUGUCAAAUGUUGCUUAUGGUGGUAUGAAUAAAUAUUUUUAGGCAUUGGGUAGGAUAAAUAAAAACUCUCAACCUGGUUAAAAGAUAUUGAUCAAUCUUGUUUUUGCAGAGGUUUUAAAUAAAAAAUAAAAUUUUAAAUCACCUCCAAUUCAAAGCCUUACUCAUAAAUCAUAAUCAAAACUGAAGCACUUGAUCAUCAUAAAGCAUGGGUAUUGCAUAAACAAAUCGAUUACUAAAACUCCACAACUACGAUUUAGAAUUCAAGACAAUGCUCAUAAUCUAAAGUUGCAAAGAUAAAAUAAAAGACAACCAAGCCAAGGUAGACACUAAAAACACUUGCACGAUCCUUGAAUUUUAUUCAUGCUUCUUCUCACAAAGACGCUAAAGUAGCCAUGUAGGCCUAAGUCUUCCCAAAAGCUUAAGAAAACUACUACUUUAUCUACUUUUGGUUGAAAUAAAAAGACUAAUCUAGACUCUCACAUGAUUCGACUCGACCAAAUUAGAUCCAAAAACUCAUACGAGCGACGAUCUCCCCCCCCUCACGCUUAAAAUCUACGACCUCCUCGUCGUAGCCAUAUGGAGUACAAGGAAAAGAAGCUUGUAAACGCUCUAAUGACGCUACCCGCACUACUUGCACACGGGAUGGUUGCUGCUUCCUUCGCUUUGUUCUUCCUCAUGUUGCUGCACAUCCCGAAGAGCUUCCUCACGUUCCUCUGCAAGAACUUGAACUCGUCCUCCUGACGGCGAUCAUUAUCUUCUGCCUUUUGAUCCAGAGCUUGUAAGGCUUGCAUGAUGUCAUCGAACGCAUCGAAGAGGUAGUGGAUGUUCUUCCUGCAAGCUGUGGAACAUGUACGAUCAUGCUCCUCCGAUUCUGGCCCGUCGUCUUCUAGAUCCUUCUCUUUGCCCUUGUCUUGACGGUGGCUAUCUUGCUCCUUGCUCGCCUUCUUGCCUUCAGCCCAAUCCCAGUACGUGUUGUCAUCUUCUUCAUCGUCACGGCCUGCAGCACCCUAUGAUCCAUUGUCUAUCUUGUAUGAAAGAAUCAGAAGCUUGUUCUCCUCAGGGUGUCUUGCGCGGUGCAGCGUUUGCAAGUGCAAGACUUGCUAGUUCCUUUUACACAUUGUAAUGUUCAUUGCAUGCUCUAAUUGUUCUACAUUUGUAAUUUCUUGGUGAAGUUUGGUUACUGAUCCACUGUUUGAUUAACUCUUGGGCCCAAACACUGUACUACUUCUGAUUAGAUAUCUGUAUCUUGACUUUGACCAAAAAAAAUAUCCGGCAGUUUUUGCCAUUAAAGUUUCAUAAAUCAUCUUGCAAAAAUCGUACUAUACAACAAGGGACGGUUUAUUAUAAAAUAUACGUUCCCCUUAUCACAUGCCACUUCCACUCAAAAGGCAACGAAUCAGUUUUCAAUCCUGAGUGAGCAAUUUGCUUUUAUUACCGAUGCCUCCUAUUCCCUUGUGCACCAAGUUUAUUUUGGAUAGGGCUGCAAAAAACGACUAACCAGCUCGGAUUCUCCACCUGCAAAACCGCAUCUGCAGCAACCAACCCCACGCGGUGGAAAAAAAAACAAAACCUAGAAACCGGACGGGGGUGGAUGUGGGGCUCGGAGCCCAAGCAAAAAACGGAUCGGGAGCGCCGGAGCAGGCCAUCACCGGAUGUUAGAGAUAGAAAAUGGUUGAAGUUUGGAGUGGAAAUCAAACAAGCCUUGGAGCAAAGGAAAAAAAAAGAUCAAACCACUCAAGCAUUCAUUUGAUUUAGAAAAGAGAACAUUUGUUAAGGUGGGGAGUUGAAAUCAUCUUUUAAUUAGUUCCACGUAUCUGGUAUCAUUACAGUUGGUUUACUUGUGUAAGUAUAAGUAGCUCUGCCGAAGCCUUUGCUCCUAUAAUUUAGUAACUAGUACAAAUGGAUCAAUAGGAAAAUCAAGUUGCAAUCAUUUCUCAGCCAACCAAACCUAUGUAAAUCAAAUUAUUGUCCAUGCCCGGCAUGCACAGGUGCCUGCCAUGCAUGCAUUGUUGCUCCAUUGUAAUAACCAUUAUUGUCCAUCGAUGUUGCAGCGCAUGUGUGCACUGUGCAGACACCAAGCAUCGAGAUUAUGUACUAGUAAGGUGUUGAAAUAAUGGGCCUAGCCCAUAAGUAAUUUCAGAAUUUCAAAUAAAUCUCAAAGGCCCAUGUGGGCAAGAGGUGGAGUGGUGCAAGUCUUUAGUCCCACAUUGCUAGUCGAGGGGAGGGAUGACCAACUUAAAUAUGGAAGUUGUCUCCACUCCUCCAAGCUAUGUGUGAAGGGCGCGGGCGCGAGGCACUUGCGUGAAUGGUCCGCCGAAAUCUGGCCCCCCUUGCGGGGGCGCGGCUUCCUUUUGCCGUUUUAUUUUUUGGUUACUUGGUCGUUAAGUCAUGGAAUCCUAACCGGUUUAGAUCACGAUCGUGAAGGUUUUUGGGAAGCGCUCUGCGCGACUGCUCGAUCGCUUCUUCCGCUUCGUCAAGUUCUUCGUCGACUCCUUCACCACGGCUCGUCUACCUCUUCGUCGCUCGGGCCUCACUCGUCGUCGCGAACAACGUCAGGCUGCUGAUCGUCGUCGCCUGCUGUAUCCGGUAGUCGUCCAGGAGCCGGUUUUCAUCAAGAAAGAAACGUACGGUCUCUUAACUCACAUUAUGUCUUCCAUACUAGCUAUUAUGAUUGUUGCAGUCUGAUAGCUCUGGAUAGUAUGGUAGAAUGUCUGAUUCUAUUUGCAAUGAUAGACUUGUCUAGAUCUUGCGUAGACAUGUCUAGUUUAAUCUGCUGCUUGUUCAUCAUAUUCAUGAUUUAUUUCUGGAUUAAGUUAAAACUAAAAGUGCUUAUAUAUCCAACAUAAGGUACCAAGAACACGUGAAGCACCCGGGGGAGGCUGCUCCACUCCGCAUGCACAGGUGGGCACGGCACCACUACUCGUCUCCUUCAGGCUGAGGAUAAGUGAUGUACGCUGAUCAACAGACCACGACGGAACCAGCAAUAAUAGUUUCAGCCUGCCUCACAGUAAUUAAUAUAUCCUGUAUCCUCCGAGGACCCCUCCCCUUAAUCUUGGCCUAUUGCAUCCAAUAAUGAUAUGUGUGUUUAUCCAAAUUUACGGCACCUUUGGCGGGGGUUCCACCCAGCUCCGCCCUCUCCACCUUCGGUACUCCAUGGGAAACCAUUCCUUUGGAAUCAAGGAAGCUUGAACAGUAUAACGAAUAAAGUUUCAUAUAUCCAUUUGAUUUCACAUGAAAUAAAAUAUUCUGUCAGAACCAAUGGUUUCACUGAAGCUCCAGGCAGCGAGCGAAGGGGUGAGAGAGGAUAACGCUUACUGUGUGUUACCAUCGCGUGCACCAUGGAUGACCAACGCGCAGCCGAGAUGAAACGGCGGACCUAAACAGGUCCUCGCUAUUUUUGCAGGUUCUCGACCAGGCCAGUUCUUUAGGCCAACCUAUCAUUCACGAGUUAAACAUACGGUGGCUGGAGAAAUGUUCUAUUCUUUUAAACAAUACCAGCUGGUUCCUCCGUUUUUAUUCCACCAAUACAAGCACCACCUUGUAACAUUUCCUAUGUUUUUUUUCCUUUCGUCUGUUUUCUCACUACAUGCGUUGCUCUUUCAUGCAUUUUUUUCCAUUCCUGUAUUCCAAAUAGGUCUACAUGAACACAAAAUGAACUAGGGGACAGAAAAAGCCAGUGAAGUUAGUUUUGAGCUUCACCAGCUACUUGCUACAUAAAGUGUGCUAUAGUCGCAGAAAAGCUAAGCUGGAUCAGACGUGGCCGAAACAAUGCCAAAGAGCUAGGUCCCUAGCUGAUGGCAACACAUCAGAUGACUAGCCUGCUUUUCUGUAAUAAUGAUAUUGAGCAAUACACUGCAUGGCUAACCUGCUUUACAAUAAUUGUCAUUUUAUAAUAUUGGUCAUCACGAGAGAUGCACAUUGCAUACACCGGCCCAUCCCUAUAAAUAGCCAAGCCUUUCAGCCAUCUUGGGCACCUCCUCUCAGGGCCUCGUCUCACCAUCAGACAUCUCGUUCCCAGUUAUAAUUUGCGAGGUUAGAUCAGGCUGCGCCAUGGCGUCCGCAACUGCUGUCAAGAUCGUCGCCACCUUCAUGCUGGUGCUGACCAUGGGCCACCUGAUGGCCGAAGCAUCACCGCAGCCUCGGCGUGUGCUUGCAGAAACGGAGCAUGCUGCGGUGUCCGGGAAUCCUGGCCUCCCAGGUGAUGCUAGCGUCAUGCAGGUCCUCGAACCCGCCCUAGUUUCUCGGCUUGCCUGCAAACCAGAGUGCACAGUCCCUUGGCCUCCUUUUGUAUGUAUCUGCUAGAUCCUCUUCCUGGCUCAACGGAACUUCAGGGAAAUGGCUGUGACGUCGGCCAAAGAAUAAAUUGGAUGAACAUAAUAUACCCCGGGUAGUGUAGCUUGGGCUUUUGUUGAGCGUCUGGUGCUAGUUGUAUUUUGUUUGCUCAUGUGGCUUUGCUUCUGGUUGCAUAUUGGCUUUCCUAUCGCUCUCUGUUGCAGCUAUGGUUUCUGCCAGGUGUGUGUUAAUGCGGUUUGUAAGCGGUGCUUGUUCCUACCUUCUGUUUUCAAUAAAAGAAGUCGGAGUCUCCCUCCGACUCUUGUUAUCAGUCAACAAAAAUGAGUUGUAUCAUAUAUAUCUGCGUCUUUUUUCUACGUAUCUUUGGGCUGCUUCAGCUGGAAGUUUAUCGUAAGUACGUGUAUCAGGAUGAUCGUUUGAAUUAAAACGAAAUGAUAAUGUGUGGCUGCUAGAAAUGGAAUGAGCAUCUUACUAUAUUACUAAUUGGAAGCCUCCACGUGAAGCCACCUAGAAAUUCUAGGUGGACGUUUUAAAAAAAACAAAACUCAUAGAAGCCUCCACCACCUAGGAAUCCUAGGUGGACACUCUAAAAAGAGACAAAUCCUAGAAAUUCUAAAAAAAGAAAAAAAUAAUAACAAUAAGAUUUUUUUGCAGUCAAUUACAUAUAUUUUUUUGAGACACCGUGCUGCUAGCUCUUGCCAUUGCGACCAGUAAAGCAAGCAGAUAGUAAGAUGACAUGCGUGUGGAUUGAUUAAAACAAAUUCAGUUAGUUGAUUCUAAAUCGUAUGUAUCCUAAAAGGAAGAUAUGUGCGUGCAUGGUCCCUAGCGAUGACAUGUAGACAUGUAUUGCAAUUUCUUUUUUAAAAAACAUGUCUAUCUCUAAACCAACAAACAGAAAAAAUAUCAAUCUAAAUCUAAAUCUCUUCCGUUCUCACACGCCUAUUAAAGAGAAGACAACCAAUCCCAUCCAUGUUCCAUAGAAUCCAUCUAAAAGCUUGCUCACUGCGGACGGCAUUUGACGGCAAAUCAAUGAAAGAUCAUCCUCUCCAAAUAGCUGGACGGCAUCACCAUCUUUAUCUCACCAACCUACAGAGCUACAACGAUGUUGUAGAGAUCAACUAGGUAACCUACCAAUCACCCUCCCCUUUUCUAUAUGCUCUAAAGAACACGUGGAGUAAUUAUAGGCCUAUAGGAGCCGACUAACCUAGAUUAAUAUGAAAAAUAUUCCAAUAUUAAAAGCAAGCAGAUAGUAAUACUUGCCUUUGACCAUUUUUCUAGAACUGUUAUUCCUAUUGAAUGUUCAAGUGCUACGGCCAGGCAUCGAAUGCCUGCACGGAACCUUCCUAUUGAAUGGUUACUCUAGAGAUCAACGCACCGCGAGACAUUUUUAUGGAAUUUGUUUGAUUCCCCUUCUACAAUUAGAUUAAUUUUUCAUGGCAUAUAUUACUACUAUUAAAUUAUUUGUUUAUUGUCGGGCCUGCUGCAUGUGUGGUAUAUAUGACUUGCUUCUCACCAUUGUUCUCAAACUAUUAUUCCUAUCGAAUCUUUCUAUCGAAAUAUAUUUUAAUUACUUGAUUGUUGUUUGUGUACCAUAACUUCUGUAUAGAAAAAUUCCAUGUUUGUAGAUAAUGUCUUUUGUAUAGAAAAAUAGCCCAAUUAGAUCCAUCACCAUCUUUUGCUUAUGUAGUUGAACAAGUUGCAAUGUUGAACAAAACUUUAAGUGAAAUUAGACCAGGAAAAGGAAUUGUGGAACAUUAAGGCAAGGGUAACCAGAUUGUGGAAUGCAACCUUACUCAGUAGUGGCGAACAAUUAAGUCUUGACAUGAUCCUUAUUGAUCAAAAGGUAUGAUAGAUGUUCACUUUGAUUGCAUUAUUGGUAUAAUUUUUGGUUUACAAAUUAUUAAUGAUGAUGCAAAAUUAGGGAACCAUGAUCCACGGUGUUAUCAAUAAGCCCUAUAUGAAAAAGUUCAAACCAUUGAUUGAAGAAGGCAAUGUGUACAUAAUUGCAAAUGUCAGAAUCACACCAGAACCACAGAAGUAUCGGCCAGUGGAAAAUGACAGGAUAGUCAACUUCUUACCCACAACUGCACUAAAAACGAUCAAAGAUACUGAAGACAUUCCAAAGUAUAGUUUUAACUUCAUGAGCACGGAUAUGCUUUCAGCAAGAAUAAAUGUGGACAUGUACCUAUUAGGUAAAACAUUACUGGCUUUUCAAUUUUUACACUUCCACUCAUUAAAUGACCAUCUAAUAAUAAUACAUAUUUAUGUUUCAUAGAUGUUAUAGGUAUCUCAGCUCACAUUGGACCGAUAGAAGAAACAAGGACAAACUUCGGAUUUACUAAAAUCCGUGAUAUUGUGCUCCUGAUCGAGUAAUUCUCUUUUCUUUUGUAGAAAACAACUACAAAACUUUCAACAUUUACAUGUAUGUUAUAGAACUUCUGUUGAACUAAAAAAUAUCUUCUACAGUGCCCCUACAAAUAAUUAAUUUCGUAGUUGGAUAUUUAAAAUAUUUAUUAUUCACUUUUAAAUUUGUGGCCAUGAAGUUAAAGUUAGAUUUUGGGGAGACAAAGUUGAGGAAGUUGAUGAUAAGACAAAAUCCCAUGUCAUUGCAAUAACAUCUACAACUGUGAGUAAAUUUGGCAGUAAGUCUUCAUUCAAUAUGAGUUAUUCAAUAUUAGUCAUUCAACAAACUAACCUCGUAAGAAAAAUAAAUAAUUGAUGUUUUAUCAGGGUAUUCUCUAUCGUCAACCAAUGCAACAAAACUUUAUGUAGAUCUACCUAUUCCUGAAACUAAGGAUGCACAUGAUAGGUGAGAAAAAUUAGAUAUUGUUUUUCUAUUUUAAUCUAUGUAGCAUGCACUCUAACAUGAUACAUUCUUUCAUAUGAUAAAAAAAUGUUAGUUCAAUUGAAAAUAUUGUCAAAGAGAUUCAUAUUGAGGACCAUCUAAAAGGGACAUUGGAAGACCAAAUGCAGUACAAUAGAAGAACUUUAGAAGAAUUAAAUUUCAUAUUAUUUGAAACAUCAAAUCAGGUAUGGAUUAGUAUGUUCAUUGUACACUAUACUAUUUAAAGACUUACAUACAUAAUGAUGGUAUUGUUCCUACUUUCAGGAUGAGGUAUUUACUAUUGAAGCAACAAUAAAUGAAAUUAAUGCAACAUAUGGUUGGUUGUCACACCCGAUUUUAAGGACAAAAUUGAGUGCAUUAAAUACAUGUGCACCAGGAUCAAGUUACACACAUCCUAUGAGUACCGUCCUUCUUUGGCACAAAGAUAACCGGUGCUCCCCAUGGUGAUGAACUAGGCCGAAUAAACUAUUUUGCUGAUAAUUCCUCUAGUUGUUGUUUCAAUUCUUUUAAUUGUUCAACCAACAUUCUAUAAGGACGUUUGGAGAUAGGUGCAGUACCAGGUAAAAGAUCAAUAGCAAAUUCAAUGUCGCGGUCAGGUGGCAUACCUGGUAAAUCGUCGGGGAACACAUCCGGAUAGUCACACACCACUUUGAUAUCUUCCAAGGAUUUUCCAGCCAACUGAUUAACUGCACAAUCUGCUGCUGAGGGUAGAGUAGCUACAAACUCCACUUUCUCUCCAUCAGGACCUGUUAGCAGAACUGUCCUCUUGGCACACUGAAUCGUUGCAUCAAAAGCGGCUAACCACCUCAUCCCCAGAAUUACAUCGAUUCCACUGGACUCAAGGACGAUAAGAUCAGCCGGAAACUCUAUACCCAUUAUUCUCAGUUUAACUUGUGGACAGAUGUAUUGAGCCUUCAUUGACCCCCCAGGUGAACUCACUAGCAUAUGACGCCUCAUGGUAUGCAUGGGUAAAUUAUGCUUUGCUACAUAAUGACUAGUGACAAAAGAAUGCGAUGCUCCAGAGUCAAAUAAAACUGAUGCGGGGGCAGAGUUGACAAAGAACAUACCAAGCACUACAUCUGGAGCCUCCUUAGCAGUCUCGGCUUCCAUGUGGUUCACCUUGCCACAAACAAAGCUUUGCUGCCCCUGAUUGCCUUGUGGGGUCUGGUUCCCAUUCCUCGGUUGCUGCAUCUGAUUCUGCCGAGGAGCACUGCUGUUCUGCACGGGGGUAGCUGGCCCACCUCUCUUAGGACAAGAGCUGGCAUAGUGACCAACCUCGCCACACUUGAAGCAGGUAGGACCCACUGGAGCAUUGGGCCUUGUUGGAGUGCCAGUAGGGGUCAUCUGGCGGUUCUGCGUAAAGCUUGGGCGCGGAGUCUGCAUAGUCUGCAUCCCUGGAUGCUGGAACUGAGGGCUAGGGCGCUGGAAUGACUGCUGAGCAGGGCGCGGAAAUGAGUGCUGCCAAAAAUUCCCACUCGGGCCCCCUGCGCGGAACGGCGUCCCUUGCUGUGGAGCAAAGCGAGGGCGGGUGUUGCUUCCUGAAGACUACUGGGAAUUGAAUUUCCUCUUCAUCUCCCCGAGCUCGUUCCUCUUGUGUUCCAGGCCAAUUGCCUUGUCUAGCAUCUUCUGGAAACUGGGGAAGGUGUGCGACAUAAGCUGAUAUUGGAGUGGUCCAAUCAACCCAUCCAAGAAUAGCUCCUGCUUCUGCUCAUCAUCAGCAACAUCUUCGGGAGCAUAUCGGGACAACUGGACAAACUUGUCCCUGUACUCUGCCACUGUCAUGUUCCCCUGCUUGAGAGCAAGGAACUCCUUCUUCUUAAGCUUCAUCAAUCCGGAAGGAAUAUGAUGACUUCUGAAGCUAGUCCUGAAUUCAUCCCAGGUGAUGCCAUUAGCAUUGGCAUGGGUGGUGGUGUAAGCAUCCCACCAAUCAGCAGCUGGCCCUUCCAGGCGUCCUGAAGCAUACAGGACCUUCUCCCUGUCAGUACAUUGGGCGAUAUCCAGCAUCUUCUCCACUGUUUUCAGCCAAUCAUCAGCAUCUAAUGGAUCCGGAGAAUGUGAAAACGUCGGGGGCUUGUGGCUCAUGAACUCCCUAUGCCUGUCCCUUGGCGGCGGCUGCUGCUGGUUGUUGUUGUUGUUAUUGUUCAGCUGAGCUUGUAAAGCUGCCACGGUGUUGGUCAGUCCGGCGAGAAGCUGAGUCUGAGCUGCUAGAAACUGCUCCAUCCCUGCAGGUGCUUGUUGGUUCUGUUGCGGAGCGGUGUUGGGAUUGCUGCUGUUGUCCCUGUGGCGUGGCACUGUGGGACGGUCAACUCCUGAUCCGGACCUGGUGUUUACCAUCUGAGCGUUAGAGACAAUGGAUUUAGAUAGAUGUGUGAAAGAAUAACUGAGAAAGAUAAAGCGACCAGAUGUAAAAGUAACACAGAUUCUGUUAGCUCCAUUUAAUUAGGUGUGGUCGUCAGAAGAAGUGUCCAUAAAUUCUGAACAAUUACCAAGUCGUAACUUAUUAAAUUUGUAAACCAACCCAACUGGAAUCAUCUCAAUCGGACUUCUGGAUCUCGAGUUACAAAAUUAACAAGCUGACAGUGUCGGUCGAUAGGUUCAGAUUCUGAGUGCUUUACUAAUUCGCAUACACCUCCCAGACAGAUACACCAAAAAUUCUGAAAAAUUUACAGAUAGUACUCCACGAAAUUCUGAAACUAACCCCACUGGUUUCAUGUCAUUUGGACUUCUGUAGCUAGAGAUAUAAAUAAAAAAGUACUGGCGUGUCAGUUAAUGUCGAGAACAGAAUUGAAUGUCGCUUAGCUUGCGUGAUGGAUAGAUUUAGACAGAUGGUAGAUCAUGAUUAAGGAAGAUUAAAUACUGAUUUAGAACAGAAAUAAAACCCAACUAAGCACUUUAUUUAUUAAGACCAGUAUCGUGUGGCAAUUGCCCCACAUACCGCACUCAUUACAAAAUCCAACUCAAACAUGUAGCACAAAACCAAUCAUCUAAGCACACUUUAACUAACACACUCGAACGACGUCUAACGAUUACAAGAAUUUAAACUAAAACACUCCUAAUUUCCUAGAGGUCUUCUGCGGCGGUGCCGGGCGAGUCGUAGCGGGGACGCUUAGGCGACGGCGACGAAGCGGGAUGAACAGCAAACUCCUGCGGCGGCGGUGCUCCCGUCGCGGCAGCCAUAUUCGCAUCCCUCUCCCACCGGAGUUCCUGAACCUCCUGUUGAAGCUCCUGGAUGUGGUUGUUUGCUUCAUUCAAUGCGGUGAGAGCUGCCGACGUGUACUUGCGGAGGAAGUCUGUAGCCAUGUCAACCCCAUCGUUAGUAGCGAUGAAGGUUCUUGCUUCCCCACUAGCUCGGUAAGGAAGGAACCGAUGGUAAGUGUGCUGCAAUCGCGGCCGUUCCUUGUGGGAGACGACCUCAAGUGCCCUCCUGGCGGCCUCGGCAAUGCCGGAUUCCAUGGUCCUCCUUAUGGUCACAUCAUGGUGAAAAGCCUUCACCUCCCAUCCUCCCUCGUGCUCCUCACGAAGGACAACCUUCACCUCCCAAAAAGUGGGAUAGCGAGGGUGGGUGAACCGGGAGCACUUGUAGAGUGGCCUCAUGCCGUACCCCAAGCGGUGACAAGUCCACCUGAGUAUGUCGGCCAUGUGCACUCCUUGGCCAUAAUCUUCCUUCACCCAUUUGAUCCAUGUCUCGGGCUCGGGAUCUGCUUCGGGCUCAUCAUCCGUCAAGUCGACGACCGGUACGGGCGUCGGGGCUGGUGCAGGAGCGGGCGCCGGUGCUGGCGACGGUGCUGGUGACGGCGUGGUCUCCUGCUCCACGGUCACGGCGUCCCCGUCAGAGUCAUCCCCCGGAUGCUGGAAGAUCUCUUCCUCUUCUUCCUCGUCCCAAGGCUCCAUGGGGGCGUACGACGGCGCGAUGCCAUGACGCGGCGGACGGGUGCUCUUGCGUGCGGUCAACCGGGUGCGAGCCAUCUAACAGAAAGAAAGAAGAAAAUUUUAGAAUAAAAUUUUGAACAAAGCUAGAUAAUAAAAUAGCAAUAAGGAUGAGACAAAUCAAGUUUAAGAAUAAUUAAGUAGAUUUAAAUUAAGAAAGGUAGGAAUGGCUACUAGAUUAUUAUAAUCCUUAAAUACGACCAUUUUCUAACUAGGCUAACGUCCUACAGUCAACACGGCUCUGGUACCACUUUUGUCACACCCGAUUUUAAGGACAAAAUCGAGUGCAUUAAAUACAUGUGCGCCAGGAUCAAGUUACACACAUGUACGACAAUAGUGAAUAGUAAAGCCAGUGCUAAAUCGAAUAAAGAGAGUAUUAACCAUUAUUACAUGACCGAAUGUCUCAAAUAAACCACAAAGUCUAAUUAUUACGCAGCGGAACUCCAAAGAUGACGACGACUCCAUAGGCAGCUGACUGAAGAAACGUACGCCUAGAACUCCUCGAAGUCGUGGAAGUACUCCUCUUCCCAAUUAACUUGGUCUGAACAGCGGUUUUGCAAGGGUGAGUACACUUAUGGUUGGUACUCAACAAGUCGUGGGAAGUAGUGUAGUGUAAGGCUAAUUCAAGGUAUGGCUAAGGCGUAAAUAGCAUUCGCUUUUAAUUAAGUUGGUCAAAUUUUAUUAGCAUUUACUAAGUAUAAGUUCAUACCACCCGAAAUUAAACAUGAACAUAAAGUAAACCACAUGUGCAUGAAAUGAUAACAAAUUAAAUCCAUCUUCCGAUAAUAUUAUCAUGUGAGGGUCCAGGCCGCUCUUAACCGUGAGCACGGCUGAUUGAUCAGUUUAACACUCUGCAGAGGUGGCACAUCUUUACCCACAAGUCGCGUAAAAGUUCAAAAGAACUUUGGACCCAACCAUGCGGUGUUUGCAAGGCACCAUACCACACUUCCGAGGUGUGAUUGCAUAGGGACGCUACGAGGCCUUUACAAAGAUUCAUUAAUCAGUGGUAACCCGCUAAGGUUUCGGUGUCUGGCGUGCACCACCCAUCCCAGGUAAAAUGCAACGACUCAGUCCCCCCCCUUGAAUCAUCACGAGUAAGGUCACCCCAGACUAAGGUUUCUAAUUAAUCAGCCAAGACCAGAGCUAUUUAGUCUUGUGGUAGCACUGUUUUCCUGGGUGGUCGCUCCAUGUUCUGAUUAACAAAUAAUGAUCUUGUCUUAAUGAAAGGUAUAACAGAAAUAAGGCAAGAUUAAGCAUUGUUUUUAGUUAAACCACCAUGUACCAAGUAAGCACUAAGCAUGAGCUACCCAACAUAAAGUAAACCGGUUGGUCAAGGCAAAGGUAAAACAAUCUAGGCCAACCUUAAUUGGGACCCAUCAAUUUAAUCUUAAUAUGUGCACAGCAUAAAUGUUGAGUACGAGAAAGUAAAGGUGUAUAGGACAAAAAGGUAGUGAUCAAGGACACGACUUGCCUUCUUGGCCUUGCUCCUGCUGUUCGUACUCCUCGAAGGCUUGAUCGGCAACUCCCUCGAACUGCGGGGCGUCUACACGCAUCACACGAGCACAUACAAGCAAACAUGGGCAAAAGUAAGAAAACAGUAUACCAAACAUAGUCAAACAGAGAAAACAAGCUUGAAAAGAUGAUCUACGCUUUAAAACGAACACGCGGAUAUAAAGAACGCGAAAAACGGAGUUAAGAUGCAAAAGAUAUGAUUAAAACAAAAUCCAGGGACUUUUCUGUAAGAAAAACAAAACUUUUAGGGCCUAUCCGCGAAAACCGAGGGCUUAUACGUAAUUAUGCGUAUAAACCGAGGGUCUGAUGCGUAAAAACAUCAAACCCGGACGGCGGGUUGAUUUCUGGAAAGGUCAAGGGUUAAACCGAAAAAUGCGAGGGCAGAUCUGUAAAUACUUUCAACGCGAUCUGGACCGCGGGUUGAUUUGCGAAAAAGGCGGGGGCUAAAGUGCAAAAACUGCACGGCGCGGCUCGGUUGACCGGUACGCGAUCUUGAUUGACUCGCGUCCGGCCGUCGGAUUAAGAUCCGACGGUCGCGGUGAUCCGCGACAUCGCGGCGGCGGCGGCGAGCGGCGGCGAGCGGCGGCAAGCGGCGGCGGGUCGCCGGAGUUAGGCAAAAUAGCGCCACGAGGCACGGUUUAACGCGCGGGUUGCACCAAAAAAGAGAGGGGAACACGUCGAUCCCGUUUUGGGGGUUCUUGUCGACGGGGGCUCACCGGCGACGGCGAACGGCGGCGAGGAAGAGGCGGCGGCGCUAGGAGCUCGGGCGGCUAGGGUUUCGGGGAGCUGCGGCGCUGGUUUUGGGCGGAGGAGACUGGGAGGAGGCGGCGGCUUUUAUAGGGCUUGGAGAUAGAGCCGGCGCGGGUUCAAAUCCCCCGGAGGAGUCGGAGCGGAUGGAGUCCGGGGCGGAGACGGCGCGCGGCGGUUGCGGAGUUCUGACCGGAUUCGGCCGGAGGUGGGAGACGAUGGGUGGGGUCCACCCGUCAGUGGCGGAGGGGAGCGGUAGACGGGCCGGCGCGACCGUGGGCUGGCGCGCGCUCGUGGGCUGCGGGGAGCGGGAGAGAAGCGGCGAGCGGGCGCUGGCGGAGCAGGCCGAGCGGAGGUAGAGCUGGGCCGCGGAGAAAAAGGAGGAGGCCGGCGGGCUGCUUCGCAGGCCGGUAAGGAUGAGGCGGCCGGGCCGAAGAAGAAAAAGAAAAGGAGGGACAAGGAGCUUUCGGCCGAGGGAAAAGAAGAAGAAAAAGAAAAGGAAGAAGAAAAGGGAAAAGGUUUUGGAAUUUGAAUUUAAAUCUGAAAUUCAAAAUUUGAUUCAAACUCAAGCAACCAAAAAUUAUGCUCCAGCAUGAAUGCACAAAUAAUUCCUAUGAUGAAUUAAUUGAAUUAAAGAAAAUGAAUUUAAAUGCCUAGAAAUUAAAUAACACCCUAAUUUGAGCAAAUUUUAAUGAAUUUGAAUUAUUGAAAUUUUGGGUGUUACAUUGGUACUACAUCUCAUGUAGUAGAGGCGAUUGUAAGAAGCAACUUGAAAAGAAGUUUGAUCACUACUAUUGCAAUAAAUGUGACAAGAGAGCCGAACCUAAAGCCCAGUAAAUUAUUUAGUAGUUUACAAUCUUAUUAUAAUACUUCUAUUUCUAAUAGGAGAAUAAUAUUUUCAGAUUCAAAUUAAGCUUCAAAUAAGUGAUCCAACAACAAGUGCAACUUGUGUACUUUUGACAAGGAAGCAGAAAUGAUAAUUAAUGAAUGAGCAGAUUCGAUGAUCACCUCAGUUGAUCAUGAUAAUAAGUAGCUACCAAAAUCAAUUCAGGAAAUAUGUGAAGAAACAUUGAUUUCUCAAUUCAGAUUGACCGAGUACAACUUGACAAGUUUUAGACCUGAUUAUACUGUUUCAAAGAUAUUUUUUCCAAAAGAAAAGGGCAGUUCAAGAAUUGGUAUGGAAAGUGUAAAAAAGGUAACACUUUAUUAUUAAUUUUUUAUUGCACUUUUUUCUUUUGAAUCCGUAAUACUUAAUAAUUUUACUAUAUCAAUGAAACAAAUUCUAACCUAAAUUUAUUUUCUUUUUUAUUAUUUGUAGGAAGUAGAAGACAACUCAGACAAAUGCUACACGAUAACUACCGAGAAUGAAGAGGUAGACACUGAUGACUCUUUUACCGAGAAAGUAACAUUCGUAGAAGAAGCCAUAAGGACUGGGGAAAGAUUGGCUAGAAAAGUAUACUCACUUCCAUGUCAGUGUUCAUUCUAUUUACAAUACAUGCAAAAAAAAUAUUAUUCAUGCAAAAUUGCAGGUCUACUAAGCAUUAAAGGAAUAGCGGAUAGUGCAAUAUGUAAUCUGAGCAGCAUGCAUUACAAAGUGCUCUACUGCAAUUAAAUUAAAAAACAUGAUAUAUGUUGAAUUCUUAGACUUUAUUAUUAUACUUUUCUACGUGACAAUUCACAAUUUUUUAGAAAAAAGAAGAUCCCAGAAGAAGUGACCAUGAAAAAAGGUCUAUGACCAGCAAUAAGAAAAAAUGCAAGCAUAGAAACAAAUCCGUAGAAAACAUAGAAAAUAAGGUACUCCAUAAACAAAAGUAUUCUCUUAUAUUUUUAUUAAAUAUUUUUUUAACACUUGACAAGUUCUUUUUUAGGAUCAAUAUAUCAGCAAUUCAGAUGUCAUUGGAGAUGAAACCUUAGUUCAUCCAAAAGGUCAAAAAAAAACAUCUGAAGAAAGGUGUUUGGCUGAAAAGGAAAAGCAAAAAAGUGGUAAUGCAGACAAACACAUGCAGAAAAAUAUAAAAACAUGUCAUAGGGAGGCAGACCAAUCUUGCAAGGAGGUAUAGACGAAACGUGAUACACGACCUGCCUACCUUGUCGUGGAUACCCCAAGAAGAUGUCAUAGAGGUGCAGACCAAGCUAGCAAGGAGGUCGAAACGUGAUACACGGCCUGCCUACCUUGCCGUGGAUAUUAGCCCUGAGAUCAUUCUACUGUUCAAGGAAUAACACUCAAUGCUGCUGCUGCUGCUGACCUGGCUCCAUAAAGUUAUACUCCUCUAGGUGCUUGCACUAACUUUAUCUGAAGUAUUAUUCUCUCUGCACUGUAUAUAUGGUUAUGGAGUUUGCUGGAGUAUCCGGGGCGAAGAACCUACAUAAUACGUCUUGGAACUAAUUGACAUUGAUUCACAGACAAACUCUACAAGGUGCUGUUCUUGCCAUUUUAGAGCAUCCAAAGGACUAUAAAUAACAUAGUUUACCAUAUACCAUAUACCAUAUACCAUAAUAUGUUAGCUAAAAUAAGAGCAUACACAUGUUGCAGGAGUCCAAAAGCACCGGUUGAGGACCAGGUACAUUGAAUUACUAGAAAAAGACAGGGGACAAGGUUUAGGUAACCACAUGAAACAUUUGAAUUUAUUGUACUAUGAACACUUAGUUACCAUGCCAGGAGCACAUAGUUAACACUAACAUUUAGCCACUUUAGAUCAUCCCGAAUCACCAAUGACCCUCAAUAGUGACAAAUUUUGGUUUAAAUGCCAUCACCAAUGAUCCUCAAUAGUGACGUAUUUAGGUUUAAAUCCCGUCACUAAUAACCCUCAAUAGUGACCUGUUUUGGUUUAAAUCUCAUUACCACUGAUCCUCAAUAGUGAUGUGUUUUAGCAAAACAUGUUAUCAAUGACUUGUCAUUGGUGACGUGUUAAAACGCGUUAUCUCAAUGGCAAAUCAUUGGUGACGUGUUAUCUCAAUGUUAUCAAUGUUCUAUUCUUUUCAACAAUACCAGCUCGUUCCUCCGUUUUUAUUCCACCAAUACAAGCACCACCUUGUAACAUUUCCUAUGUUUUUUUUCCUUUUGUCUGUUUUCUCACUACAUGCGUUGCUCUUUCAUGCAUUUUUUUCCAUUCCUGUAUUCCAAAUAGGUCUACAUGAACACAAAAUGAACUAGGGGACAGAAAAAGCCAGUGAAGCCAAUUUUGAGCUUCACCAGCUACUUGCUACAUAAAGUGUGCUAUAGUGACGUGUUUUAGCAAAACAUGUUAUCAAUGACUUGUCAUUGGUGACGUGUUAAAACGCGUUAUCUCACUGGCAAAUCAUUGGUGACGUGUUUUAAAAAAACAUGUCACCGUGAGAGUCAUUGGUGAAGGGUAAUUAAAAUGCGUCACUAAUGUUGUAGCAUUAGUUAUGAUAAUUUAGUAACGCAAAAAUCUACCAUCAGUAUUGAGCUUUAGAGCCAUCGCUAAUGUGGGUUUCUUACAUAGUGAUGCAAGCUCUACAAGGUGCUGUUGCUGCCAUUUUAAAGCAUCCCAUGACUACAUGUUAAUAACAUAGUUUACCAUAUAUCAUAAAAAUAUUAGUUACAAUAAGCACAUACGCAUGUGGAAGAGUCCGAAUGCACCGGUUGAGGACUAAACACAUUGAAUUACUAGAACCAAAUGUAUGUUUAGAACAAAGACAGGGGUCAAGGUUUGGGUAACCGCAUUAAAAACAUUGGAUUUUACUGUACAUGAACACUUAGUUACCAUUACCAUGCCUUGAGCACCUAGUUACAACAAACAUUAAUUUAGCCACUUUAGAGCUUCCAGAAUCGCUAUAAAUAAUAUACCUACGCCGUACCAUGAAAACAUCAAGAAGAGAGACGGAUACAUGGACCACCAUCAAGCGAGUAGUGACAGCACGCACAAGAAUACCCGGAACCUGUUAGCUUGUCUGUAGUGAUCUGUUUUCUUCCCCAUAAAAUCCAUGAGUAUUGCCACAAAUAAUGAAAGAGGCUGACCAAGCUAGCAAGGAGGUAGAGCAAACGUGAUACACGGCCUGCCAAGAUUGCCCUGGAUACGCCAAUAAGAGCGACAGAUACAUGGAUCACACCAAUAUGGUGAAACGUAUAUUCAUCACACAAGCAAAGCUGGUCAGUUUAUCCAUGGUCAAAUUGUGGUCUUUGUUUUCACUUGAGAGCUAAUUGAGGCACUAUAAUAUGGGCAGGCCUAUCUUCAACAGACAUGACAGCUACAGGGAACUUGACAUAAUUUGCUGGGCCGCCUGUGCACAAUUAUUUGUUUUAUUGUCCUUGCAUAGAAUGCUAAAAUACUCUUUACAAAAUGUUGGAUCUAAUAUUUGAAAUAUAGAGUAGUAAUCAUAUAUUGAUCAACAACUUGAAAUUAUCUGUACAUUCUCGGUGAAGCUGUUGAACUAAUUUUUGCAAAUUAUUAAUUCAUCUCAUUACGUAAAGAAAAAAGUAAGUGGAUAAGAUAUUUCGUGGACCACAUCACUGCAAACAUGUCAUGGAGAGACAGACCAAGGAGGCAGGACGUGAUACACGACUUACCCUAGGUUGCCGUGGAACCGCCAAGAAGAGAUACAGAUACAUGGACCACACCAUCUUGGGAGUAGUGACAGCAUAUAUGCAGAAGAAUACCCCGUGCCUAUUUGCAUGCAUGUCUCAAGUGAUCUGUUUUCUUCAGAAAAUACAUGAGCAUUGCCAGAAAGAAUGGCAAGAGACAAACAUGUCAUAGAGACUUGCAUGUCUUGCCUUGGAUACGCCAAGAAGAGGGACACAUACAUGGAUAACACAAAUCUAGUGACACGUAUAUUCAUCACAAAGGCAAAUCUGAUAAUUUUAUCCAUGGAGCAGACCAAGGAGAAAUUGAUGACGGACAUGUGAUCUCUGUAUUCAGUUGAAAGCUAAUUGAGCUACACUAAUAUGAGCAGGACUAUAUUCAAGAGACUUGUUGAGAGCUACAGGGAACUUGUAAUAAUUUGCUGGGCGGCCUGCGCACAAUGAUUUGUUAUACAUAGUUGAAAUAUUUCAAGAAUUUAUCAACCUCAUACUCUGAAACCCUUGGUGCAAUGUACUCUGCUUUCCGAGGUAGACUGUUCACGUAAAAUGAGGUCAUGCGUAAGACGGAAUCGGAUUGGAUUCACAGGGAAUCAGAUUUGGAUAGCACCUUUUAGCAGGUUUUUAGUCAAAUGCAAAUUCGGAUCCACAUGUGGUUGAAUGCGAGUUCAAAAUUCUACUUGGAUAUCCAUUUAAUUUAGGUGAUAGCAAUUAGCACAAAAUGUUGGAUGAACAAAAUCAUAGUUAGACAUACAAUUACAUGUAUGGUUAAAGUAUAAUACAAUACACCAAGAUUAUUCCUUGAAAAUAUUUCUUAAAAAUAUUAUAAUAAAUGAAUAAAUAUAAUUGUGGCCACCAACAAAUAGUCGGUGGUCGCUAAGUUGGAGCCAUUUCUGGUUACUAAUGCGGCCUUCUCCUCGACCAGCGACGACAGCUGAGCUUGUUCCUUCUGACACUAAAUCAUCAGAGUCUUCCCUCCACUACUAUAGAAUGCACCUUUAGCACCAAUUGGGAAAUCCCCUUCAGUAUUGGAUGCUGCAACCAGUGCUAUAUAUCAAAAUGGAGACUAAAAGCCUCGGUCUUGGGUACCGGUUGCAUAACGCAUUACUAAAGGAGGCAAAAGAGAAAUGUAACAAAAAAAAUAUUUUGAAUUCCAAGAAUGUUUCACUAUUCAAGAUGACUAGCUGAGAGUCAACAGACAAGAUACUAGGAAUGUGGGUGCUUGAAUGCAUUUGUACAGAGGUCAUACUAUUUACAAACUCUUCUAUGUUUCCAUAUGACUACCUACUUCAAUGUCACGCGAGCCAUUCAGCUGGACACAUGGCACACUAGCUUGCAUGUCGAAUCCAUGAUUAAUUAUUUGCACUUGUGAUCUCUUACCAGUAUUUGUCCAGACUAGAAACGUGCAACACAUUUUUAGGAUAUGGACACGCAUAUAUUUGGACUAGUAUACAGGUCACCUUUGGAUGCGUACAAGGAUGACCGGGAGGGACUAAUGGAUACAAGGAAGGGACCAUCAGGAUUAAUAUUGACAUAUGCCACAUGACAAUCUUCAUUGUCAUGCAAUCCCUAUCAACAAUCAUGGAAUCCCUAGUGUACUAAUCCCUGGAGGGUUGUGUGGAAAUUUAUUUUACCUUGCGGUGAAAAUCUCAUGAGCAGUCAUUAGUUAAGCUGACUAGCUGAGAUAUAAUAGACAAGCUAGUAAGAUUGGGAGCAUCAAUGCAUCCAUACAGGGUCACAAUAUCCUUUCCAUUCACUUUUAUAUAUAACCCUACGAAUACAAGUCCAACGAAAUGCGGGCCUUUCGAUCAAGAUAAAUUAAAUGGCCCACUUGUAUUUCUAAUCCAGGAUUAACUAUGCCCUCUGUUCAUCUCUUGCAAGCACGUGCAACACAUUUUCACGAUAUGGACAUGCAUGGAGGUUAUUAUACUGUUUGGACAAACUCUGAUGUGCCAUGACCUAAAUGCUUAGGGCCUGUUUGGUUUGAGUUGCUUAUUAUAAGCAACUUAAAGUUGCUUAAAGUUGCUUAUUUGAAGUUGCUUAUUUUUAGUCUAAACUGUUUGGAUACCCUUGCUUAUGAGCAUUGAAUGAGUUGGACAUUGUCAAAUUUGCCCCAUGUGUUGCUACCCCUCCAAUUUGCCUCCCCACCCUUCUUCUUCCUGCACACGUCCGAUCCCGGGGGCCGACGGCGGGCAGGGAGCAGCAGCAGCUGGCCAGGGCGGCGGUGGGGCGGGAGCGGCGGCGCACACCAGCACGCGCUCGCACGCCAGGUGCUAGGGCGCGGCGAGGCAGUCGUCGUAGCCCACCGGGAGCGGGUGCUCGGGCGCGAGGCGGUACUCGACGGAGAUGCCGAGCGUCGGGCGCGCGGCGGCGAGCGCGUUGAGGAAGCGAUGGUAGUGCGGCGACGUCGCGGACUCCGCCACGAAGCCGCCGCCGUGGACGUACACCACCACGGGCAGCUUCGUCUUGCCGUCGGCGGCCGCGGCCGCGGCCUGGGGUGGCAGGUAGAGGCGGACGGAGCAGGAGCCGAGGUCGACGUCCCUGGAGUCGACGCCCGUGGCGGCGUCCAGGCUGGGCCCGACCGGCGGCGGCACGAGCGGGCGCUCGAUGCGGCCGCUCUUGUAAAUCCGACGGGUCUGUGCGGAGGCGGGCGGCGGGCGGGAGCGGCGGGUGGGAGCGGCGGCAGGUGGUGCGGAGGCCGGCGGCGGCGGGUGGCGCGGAGGAAGGGGAGCUGGUGAGUGGUGACAGGGGAGGGGGGGAGAGAGAGGGGGGGUAGGGUGCAUUGAAUGAGGGCAGGAGGUGUAAAGUGCACCUUUUAGUCCCCAUGAGCAACCAUAAGCAGCCCAAGAGUUGCUUAUUUGCUUAUAAUAAGCAACCUCAUAAGCAAGAGUGAUUGGUUUCAUAAGCAACUUAUUUGCUUAUUUUAAGUUGCUUAUGCAUAAGCAUGUGAAACCAAGCAGGUCCUUAACCUAUGGUUGUGGCACCACACAGUACAUAGUAUUUAAUAAUGCUAUUCGUUUGGUAUGUGCACAAGGGCACGCAUGAAAUGUCUGGCCCACGGUAAACAAGUACGGACGCUGCAAAUAAUCUACUCUGCUCGUCCAGUCCCUAGCCUAUAAAUAGAUGCCAUGCUAGCUCUUGUUGUGCUCACAAUUAAUCCUGACUACACACGAGCUUCUCUCCCUGGCCAAGACACAAUCAUAGUAUGAUGAAGAACAUGGCACUAGCCGGCAAUGGUAUGAAGAACUUAAUCCUCGCUGUUCUCUUACUGUGUCUAGUUAUAGGGCAGAUACAAGUGGAAGCUAAGAGCUGCUGCCCAUCCAUUACUGCAAGAAAUAUCUACAAUGCCUGCCGUAUCACGGGUACAUCCCGUCCAACGUGUGCAAAACUGUCAGGCUGCAAAAUUAUCAGCGGGGACAAAUGCAAGCCCCCUAACGACCACCUCACCCUUGACCCGGACACUGGUAAAUAAUAAAUUUAUCUCACUUGAUUUCUUCGUGUUUUGAGUCGUUAAUGUAUUUUCCAUCUGAUGAAACGUAUUGGUUUUGCAUUGAAGAGGAAGUUAAUGUGCUUAACUUCUGCAAGUUGGGGUGUGCGUCGUCUGUGUGCAACAACAUCAACGCUGGUAAGCACCUUUUGCUCAGACGGAGAAAACAAUAAUCAUUAAUUAGCGGCAGCUAGAAUCCUAUAAUCUAAUAUAUUUAUAUAUAUAUAUAAUUUUAUCAGCUCUGGGAAAUGAAGAGGCGAACGAUGCCGUUGAGAGUUGCGACCAAGCCUGCUCUAGCUUCUGCAACGUGCACGUUGGCGCUGCCACCGUGGUUGCUUAAGCAAAUGCAUCCAACUGGAUCGUCCUUGUGCUAAAUAAUUGGAUAUCGUAUCCACUUAAAGCUGCCUUGUGUAGUACGUUUUUGUUUGUGUCUCUCUUUAUAUUCCAAUAAGGUCGGUGAUCUUGAUGCCACACACUCAGACGUGUGUUCAUCUCCAGAUACUACUCCAUGCUACCUGCCCUUUGUGUUUUGUUCAAUAACUGGGUAUCAUAUCCCAGCCAGUGUGCCAUCUGUUUUGUGUUUAUUUCCUUCUAGUUUCAAAGGGGUUAUCAUGAUGUUACCUUCUUUCGAUAUGGUGCUUUGCAUGACUACUGUUGUAUGGUACCAUCUUGUUGGCCAAUAAAUACAUCUUAUCCUAUGACCCUUUGCUAUGACCCUUUGCAAAUAAGUACAAGAUUGUUAAAUACUCGGUAUAAAUUGACUACUGCUGUGAGUUCCCUUUCAGCUUAUCGUAGGCAUACAUUAUUGCUAGCACGGUGAAGACAACCAACACGAAUGGUCAAGUAAACGUACCGGUACUUUUGUAUACCAACACCCUUGCUUAAAUGUACCGGUGUUACUCCCCACUAGCACAUAUAUUCUUAUAUGCUAGCCGGCUUGAAAAUUAACCGAUUAAAAUAAUUAUUUCAAGACAGAAAUAACUUAUCGGCUUCUCGAAGCAUGUGUAAUGUGAAUUCAAGGACUUGAUGGAAGUUGAAUCGCUUAAUCUAGAUUGCUUUCAGGAUUUUGGGUAACUAAAUUUAACAUUUGCACAUACAAAUGUUAAUGUACAAAUAUUAAAUAUAGUUACCCAAGCAGAAUAUGAAGAUACUCUAUAGUAUAUAUAUACUAUAUAAAUCUAGUUAACAUUUAGUCUAAAUGUUAAAUCUAGUUACCUAAAAUCCUGAAAGCAAAAUGUAUAAAUAUAUAUCUUUUAAGGAAUCCCAAAGCAAGAGUUCAGUGGCAUUCUAUAGUCCCAUGCUGCUAGUUUGAGUUGGUCGAAGCCAACUUAAAUAGGAGAGCUCUCUCACUUCUCUAAAUACGUAACUGAAGGAGAGAAGGGGGCUUGGUUACACAACGCACGCACGCACGCAUAUUUGCGUUCUUUUCGCGUAACCAACCGCGUGACUUGAAACUUGCGACGUAGCGUGCUGCCAAGUCAAGUUGAUAUAACCUUUUUGCCGUAGGCGUGUAAUCUUUUGACAACGGUCAUUGGAGGUGAUAAGCACGCAGUCAAUACCUUAAUCCUGAG
rnacentral:lncRNA from 1 species